rnacentral:lncRNA from 1 species
CCGCAACAACCGAAGUCAGAACAGCUUGAAAAGCUGAAGGUAUUCAAGGUCAUGUUGGAGCGCUUGAUAACAUUCUUACAGGUCUCUAAAAACAACAUCACACCUAAUUUCAAGGAGAAAUUGGGUUUCUAUGAGAAGCAGAUUGUAGGUUUUCUAAACCCAAGCAGAUACAGGAAGCCUAUUCCUAAUCUACAGCAAGGACAACCUCCCCAACCUCGUAUUCAACCUAUGCAGCAACCCCAAUCUCAAGUUCCUCAAUUGCAGUCCCAUGAAAAUCAACUGAUUCCCCAGUUGCAAUCAAUGAAUACGCAAGGUUCUGUACCACAGAUGCAGCAGAACAAUAUGUCAAGCUUGCUGCAUAAUUCCCUUUCAACUUUAUCUGGGGAUUCGACGUCACAAUCAAACAUGAUGAAUCCAAUACAACCAGGCUCCAAUUUAGAUUCUGGACAAGGAAAUGCACUGAGCUCAUUGCAGCAGACACCUGUAGGAUCUGUACAACAGAAUCUCGUGAGCAUUUCCCAACCAACCAAAGUUAACACAUUGUCAACACAAAGUGGGGGGAGUAUGCUGCAGCCAAAUAUUCCCCUUCAGUCGAAUUCCAAUAUGAUUCAACACCAGCAUCUAAAACAGCAGCAGCAGCAGCAGCAUGAACAACAGAUGCUACAAACACAACAGCUUAAACGAUUCCAGCAACACCAGAAUUUAAUGCAGAAUCAACAGAUGCAGCAGCAGCAAUUACACCAGCAAGCUCCGUCUCCUAUGCCAGGAGAUUCUGACAAACCAGUUUCUGGUAUUUCCUCACUCUUAGAUACUGGAAAUAUUGUACACCAACCAUCUGUUGCACAAGCACUGGCUCCAUCCCUUGCAAUUGGCACUCCUGGGAUAUCUGCAUCACCUUUGCUUGCAGAGUUUACCAGUCCUGAUGGUGCUCAUGGCGGUGCUUUGACAACUGUUUCUGGCAAGUCAAAUGUUACAGAGCAAUCACUUGAGUGCUUGAUUAAAGCGGUUAGUGAUGCUCUCCUUUUGGUUUUACUCCACCCCACCCUUAUUUUGGAGGUUUCUGAAAAAGAAAGAAACUUCUUUGUGAAUGAGAUGGUGAUGCUGCAAUUUUUUUUCCCAGGUGAAAUCUCUGUCUCCCAAAGCACUUAGUGCAUCUGUCGGUGACAUUGGCUCCGUUGUCAGUAUGAUUGACAGAAUUGCUGGUUCUGCAGCUGGUAAUGGAUCUAGAGCUGCAGCUGGUGAGGAUUUGGUAGCAAUGACAGGAUGUCAUCUUCUUUCGUUUUUGUCUUUUUUAUUUUUCACGUGUUUCUCACAAGAUGGGAACUCGAGGGAAUAAAAAGUGCUGGGAAGUAAUUUUUGUUGGAACGUCUUGUGUAACAUCUUCUUUCGAUGAUGACCUUUUGGAUGGCUGCAUGAAGCUUGUUCCGCUUUAAAUUUCAAGGUUAAUCUAUUUCAAUUUGAAACUUGAGUUGCAACUGAACUUAAAUGAAAAGUGUUGGAUUUGGGCCUCUAUUUGUUUUAACUUGUACAGGGUUGAAGUGAUAGUGAUCUUAAAAGUACAAAAGCAGCAGACAAAAAUCAAUUAGCCACAAUAUAUAGUGUAUGGUUUCCUACUUUCUCAGUAUAAAGUUGAAUGUUUUGGUGAUAUAAUCUCUACAUCCAAAAUCAUAUAGACAGCUACUGCUGGCACUUGCAGUAGCCAAUGUUAACCAAAAUCAUAUAAUCUUAAAGUUGAAUGUUGUAUUUUCAUAAAUUAAAGGGAUUUCUCUUCUUUUCUUUGUCAAUUACAGUGCAUCAUAAUAAGUUUUCUUACUCAGUAAAUGCUAUUGUAAUUUUUUCACAGAGACUCCCCUGUUUUGCAACUAAUUCACUUCUGAAUAAAUCUGGGAAACAGAAAGGCAAUCAACAAAGAGUAAGGCAUCUUCUGAAGAAACAAAGAAAUUUAAUACCAUAAACUAAGCAGCACGUAGAAGGCAAAAACUGAGCACAAAUUUUCAGGAAGGGACAAACGAAAAAAACCAAAAAGAAAGCAAAGAAAAAUACAGACUCAAAUUCACAACACCCAUUUUCUUUCCAUUGGAACACUUUAAAUAGUUUAUUAAAUUUAUAAUGAUCUGAUUUCUACGCAUAUAAAAAAAUCAACUAAAUGAUCAAUUCUCUAUAAUUUCGGCAUUACUAAAAACAUCCAAACUAAUAAACAAUUAGUUAUUUUACUCAUUUUAAUAAACAUUUUAGUUAUGAAUUCACCAAACAUUUUGAACAAUUCAUAUUGAUGAAUUAACAUUUAAAUUUUAGAUUUUUUGAUUUAUUAUUUCCUUCGUGAGUUACUUCUAAAGUAUGCUAUAUAUCUUUAAGCAUUUUUAUAGAAUAUAAUUCUAUCAAAUUCACUUUUACCCAAUGCAUAAUAUAAAGUAUUCAUGGCUUUAACAUCCAUAAAAAAUAACUUUUUAUCAUUGUCCGUAUAUUCCCUUUUAGUUUUAGAAAUCUCAAUACCAUUUUUAAUUUGAUAGGUCUAGGAGAUCUAUUUUGUAUGGAUAGCCACAAAUUAAAAUCAAUAAAUUGAUAAUAAAUUAUCAUUAAACAAUUUAUUACUUGCUCUUUGGUAAUAAGAAUGUGAUUGUAAUAUUAUUUUGUAUGGAUAGUUUUAUCUAUCUAUUAUCUCAAUAACAAGAUUAACUUUGCAAUUAUAUAUCACACUUAUAUAAUCUCAAAUAAUAUUAAUUAAAAUGAAUCACAAAAAUUUAACACAGUAAUUCUGCAAAAAAAAUAAAAACAAUUUAAUAAACAAUUUAACUUUGCAAUUAUGUUUUUAUUUGUUUGUUUUUCUAUGAGACACAAUGGAAUUUUCAAUAGAAACUACAACAAUACAAAUAAUUACAAAUAUUUUUCUUUCAACAUCAACAUAAAAAAACAUUAUGCACUUUUCGAUACUUACGUAAUUCUAGGAUUAAAGAAACAAUAACAUCUAAGGGGGGUGAAUUGGGUGUUGCACUAAUUAUAUCAAAUAAUGGUGUUGCACUAAUUAUAUCAAAUAAUGCAAUAAUUAACAAUAUAAUUAAAGUGUUUAAAGUAAAUAGAUAAGGAAAUAGAUAUUACAAACUCGGUUUUUAAUGUGAUUCGGUAAGCCUACAUCUACACCUCAAGUACUAACCGUACUUGAGUAUUGUACUCUUUUACCAAUCCAAGUGAAAUAUACAAAUGCCCUUGAUAAAUCCACACCGAGAAAUUAUACCACUUGAAGUUUUUUCUCUUGGUGACAAUACAUCACUAAUGCUAGGAGUUUAUCCAAACUCACAAAUGUUUACAAUUAUAAUUUGUUUGCAACAAGAUUCACUCUCUCAUAAAGUAAAUUGUACAAUUGAAAACUAUAAUCUUUAUAACUCACUCGAUAGCACUCAAGAUGAUUGAAAGUGUGUAAAUAUAAUGAGUGUGAGACAUUAUACUCAUGUGUUAGAAUAUAAAGAUUUAAUUUAGCACAACUUAAAAGCAUGUUAUGAUUGAUGAUUUCUAAUUGAUUUUUUUUUAAAAUAACUUCUAUGUUAUAUAUGUUUGGAAUCUCUCUUUUAUUUGUUAUAUAUAUAUAUAUAAACUAAUUGUUUAUAGUUGUUGAGAUGUCUCUAACAGCUAAAGUAAUCUAUAUGCAACUUAAACAAAAGAAUUCCAAUUAAAUGGAAUUGCACUUAACAUGUAUUAUUUCAAAUGCAACAAUUGCAUAGAUAACAGACAACAAGGAAUUUAACAGAAGAUAUAUACACUUUACUUUUCCUACUAAAAUUAAACUAUUGGAAUUUAACAUAGUCAUAAUCAAUUUGUUCUUGUGAGAUUAUCUAUUACAUGUAUAACAAAUAUAUUAGAAAAUAAAUUGUUUUAAGAUUGUUAGAACACCUUAAAUAGUUCAUAAAAUUAUUGUUCCAUUUUACUAUAAUAAUCAAGUUUCCACAUAAUAUAAAUCAUGCAUAUAAAUUAAUAAUCAAAAUAAAAAUUAAAUUAAGAUAACAAUCAAUUUUUUAACUUUAAAAUAAUUUAUCAUCUAUUUUCUAAUACUAAUAGUAUGAUUGUAAUAUUAUUUUUUAAUUUAUUUAAUAAUUUAAUUUUGAUAGCACAACCAAAAAUAAAUAAUGAACCAAAAUUUAUAUGAUAUUUUUUAUAAAAAAUUUGAUAAAAAAAAUAUAAAAACAAAAAUAAUGUCUCAAUUAGAAUAAUUUUUUCAUUAAUGAGAAGGCCCACCACAGACCAAGAGGACAGCUUCAAUGAAGCCAAUGCAGGUGAUUACCCGUCGGCUAACAUCUCCUCGCGCGCCUAGCACCAGCUAAACCGCCUCAAUCUGAACAUGCACCAGACAAAGUCUAUGAAAAGACGCCAGGGAGCCUCAGCAGCCGAGAAGAAAGCACGGGAACACCCACCGCGCGAGAAGAAACGCGAAAAACAGGAGACGGAGCGCGGUAAAGACUGAAGCCACAGGAUUCACAUACAGUGAAGCACUCUUAGUUUUAUAUAUAUAUAAUUCUUUUAGUUUGUUAGUUAUGAACAGUGAAGCAGCACAAGAAUACAAUUCUCCUGUUUGUUUGCUGGAAAAUAGUUUUUUUUAGAAAGUGAAUUAUUUUCCGAUGUUUGGUAGUGUAAUGGAAAAUAAGUUAGAAAACAUUUUUCAGUGUUUGGUUAUGUCAUGGAAAAUGAGUUGGAAAAUAACUUAUUAAUAUUUUAUUUUUUUCAAUUUUAUUAAAAUAAUAAAGAAUAAAUCUUACAAAUUAAAAAGUUGAAUGAAAAUAAAAUUGAAAAAAAAUAUAAUUUCAUAAAUUAUCUUAAAUAAAAUAAAUAAUAAUCAAAAUAAUAAAAAUCAAAUCUAAAAAAUAAAAAAUUUGAUCGCUUCAUUAAUUUCUCGUUAGGAAAAUGUUGAGCUUCUCAGCAAUAUUUCCUUACCUUGUGCCGCUAACUUGACGGUAAAAUGUGAUUAAAGGAUCAAUUAAUUAUUUAAAUCAACUUGAGGGAUUAAUCUGUUUGUUUAACAAAAAUACAGACACUAGUUAAAUAGAAUUUAACUCAAAUUUUAAUCAUCAUAUGCGUGCGUGUGCGUGUGCGCACGCGUGCGAGCGAGGGUUUACUCGUUAAUUUUUUUAGAAGGAAUCUGGAAAAGAAUAAAGUCAUCUAUUUCACUUUGGUCCAACAUCCCUCAAAGGCGCAGCUGUGCAUCUAGUUAGGAAGAACAUUUUAUAACUCACCUCAAGGUCGAGCAUGGUCAGGGUUAUUGUGUUGUCUAUUCCGAGGAAGAUGUGGCGUUCAAUCCAUGUGAAUCGCACGACUUGUCCAUAUCUUUCUUAUUGAUUACAAAUAGCAUUGAGAAUUAAAGAAUAUUAUCUUAAUAAGUUCCAAUUUAUUCUACAAAACUAUAUAUAAAGAUGUGACAAAAAGAUGUAUACAAAUUAGUUAUUUAUUGUUUGUAAGUAUUAUUGUAUUGCAAAGACAAAAAUAAGAUGCAACUUAUGGCGUGGUCGUCCAACCUGGUUCUGGUUUUGAUCCUGUUCAAAAUCUAUUUUGUUGAAUUGUUGAUCUACUUGUGAGUUAUUGGGUUAACUAGAUCAAUUUUUUAAACAAAACAAUGCCAUUUUAAAAAAAAAAUUGGUUCUGACAUAGAAAUAUAAUAUUAGAAACUUAAACCUUAUUGAUUAGCAAAAACUCAAUGGGAAAUUUAGUUUUGAAAUAGAUUGUUGUAAAAUCAAAUAUGAAUUGAUAACCAGAAAGUUUGCUUAAAAUUGCAAUAACCUUAUAGAAGAAAGCAAACAUAAAUAGAAUUAUUAAAUUCAAUGGAGUUCAUAUAACCAGGAUCACGAGUUUAGCGAGUUAAGCCAUGAAACCCUAAUCGAUCAAAUAUGUCGCCGUUUCAAUUAAAAAAAAUACAUCUUAAAAAGAAUUAAGCUAAACCACGUUUCUACCUAUUAUCUGGGUUGUCUUUAGACUUGUCAAGUCGACUGAGCCAUAUUAGGACAACUUCCAUAUAAUUAAAUUUGAAACUCGAGCUAGAUAAGAAAUCAGGUCAGGAAAUUUUAAUAUUGAUUUGUUGAAUCGGAUUUAAUAACAAUGCCAAAGAUCUGAAUAUUUAUUUUUUACUCAAUUUUUUUUAGGUCCUGUUUGUUUGAUGGAAACAGUUUUUUUUUAGAAAGUGAAUUCCUGUAAAGUGAAUUAUUUUCUGAUGUUUGGUAGUGUGAUGGAAAAUAAAUUAGAAAAUAUUUUCCAGUGUUUGGUUAUGUUAUGAAAAAUGAGUUGAAAAAUAGCUUAUUAAUAUUUUAUUUUUUUUCAAGUUUAUUAAAAAAACGAGGAAUAAAUCUUACAAAUUAAAAAGUUGAAUGAGAAUGAAAUUGAAAAAAAUAAUCUAAUUUUAUAAAUUAUUUCAAAUAAAAUAAAUAAUAAUCAAAAUAAUAGAGAUCAAAUCUAACAAAUAAAAAAAUUGAAAGAUGAUGAAAUUAAAAUAAUAAUAAUUACAAUUUCAUAAAUUAUUUCAAAUAAAAUAAAUAACAAUUAAAAGAAUAAGGACCAAAUUUGAUAGAUAAAAAAUUUCAAUUAAAAAAAUGAUAAGACAAAAGCAAAUAACAAUCAUAAAAAUAAGGACCACAGUUAAUAUAAAAAUCAAAUUAAAUCAAAUUUUAAGGAAGGAAAUUAAAAAAAAAGAUUCAAACAAAAUAUAUAUCAAUUAAAAGUUUGAAGACUAAAUUUGAUAUAAUCAGCAAAUAAUAUGAUAUUUCUAAAUUUUUCACAACUUCUGGAAAAUGUUUUCCGUCCAAAAUAAAAGGAAAAUACUUUCCUGAAAAUCGAGUUAAAUUUUUCUUUGACUGUAAAGUGUUUUCCAUUGACCAACUUUUUUAAUGACAAACAAACACAUGAAUGUUUGGAAAGUGGUUUCUAGAAAAUUAUUUUCCAGGCAAACAAACACCCCCUUAAUUCAAUCACUAAAGAGUUAUCCAAGAAUAAUUAUUCUCCACUAGCAGUUGUUGCAUACUAAAUUUUUUUUGUCAAAACAUACAUGAUAGGUGGCUUCAAUAUCAAUCCACCAUUUUUUAGGAUUUUCCAUGAAGUUUACUUCUAAUAUAACUACAACAAGCUUAGUAGCUUUCUCAUCAACAUUCUCAAUCAUAUGCUAAGAAAUCAUGGUUUUGUUGAGCUUUGUUAUCAUCAUAGGCUUGAUGAUGGAAGGAUUAUUGCUUCAUCAUGCUUUAUAUUUAAGUUCACGCCACUCAAAUUAUUUUGGUUUUUUCCCCACAUGAAGAAUGUUUAGGAAUCGGGUUUGCCAUCUAAACCACAAAGAUUACUAGGUUAACAAGUACAUCGAAAUCAUUAACAAUAGUUUUAUCCAUCUAUUAUCUCAAUAAUAAAAUUAACUUUGCAAUUAUAUAUCACGCUUAUAUAAUCUCAAAUAAUAUUAAUUAAAAUGAAUCACAAAAAUUUAACACACUAAUUGUGCAAAAAAACAAUUUAAUAAACAAUUUAACUUUGCAAUUGUGUAUUUAUUUAUUUGUUUUUCUAUAAGACACAAUGUAAUUUUCAAUAGAAACUAUAACAAUACAAAUAAUUAUAAAUAUUUGUCUUUUGACAUCAACAUAAGAAAACAUUAUGCACUUUUUUAAAGUUACGAUAAAAACAAAUCUGAUUGAUACUUAUGAUAUUCUAGGAUUAAAGCAAUAAUAACAUCUAAUAGAGAUAAAUUAGGUGUCAAACUAAUUAUGUCAAAUAAUACAAAUAAACAUGCUAAACACAUAUAAUAUAAUAAUCAACAAUAUAAUUAAAAUGCUUAAAAUAAAUAGAUAAGAAAAGAGAGAUUACAAACUCGGUUUUUAACAUGGUUCAGUAAGUCUACAACCACAUCUCAAGUACUAAUCGUAAUUGAGUAUUGUAUUCUUUUACUAACCAAUAAUAUAUUAUUUCACCAGUAAUUAUUAUCCAAUAUGCAACUUUUUUUUCCAAUCUUCUGUUUUUUUUUUCCAUAUCAAUCCAACAAUAAAGAAAAUAACAUGUAACAUAAAAUUUCUUUCCCCGUAGAAUCAAUGCAACAAGUAUACAGAUACCACACAACAAACAAUUUAACAAGUCAUGUAAUUUAACAGAAGAUAUAUUUACUUUGCUUUUCCUACUAAAUUUAAACAACUUUUUUGUAAUCUAUGUCAACAUAUAAAACAUAUAUAUAAAUCAAUAAAAAAAAUAAAAAAUAGGUAGAGGUAAUGAUUAAUUUUUUAGCUUUAAAAUUUUUUAUCAUCGCCUCUUUAUGCUAGUAAUGUAAUUGCAAUAUUAUUUUAAAUUAAUUUAAUAUUUUAUUUUUGAUAACAUAACCAAAAAUAAACAGCGAACCAGAAUUUAUAUAGAGUUUCCUAUAAAAAUUUUGAUAAAAAAAAAUAUAAUAGAAAUAAGUUUAUAAAAACAAAAACAAUGUCUCAGUUAGAAUAAUUUUUUCAUUAAUGAGAAGGCCUGCCACAGACCAAGAGGAGAGCUUCAAUGAAGCCAUCCCAGCCGAUGCAGGUGAUUACUCAUCGGCUGACAUCUCCUCGCAUGCCUAGCACCAGCCAAACCGCCUCAAUCUGACAUGCACCAGACAAAGUCGAUGAAAAGACGCCAGGGAGCCUCAGCAGGCGAGAAGAAAGCGCGGGAACACCCACCGCGCGAGAAGAAACACGAAAAACAGAGACGGAGCGCGGUAAAGAUUGUGAAGCCACAGGAUUCACACAUAGUGCACCGUGUUUUAAUGAGUUAUAUGUAUAUAUAUAUAUAUAAUUAUUUUAGUUUAGUUUUAGUUUGUUAGUUAUGAACAGUGAAGCAGCACCAGAAUACAAUUCUUUUAGUUUGUUAGCGAAUUUGGAAAGAAUAAAGUCAUCUGUCAAGCUCUGUUCACUUUGGUCCGACAUUCUUCACCUCUCCCCACCUGAGCUCUCUCUCUUUCCCUCCUCCGCUCUAGGAAGCCGCCACCACCUCAACCAAUAAGGCUUCAAAUCUCCACCAGGUGCUUCCUUUUCUAUCAUGUUUUUUAUUUUUAAAAUUUACAUCUGUGUUUUCAUUUAUUUAACUGAAAUUCUUAUCCAGAGAGAUAAAUUCGAUUUUAAUAAGUAAAUUAAAAAGAUAUAUAAUCGGAUCGAUGAAAUCGUUGUUCGUGAACGCAACUCGAAGAAAGGCGUAAUCAGCCGAUUCUACUGUGGGUGGAGCAUUUAGUAUGGUCAGGGUUAUUGUGUUGUUUAUUCAAAGAAAGACAUGCCUGUAAAUUUGUUAAGUUGAUUCUUAUCAGUCUGCUCUUUAGAGUUAAUGAUAACAUGAAAUAUUCAUUGUUAAUGCUCGUUGUUUUCUUCGUCUUUUUCCUAGACUAAAACAUCCUAGACAGUCUCUUUGGGAUGGGUUAGUGUUUCUGGCCUCUUCAUCUUCAAUUUGUGCUGUGGUGAAAGGCCUCGUUUUAUGACUUUGUUUUGUAUUCUUCUUAUUUCUUUAUUCUUUUGGGGAUGUGGUGUUUUCCUCUUUCUAUUACACUAUUUACUCCCUACAAUAUUUAUUUUUUCAGAGAAGUAAAUAUAUGCAUAAAUAACAAAAACAGGAGGGGAAGGGGAAUGGGGUUUGAUAGUAAGUAUUUGCUUAGAAGGGAAUGCUUCUUCGGUUUAGAAGCACCAUGAAGAUUCUUUGCUUUGAAUGGCCGAAUACCCAGGAUCCUAGCACCUAGGCCUGAAUGUUUGUGUAUAUUUGUUAUGCAUCCAUAUUUGGCUGAAUUCUUUAAUAAAGUACAUGAUAUUAGACGGAAGUUCUUUUUAAAUCUAUUCAAGUCUGAAUAAACUGAUAUUCCAUUUUUCAUGUUCUUGAUGUGCUUUUGCUCUUCUUGUCGUUCCUGACUUUCUUUUAAGGGUCUAUUCUAACAUGCAAUAUGAUUUUUUUUUUCUUUUUGGUUGGCCAACUGUCCUAGGCGGAGAACCUAUCAUAGACACGGGUGAUUGGAGAAUUCAAUUGCAGCCUGACUCAUGGAAAAGAAUAAGCGACAAAAUGUAUGUGCAAGUGCUGCAAAAUAGUAAAUUUUUUUAUUUAUAUGAAAGAAAAGGAGAAUGGCAAAGGGUUAAUUAAAAUCAACAAGAUAGCCAUGAGGCAACCUCAAGUAUCACACACCUUUUUUUUUUUUCAUCUUUUAAUGUGUUUCUCACGAGAAGAAAACUUGAGGGAACAUAAAGUGAUGGGAAGUAAUUUUUGUUGGAAUUUCUUGUGUAAUCUCUUCUUUUGAUGAUGACCUCUUGGAUGGCUGCAUGAAGCUUGUUCCGCUUUUAAUUUCAAUUUAAAACUCGAGUUGCAAUUGAACUUAAAUGAAUGGUGUUGGAUUUAGGCCUUCUAUUUGUUUUAACUUCUACAGGGUUGAAAUGAUAGUGAUCUUAAAGUUGAAAAGCAACAGACAAAAAUCAAUUAGCCACAGUGGUGCAUGGUUUCGUAGUUUCUCAGCAUAAAGUUGAAUGUUUUGUUGACCUCUCUACAUCCAAAAUCAUAUAGACAGCUACUUCUGGCACUUGCAUUGGUCAAUGAAUACUGUAAAGUAUAUAUUGCAGUGUGAGAUAAGGUUAACUCGUUGCAUUUUCAUAUAUUGAAAAGAUUUGUCUUCUUUUCUUUGUCAAUUACAGCAAAUGUGUAGAAGUUACUCAGAGUAAAUGCUAUUGUAAUGUUUUCACAUACUCCCCUGCUUUGCAACUAAGUCACUAAUAUAUGAAGCUCGUAGCUAGAAUUUUUAGAUAGAAGGGUGGCCAAGUAAACUCCUAUAAUAUGUACCUCUGGAAUAAUACAGGGAAAAGAUGUCUAUGUAUUUUGAUGUCUUAUAAUACUUGACCAACUCUUGCUUAUCUUGUUGUUACCCAUUUUUUAGUUCACAUAAAAAUGAGAAAAUACAAAAAACAAAUAUCAAAAGAAAUCCAAAAAAUAAUAGGAGCGAGAAAAGGAUUGCUGGAAUGCCGAAAAAAAAAUGCCAAAAUUGGUUGAGGAGAUUCAAAAAUGCAAAAGGUUGAAAUUUGACAGUGAGAGUCCUGUUGAUGAGGAAAAUUCAAUUUGAGAAAGAAAAGUCCAAAAUCAGAUGUUUAUGGACUCAAUUAAAUUUUAUCCAAGGUUUAAUUGAAUUUAUAGAGGGUUUGAUUGCAAGAAAAUUGAUUUUGUAAGUCAAUUUAGGCUUUUAUCGGAAGAAAUUAAAGUUCUGGGGUCCAAUUAUAAUUUUAAAGAGUUGAUUUGGUCAAAUCAGGGGCUUAAUUGCAUAAUUAUUGAAGUUUGAUGGCCAAUUAGGGACUUAAUUGAAAUAAUUUGAGACCAAGGAUCAAACCAGAAAAGGCGCUAACAUUAAGGGAUCCAAUUACAAUUUUGUCAGGGGGGUUUGAUUAUAAAACAGCGAAAACUUCAAGGGCCAAAUUAGAAGAACCCAAGCGGCGCCGUUUCCACCAUUAAUGGUCUUCAAACAGCUGUGAAUCGGUGACGAUAAUGGAAGGAGACGUUAGCAGCAAUUAUGGAAAAUAUUCUCAAUUCAAUGGGGCUGGUAUCGCGGCUGACAUCCCUCGUCACCGUGAUGGGCGCCGGCUUACCAAUAUUGCUGGCGUCCUCUGGCUAUAAAAGCCAGAGGAAGAGCUGCACCAAAAAUAAAAGGAGGUGAGAGAGAGGAGAGGCUACAGUGAAGAAAAAAAAAGGGGAGUGAGACAGUUUAUGAGAACGUAAGAAAAGUGAGAGGGUGGAGAAAUAGCGAGCAAGCAUAAGGGAGAGAAGAGGAAGGAGAGAAAGAAGCAAACCGAACGGGAACAGAGGACACGGUGAAGCAGAGAACCCAGCACCACCAUCGUCUUCGUCUUCUCAAAAUCAGGUAUGUUCGAUGCCCUUCUCCGUUUCCUUGCAAAAUGAGAUGAUGCAUGUUAGUAUGUAAAAUACAGAAAGAAAAUAUAAGGAAACCGACACCAGAAAUCGCCAGUUACAAUGCUCUGUUUUGUUUUCCUUUUUCAUUCUCGCACUGCAACAAAGAUGGUUAACAGAGCGAAGGUAAUUUAAUUACCUUCGCCCUGUUCAUACAAGCCUAAAUAUAUUAUGGUGCCAUUAGAUAAAAAUAUGCCUUGCAGUCUAGAUGGUCAGCUUACCUGGCUCUCAUCCGAGAGACCCGGUUUCAAGUCCCAACAAGGGAAUUCCUUUUUGAAGGUGGUCACUGGCAUGGGCCAGUGACCAUGCUGGGCUAGCUGAAUCCAGCCCAGCUACGCAGGUUGGCUGGGGUCCAGCCCAGCCAUAUGGGCCGGGUUGGGCCCAGCAAUAAAAAAUAAAAGAAUAAAAAUAAAUAAAAAUUCAAAAAAAUUAUUUAAAUAUCUGUGAUUUUCCGUCAAUUUUUACUGCAUUUUAAUUAAUACGGUUUGUAUUUUUAUACUGUAAAGAUACAAAUCCGGUAUUAAAAUACCAUAUUUUGGUCCAAACAUUAAAAAAGAAGUUUUGUUUUCAUACAUACGGCUAAGUCUCUCAAAAAUAAAAAAUCAUAUUGUAUUUUCAUACAACAAAGAAAAUUUCAAAAAAUAUGUAUUAGCAUGCAUUUUGGCUUUAAUAACCAGUUUAUUAAAGUCACGAGAACUAGGCCAAUAUUUCAAAAAUUCUAAAAAAUUUAUUUUGUUUUCUUUUAAUAUCGGGGGCCGGGUUAUGAUCUUAUACGUAAGACGUGUUCCAGAUAUUAAAUUUUCUUUGUUGGCAUUAGACCGGUUAGGUUUUACCCGAUAAGAUAAGGAUCUCUUUACCGAAGAGAACUUUUCUUAAACCAUAAACGGACCAACAAAUAGAAAGCACAACAUGACCUUAGAUUUUAUCAGACAAUAAAACAAUGCAGCUUACCUUAGGUAGGGCGUAUUUGGGGUGCUAAUACCUUCCCUUUACGCAACCAAUCCUCGUACCCGAUCUCUGAGACCAGUUAGGGUUCCUAGUGACCAAAAUACUAGGUGACGACUUUCAUUCUAUUUUUUCACUGAUAAAAGACAAGAAUACCUUGUCUCCACACAUUUGCCACAUUUUUAGAUAAGAUAAGAUAGAAUUCGAGGGUGGAUGUUUUCGCCGCGACGCCGCACACGUGCGACAUAUCUCAUUAUUUGUUUUUACUUUUUGCUAAUGAUUCCACACAUUUCUGAAAUUGGUGUGGUUUAUGAGUUCAGGGUUCUUGCUUGCUGCUGCUAACUUCUCUAUACUUGCCUGGUCAUUAAAAAUGAAACGUAAUGAUUUGCAUGUGCAGAAUGGAGACAUUAAAGAGGGAUCUUCUGUUUUCUAGUCAGAAGGGAUUACAAGAACUCAAGAAAUAUGCCAUACGUUUUGAGGAAAAGAUUUAUAUUACCGCCACGAAUCAGGGUUCAAUAAUUAUGAUAUUCUCUUGACAUGAAUAUACACAUGCAUUUAUGCAUGUACAAAUGUGUGUGUAGUGUGCCUCCACUUCCUCACCGUGCAUUCUGUAUGCAAGGCUGAUUGGGAGUUCGCAUGUUUUUGUUAAUUCUCUUGACAAGUGUUUUAUCUAGAGUGACCAAGUUCAAGUACAAGGGAAGUGUGCAAAAAGAAAAUAGCAAAUCAAUACAUAAAUAAUUAAAUAAAAAGAGAGGAAACAGAAGUAUAUCCUCACAAACGAUGAAAUGAUAGAGCAUAUAUCCAUUUUCCUCCUCUUGUAACAUGGAUUGCUCUGAGAUCUAAUGUUUUGUUAUUAAUAUAUGAUUUCAGUAUGAUUAUCUGCGUAAAAUAUCUCUGGAGAUGCUUUCAAUGGAGAUCAGGUCUCAAAAUACCAUGCCCACUGCCCCCAUGGAUCCAGCAGGUUAUAAUGCAGCCGAGCAUUGAAUUUGUAAACAUCUUACCUUUUGUUUUGUUUGUCGCAUUGUAAUCAAACUCUUUUACAUUUUAUUGCGGCAUAUUGCUAUGUGUUUAGCAUGCUUUAAUCAAAAAGUUGAGUAAUUGAUGAAUGUUAGGCAAGAAUAUUACAGAUUGUUUUUGUUUUCUGCCUCCUCCUUUUCUUUCCUCCACCUUGAAAAUUGUCAUAUUAUUUUUGUUUUCAGUCGCCUCUUCUUCCCCCAUCCCUGAAAAUUGUCAGAGGACAUUUUUAUGCUUUGAAUCAAAUCCAUCCUAAUUUUUUCGCUCAUAACUUUAUGUGUGAACUGCAUAUGUUUCAUUUGUCUUCCUUGUUCAGUGCCUUCUUUUUUUCUGUGACAUGGUUUUCCCUUUUGCCUUUUAUCUUGAACAGCAUCCCAUAGUAUGCGCCCUGAAGUUCAGAAUCAAGGGCUGUUUCUCCCUAUCCUAUUGUCCACUGAUCAGUCUCAAGCAUGUCAGCAGUUGGUAUCACAGAACAUGCAGAAUUGCAUGGCAUCUAAUGGAGUUCAAAGUUAUGCUGGUUUACAAGCGGCACUGCCUCCUGUCUCUGGUGUAACCCUGACUAACCCCAACACUGUUGUCCAGAAUCCUAACAUGCAGAGUAUCCCUGGUGUUUCACAGAACUCAGUGGGGAAUUCAAUGGGACAAGGGAUUCCCUACACUAUGUUUGCCAAUUCUCAGAGACAAAUGCCAGGUAAUGCUCUUUUUGGUAGCUUUAUGUGCCACUGCUUCCCUUUAUGGCAUUAGAAAUGCCACUGCUAUUGGAACUAUUGCAAUCACACAUGCAUUUGUAACCACACGAUGCCCUACAGUGCGGUGCACCAACUGUUCACCUCUCAUAAUGGUUCAAGUCAGCAAUGCUCUUUUAGGUAGCUUUAUGUGCCACUGCUGCCACUUGUGGCAUUAGUAAUGCCAUUGCUAUUGAAACCAUUGCAAUCACACACGUAUUUGUUACCACAUCAUACCCUCCAGUGCAUUGCACCAGCUAUUCGCCCUCUCAUUCUGCAUUUAUAUGAUCACAUAACAUUUAUAUGAAGUUCUUAAUACAAAAAGGACUUGUAUUCCUAUAUAGGAAAAUACUAAUAGUCCUAUCUAGAAUAGAAAAAACCUAAUGAAGCUCGCUAUACUUUGGGAAUAAUUAAAUACUAAAUGGAAAAUAAAACUGAGACUCGUAAUAUUUCAUAAUUUUCAGCAAGCGUUAAAAUUAUAGAAAUACCCUUGUAUAUGGAAAACACACAAAAAUACAUGAAUUCUAAUAUUUUGUUGUCCGCAUUGAAAUUUUUGUAGCAUCCCUAUAUUCUACAGCACAGACUGGACAUGCAAAAGGCGCUGAUUGGCAAGAGGAGAUCUAUCAGAAGGUAAUUUCUGUGAUUUACUGUUCAUUAGAUGGAGUUCAUGUUUGCCAUAGUCUUGCAAGAUUUCAAUGGAAAAAGGUCUCAAGAAAAUAAGUGGGACUUAUUCCAUUGAAUCAUGACCACAUCCAGUAUUGUUGAAUUUUACAGAAAAUGAGGUUGAAAUUCUGAAUGUCUCAAGUCAUAGCUGCAUGUUUAAUAAGGAGAUUUUUUUUUUGUGCUUAGGAGAGUUUUAAAACGGGAAUAAGAAUGGUUGUUGAUAAGGACAAUUUUUUUUGUGCUGAGGAGACCAAUAUUUGCUGAGCAAUUCUAUAAUGAAAAGUUGGCGACUGAUGUUUUAAAAAUUGGAGUUAAGGAAUGGCUUAGAGUGCAUGGAGAUCAUGUUAAAAGUGAAGCUGUAGAGAAGGCAAUCACUCAAAUUAUGAUGGGUGAAGAAGCAGAGGAAAUGAGUAGCAGAGCAAAGAAACGGCCAGGAAGGCUGUUGAAGAAGGUGGAUCUUCUUGCUCCGAUUUCAAUGCUUUGAUUGAAUAACUGAGGUGGGGUCGCCCUUGAAACAAAGACAUAGAACAUUUUGUUUAUACUUUAGUAGUGGUUGUGGCAAUUUAUUUUCGGACAAGUCUUGAGAGUUGAAAGAGUAAUCACACCCGAGUCAAUGACCAAUCCAAAUCAGUUUCCUUCCUAAUGAUUCAGGAAUGAGAAGUCCAGCUUAUAUAUUUAACCCAAAUAACUAAUCAAAUAGAAAGGCUGAGCUUAGAGAUAGUACACUACAUAUUGCCAAUAACUAGAUAAACAAUCAUCACAAACUAGGAACGACCGUCUCCCCAAUAACAAAUUCACCUUCUGAAGUUAGAGAACUUGCGAAAACUAGCCACCACAAAAUAGUAGCAAGUAUCUAUGCAGUCUUCGAUGAAGUACAACCACCUGCGUCGCCAAUAUGGAUUGAUGUAGAGAACUGCUGCAAUCGUCAUCACCACAACUGUGUAACAUACACCGAAACUGAUGUAGAAAAACUCCAUAUCUAUGAAACCAUCAUCUCCUUGUUCAUCAUUAGGCACUGGCUGUGACACCACUGCCUUCUCACUACAAUUGUUUGGCAAUGGAGGUCCACACAAGAAAGGAUUUCCUUCGUAACAGCUUUCAUCGAAGGUCCCAAACUGAUAUAUUCUCUCGGGUGUCUUGCCUGACAAGUUAUUGUGCGCCACACUAAAAACUUCCAGUGUGGUAACUUCAGUAAAUUGUGGAGGGAUGGCACCAUUCAAGUUGUUGUAAGAAAGAUCCAAACUCUCAAUAUGCAUUAGGUUUGAGAAUGUUGCAGGGAUAGAUCCAGUGAGAUUGUUGUGUGAUAAGUUUACUGACAGUAUCUUACUUAAGUUUCCAAAUUCUGGUGGGAUUGCUCCGAUGAAGUUGUUAUUGGAGAGAUCAAUACCAAACAUGUAGUUGAGAACUUUCCCCUUGUACCCAUAAUACAUAUUUUUAGUUGUAAAUUCUGUCACUUCUUCUGUAAAGUUAAACAAAAAAAAAUUUCUCAAGUUGUCCACACUAUCCACUAGUGGUGGGCCCAUUAUUUCAUAAUAAGCUUUUUCUAUGGACUCUGAUAUAAAACCAUAUGCGACUUCCAAUAUCGCUUUCUUGUCACUUUUCUUGAAAGUAAGAUUGCCUAAACAGGAGGGUAGUGGACCAGAGAGCUGGUUGUGUGAAACAUCCAAAAUGCUUAAUUGUUCUAACAAGCAUAACUGAAUAGGGAGCUCACCAUCAAAGUGAUUAGCCCUCAGAAGAAGAACACUCAAUGAUGAAAGAUUGCCAAUCCAAUUUGGAAUGGAGCCGGUGAAGCUGUUUUCUCGAAGAUCCAUCGUAACCAGGUAAGAGCUGUUAAAAAAUGCAUAUGUUAAUGGACCGCUCAGUCUAUUUUUCGAUAGAUGCACAUGGGUUAUUUGUGGUGGACUAAAACAAGAUGGUAUAUAUCCAGACAAGUUGUUCUCAGAAAGGUCCAAAUAUUCAAGCUGGUCAAACUUACAAAAAUCUCUUGGGAUCGGACCCUUAAAAUGGUUUCCGGACAAAUCAAUUACUCCAAGGAUCGAAAAAUUAACGAAGCUCCUUGGAAGCAUGCCCGAAAAUUGAUUGUUACUCAAAUCUAAUACAUUCCAUACAUUCCACCUAUAUAAUGGAAAAUCUGAUAUCUGACCCCAAAAGUUGUUACCAUUUAGGUAAAGAAAAUUCAGGCGAGAAGAAUUGAACACCGAGGUCGGUAUUUUCCCACCCAAAUUGUUGUUUGACAGCUUGAGAACCCAUAUUGUUGUUAGUUGUUCUAGUUUUACUGUAGACAAUUGAUUGUUGGAUAAAUCUAAAAAUGAAAGAGAGCUAAUAUUUCCUAAACAGGAAGGAAUACAACCUGUGAAUCCAUUCUUAGCCAUCCUUAAGGUGUGUAGAUUUGGAAAGAUCAAACAAAUAUCUUUUGGAAUUUGACCGUUCAUGUUGUUGUUGGAUAUAUCUAAAUUGGUCAUAUUCGGAUGGAGGUGAUCUUGCAACUGCAAAGCACCAAUAAAGGAGUUGUCGCUCAGAUAUAGUUGUUCCAAUCGUGUAUUGUUCUUAAGCAACCACGAUGGAAACAUUCCAGUGAUGUUGUUGUGGGAGAGAUCAAGGGCUCUUAAGUCUAAUUGGUAAUAGAGGAAGUCGGGAAUUACAUUGAGUGCUUCCGAUGUUGGACUACUUGACAAGCGGAAAAAGACUAGUUGGAACUUUGGAAUCAAAUUAUCAAAGGCAGCAGGUUCUGUUACUAGCUUGUUGUUCUCACUGGAGAAGAACUUGAGGCUUGAGUGGUUCAUAAAAGGCUUUAUUGAAAUGGGAACUUCAAAGAGGUUAUUUGAUAGUGAGAGGAAUUCAAGGGAUAUGAGGUUGGUAAGAGGACCGAAAGCAAUAUUUCCAGUAAACUGGUUUUCAGAAACAUCUAAUAGUUGUAAAGAUGACAUGUUCCCCAAACAAUCUGGGAGUGAACCUCCUAAAUUAUUUCUAGAGAGAUGUAACUGCUUCAGAUUCUUCAAUUCACACCAACCUGUACAAUUUAUCUUGAAAUAGUCAAAAUAGUGUUGGAAGAAUCUUUUGUUGAUGAUGUAAUUAUAGGCGGAUGGAGAGUUGUUAAUUUACCUUGAGCAGGUAGGGUGCCAUGGAGGUCACAUUCACCAACAGACAAAACUUUAAGAGCAGGCAAUGCUCCAAUGUUCUGGAGAAAGUUUAUUGGGAGAGAAGUAUUAUCUAGAUGCAAUUCUUCAAGGGUGCUCGAAUUGAACAAAGUCCCUAUGAAAAAGAAAGAAGAAGAGAUAUGAUGAAAAUAGUGGUGGUACAGAAUAUAUAGCCAUUCCAUUCAAUAUUAUUAAUUAAGAUUUUAAGAAACUAAACUAUUAACCUUGACUUAAAUUAGUAUCCUUGAGAGAAAGGGUCUUCAGGGAUGGCAAUGAACACAAUGACUGUAGGAAGUCCAGCUUCCUUGAACCUAUGAUGUGUAGAAUUGAAAACAGGCAAUCAAGUAAGUAGUGAAAUUAAGUGUUAUCUUGAUCGAGUUCUUAAAGCUAUGAUAAAGAACUGGUACUUUUGUAGUGAGAUGAUUUUUUGAUAGAAACAACAAAUUGCCCAAAUAAUAGAAGAUGCCAAGAGAUAUUCACAACUUUACCAUUGACAGCCGUCGAUCCUAGCAACAUAUUGCCUGAUAAAUUUAAAGACUUGAGGGAUGAAAGUCCACUCGGAUGUGAUAAAAUGCUGUCGUUGAAUAUAUUAUAGCUCAGGUCCAGGUUCUCGAGUUUCCCCAAAUGUGAUGAUAUGAUCUCAAAACCUGCAAGGAGUUGUUUCUAAGAGUAAGUCAUAAUUAUGAGCUCACGAUAUGCAUAAUAUAUAGAAACUAAAGAUAAUUAGAAUUGAUGAGAUGUUGUUCAAUUGAUAUAUGAUUCUCAAAUUAUACAUAAAAAGAAUGAUAUAUGAACGCAUAUUUAAUUAUAUAAUAGAUUAAGAAAUAAUUUAUGGAUAAGAUCAAAGCUCCAUAGAUAUUAAUCUUCAUAGAUGAAAUUAAAGCGCAAUCAAACAUGAUGAAAUGCUAUCGUUGAUUUUUAAAUAUAUAUAAAGUCCUCAAUUUUCUUGAUAAACAGAAUGCAACUUACUAUUGAUAGAUCCUGUCAGCUGAUUGUUUGACAGAUCCAAAGACUUGAGAGAUGAAAACCCAGUUAGAGAUGGAAAAAUGCUAUCGUUGUAUUGAUUCCGUCUUAGAUGAAGGUUCUCAAGCUUUUUCAACCUUGAUGACAAGACUUUGAGACCUGCAUGAUGUUCCUCAAAAGCAUAGAAAUGAUACAUGAACGCAUAUUUAAUUAUAAAAUAGGUUGUGCACGCUUCUAAGAUUAAGAUACAAUUUUUAAAUAUCAUUCUAAUUUUGAUCAUUGGAAAAAAAAAAACAAUUUACGGUUAUAAAGUCGCUAAAGAUGGAAGCUAAGUUAUGAUAGACUUACAAAACAAAAUAAAGAAACUUAUAAUUAAGAUCUCAUCGGUAAUUAAAACAAGAAUAAUAAUCGAUCCAUGUAAGUUCAAAUAUUGCCUAAUUUUGAAAAACUAAUUAAUUAGUUAUGAUAGUUUCAAAAACUAACUGCCUCUGUAAGAUGCUAAAUGCCUCUCUCGUUGGCUGUCUAGUGAUUUGUAUUGGAUAGUUUUUUUUUGAAUUGAUGUUAAGAUCCAAGUUUUAAUAAUUACAAUUUUCUUAAUUAUAUAUAAUAUUAUAGGAGAGAGCUUCUUAUUAUGUUAUUCAAAACCCAUUCAAACUCAAAUUCAUAAAAAAAAAUACUUAGAGUUGUGUUCGACUAAGGAUCUCAAGACAGAAAAAACAUAUAUAAAAAUAUAUUUAUUUAAAAAGAUAAAUAUAAAAUAUAUAUUUAUAGGAGAGUUUUGAAGUGAACUUCUGAUUGCUAAUUUAAUCUAAAUAUUACAACACUUUUGGCAUAAAAGGGCCAAAAUAAGAAUAAAAUAUAUGCCUCUUUACGUAGAUAUAAAGUUCUCAUUUUUGUUGAUAAAGAAACAAUAUAAUUAAGAGAAUGUCAUGUGAAGCAUUUAGGUAGAAACUGUGUAUUAUACCUGAUCCUGUCAACUCAUUGUACGACAGAUCCAAAGACUUGAGGGAUGAAAAUCCAGUAAGAGAUGGAAAAAUGCUAUCGUUGCAAUGAUUCCAACUUAGAAGAAGGUUCUCCAGCUUUUUCAACCUUGAGGACAAGACUUUGAGACCUAAAUAGCAGCUACCUCCUGAUCAUUUAAAUGCGUAGAAAAAAAUGAUAUGAGAAGGAGAAAAGAAAAGGUUUCGAAGCUAAAUAAUUAAAAGGUUACCAUAGAAGCUACCUCCUGAUCCAGCUGUCAACCCAUUCUCUGAUAGAUCCAAAGACUUGAGAGUGGAAAGGUUACCAUUGAAACAUGACAAAAUGCUUUUAUCAUUAUUAAAUCCGUUAUAACUUAGGUCAAGUUUCCUCAGUUUUGAUGAUAGGACUUCGAAGCCUGGAAAGAGCAAGAUAAUUGACAUUAAACACCAACCAACCUUCAUUUAUUUUAUGAUUAUAUUUAAGUGCACAAACAUUGAACUAACCUUCAUUCUCCAAGCAACCAACCAAUCCAUUACCUUCCAAUUCAAGACUUUGCAAUUCUUUAAAAGGCUGAAACAAAGAUGCGUUGAGAACCCAAUCGCCCAAGCUCUCGUCCCUUGAUCCUCUAAGAGAGAGUUGGAUCACUCGCCUUGUAGUGUUAUCACACUCGAUCCUAUGCCACUCACAACAAUUACUACCGUCCACCCAAUCUCUCAAGGAAACGCCAUCUGGGUCGAUCGAAGAUUGGAUCUCCAAGAGACCAAUCCUCUCUUCCUCCAAACACCCAUAACAACGACCAUACCAUUCGCCAACCAAAGUCAAUAAUGCUAGCAACAUCCAACUCCCCAUUCUUUUCAUCAUCAUCUACGUAGAAUAUUGUUGUUUGUUAUGUGUCUUUGGGCAACCAUAGAGGUCCUAUUUAUACUACAAUUUUGGCCAUUUCCAUGAUUUUAUCUGCAUAUCUUAUGCAGGUUCUAUGUUUUGAGAUUUGAAUAUUAUUUUAUUUCCUUUUGGAAUAUUCUUGGAUUCGAAUAUUAUUUUAUUUUACUGUUUAGCACUUAGUCUAUUUGCAUUUAAUUAUAUUUUGGUUACUAAUUAUCCAAUUUUAAAAAAAUAAAAAAUAAAAAUUGUUGCAACAUUUCAAUUUUUUUAUCGACAUUCAUGUGUGAUUUCACGUAAGAUCUUUUUAAAUUUAUAAUUGUACUUUUCUCGUUAUAAUUUAGAAUUAUUUAGGAGCCUACUUGCAUGGUGUCAUCACUAUUAUAUAUAAUUAAAUACAUAAAUUAUCAAUAAUAAUAAAUUCGGAAUAAUUAUAAAUCUUAUCCCUGUGGAUUGUGUGGCUACAGUAUGAUAUACAAAAACUUCAAAUAUAUAUAAAUAAAAGAAUGCUAAAAGUGACAUUCUCUUGGGUGACCACCACAAGCCCAUCUAAAACACACAAGCCAUAUAAAAAUCACACGACAGCCAAUUACCUUAUCUUGUGAGAAAAAAGAUUAAAAAAAAAAAAAGCAUUUUCUUGGGUGUGCAAUGACUGCCAAUCUUUCUCGUUAUGACAUUCAAUGCUCUGUAAGAAGUUGCAUGAUGCUCUUCUCAUGGGGAGCAAAAAUCAGUAGCCUCCCAUGGAAUCCUCAUAAACCUUUCUCUAUGCUCUUCUAAGAUAUUAAAAAUGUCAAACAUACAUAAAUAAUAAGAAAAACAAUAAAAAAAGAAAGCUAUACAAAUAGAGCUUCCAACAAAAAGACUAGGAAGUUGUUUACUGAAAAUUGAGAUUCAUAAUUUGUUUUGAUUUGUUUUGAUUUGUUUUGAGUUAUUAUGGUCUCAUGACCCGGGUCACAGAUUUAAAGGUUAAUCUAGAUUGACCCGGGUCGAUUAAUCCAAUAUGUUGUUGUUUCGAUAUACUUUUUUUAAAAAAAUAUGUCAUCUUGAUUUUUUUCAAGUGAAACUAUAUUUUUACCAGUCGUCCAGACAAUCUUUGAGCCCAUCGAAUCGAUCGGGUUAUAUCAAUUUAACUCUUAUUUUUUUAUUUAUAUUUGAAAUUUAAAUUGCAUAAUUUUUUACUUAUUUUUUUAUAUAGGUGGUUAUGAGUUACAAAAAUUAAGCAAUUUCGAGUAUAUUGACAUGAGAAUUAAUGGUUUCGAUAACAAUAUUCUAUCAUUUGUAGAGGGAUUUUCAUCUUUUAAAUCACUAUAUUUAGAUUAUAAUAGACUGGAAGGGUUAAUAGAUUUAAAAUGUUAGUUUUUUUAUAUACUUAUUUUUUCUCUAUUAAAUUUAAUUUCAAAAGAACACAAUUUUCGAUAACAGUAUUCUAUCAUGCAAUUUUUGUUUUGUUUCAAAAGAACACAAUCGCCCAAGCGGAAAUCCCUUGCAUAGAAAAGAGAGAGUUGGAUCACUCGCCUUGUACGUAGUGUUAUCACACUCGAUCCUAGGCCACUCACAACAAUUACUACUGUCCACCCAAUCUCUCAAGAAAAAGCCAUCUGGGUCGAUCAAAGCUUUGAUCUCCAAGAGACCAAUCCUCUCUUCCUCCAAACACCCAUAACAACGACCAUGCCAUUCGCCAACCAAAGUCAAUAAUGCUAGCAACAUCCAACCCCCCAUUCUUUUCAUCAUCAUCUACGUAAAAUAUUGUUGUUUGUUAUGUGCUUUUGGGCAACCAUAGAGGUCCUAUUUAGACUACAAUUUUGGCCAUUUCCAUGAUUUUAUCUGCAUAUCUUAUGCAGGUUCUAUGUUUUGAGAUUUGAAUAUUAUUUUAUUUCUUUUUGGAAUAUUCUUGGAUUUGAAUAUUAUUAUUAUUUUAUUGUUUAGCACUUAGUCUAUUUGUAUUUAAUUAUAUUUUGGUUACUAAUUAUCCAAUUUAUAAAAAAAAAUAAAAAAUAAAAUAAUUGUUGCAGUACUUCAGCAUUGUUAUCGACAUUCGUGUGUGAUUCCGUAUAAGAUCUUUUUAAUUUAAUUGUACUUCUCUCGUCAUAAUUUAGAAUCAUUUAGAACCCUAUUUGUGUUAUGACUAUCAUAUAUAUAAUUAAAUACAUAAAUUAUCAAUAAUAGUAAACUCAGAAUAAUUAUAAAUCUUAUCCCAGUGGAUUGUGUGGCUACAGUAUUUUAUACUUCAAAAUAUAUAUAUAUAUAUAAAAGUUAGAGCUGCUUUUGUUUUUAUGUUCGGAAAGGUAUUCUUGACUUGUUUUUAUUACAUUUCAAUAUUAUUAUUUUUUUUCAAUCGAGUCAAAGAUAUACCAUUUAUAUUAGAAUGAGAAGACUAAUCAAUUUCUCUAGUUUUCUCCCUAUUUAUAAAAUACAUCUGGUUUUUGAAGUCCAGAUUUUAGGAUAAAAGGAAUUUAUUUCUUGAAAUUAAUGCAUUAAACAAUAUAAAGAUAUUUUUUAAAAAUUAAAAUAGUAGUAAAAGUAAAUUUAGUUUUUGAUUGAAGUGUAAACUAGUGGUAAAUGAACAAAAAAAAAAAACUUUCUUGAUUAUCUAAUGGAAACUCCGCCUAAUAUAUAUAUAAUAGCAAUCAUUUUCUUAUCUCUUGUAUCAUUCAUAUCUUCCACAAAUCUUAAGUAAUUGAUGAGAAAGUGGAUAUUGCCAAGAAAGGUCGUGAACGCGGAUGCUUGACUUGCUGCGUGGCAUUUUGAUUUUUAAACACAACACUACUUUCUUUGUGGAAAUAACGCUACUUUGCAUGAAGAUGAUGGAUAUAGAAGACUUGCUACUUGUUUUAUGGAAAUAACGUAUGGAAAAUUAUGCUUUAAUUUUAAUGAUGAUAGCAAAAUCAAACAGUAUUGUUGAUAAAAUGAGCCAUAAAUAAUAUUAUUUCUAUUGUCAUGACAAUAAGUUUUUUUUUUUUUUUUUCUAAAGAGUCUAUUUUUCCUCUAGGAGAGGCCGCGAGACGUCCUCUUCCAACCAUCAUGCAUUUUUUCUACGAGAUGGGUUCAUGGAAAUACUUUGGUUUAAUUGGGAAUGCUGUUAUUGAUUGAAAUAUUUUUAAUUAAAAUAAAUUUGAUUAUUUGAUUGGAAAAAAAAUAUUGUAACCAAGUAAUUUAUUUAUUUAUUUUAAUGAAAUAUAAAAUAGUUUUAAAUCUUGUGGUAUAUUUCUUGUCUUUAAGAGCUAUGAACUUAUAUCUCAAAACUUGAAAACUAAUAUAAAGAUAUUAAGUGAUCAUUGAGUGUGUGUGUGUGUAUAAUCCUUUUCAAAACAAAAAGGAUUUUGAUGGAGAUUAGGACAUUGCAACAAAUUAUCCACCACUAGAUGGGUCAAUGAUACCAUUGUCAUCAUGCAAUUUUUCCCACGAGAUGGGGCCGUACGCUUGGGGCUCUAAAAGCUAUGGUUUUAAUUUCAUUAUGUCACAUCUAGAAUGGCAGGUAUAUUUUAUUUCAAUUUAAACAAUGGAAUAAAUUAGAAGAUAUUUCAUCUCGCUUAAAAUCUUAUCUUCUUAUAUGAUUUCACCUAAAUUCUGGCUGGAAUGUUUAAGUUAUAUUCUAGCUAUUCUGUUAUGGCCAAAUGAUAUUUUGUUUUACUUUUAUAAAAAAUUAAAAUAUAGUUUAGUUUUUGUAUUUAUUUUCUGGUUAUAUUUAAUUUGUCAUCAAUAUUCAUAACGUAAAUUGCUAUGCAUUUCGAAUCUUGAAAGGAUUGAAAGAUGGAAAACAGAAAAGAAAGAGAGACCCCCAGUUCAAAAGAAAAAGAAAAAAAAACAAUAGUAAAAGAAAGAGAAGAGAACAAAAGUGAAGCAGUUUUUACUAACUAUAUAAAUUUUAUAAUUAUUAAUAUUAAAUUCAAAAUAUGUACAUAAUGCAAAUAUGUAAACAUAUCAUGUGGUUUAAAGAAAUGAUUUUUAUAAAGAUAUAUGUCUUAACAAUAUUAAUCAACUCUUAAUAUUUUUCAUUUUAUAAAUAUUAAAAGUAAAUAUUAAAACCUAUUAUAUUAAUUUGUGAAGGUAUUUACUCGGAUGCGAAUUAUAUUUCUAAUUUUUUAUUAAAAAAAAAUUCUACAUACUACAACUAGCCUAAGAAAGUCAUUUUCAUCUAAAAAAAAGUAGAAAAAAUUGAAUUGCAUAAAAGCAUCACUAUAAAUGUUAUACUCCGAAAAUAUCUUCUUUCCUUGAUAAAAUUCCCUAAACUACUGUAUGUCUCUAACAGUGAAAAUAUCACUAUAAUUUACAGUCACCUUAUUUAAUCGAAAGAAAACUUUAAAGAUGCACCUCCAUCUAGUGUAUUUAAAAAGAUUUAACAAAUUACUUUACACGUGCUAUGCUACAAGUUACAUAUUUUUUCAAUGUAAACAAAAAUUAUAUAGGUAUUUUUAACAUUUUUCUAUUAAAAAAAACUAAAACAUAUAAAAAUUAACCAAUUUAUAAUUAAUUAAUUAAUUGAGAAUUUGAGCUCCUUAGAAAAGUUGUUUAUGGACUUUUGUUUUCCGGAGAAAGCUCCUUUAAAACCCUUGAGCACCACCUUCUUUAAAACUUCUAUCUUUGCCAUAACUGAGGGGCUCUGUAUUUUUUUUAAGGUGAAUUAACAAGUUACAACUCAACUCUGUAUUUUUUUUUUUAGUUUAAUGUGGGUGUCUGGGUCAACUUACGCGUACCUCGACUAAUUCCACGGGCCCUGAAAUUAAUGACCAUAUAAACCUACAGUGGCCAUCAUAUGAACAAUCACAGGACUAGGGCUCGAACUUGAGACAAAAAAAAAAAGCAAAUUUUUUAAUCUUAAAUUCUUACCACUGGAUCACUAUCUAAAUUGUUACCUUGUAUCUAAUCUAGAUGUGUCUGUGACUGUGCUUGAUGUUCUCAUAACCAUUAAGAUGGUUCGAACCCAAAUAAAUAGAAACAAAUUUAUUUUCUGUUAUUCUCCGAAUUCCUAGAUAGAAUUUGCUUGGAAAUGAUGAGCUACCACUCCCUUUUGACUUUGCUGGCCUCCCAAAUAAAUAAAGAAUUCCGCUUGAUAGAAUUUUCUUGGAAAUGAUGAGAAUAUUUUAUAAUUUUCUGGUUGACGCCAGCUGUCAACAACUGUCUUACAUUCCCUUGGCAUCGUGUUCCAUGCCCUUGCAAAAUAUUAAAGGCUCCAAUGCCUCUCUCGCAAUAAGAUUAUUUUUUUUAUUUGUCCCCGAAUACAUGUGUCAUUUAUCGAAAUAAUUAAUUUAAUCACACACAUAAAAAAAAAAAAAAAUUUAAAUAGGCGGCUUUAGAAUCAGCAAGCAGUGAAUCACACGGGAAGAUUGAAAGAAUAAUUAAAGUGAUUUUACUAACAUUGUAAAAAAAAUUGAAUUGCAUAAGAGUAAUUAACCGACAGGUUGACCCAAAGUCAAAGUCUUCUGUGGAAAAACAUGAAUAGAAGAUUGAUGGGCGUUGCGUGAUAGCAAAAGAUUUGAGAUCUGCACAGCAGGUUUUGAAUUCGAGUCAGGGCGUGCAUCUCUUGUAAAAGCUUGGGAUAGCCGGGAUUUUACUGUCUCAUCUGGGCCCAUAAAGUGCGCUUUCCAAGGAAAUGAGGUUCCCUCGAAUCCAUAAAAAAAAAAAAAGUAAUACCAUUGCUAUCAAGCGUUUUUUCUACGAGAUGGUCCGUUCCCCCAUUUCCCCUCAAGCUUGAGAAGGGAUGAUAUAUAUAUGCUUUAAUUUCAACUUGUAUAAAAAAUAAAUCUUAAUGUAGUGUGUUAGAAUGCAACCACCGAUUCAUUAUUUUUAAUGGCUGGUCAUUUAAACUUGGGUGUUUUUUCGGUAUUAAUAUAUAUAUUCCUCAAUUAUCAUAAAAAAAUUAAGAAAAAACUAAUAAUAAGAUUAAAAAUAAAUGUUUUAUUUAUCGAAAUAAUUAUUAAAAGUAAGGUAUACUCAAGGUAUAUGUGGGACGAUAAAAAAAUAACAAAAAAAUCAAUUUACAAAAAAAAUCAUAGAUUUAGUUUUCCUAAAUUUUAAAUGUAGUGCAACAUUAGCCUUUCAAGAAAUAGAUAAUCUUCCUCUUUGAAGGAAUUAAUUAGUGGGUUGGAAAAAUGUCGUCUUUUGCUCUAAUAUUUUCUUCGCUUUCUCUAUAGUUUUACCAUACACUAAUAUUGUCAGAAAAUGAUACAUACUUCUUGUGUUAUCCUUCAAGAAUUCAAUUGAAAAGGAGGGUUGUAAAAAAUUUAAUUUUUAUAAACAUACCCUUAACUUAAUUUGGAUGUGGAUAAUUGUUUGCAAUAUAUUUACAUCCAAUAUAAACAAUUCAUCAAUGAUCAAGUAGGCAGUGGUUAGCUAAAAUAUUGAAAAUACUUACUCUCUUUGUUUUUUAGUCAUGCAGUUCCACUAUUGUAUGUUAUUUUUGUUUAGCUAAAAAUAUCAAAAAAUAUUAAUUUGGAGUAAAAAAAAAAAAAAAAUUUAAUUUUUUUAAAAAUAUUUUUGAAACAUAAAAACAAACAGUGCUAAAAGACAUAGAAACAGUUACCCAAAUCAAUUUAUUUUUUUAAAAAAUAAAAAUAGAAUACUAUACAAAUGGAGCUUCCAACAAAAAGAUAUGGGAAGUUCGAGGGAAAAAAUGAUUAGUUAAUUCAAAACACCAGGAGUAAGUAAUAAUUACAAAACACGAUACCGAAACCAAAUUGAAAAGUGAGCAAAAUACAAAACUGGUUACAUGUAUCGAAAGGAACUGGAACCAAUUUCUCCACCACUGGAUGUCCCUUUUGUUCAGUCUAUGUUUGGUGCAAUCACCUAAAGCUAGAAACAAAAACAGCGCCUUAGUCUAUGUUUGGUGCAUUUUUUCCACGAGAUGGGUUCGUGGAAAAACUUUGGUUUAAUUGGGAAUGCUGUUAUUGGUUAGAAACUUUUUAAUUAAAAUAAAUUUGAUUAUUUGAUUGGAAAAAUCCUUAAAUGUUAUUAACACAUGAAAUCAAUUUAUUCUCUUAAGAAAAAAAUAGUUUUACAUCUUGUGGUAUAUAUGUCAAGCAUUUUUUUUCCCUCAAGAUGGGUUCGACAGACAAUCACCAUCAUGCAUUUAUGAGUCCAUGAGACCAUUGUCAUCUGCACAUUGGUCCCCUAUAGCGUUGCUUUUCCUCAAGACCAUUUCCAUCAUGCAUUUAUGAGUUAGUGAGACCAUUUCCAACUGCACAUUGGUCCCUGAAACCGUUGCCAUCAUGCAUUUUUCCUCGAUGAGAGGUCGUGAGACGUCCACUUCCAACCAUCAUGCAUUUUUUUCACGAGAUGAGGCCGUACGUUUGGGGCUCUAAAAGCUAUAUAUAUUAGAAAUAUUAUUUGAAAAUAAAUUAUUUUUUAUUUUUAAAAAUAAAAUUCUUCUAUACAAAAGAUUUUUAUAAGUAUAAUUUAAUUUAUUCAGUUUUUUAAAUAAAGUUAAUCUAUCGCAAGAGUACACGAAAUAAGUAUUUUUCCGUCAUGCAUUUUUUUUCCUCAAGACCAUUUCCAUCAUGCAUUUAUGAGUCUGGGAGACCAUUUCCAUCAUGCAUUUAUGAGUUGCUGAGACCAUUUCCAUCUGCACAUUAGUCUCUGAGACCGUUGCCAUCAUGCAUUUUUCCUCGAGGAGAGGCCGUGAGACUUCCUCUUCCAACCAUCAUGCAUUUUUUCCACGAGAUGGGUUCGUGGAAAAACUUUGGUUUAAUUAGGAAUGCUGUUAUUGAUUGGAAACUUUUUAAUUAAAAUAAAUUUGAUUAUUUGAUUGGAAAAAUCCUUAAAUGUUAUUAACACAUGAAAUCAACUUAUUCUCUUAAGAAAAAAACAGUUUUAAAUCUUGUUGCCGUCAUGCAUUUUUUUUUCCUCAAGAUGGGUUCGACAGACAAUCACCAUCAUGCAUUUAUAAGUCCAUGAGACCAUUGUCAUCUGCACUUUGGUCCCCUAUAGCGUUGCUUUUCCUCAAGACCAUUUCCAUCAUGCAUUUAUGAGUCCAGGAGACCAUUUCCAACUGCACAUUGGUCCCUGAGACCGUUGCCAUCAUGCAUUUUUUCCACGAGAUGGGUUCGUGGAAAUAAUUUGGUUUAAUUGGGAAUGCUUUACUGUAUUUGUUUUCUGGUUAUAUUUAAUUUUUCAUCAAUAUUCCUAAGCACGUAUUUUGAAUCAUGAAAAGCACGUGGAAAAGAGAGGGAUGGUGAAAAUGACAUGUAAAGGGACUGUUUGGCAGUGCGCAUAGAAAAGGGAAAGUGUCAUUGCCAUUUUGAGUGGUGUGUUUGCAUUUGAUUUGUUAAUUUCGAGUUUUGUCAAAGAGUGAUUACUAGUCAUCAAGCAUUUUAUUAAUUUAAUUUAUCCUGUCAAGUGAAGGGCCAAACCUGUCAUUCAUUGCCAGUCACAGUCACAAGUCUUGGUCUUACCAUUUUACUAUCUAUUAAUUAAUUAAUUGUUUGAUUAAUCAACGAAACUGUGCGUUUCUCUUGUGAUUUCUCGAAGACGGCCAUGAAUAUAUAUAUAUAUAUAUACAACUUUUCAAAACAAAAAGGAUUUUGAUGGAGAGGACAUUGAAACAAAUUAUCCUCGUGAUACCAUUGUCAUCAUUCAAUUUUUUCCACGAGAUCAGGCCGUAUGCUUGGGGCUCUAAAAGAUAUUAUUUCUAAUUUUAUUAUAUCACAUCUAGAAUAACAAGUAUAUUUUAUUUCAAUUUAAAAAAUAGAAUAAAUUAAAAGAUAUUUCAUUUUUAAAAUUUUAUUUUGUUUUAUGAAUUUCACCUAAAUUCUGACUAGAAUAUUUUGAUUAUAUUCCAGCCAUUUUAUUAUGAUAAAAUAAUAUUUUGUUUUGCUUUUAUAAAAAAAAUAUAAUCUAAUUUUACAGUAUCAAUCAUAUCUUUCAAUUCGACUGCUGGAUUGGACUAAAAUUUUACGAGGAAUCUCCUAACAUAUAUUUAUAUCGCAAAUUAAAAUUUUAAGGCAAUCAGAGUUUAGAAAAAUUUUGCGAAAUUACCGAUGAUAUUUUCAUAAUUUUAUUUAAAUUCAUAAUUUUGUUAGGAAAUAUUAUUUUUUGUUUCUUUUUUAGAUUGAAUUAUUUCUAAAGUACUUCUUGUCAUUGUCAUGACAAUAAAUCUUCUUCUUUUUCUUUUUAAAAAGUCUAUUUUUUGUAACACAACCAACAUGUAAGAUGGAUGGGAAUUUGCAGUGUGAGAUGGGUUUGUGAGACUUUGGCCAUCUCCAAUUUUUUCCACGCCAUUGAGAUGGUCUAUAAGACCAUUGCCCCGUAAGCAUUUAUGAGUUCGUGAGACCAUUUCCAUUUGCACAUUGGUCCCUGAGACCGUUGCCAUCAUGCAUUUUUUACACGAGAUGGGUUCGUGGAAAUACUUUGGUUCAAUUGGGAAUGUUGUUAUUGAUUGGAAACUUUUUAAUUAAAAUAAAUUUGAUUAUUUGAUUGGAAGAAAUCCUUAAAUGUUAUUAACAAUAGAAAUCAAUUUAUUUUCUUAAGAAAAAAAUAUUGUAACCAUAUAAGUAAUUUAUUUAUUUAUUUUAAUGAAAAAUAAAAUAGUUUUAAAUCUUGUGGUAUAUUUCUUGUCUUUAAGAGCUAUGAACUUAUAUCUCAAAACUUGAAAACUAAUAUAAAGAUAUUAAGUGAUCAUUAAGCGUGUGUGUGUGUAUAAUGCUUUUCAAAACAAGAAGGAUUUUGAUGGAGAGGACAUUGCAACAAAUUAUCCACCACGAGAUGGGGCUGUACGCUUGGGGCUCUAAAAAACUAUGGUUUUUAAUUUUAUUAUGUCACAUCUAGAAUGGCAGGUAUAUUUUAUUUCAAUUUAAACAAUGAAAUAAAUUAGAAGAUAUUUCAUCUCGUUUAGAAUGUUAUCUCAUUUCAUGAAUUUCACCUAAAUUCUGGCCGGAAUAUUUUGGUUCUAUUCCAGCCAUUCUAUUAUGAUCAAAUAAUGUUUUGUUUUGCUUUUAUAAAAAAAAAAUAUAUAGUUUAGUUUUAUGGUAUUAAUUAUAUCUCUCAAUGCAAUUAUUGGAUUAGACUAAAAUUUUACAAGGAAUCUCUUAACAUAUAUUUAUAUCGCAAGUUAAAAUUUUAGAACAAUUAGAGUUUAAAAAGACUUUGUGAGAUUGCCGAUGACAUUUUUAUAAUUUUAUUUAAAUUCAUAAUUUUGUUUCAUAAGGUCAUUUUUUGUGUCUUUUUUUAGAUUGAUUUUUUUUUUUCAAUUUCAUAAUUCAACAAUAGAUUUAUUAAAAAUUAAGAUUCAUAAUUUGUUUUUAUUUGGGAUUAUUAUGGUCUCAUAAUCUGGGUUACGGAUUUAAAAGAUUAACCUAGAUUAACCUGGUUCGAUCUAAUAUGUUGUUGUUUCAAUAUUUUUAACAAAUAUAAUUUUAAUUGAUAUUUAAAAAUAAACUAACUUGAAAUUAUAUAAUUUAAAUUUCAAAUAUAAGUAAAAAUAAAGAGUUAAAUCAAUAUGACCCAAUUGAUUUGAUGAGUCCAAAAUAUAUAUAAAACAAUCCAAACGACACGUCAAAAUACUCAAAAAUCAAAAUAUAUUGUUACAAUUAAAAAAAUAAAACACCAAUUAAAAUGGAAUUGACGACCUUGCUUGAUAUAAGCCUAAACUCCUCGCUGCCAUUUGCAAGAGAUAGUUACUUAUACCAGUAGCAAUUUAAUAAUGAUUGGUCAAAUUUUAUAUUAAGAUGGGGCUAUUAAUUCAAAUGUUGAUGGCGUUAGUAGCAAUGAUUUUCUUGGAAGCAUGGUUGCCUCUUGGCUGCUUGAAAAUAUAUGGUUUUUUUAAUGUCGCAUGUGUGCUGCGUCAUGAAAAAAAAAUUCACUCUCAAAUCCUAAAUAUUGGUAUCCUGGAAAAAUUGGGAAAAAUAAGGAGACAAGAAAUUCUUGUCUUUUAUUAGUGGAAAAAUAAAAUGGGAGUCGCCACUUAGUAUUUUAAUCACUAGGAACCCUGAUUGGUCUCAGAGAUUGGGUACGGAGACUGGUUGCGUAAAGGGAAGGUAUUAGCACCCCAAAUACGCCCUACCUAAGGUAAGUUGCAUUGUUUUAUUGUUUGAUAAAAUCUAAGGUCUUGUCGUGUUUUCUAGUUAUUGGUCCGUCUAUGAUUUAAGAAAAGUCUUCAUCGAUAAAGAGAUCCUUAUCUUUUCGGGUAAAACCUAACCGUUCUAACGUAAACAAAAGAAUUUAAUAUCCGGAAUACAUCUUACGUAUAAGGUCGUAACCCCAGAUACUAAAAGAAAAUUUUUUUUUUGGAAUUUUUUAAAUAUUGGCCUAGUUCUUGUGACUUUAAUAAACUGGUUUUUAAAACCAAAAUGCAUGUUAAUACAUAUUUUUGUUGUAUGAAAAUAUGAUAUGAUUUUUUUCUUUGAGAUACUUGGCCGUAUGCAUGAAAAUAAUUUUUUUUUUAAUUUUUCAAUGUUUUGACGAAAACUAGGUAUUUUAAUACCAGAUUUGUAUCUUUACAGUAUAAAAAUACAAACCAAUACUAAGAAAAAUUUAGUAGAAAAAUAUAUGGGAAAAUUAUAGAUUUUUUGAAAUGAUUAUUUUUGAAGAAUUGUUUUUUACUGGGCCGGACCCGACCCAACCAUUUUGGGCGGGCCGGCACUGUCCGGGCUGGAAAACUAAAACAAACAAUGGAGAGACUCUCCACUGUUCACAUGCAACGUGAACAGUGGAGCGGCCUGGAGAAGACAAAGAAGAAGAGGAGGAAGAGGAAGAAGCAGACCUGCGGCCUAGCGGUGCUGCUAGUGGCGGUGGACGGUGUUGCGGUUGCGGAGUGUUAGAAAUAAUGUUCAGGACUGCUGAGCUGGAAUUUUAUUCUUUCUUAAUUUUUGAUUUAGUCAAUUCUGUUCCUAUUCUCUUGUUCUUGUUGCUACUUCGCAGCUCUGUUAUUUCCAUUAUCAAUUGAUCAUGGCUUGAAUGUAGUACCAUGAUCGUAGGAGUUUGUUAUGUAUCAGCUCUAUAAAUUGAGCUGCAGUUAUGAAUAAAGUAUUCAAGCUUUUCAUUCAUCAAUCUCUUCUUAAACACAAGCAUUAUCCUUUGUUAUUUUUGUUGUUCAGAAUCACUGCAACAACGACAAUUGGUAUCAGAGCAUCUUGAUUUAAAGGGAUCUGUGUUGUAACCCAUGGAGACAGAAGUAAGAUUCUCAUCAAUUGCUCCACCAGUGUUCAAUGGUGACAAUUACCAGUUUUGGGCAGUACGGAUGGAGACAUACUUAGAGGCUCUGGAUUUGUGGGAGGCAGUGAAAGAAGAUUAUGAAAUCCCUGCACUUCCAAAUAAUCCCACCAUGGCGCAGGUCAAAUCACAGAAGGAGAAGAAGACAAAAAAAUCAAAGGCAAAGGCGUGCUUGUUUGCUGCAGUAGCAUCCACCAUUUUCACUCGAAUCAUGUCUCUGAAAACAGCAAAGGAGAUAUGGGAGUUUAUCAAGACUGAGUAUGAAGGGGAUGAAAGAAUUCAAGGUAUGCAAGUGUUGAACUUGAUGCGUGAUUUCGAGUUGCAGAAGAUGAAGAAAACUGAAUCCAUCAAAGAGUACUCUGACAGGCUGCUUAAUAUUGCAAGCCGAAUCAGUUUACUUGGCUCGUCCCUGCCUGAGUCAAGAAUUGUUCAAAAAAUUCUUGUAACAAUUCCUGAAAUCUUUGAGGCUACAAUUACAUCCUUGGAAAAUACCAAGGAUAUGUCAAAAAUUACUUUGACAGAAAUGCUAAAUGCAUUACAAGCUCAGGAGCAAAGGAGGAUCAUGAGACAAGAAGAUGAGAUUGAAGGAGCUCUAUUCGUCAAGCAUAGAGAAAAAGGAAAGAAUUACAAGAAGAAUGGAAGCAGUCAAGCAUCAUCAGGUGAUUCCAGGAAUUUCAACAGGAGCAACACUGGAAACAAAAAAGGACCUUUUCCUCCAUGCCAGCAUUGUAAAAGGAGAUCACAUCCACAUUUUAAGUGUUGGAGAAGACCAGAAGCUAAGUGCAACAAAUGCAAUCAAAUGGGCCACGAGGCUGUCAUCUGCAAAAACAAAAUUCAACAGCAUGGUGAAGAAGCUCAAAUUGCUGAUCAAGAAGAAGAAGAUCAAUUGUUUGUGGCCACUUGCAUUUCCAGAAAUGACUCAAGUGAAAGCUGGCUCAUUGAUAGUGGUUGCACCAACCACAUGACACAUGACAGAAACAUAUUCAAGGAGCUGAAACAAACAACUUCAAAGGUUCGAAUUGGAAAUGGAGAAUACCUUGCUGUUGAAGGAAAGGGAACCGUGGCAAUCUUGACUUGCUCAGGUACUAAGUUCAUCUCUGAUGUAUUGUAUGUCCCUGGUAUAAAUCAAAAUUUAUUCAGUGUUGGUCAGCUUAUUGAGAAGGGUUAUAAAGUAGUGUUUGAAAACAAUUGCUGCUUGAUCAAAGAUGUGAAUGGUCAUGAUAUUUUCAAAAUAAUCAUGAAAGGGAAGAGUUUUGCUUUAAAUCCAUUAGAGGAGGAGCAUAUUGCUUUCCCAAUUAAAGAAAAUAUCACAGAUAUUUGGCACAAGAGGCUCGGGCACUAUCAUCAUAGAGGGCUGAUGCUUAUGAAAUCCAAGAUGAUGGCUAAGGAUUUCCCAGCACUUGAUGAUCACAUAUCCAGCUGCAGAACUUGUCACACUGGCAAGCUAAACAGGAAGCCCUUUCCAGAAGCCACAUGGAGAGCAACAAGGAAGCUGCAAUUGAUUCAUACUGACAUUGCAGGACCAUAAAGGACACCCUCUCUAAAUGGGAGUCUGUAUUAUGCUGUCUUCAUUGACGAUUACAGCCGAAUGUGCUGGAUUUUCUUCUUGAAGCACAAGUCAGAGGUAGCACAGGUGUUCUGGAAUUUCAAGGCCAAAGUUGAAAAUGAAAGUGGCUGCAAAAUUCAAGCCCUCAGAUCAGACAAUGGCAAGGAAUACACUUCCAAUGCCUUCAACAUUUUUUGUGAGGAGGCAGGCAUUCAUCAUCAGCUAACAACUCCGUAUACUCCUCAACAAAACGGAGUUAGUGAGAGGCGAAACAAGUUCAUAUUGGAAAUGACAAGAUGCUUGCUACAUGAGAAGAAUUUACCAAAGAAAUUCUGGGCAGAGGCUGCAAACACUGCUGUGUUCUUGCAAAACCGACUGCAUACAAGAGCCUUGAAGGAUCAAACACCCUUUGAGGCAUGGUAUGGUUACAAACCAUCUCUGAAUUUUCUUAAGGUAUUUGGAUGUUUGUGCUUCACCCUUGUUCCACAGGUCAAGAGGGAUAAACUUGACAAGAAAGCACUUCCAGGCAUUUUUGUUGGCUACAGCUUAGUUUCAAAGGCUUAUAAGAUUUUCCAACCACAAACUGGAAAAAUCAUUAUAAGCAGAGAUGUCCAAUUCCUGGAAGAUGAAGAAUGGGACUGGAACGAUGCAAUCAAAGAAGAUUCAACCUCUCCAAAAGGCAAUUAUCUUGUUUCAGACACAGAUGAUCAAAGCAUGGAAGAUUGGGACAUCAACAUGACAGAUGACACUCCUGUUACAGGCACACGGUCACUCCUUGAUGUGUAUCAAAGGCGCAACAUUGCUGUGUGUGAACCAGCAGACUUUGAAGAAGCCAAGCUAGAUCAAAAUUGGCUUGCUGCGAUGAAGGAGAAGCUUCUCAUGAUCAAGAGAAACAACACGUGGGAGUUGGUUGACAGACCUCAAAACAGAAAUGUAAUCGGUGUAAAAUGGGUGUAUCGAACAAAACUCAACGCUGAUGGCUCAAUCAAUAAGCUCAAAGCCAGGCUAGUGGUGAAGGGUUAUGCACAAAUCUUUGGCGUGGACUACUCAGACACGUUUGCACCGGUAGCAAGACUUGACACUAUCAGGCUGCUACUUGCCAUUGCAGCACAACUGAAUUGGAAGGUGUAUCAAAUGGACGUCAAGUCAGCAUUUUUAAAUGGUGUUUUGCAGGAGGAGAUCUAUACUGAGCAACCAGAAGGCUUUGCAAAUGAAGGAGAGGAGGACAAAGUCUGUCUUCUUAAGAAGGCACUAUAUGGAUUGAAGCAAGCUCCAAGAGCUUGGUACAGCCGAAUCGAUGAACAUUUGCAGCACUUGGGAUUCACUAAAAGCCUCUCUGAAUCGACUCUUUACAUCAAGCAAAAUGGUGAUAACAUCCUUAUCAUCUCACUUUACGUUGAUGAUUUGCUUGUAACAGGAAAUAACAACAAUAAUGUGGAGAUAUUCAAGCAAGAGAUGAUGAGUGUAUUUGAGAUGACAAAUUUGGGUUUGAUGUCCUUUUUUCUUGGAAUGGAAGUUAAGCAAGUUGAACAUGAAGUGUUCAUAUGUCAGAAGAAGUAUGCCAAAGAAAUCCUCAAAAAGUUCAAACUUGAAGAUUGCAAAGCAGUAAGCACUCCUAUGAAUCAAAAGGAGAAGCUAUGUAAAGAAGAUGGAGCCGAGAAGGUUGAUCAAGCACAAUUCAGAAAAAUUGUUGGAUGCUUGAUGUAUCUCACUGCAACUAGGCCUGAUAUUUUGAAUGCUGUGAGUAUCUUGUCUAGAUUCAUGCAUUGUGCUAGUGAAUUGCAUUUCAAGGCUGCUAAAAGAGUGAUAAGAUAUGUCAAAGGAACCUGCAAUUUUGGCAUAAGAUACACAAGAAGUAGAGAGUUCAAACUGGUCGGGUACUCUGACAGUGAUUGGGGAGGCUCAAUUGAUGACUUGAAGAGCACAUCAGGCUACUGUUUCUCUUUAGGUUCUGGUGUGUUUUCAUGGAAUUCAAAAAAGCAAGAAACCGUAGCCCAAUCCACUGCUGAAGCUGAGUUUGUGGCUGCAACAGCUGCUGUCAAUCAAGCUUUGUGGCUGAGGAAAAUUUUAUCUGAUCUUAACCUGGAGCAAAAGGAAAGCACAGAAAUUCUAGUUGACAAUCAAGCUGCCAUUUCCAUCUCUAAUAAUCCUGUGUUUCACGGGAAAACCAAGCACUUCAACAUCAAAUUAUUCUUUUUGAGAGAGGUGCAGAAAGAUGGGAGUAUCAUUCUUAUUUACUGCAAAACUGAAGAACAAGCAGCUGAUAUUUUCACCAAACCACUGCCAGUCAACAAAUUCGAAUUUCUGAGAACAAAGUUGGGAGUUUGCAGCUCCUAAACAAGGAGGAGUGUUAGAAAUAAUGUUCAGGACUGCUGAGCUGGAAUUUUAUUCUUUCUUAAUUUUUGAUUUAGUCAAUUUUGUUCCUAUUCUCUUGUUCUUGCUGCUACUUCGCAGCUCUGUUAUUUCCAUUAUCAAUUGAUCAUGGCUUGAAUGUAGGACCAUGAUCGUAGGAGUUUGUUAUGUAUCAGCUCUAUAAAUUGAGCUACAGUUAUGAAUAAAGUAUUCAAGCUUUUCAUUCAUCAAUCUCUUCUUAAACACAAGCAUUAUCCUUUGUUAUUUUUGUUGUUCAGAAUCACUGCAACAACGACACGGACCGUGGCGCUGACUGGCGGGUGGUUCUUCUUUCUUUCUCUGCGUUUCCCUUCUGCUUUUUUUCUAUUCUGCUCUGUUCUUCCUCUUGUUCCCUGUUUUAUUCUUUCUCUCCCUCUCUGGUCCUCUCAAACGUCCCUUGGAGCUGCUGCCUGAAGAUGAAGACGAAGUUGAGGGUGAUCAGUGCUCUGAUCGGGCGACGUUUCUUUCUUUCUUCUGCUACUGUUUUCGUUUCUGAUUCUCCUCGUUCAAUUCUUAUUUGCACUCUUCUUCUUCUUCGUCUCUGGUUUUUGAAAUGACGAAGACGAUGGCAACGCUGGUUCUAAUCUCAACGAUUUCCUCUUCUUACAUUCUUUCCUUUUGCUCGUUUCUGUCUCCCUCUCGUGCUGCUCCCCACUUUCUCUCUUGUCCUGCUCGCUCUCCCUCCCUGUCUCCUCUUCUUUUUUUUUUGUUGUCCGUCUCUCCUCUAGCUUUUUAUAGCCAGAGGAUGCAUGCUUUUCGGGAUUUAUUGCAGGAAGGUUGUAACGGCCGGCGUGCAUCAUGGUGGAGAGGGAUAUCAGCCGUGAGACGUGCUCCCCUGAUUGAAGCAGCUCCACCACUAACGUCUUCACUUCCUUUUACUGUAGAAACCGUUGUUGAUGAAGAAGGUAAUGAACAGUUGUCAAGGAAAUGGUACCGUUUUAAAAUUCAAAAUGAAUAUUUCCGAUUUGGUCAUUGGAUUUUUUGCAAUUUUGUAAUCAAGCCCCCGAAUAAAUUGUAAUUGGAUCUCUGGAUUUUAGCCCCAUUUACAAGACAAUCUUUGGUUCUGGAUUCAUGCGAUUUGACUCUCAAUUGAUCAAUAAACUUCUAAUUUCUUUAAUUUAGCCCCUGACUUGGUCAAUUGCAGCCCUUAUAUUUACACGCCUUUUCCGGUUUGAUCCUUGGUUUCGGAUUUUUUCAAUCAAGUCCCUAAUUGCCCAUAAAACUUUAAUAAUUAUGCAAUUAAGCCCCUGAUUUGACCAAAUCAACUCUUCAAAAUUAUAAUUGGACCUUAGAACUUUAAUUUCUUCGAAUAAAAGCCUAAAUAGACAUAAAACUCAAUUUUUCUUUCAAUCAAACCCUCCAUAAAUUCAAUUAAACCUUUAAUAAAAUUUAAUUGAGUCCAUAAACAUCUGAUUUUAGAUAUAUUUUUUUAAAAUUGAAUUUUCUUUGUCAACAGGGCUCUCAUUAGUCAACGAUAUACUGUCAAAUUUCAAUCUUUAUAUUUUUUAACCUCCUCAACCAAUUUUUGGCCAUUUUGAGCAGUCCGACAGCUUUCACUGUGACAUAUAUAUUUUUUUAUUUAUAUUAUUUAAUUAAUUUAUUAUUAUUUAUUUAUUUAAUUUUUUUCAACUCUUACUUUUUGUAUUUUCUUCUUUUUUGUGUGGGGUCCCAAAAAUGGAUAACAACACUUAAGUUCAAAUCUAUUAAUAAAAAUAUAGUUUUAUUGACUUUUUUAUAUACUUUUAUUAGAGAAAUCAAUGUAAACAAAUUUAUGGACAAACAUUAGUUUAUCAAGUACUUAAAUAGAAAAAUAAAAUCAAUUAGAGUACUUGAAUAAAAAAAAUAUAAAUUAUAAGCAUUUUAUAUAUCUUUAUUGUUCAUAAAUUAAAAAUAAAAUAAAAUCAAUCCAGACUAAUCUAAAAAGAGUUAACUAUGACAUCAUCAUUUUGAUAGUAAAACUAAUGAAGAUAUUUUAUUGAUUAAAUUCCGUGAAUAUAAGUAUUCAAAUUGAAAAAAAAAAACAUUGAUACAAGAUUUUAAAUAAAAAAAUUAUAAAAUACAUAUAAUUUGUACUUCUCAUUGUCUCUUUUGCAUUGCUAACACUUAACAAAUUGAAUAUAUAAUUCUCAUGUCAAUAACGUCAGAAUAAAUUUAGCUACAUGACAUAAUAAUACCUGUUUAUUUUUGUAUUUUAAAAAUAUUUUAAAAACAUUAAAUUGUUUUAAAUAGAUAACUUUUGAAUCAUCAAGUAGUGAAACACAGGAAAAGCGAAGAAAGUGAAGAAUAAUCAAAGUGGUGCGUGUCCACAUCAAUUUUUGUCCAUGUUUUUGGUAUUAAUCUCUUCAUCUAUUUACAGCUGGAGAAAAGAACAUCACCUACUACUUUUCUUGUCUCUUCUUACUUGGAAGAUCAGGUAUGUGAAUCUUUGAGUGCCACUUAUUUUAGUACAUAGACUUAGUUAUUUGACCACAACUUCACCACAAGUUAAAUUGUUUUAAUUAAAAAAAUUUAUAUAAAGAUUUCUUCAAUAAAUUUUUUAUUUAAAAAAUUUCUAAGUGAAAAUUAAAAAACUUAUACACAAAUAUAGUUAAAUAAAUCAAGAAUUAUGUGUGUUAAUAAGUGAAAAAAACCAUAAAUGAUGACUCAAAAUAAAAACUGAAAAAAUCAACUGAUAAAUGUAGAUCAAAAUAUUUAAUUUCACAAGACGUGAUAUUAAUGCAGUUGUGUUUUCUAAAAUUUUUAAUUAAAAUAAUUUUUUAAUUUGAUCAAACGAUAAUAAAAAUAGACACACAUAUUAUAAAUUGAUUGAAUAAAAUAAAAAAUAAUAAUAAUAUGCUAGGCUUUAUAUAUUGGAAAUAUUAUUUAAAAAUAAUUUUUUUUAUUUUAAAAAAUAAAAUUUAUCUAUUAAAAAAAUUUAUAUAUUAAAUUCAAAAUAAAUAAACUUUAAAAUAAUUUGCAAGGCUGCACAUAACCCCUUUAAAAGGAAAGUGAUAUAACAAACGUGGAACAAUUUUUAUUAACUAAAUAAACUUAAUAACUAUUAAUAUUAAAUUCGAAAUAUAUAUUAAAACCUAUUAUAUUAAUUUUUGAAUUUAUCAAUUCAGAUGUGAAUUAUAUUUCUAAAAUGUUAUAAGAAAUUUCUAUAUACGACAACUAGCUUAAGAAAGUGAUGUUCAUCAAAACCAUAGAGUACAGAAAAAGAAUUGAAUUGCAUAAAAUUAAGUAAUUAACGGAAACUUAUAUUCCUUCUUAAAACGUUGACCCCAAGUCAAGUUUAUUUAUUAUUAUUUUUUUUGAAAAAAACAUGAAUAAAAGUUAAUGCUAGGCACAUGGGAUAUAGAAGACUUGCAACUUUCUUUAUAGAAAUUACGUGUGUAAAAUUUAGGCCUUGAAAAAAAAUUAAAAAUAAAAUACUAUUAAUCGUGUUGAUAAAAAUUAAUAUAGAGACUUUAUUGAUAAAAAUUCAUAAGAGCAAGUAUUCAAAUUACAAAAAAUAAAAAUAUUUCUUCAAAUUUUCAAUAAAAUUUAUUUCUUGAAAUUAAUGCAUUAAACAAAAUUAAAAUAGUAGUAAAAGUAAAUUUAGUUUUUGAUUGAAGUGUAAACUAGUGGUAAAUGAACAAAAAGAAACUUUAUUGAUUUCUCCAAAAACAAUAUAUAUAUUAUUGAAUAUCUAAUGGAAAGGAUUAUGAAACUCCGCCUAAUAUAUAUAUAUAUAUAACAGAGAAAUUGUCGAUAAUAGCUAUGAUCUAAGUAACUGGACCACGACGAAGACAUAUACAAGAAACAAAAAAAAGAUACUUCACUAACAAUUGGGGUUCUUCAUAAGCUUCAAUAGAAUUGAUAGAGGGUCGAAACAAAAAAGAGAUGAAGAGAGAGGAGGGAAUGGAAAGAAGGGAAAAGAGAACUCUUGCGAUCUGUUGAAUAAGACUCAGUAUAUAUAUAUAUAUAUAAAAUAAAAAAAACUCAAGUUAGCGCAUCAAAUCUUCGACUUGGAUUAUGAGAUCGGGAUAAGAAAACUUAAUAUUUAAAAAUAAAAUUAAAGAAAAAAACUAUAAAAACAUAUAUGGUUUAACAAUAUUAAUCAAUUAUUAAAAUCUUUCAUUUUAUAUAUAUUAAAAAUAAAUAUUAAUAACUAUUAUAUCAAUUUGUGAAUGUUUCAAUUAGGAUGCGAAUAAAUGUUUUAUAUAUGACAUUUUUCUUAAGAAACCAAAGUUAUUAAGCAUGUUUAGAUUUAAUUACCAAAUGAGAGUGAGGGUUGAGGUUAUAGAUUGACCUAAUUAAUACUCAGAUCAAGAUUUAGGUCCUAGAUCGGACAAAUUAGCUUAUUGACUAGUGUUAAUAAAAAAUUGUAUCAUUUUAUGAUUUUUGUUAUAGAAAAAAUCAAAAUGGUGUUGUUAAAAAAAGUAAAACUAGGUUUUAACUGAGUUGACUAGGUUGUGGGUUGAUUUAUCUGGUCAACUAGGCUCAAUUGAGUCAACUCUCACUUGGUUUUUUCUAAACCUAAAUAGGGUUAGGUUCCAGAUUAAAAUGUAAGGCUUGAAUUAAAUUUAAUAACAUUGAUUAAAACCACAAUGUAGGAAAAAAAAUUGAAUUCAUAAAAGUAAUUAACCGAAAACUUGAAUUCCUUCUUAUAAAGUUGAACCCAUGUCGGUUUUUUUAAAGGAAAAGUAUGAAUCAAAGGUUAACGCUAGGCUGCUCACUUUGCAUCACAAUGACAGAUAUGGAAGGCUUGCUACUUUCUUUAUGGAAAUAACGUGUGGAAAAUCAUGCAUUAAUUUUGAUGUUGAUGGCAAAAUCAAACAAUAUCGUUGAUAAAAUGAAUGACAAAUGAUAUUAUUUUUAAAAUACUUCUUGUCAUUGUCAUGACAACAAGUCUUCUUUUUUUUCUUUCUAAAGUACUUGUCAGUCUAUUUUUAUGUAACCCAAUCAACAAGUAAGAUGGAUAGAAAUUUGCAGUGUAAAAUGGGUCUGUGAGACUAUGUAUCGCCAUCUGCAUUUUUCCACGAUCUAGGCCAGUGGGAUGGUACAUGAGACCAUUGCUAUCAAGCGUUUUUUCUACGAGAUGGGUCCAUGAGACCAUUGCCCUGUAAGCUUGGGAAUGGAUAAUUAAUAUGCUUUAAUGUCUAUUUAGUUUGCAAAAAAAAUAAUUAAAUGCUUAUGAAUAAAAAAUAAAUCUCAAGUGUUAAAAUGCAACCACCGAUUAAUUAAUGGACAAUGGACCUUAGAUUAAUACAUGACGCAACUUUCAAUGGAAUUAUAUUUGUGGAGGUAUUUACUCGGAUGCGAAUUAUAUUUCUAUUUUUUUAUUUAAAAAAAUUCUAUACUACAACGAGCUUAAGAAAGUCAUGUUCAGGGGCGGAGCUAUAAUUAUUUGUUAGGAAGAUCAAAAUUAAUAUAAUAAGAUAUAAAAUUUAUUUUAAUUUAUUAUACAUGAGUUCUAAAACAAAACCUGUAUAAUUUAGUUUUAUUCAAAUAACUUACUACAAACAUAUAAUAACCUUUGUGAAGUAUAUUGGGACUGCUCAACCAUAACUUUAACAUUACACAUUGGAGUUGGUUCACUAGGCUGUGAGUUAUCAAUAUUUUUUAUUUUUCUUUUUCAAAAAAAAAUCAAUUCUUCUUAUUUUGUUCAUGGUUCAACCUAAAAUCAAAACAUAUAUCGUAAGAAAAAAUUGAUAAUUUAGUGACUCUGCUAAAAAUAAAACAUAAAACAAAUCCAAGCAUAAUCAAAACAAAACCAAUAAAAUAUAUCUAAUUAAUUAGAAAAAAAAUCAUUAUAAUAAGAAUUCAAAAAAAAAUGGUAAAACUAGCAGAUCUGAGAAAAAAAAAGAGCAAAAAUGAUAGAAAUAUAAAAAAAAUCUCAUCAAAUUAUUAACAAACAUCUCAAAACAAAACAAAUAUAGAUUUUAAAUUUAAGUUACUUUGUUUUGUUUGAUGAAAGAUAAAUUAAUUGGUGGCUCUGCUUCAAUCUUUUUGUAGAAACAUUUUGCUCACAAUUUGUAUUUUUAUUUCUUUGUUUGAUCGGCUGCAGGAUUUAUAUUAGGGUAAAUUAAUGGUUUUGUUUUUUAUUUCACAAAGUAAUGCCUUAAUAUUGUUUUCUUCCAUCUAGGUCAAGAGUAAAUUAAAAGGAAAUCAAAAGUAAAGUCAAUAAUAACCCAAAGUAAUGCCUUAAUUAUUUGAUGUCACAAAGUAAUGCUUUAAUAACCCAAUAAUAAAAAAACAAAAUGUCUUGAGGGGGGCUCGGGCCCCUGCUUGCCCCCUACUUCCACCCUUGGUCAUGUUCAUCGAAAAAAAAAAUUAUAUUUACUCGGAUGUGUUUUUUCUACGAGAUGGGUCCAUGAGAACAUUUCCAUCUGCAUAUUGGUUCUUGAGACCGUUACCAUCAGGGGCGGAGACAGAGGGGCUGGCAGGGGCCCCGGCCCCGGCAAGGAAAAAGUUUUUCCAGCCCCUCCCUUAACAAUAUUUAUAUUUUUAGUUUAAAUAAUAAAACAAUUAAUAUUUUGAUCCCCUUUAAUUUUAUUUUCUGGUUCUGCCCCUGGUUGCCAUCAUGCAUUUUUCCUCGAGGAGAGGCCAUGAGACGUCCUCUUCCAACCAUCAUGCAUUUUUUCCACGAGAUGGGUUCGUGGAGAAACUUUGGUUUAAUUGGGAAUGCUGUUAUUGAUUGGAAACUUUUUAAUUAAAAUAAAUUUGAUUAUUUGAUUGGAAAAAAUCCUUAAAUGUUAUUAACACAAGAAAUGAAUUUAUUUUCUUAAGAAAAAAAUAUUGUAACCAUAUAAGUAAUUUAUUUAUUUAUUUUAAUGAAAUAUAAAAUAGUUUUAAAUCUUGUGGUAUAUUUCUUGUCUUUAAGAGCUAUGAACUUAUAUCGCAAACCUUGAAAACUAAUAUAAAGAUAUUAAGUGAUCAUUAAGUGUGUGUGUAUGUAUAUAAUCUUUUUCAAAACAAAAAGGAUUUUGAUGGAGAUCAGGACAUUGCAACAAAUUAUCCACCACGAGAUGGGUCACUGAUACCAUUGUCAUCAUGCAAUUUUUUCCCACGAGAUGGGGCCGUACGCUUGGGGCUCUAAAACGCUAUGGUUUUUAAUUUCAUUAUGUCACAUCUAGAAUGGCAGGUAUAUUUUAUUUCAAUUUAAACAAUGGAAUAAAUUAGAAGAUAUUUCAUCUCGUUUGGAAUCUUAUCUCAUUUCAUGAAUUUCACCUAAAUUCUGGCCGGAAUAUUUUGGUUCUAUUCCAGCCAUUCUAUUAUGAUCAAAUAAUGUUUUGUUUUGCUUUUAUAAAAAAAAAAAUAUAGUCUAGUUUUACGGUAUCAAUUAUAUCUCUCAAUUCAACUGUUGAAUUAUACUAAAAUUUUACAAGGAAUCUCCUAACAUAUAUUUAUAUCGCAAGUUAAAAUUUUAGAACAAUUAGAGUUUAGAAAGACUUUGUGAGAUUGCCGAUGACAUUUUCAUAAUUUUAUUUAAAUUCAUAAUUUGGUUUCGUAAGGUCAUUUUUUGUGUCUUCUUUUAGAUUGUUUUGUUUUUCCAAUUUCAUAAUUCAACAAUAAGUUUAUUAAAAAUUGAGAUUCAUAAUUUGUUUUUAUUUUGGAUUAUUAUGGUCUCAUAAUCUGGGUCACGGAUUUAAAAGAUUAACUUAGAUUAACCCGAGUCUAUCCAAUAUGUCGUUGUCUCAAUAUUUUUAACAAACAUAAUUUUAAUUGACAUUUAAAAAUAAACUAACUUAAAAUUAUACAAUUUAAAUUUCAAAUAUAAGUAAAAAUAAAGAGUUAAAUCGAUAUGACCCAUUUGAUUUGAUGAGUCCAAAGUAUAUAUAGAACAAUCCAAAAUGACACAUCAAAAUACUCAAAAACAAAAAUAUAUUGUUACAAUUAAAAAAAUAAAACACCAAUUAAAAUGGAAUUAACAUCCUUGCUUCAUAGAAGCCUAAACUCCUCGCUACCAUUUGCAAGAGAUAGUUAUACCAAUAGCAAUUUAGUAAUGUUGGUCAGAAUUUAAUAUCCUUCUCGAUAAGAAGAUCCUUAUCUUAUCGGAUAAAACCUAAUUGUUCUAACGUCAACAAAAGAAUUUAAUAUUCGGAAUACAUCUUACGUAUAAGGUCGUAACCCAAAUACUAAAAGAAAAAAAAUAAUAUUUUUGGAAUUUUUGAAAUAUUGGUCUAGUUCUCGUGACUUUAAUAAACUGGUUAUUAAAACCAAAAUGCAUGUUAAUACAUAUUUUUGAAUUUUUGUUGUAUGAAAAUAUGAUAUGAUUUUUUUUCUUUGAGAUACUUGGCCAUAUGCAUGAAAAUAAAAACAUGUUUUUUUUUUAAUUUUUCAAUGUUUCGACGAAAACUGGGUAUUUUAAUUCCAGAUUUGUAUCUUUACAGUAUAAAAAUACAAAUCAAUACUAAGAAAAAAUCAAUAGAAAAAUACGCGGUAAAAUCACAGAUUUUUUAAAAUGAUUUUUUUUUGACCGGGUAGGCGUUGUUCGGGUCAGAAAACUAAAACAAACAGUGGAGAGACUCUCUGCUGUUCACAUGCAACGUGAACAGUGGAGCGGCCUGGAGAAGACUAAGAAGAGGAGGAGGAAGAGGAAGAAGCAGACCUGCAGCCUAGCGGUGCUGCCAGUGGCGGUGGACGGUGUUGCGGUUGCGGACCGUGGUGCUGACUGGUUGGUGGUUCUUCUUUCUUUCUCUGCGUUUCCCUUCUGCUUUUUUUCUGUUCUACUCUAUUCUUCCUCUUGUUCCCUGUUUUAUUCUCUCUCCCUCUCUGGUCCUCUCAAACGUCCCCUGGAGCUGCUGCCUGAAGAUGAAGAUGAAGUUGAGGGUGAUCAGUGCUCUGAUCGAGCAACGUUUCUUUCUUUCCUUCUGCUACUGUUUUCGUUUCUGAUUCUCCUUUUUGUUCAAUUCUUAUUUGCACUCUUCUUCUUCUUCGUCGUCUCUGGUUUUUGAAAUGACGAAGACGAUGGCAACGCUGGUUCUGGUCUCAACGAUUUCCUCUCCUUACAUUCUUUCCUUCUGCUCAUUUCCGUCUCCCUCUCGUGCUACUCCCCACUUUCUCUCUUGUCCUGCUGGCUCUCCCUCCUUGUCUCCUCCUUUUUUUUUUUCCUGUCCGUCUCUCCUCUGGCUUUAUAUAGCGAGAGGAUGCAUGCUUUUCGGGAUUUAUUGCAGGAAGGUUGUAACAGCCGGAGUGUAUCAUGGUGGAGAAGGAUAUCAGCCGUGAGACAUGCUCCCCUGAUUGAAGCAGCUCCACCGCUAACAUCUUCACUACCUUUUACUGUAGAAACCGUUGUUGAUGAAGAAGGUAAUGAACAGUUGUCAAGGAAAUGGUACCGUUUUAAAAUUCAAAAUGAAUAUUUCCGAUUUGGUCAUUGGAUUUUUUGCAAUUUUGUAAUCAAGCCCCCGAAUAAAUUGUAAAUGGAUCUCUGGAUUUUAGCCCCAUUUACAAGACAAUUUUUUGUUCUGGAUUCAUGCAAUUUGACCCUCAAUUGAUCAAUAAACUUCUAAUUUCUUCAAUUUAACCCCUGAGUUGGUCAAUUGCAGCCUCUCUAUUUACGUGUCUUUUCCGAUUUGGUCCUUGGUUUCGUAUUUUUUCAAUCAAGUCCCUAAUUGCCCAUAAAACUUUAAUAAUUAUGCAAUUAAGCUCCUGAUUUGACCAAAUCAACUCUUCAAAAUUAUAAUUGUACCCUAGAACUUUAAUUUCUUCCAAUAAAAGCCUAAAUCGACAUAAAACUUAAUUUUUCUUUCAAUCAAACCCUCCAUAAAUUCAAUUAAACCCUCAAUAAAAUUUAAUUUAGUCCAUAAACAUCUGAUUUUGGAUAUAUUUUUUUUAAAAAUGAAUUUUCUUUGUCAACAGGGCUCUCAUUAGUCAACGAUAUACUAUCAAAUUUCAAUCUUUGUAUUUUUUAACCUCCUCAACCAAUUUUUAGCUAUUUUGGGCGGUCCAACAGCUUUCUCACUACGACAUAUAUUUUUAUUUAUUUAUUUAUUAUUAUUAUUUAUUUACUUUUUUUCGACUCUUACUUUUUGUAUUUUCUUCUUUUUUGUGUGAGGUCCUAAAAAUGGGUAACAAUACUUAAGUUCAAAUCUAUUAAUAAAAUAUAGUUUUAUUGAAUUUUUUUAUAUACUUUUAUUAGAGAAAUCAAUGUAAACAAAUUUACGGAAAAACAUUAGUUUAUCAAGUACUUAAAUAGAAAAAUAAAAUCAAUUAGAGUACUUGAAUAAAAAAAAUAUAAAUUAUAAGCAUUUUAUAUAUCUUUAUCGUUCAUACAUUAAGAUAUUUUAUUGAUUAAAUUUUGUGAAUAUAAGUAUUCAAAUUGAAAAAAAAAACAUUGAUGCAAGCUUUUAAAUAAAAAAAAUUAUAAAAUACAUAUAAUUUGCACUUCUCAUUGUCUCUUUCGCAUUGCUAACACUUAACAAAUUGAAUAUAUAAUUCUCGUGUGAAUAACGUCAGAAUAAAUUUAGUUAUAUGACAUUAUAAUACCUUUUUAUUUUUAUAUUUUAAAAAUAUUUUAAAAAAAUUAAAUUGUUUUAAAUAGAUAACUUUUGAAUCAUCAAGUAGUGAAACACAAGAAAAGCGAAGAAAGUGAAGAAUAAUCAAAGUGGUGCGGGUCCACAUCAAUUUUUGUCCAUGUUUUUGGUAUUAAUCUCUUCAUCUAUUUACAGCCGGAGAAAAGAACAUCACCUACUACUUUUCUUGUCUCUUCUUGCUUGGAAGAUAAGGCAUGUGAACCUUUGAGUGCCACUCAUUUUAGUACAUAGACUUGGUUAUUUGACCACAGCUUCACCACAAGUUAAAUUGUUUUAAUUAAAAAAAAUUAUAUAUAGAUUUCUUCAAUAAAUUUUUUAUUUAAAAUUUUUUUAAGUGAAAAUUGAAAAACUUAUACACAAAUAUUGUUAAAUAAAUCAAGAAUUUUGUGUAUUAAUAAGUGAAAAAAACCAUAAAUGAUGACUUAAAAUAAAAACUGGAAAAAUCAAUAAACAAAUGUAGAUCAAAAUAUUUAAUUUCACAAAACGUGAUAUUACAGUUGUGUUUUCUAAAUUUUCUAAUUAAAAUAAUUUUUUAAUUCGAUCAAACGAUAAUAAAAAUAGACACACAUAUUAUAAAUUGAUUGAAUAAAAUAAAAAAUAAUAAUAAUAUGUCAGGCUUCAUAUAUUGGAAAUAUUUUUUGAAAAUAUUUUUUUUAUUUUUAAAAAUAUAGUUUAUCUAUUAAAAAAAUUAUAUAUUAAAUUCAAAAUAAAUAAACUUUAAAAUAAUUUGCAAGGCUGCACAUAAGCCCUUUAAAAGGAAAGUGAUAUAACAAAAGUGGAACAAUUUUUAUUAACUAAAUAAACUCUAUAACUAUUAAUAUUAAAUUCAAAAUAUAUAUUAAAAAUAAAUAUUAAAACCUAUUAUAUUAAUUUGUGAAUUUAUCAAUUGAGAUGUGAAUUAUAUUUCUAAAAUGUUAUAAGAAAUUUCUAUAUACUACAACUAGCUUAAGAAAAUCAAGUUCAUCGAAACCGUAGAGUACAGAAAAAAAAUGAAUUGCAUGAUUAACCAAAACUUAUAUUUCUUCUUAAAACGUUGACCCCAAGUCAAGUUUUUUUUUUUUUUUGAAAAAAACAUGAAUACAAGGUUAAUGCUAGGCACAUGACGAUGAUGGAUAUACAAGACCUGCUCCUUUCUUUAUGGAAAUUACGUGUGGAAAAUUUAGGCCUUGAAAAAAAUUAAAAAAAAAAUACUAUUAAUCAUGUUAUUUGCAUUAUGGCAAAUAUAGAGACUUGAUUGAUAAAAAUUUAUAAGAGCAAGUAUUCAAAUUUUAAAAUAAAUAAAUAAAUCAAUUCAAGUUUUUAAUUAGAAAAAACAAGAUACAAAUACUCUGUGUAAGUGCCACUAACUCUUUGUAUUUUCUAACUAUUAAAGAAUUGAAUAUAUAAUACACGGGUGAUAAACAUCAAAAUAAAUCCAAUUGUAUAAUUUACUAAGAUUUUAAAAACUAACACUACAUAGAAAAAAAAAUCUUAAAAUAAAUAACAGAAAACUUGUAUUCCUUCGAGGGGUGUUUGAGAGUGUGGUAGCGGUUGCUUUUCAAAGUUUUUUCCCUUAAAAAUGCAUCAAAAUAAAUUUUUUUGAUUUUUUAAAAAUUAUUUUUAACAUCAUUAUAUCAAAAUGAUCUAAAAAUAUUAAAAAUAUAUUAAUUUAAAGCAAAAAAUAUAAAAAAAAUUAAAAAAUUUUAAUAAUACUUUUAAAAUACUAAAACAAACAAGAUAUUAAAAAAUAUACUACAAGUCAAAGUCUUUUUGAAAAAAAACAUUAAUAAAAGGUUAAUGGCAGGUAGCUUAUUUUCUGCCCUAAUAAAGCUCAAGGUCUGUUCAGAAAACUAAGUACGUAGGCAUACACCCAAUCCAAGCACCAUCAAAUCAUUUUUUAUACAUAGGGAUAGGAACGCUAGCUUCACAUGAUAGAUAAAAAAAAUUAAAAGAUAAUAAAAUUAAAAAAAUAAUUAUAAUCUUAUAUAUUAUUUUAAAUAAAAUAAAUAUUGAUUAAAAAAACCAAAUAUAAUAAAUUAAAAUAUUUAAUUUAAAAAAGAUAAGAGAAAAGUAAAUGAGAAUUAAAGUUGAUAUAAAAAUUAAAUUAUAAAAUAUAAAAUUCAAAAAAAAAAUAAAACCAAUUUUUUUUUUCUAAAAGAUAAUAUUCAGAUUAAAAGCAUUAUAAAAAGAAUAGCUCCUUGUUUCUUCCUUGUUUCAAUUUCAAGAUAUUAAGAUUAAAACCCAAUCGUAUAGCUGGUUGGGUUGAGAAGAAAGGUUUGCUUUUGUAUUACAAAUUAUUUAGAUUAGUUUUUUUUUAAAAUUAAUCAAAUUAGUAUCAUUUUGGUUCUCCAUCGAAGAAAAUAGAAAACAUAUUUAGUAAUAAGGUGUUGUUUAAUUCCUUAUAUUAUUAAUAUAAUCAUGGCAUCAUCACUGUAACAAUAAGUCCUCUUACUUGUAUUUUCACCGUCCCAACCUCUUUACAUGGCGUCACCGUAGCAAUUAUAUAUCUCUUGAUCAAUCAUAAUUAAAUUACUGUAAUAAUAUCUUUUUUUAUUCUUUUAUAUGAAGUCUUAAUUUAUUUUUUUAUAUAGGUAGUUAUGAAUUACAGAAAUUGAACAAUUUAGAGAUCUUUGACUUAGAAUCUAAUUGUUUCGAUAACAGUAUUAUAUUAUAGAGGGAUUUUUAUCCCUUAAAUUAUUAUAUUUAGAUUAAAAAAUAAAAACUAAUUAGGAGUCAAUUAAAUAAAUAAAUAAAAACCCUCAAAAGAUAAAAGAAGAAAACAUAAAAAGUACACUACCCAACCAAUAAUUGACCUGAAUCACAUGUUGUCCACUGCCAGAACUUAUUAGCAAUCUGCUUACAACAGCAAAUUGAUCAAUAAGAAAGACUUAAAUUCCAAAUUUAAAAACCAACUCAAUUGAGAUCCUUAUUAUUCAUUCAAUUAGUUGCUUCUUGCUAACUCUUUUAUUUCCUUUAUAAUUUUAAUUCAUUUUAAUAUAAUUUCUUGAUUGUGGCAAGCUUCCUUUAUCUCAAGAACUUGGAAUACUUGGAUUUCCCAAGAAAAAAUUAACUUAAGACUUUAGUUAAUGCUAUGAACACGAGUAAAUGAUAUGCUAAAGAAAAAACCAUGUAUUUAAGAACCAUUGCUAAGCUACAGGUUCAGGAGCCAUAAACCACUCACAUUUAGUGGGGUUGAUCUCAAAUUCAGACAAAUCUACUUGUCCAGUUCGGAGAACCUUCAAACAAAAAGAAGAAUGAAACCUUGUAAAAUUGGCUAUCAUCAAAAGGACAAGAAACAGUACAAGAAGGAUCAGCCUCGCAUUUCUUGCAUAAGUAAAAGAAUCCACUUGUUAAUGGAAAGGAGGACUCUGCAACAAGUCUAAAAUAUCCUCUGGAGUUCAGUGACCCUACAACCUUAUAUUUACCUCAGAAUGCACCCACGUAAAGCACACAGGAAAUCCCAACACAUAAGACAACAAAAGAAAACAUAUAAUUAGCAGAAAAAAAAAGGUUGUACAAUUCUUUCAUAGCUUACAGUACGUAUAGAAUAAGCAUUAUCAAAUCAGGCUAACAUACCUCAGGUAAGUGAGAUGUUAAUCCUUCUUCAAGCGGCAAUGUCUCAAUCAAUGACAUUAUCAAAUCAGGCUUCAGUAUAUCCCCUAAUCCCAAGCCUAGGACAACAAAAGAAAACAUCAUGAAAAAAAAUGAUUUUACAGUAAUGCACCCAGUGCCAGAGCAUAUAAUUAGCAGAAAUAAAGGUUGUACAAUUCUUUCACAGCUUACAAUACGUAUAGAAUAGGCAUUAAUAAUUACCUUCAUCUGGAUCGGCCAAACUACCUGCAACAUCUAUCAUCACAUCACGGCGCGGGCCACCCUAAGUACAGCAAACAAGGAUAUGGUCAAUUGCACUAUCUGAGCAUAACACAGAUAUUACUCAGGAUUCUUUGCAAGUCUUCCAAUUUCACUGGUUCUGAUGAAGAGUUUACAUCAUUCAUUACUUCUGCACCAAGGUCUGGGACAACUAAGUUUCCAGUCCUGAGAGCUAUGAGCAAAAAUCUCAUCAGAAUAAAAGAAAAUGGCAACGUAAUACUGGGCCAUUUCUUUUUUGUAAUAAAAGUGCUCCUUAACCUUUUUGAAGUUAUUUUACAAUGAAUUACAAGCAUUAAACUUGUAUAUACAUGGACAAACACCAAGUUAUGAUUCUAAAUUUCCAUAUAAAAGAUGCCCCAAGUUUUAAAAUUUACCCCGAGGGCAAGUCUGUGCAAGAGCAUAAGGGGAUGAAGGAUUUGACAUGGACUAAGGUGGGUGAGAUGUUUUUGUCAAGAAAUGAUUUUGGAAAAUUUCUUGAUAUUUCUUGAAUAAAUAAGAUAGGAGUCUUCAUCAAGGCAAGAACAUAGGCUCUCCAAGAUAAUUGACCAGAAGGAGAGAAGGGAGGCUCAUCCUGCUCCACAGACUCUUAGUCUCAAAGAACAAAAAAUUACUUGGCUCUAUAUCCUUACUCUUACUUGCUAUAUCAACUCUUAGAGUUGAAGUAUCUGAAAGGGUUUAUUUUUAGUAUUUGAAUAAGUCCAUGAGUCCCUAGUCUUCAGGAAGAUAUACAUGGUCAAGAUUAAAUUAAGGAUUUUAGUUGCUUAUUUUUCGUUAUUUCAUGUGCCACGUUACUGUGAACGUGAGCUAUUUUUCAGUCUUAUUAUUAUUCCUGUAAGGCUAUUUAUUAGCCAUUUCCAUUCAGUAAAAGCAAUUCAUUCAAUUCAAAUACUGUGCACUUUUGUUCUUAUUCUUUACAAUUGGUAUCAGAGCUAUUACAUCUGACCUGUUACGAAGAAAUAGAUACAAAAGGAAGACAUAUUUUUGAGUGACUUCAAACUUAGAGUGAGUGAGUGCUUGAGUGCUUUUAAACACAGAGUGAGUGAGUUUGAGUGUUUUUUAAACACAGAGUGAGAAAGAGAGUUCUUGAGGGUCAAUUUCAACAAUGGCAGCAGAGUCCAGCAAUUUUGUAUCACCUUGCAUCCCGAAAUUUGAUGGAGACUACGAGCAUUGGAACAUGCUAAUGGAGAAUCUCUUGCAUUCCAAAGAGUAUUGGAACGUUAUUGAGACAGGAUAUGUCGAGCCUGCAUCAGGGGAAAUUCUGAAUAAUGCACAGAAAAAGACAUUGGAGGAGACAAAGCUGAAAGAUUUAAAGGUUAAAAAUUACCUUUUUCAGUCCAUCGACAAAUCCAUUCUGAAGACUAUUACUCAAAAAGACACAGCAAAACAGUUGUGGGAUUCCAUGAAGAUCAAAUACCAAGGAAAUACAAGGGUUCGGCGUGCUCAACUUCAAAUCUUUCGCAGGAAUUUUGAAGUGCUGGAAAUGAAACAAGGAGAAACUGUCACAAGUUAUUUUGGAAGAGUUAUGCUGGUGGCAAAUGACAUGCGAAAUCUGGGAGAAAGCAUACCUGAUGAGAAGAUUGUAGAGAAGAUUUUACGCACACUUACUGAGAAGUACAAUUACAUAGUGUGCUCCAUUGAGGAGUCUAAAGAUAUUAAUCAUCUUUCAGUUGAUGAGCUGUAGAGUUCAUUACUUGUUCAUGAACAGAAAUUCAAAAGGCAUGACACAGAUGAUCAUGCCCUGAGAAUCUAUGAUGACAGAUUCUGUGGCAGAGGUCGUGGCAGAAACAAUUACAGAAGCCGAGGCCGUGGGGGCAGAACACAAACAUUCAAUAGAGACAUGGUGGAAUGUUUCAGGUGUCACAAACUUGGACACUUCCAAUACGAGUGUCCAACCAUGAACAAGGCAGCUAAUUAUGUGGAGCUAGAUGAUGAAGAUGAGAUGCUGCUAAUGUCCUAUGUUACAUUAGCUAAGACAACACGGAAUGAUGCAUGGUUCCUGGAUUCAGGAUGUUCUAAUCAUAUGUGUGGUUAUAGAGGUAUGUUCUCCUACUUGGAUGAAAAUUUUCAGCAUUCAGUCAAACUUGGAAACAAUAGCAGAAUGGCAGUAGUUAGCAAAGGCAGAGUAAAAUUACUAAUCAAUGGUAUUAAGCAUGUUGUUAAUGAUGUCUAUUAUGUACCAGAGCUUAAAAAUAAUUUACUGAGCAUAGGUCAACUACAAGAAAGGGGCUUAGCAAUUUUAAUUAAGAAUGGAGUUUGUAAGAUUUACCAUCCUGAGAAGGGUUUGAUCAUUCAAACCAAGAUGAGUGCAAAUUGGAUGUUCAUCCUACUUGCACAGACUCAAGCUCCCGUACAUGCACAGACUCAGAAUCAAGAGAAUUGUCUUCUCACCGGUUCUCAAAAUCCCUCAGUGCUAUGGCACAGACGGUUCGGUCACUUAAGCUACAAAGGCUUAAGAACCUUACAAUGGAGACAUAUGGUACAUGGACUGCCCACCUUCUCGACUCCCACCAUCACCUGCACAGAUUGCCUCAAUGGCAAGCAACACAGAGAGGUCAUGCCCAAACACAGCAAAUGGAGAGCAAAUCAGAAAUUGGAAUUAAUUCAUGCAGACAUUUGCGGUCCUAUUUCCCCCGAAUCCAAUAGUGGCAAAAGGUACAUAUUAUGUUUCAUUGAUGAUUUCAGCCGAAACUAUGGGCAUUUCUUUUAGCUACAAAAUCCGAAGCUUUCAUUUAUUUUAAGAAAUUCAAAGCUAUGGUGGAAAAAGAAACCCUAUUGCAUGUGAAGUGUCUAAGGACUGACAGGGGAGGAGAAUUUACCUCAAGUGAAUUCAACGAAUUCUGCAGCCAACAAGGUAUCAAACGGCAGCUCACCACGGCGUACACUCCACAGCAAAAUGGAGUUGCAGAGAGAAAAAAUCGAACCGUGAUGAACAUGGUCCGAUCAAUCCUCUCUGGUAAAGGGAUUCCAAAACCCUUCUGGCCAAAGGUAGUGAACUGGGCCUUCUAUGUGCUCAAUCGGUGCCCAACUUAUGCUUUGACAGACAUCACUCCUCAUGAGGCAUGGAGCGGAACUAAACCAUCAGUAGACCAUUUCAGGGUCUUUGGGUGCUUGGCCCAUGUUCACGUUCCAGAUGUGAAACGGAGUAAGCUUGAUAACAAAAGCUUUGUGUGUGUACUGUUGGGUAUGAGUGAGGAGUCAAAGGGGUACAAGUUGUUUGAUCCUUUAAACAAAAAAAUCGUGGUUAGCAAAGAUGUGAUCUUUGAGGAGGACAAACAGUGGGAUUGGGAUGUUGCUUAUGAAGAACAAAUCUUGACAGAUUUGGUUUGGGGUGACAGAGAAGGAACACGUGAAGAUGGUGAUAAUAGUGAUGACAAUCACGGGGAUGAGAGUGGUGAACGUGAGGCUGAAAUCAAUGGGGAAGAAGGGGAAGAAAACGAAGAACACAGACACAUUGUCUGUGAAGAUGAUGAAAAUGCUGAGAGAGAAGAAGAAGAAGCUGAGUUAAAUGAUCUUACGGUGUGUAUGCUGCCAGUUGGAAGAAUAGGUGAGCAGGUCAAUCCUACGGCAUGAACGCGGCCAAGUGAACAAAGGGAGAUGACAGAUGGCAAAAUAGAUGUUAAUCCAACGGUGAGAAUUCAGUCUGACAGGGAGAGUGAUUAGAUGACAUGUGGCGUACAUCCAACGGCACAAAACAUGGCAGACGGAGAGAAUGAGCUGCUGACAAGUGGAGACAAUCCAACGACUGACAUGCAAUCUGACGGGGAGAGUGGCCUGCUGACAAGUGGAAGAAGAGAAAGGGGUCCUCCGGUGUGGAUGCAAGAUUAUGUUACAGGGGAGGAUUUAUCUGAAUAUGAGUCCAAUAUGGCACUAAUUAUGUCUUCUGAUCCCAUUUAUUUUGAAGAUGCUGUGAAAGUUAACACUGGAGACUUGCUAUGGACAGUGAAAUUAAUGCAAUAGAGAAGAACAAUACCUGGACGCUCAACGAGUUGCCGGAGGGAGCAAAAAAAAUUGGAGUCAAAUGGGUCUACAAAACAAAGUACAACGAACAUGGGGAUGUUGAUAAAUACAAGGCAAGGCUAGUUGCCAAAGGGUACUCGCAACAACACGGAAUUGACUAUACAGAAGUCUUUGCACCAGUGGCAAGGAUGGAUACAGUAAGGAUGAUUAUUGCUCUCGCCGCUCAAAAAAACUGGAUUGUUUAUCAGUUGGAUGUCAAAUCGGCUUUUCUGCAUGGGGAAUUGCAUGAAGAUGUUUAUGUUGAUCAACCAAAAGGGUAUGAAAAGAAGGCUAGCGAACAUCUAGUUUACAAGCUGCAUAAAGCGUUGUACGGGUUAAAACAAGCUCCAAGAGCUUGGUUCAGUCGAAUCGAGGGUCAUUUUUUCAAUGAAGGCUUUCUACGGUGUGAAAGUGAGCAAACUUUAUUCACAAAGAGAAGCAGGGAAGGAAAGAUUAUCAUUGUAAGUGUUUACGUUGAUGAUCUAAUAUUUACUGGCGAUGAUACACAUAUGUUGUCUGAAUUCAAAAACUCCAUGAUGAGGGAGUUUGACAUGUCAGAUUUGGGGAAGAUGCGGUAUUUCUUGGGAAUCAAAGUAUUACAGCAUUCAGGUGGCACCUACAUAUGUCAGAAGAAAUAUGCACUAGAGGUGUUGAAGAGGUUUGGUAUGAUGGAAUGCAAUGCGGUGAAAAAUCCAAUAGUUCCCGGAUGCAGAGUCAACAAAGAUGAAGGCGAAGCUAAAGUAGAUGAAACAUAUUAUAAGCAGUUAGUGGGCAGCCUAAUGUAUCUCAUAGCAACAAGACCAGACAUGAUGUUUGUUACUUGUCUCAUCAGCAGAUACAUGGCCAAACCUACGGAACUUCAUCUACAAGUAGCAAAAAGGGCACUUAGAUAUCUAAGAGGGACAAUAAAUUUUGGAAUUUAUUACAAGAAAGGGGGAAGUGAUGAACUACUCUCAUUUACGGAUAGUGAUUAUGCUGGAGAUAUGGAGGAUAGAAAGAGUACAAGUGGAUAUGUUUUUUUGUUAAGCUCAGGAGCAGUCUCAUGGAGUUCGAAGAAGCAACCAAUAGUGACUCUUUCUACAACUGAAGCAGAAUUUGUAGCAGCCGCAAUGUGUGUAUGUCAAGCUCUUUGGAUAAAAAGAGUCUUGAAGGAAUUGGGACACUCAAAUAAUGAGUGCACACAAGUGAAAUGUGAUAACAGCUCAACUAUUAAAUUGUCCAAAAAUCCAGUGAUGCAUGGACGCAGUAAGCAUAUCGAUGUAAGAUAUCACUUUCUGAGAAAUCUUACUAAAGAAGGUACAAUUGCAUUAGUUCAUUACGGAAGUCAGGAUCAGGUGGCAGAUUUAAUGACCAAGCCUUUAAAGCUUGAUGCAUUUCUGAAACUAAGAACACUGUUGGGAGUCCAAGAAAUUACUGAUGUAAACUAACUGCAUACUGCAGUAAGUUUAAGGGAAGGAAUGAAAGGGUUUAUUUUUAGUAUUUGAAUAAGUCCACGAGUCCCUAGUCUUCAGGAAGAUAUACAUGGUCAAGAUUAAAUUAAGGAUUUUAGUUGCUUAUUUUUCGUUAUUUCAUGUGCCACGUUACUGUGAACGUGAGCUAUUUUUCAGUCUUAUUAUUAUUCCUGUAAGGCUAUUUAUUAGCCAUUUCCAUUCAGUAAAAGCAAUUCAUUCAAUUCAAAUACUGUGCACUUUUGUUCUUAUUCUUUACAGUAUCAUCUUUGAGUAUGCUUAUUUGUUAUAAUAAAUAUACCUUGAUGAGAUAUUAUCUUUAAGCAUGUCUUCAAAAACUUGGAAAGGAGUAGAAGCAUCAGGCUCUUCUUCAUCAAGGAACUCUGCCAGGCAAUAAGAUAAAGUAGCGACGUUGCUGAUGGAAAAACUUCACUCUUGAAUGAGUGCUGAAGUUAUAAGCCAGGUCAUUAGUUUGAAGGAGUAAAACUGGUUAGUAAAAUUUUAGGAAAACCAAUUCACACAUACGGAGUGUGUAACUAAAAUAAAUAAACAGGAAGUAGAAAACAGGAAAUCCAAUUAGUCUAAUAUGAUAUUUCUGUGAAAUAGAGGUUUUCUUUAUGAAAUUGUGGAGAUGAGAGGAGAUAAAUGCAGAUGCAAGAUAAAAAAAAACAAUAAAAAAAAACACAAAAGUAGCAUGGCUAGCAAAGGACUCAAAACACAAAAGUAUUUACCAAAUGGACGAUUAAUAUAAUAGUUGAUAGAGCUACACAAUUGUGAAUCAUCUUUAGCUUUUGGCUCCUGCAAACAUGUUACACAAUUUUCCAAAAUCAUGCAACUAACAGCCGAGUCAAUGUUACACAUAAGAGAGUGAAAAACACAGAAAAUGAACCUGACCUGCAUCCAAAUGAAAAACUUUCAAUCAUCUGUAUUGAAUUUCAAGAUGUAAACUCUUCCCAAAGCUUGAUUAACCUGAAUAACCCAAAGAAUUAUGAAUCUAUGAUAUUACAAUCAAUUAUUAGAGUCAAAUAUCUCCCAUCUAAGAAAAAACUAAGAGAGAAAAGUGUACCUUCUCAAAAACAGCCUCUUCAGAAAAAAAAAUCUGAUCCUGUCAAUCAACACGUCAAGAAAAAGCUACCAAGUUCUUACCUCAAAAGAAUAUUAACAAAACAAACAACAGAAAAAGAAAUAAAAACCAAUGUUGGAAGAGAGAAACAAAAUCCCCAGGCUAAAAAACAUAAUAAUAACUAGGACACAUCUUCCACAGCAUUCAAAUUCCUAUCAAGCCACUGGAAAUGAAGCAAACCCUCGUCACCCUGGAACAAUUCAAAAAUUUCGACUUCAAACAGGAAACAAGAUGCUAGAAACACUCUAUCUAGUACUUAAGAUAAACCAAAACAACAGAAGUAACUAAAAAUCUUUACACAGGUACGAACUCUGUAUAACACAAAAAAACCAAAAGACACCAGUUUACCCUUCCAAUGCGAACAAGUCCUUUUCGAGAAUCAGGAACAAACUUUUUUCCAUCAAAAACCAUUUUACCAGCACGAAACUCCAACAUAAUUUCCUACCAACAAAACAACCACAACAUCAUAACAUAACCCCAUCAAGAAAAACAUACUUAUACAUCCAAAAAAGCAAUUACAGGCUCUAAUUAAUAAGAUACAAGAUUUUAAGCAAAACCCACAAUUUUAAAAGUGAUUUUAUUUACCUGCAUUGCUGAAAUAUCUACAGCUGAUGAAGAACCCAUUUUUCGCAUACUUCCUCUAAAGCUUCCUUUUUUCCAACACUGCAAAAAAAAAAAAAGAAGAACAAAUCAAAUACCCAAAUCAGAAACAAUAACAGAAAAAAAAUAAAAGAAAAUCCAAUGCUGGAAGUUGUAAUCAGGAGGAGAACCAUACAAUUUCUGAUGGAAUGACAUUUUAUCAAGAAUUGAACUAGGCAUUCAGUUAAUUAAAUAGGUUGUAAACUUGUAAUCAGGUGAGAGUAGUGUCAACAUGUUUAGUUUUCCUCUCGGAAGUGUCAUUCUGCACAAAUCAGUGUUUUAAAAAUAUUAAAAAAAAAAUUUAAUUUGUUUUUAAAUUUGUUUUUUAGUGGUUUUCAUUUAUUUUCGUGUAUUAAUAUUAAAAAUAAUUUUUAAAAAAUAAAAAAUAUAUUAUUUCAAUUUAUUUUAAAAUAAAAAAAAAACUUAAAAAAAAUACUGUUAACACAGUAUUAAACAAACUCGAAUCCUAUAACCAGAUGAACAACGUUAAGAUAUUUGUUUUUUGUUUUUUGUUUUUUUUGAUAAUGAGGAUGUCCUAAACAAUCUUGCCUAAUGAUUGUUAAGAAAUGAAAGAGGCAAUGCAUGGCUAAACCAAUGGAAGCUAAAAAGCUAAUGAUGCCCCUAGCUAGUAAGCAAUUGUUGCCGCAAUGACAUAUGCCUCAUUAGAGAUAGAUUUGAAUUUACAUAUUAUUAUUAUCAUAUAUUUUGUAUUCUCGUUUAAAAAAAUAAAUAUUUUCCUUAUAUGGAGUAGAGUGUUUUUAAUUUUAUCAUGUAAAAUUUAUAUAUAUUUUAAAAAUUAAUACAAUAUACAGUUAAACAUCUAUAAAUUAAUAUCAUUGAGACCAUGAAAUUUAUUAAUUAAUCAAGAUAUUAUUUAGUAAAUAAAUUUAUACACUUAUCCAUUAAUCACAAAAAAAUUUCUUUUUCAAAAACAUUGAACUCAAUACAUGCAUUGUGUAUUCUGAUUAUAUGAAUAUUAUCUAAUUAUCAAAUUAUGAAUUAUCAUAGUUCUAUAUAUUUAUUUAAAUAAAACAAGUUUAAGAAUUAAUGUAAUCGAUCUUAUUAAUUAAUAAAAGUCAUGUAUGUAUCUAUUUUUGCAAAUUGGAUGCAUACUUAAUUAAUAUUAAGUCAAGAACAAAACCAAAAAAAGGAAUAUACAAGUGAGCCAAACAACAAUAUUAAAAACGAAUAAGAGGUUGAAUUAAUAUUCAUUAACUAAUAAUAAAAUUAAGAAGAUGAUACCAAAGGACACAAAAUCACAAAAAUUCGUGAAACUACAUAAGGCGGUUUGUUCAAUACCAAGAAAUUAAAUAUUUAAAAAAAAACUAAAUGAAUUGUUUAAAAAGUUAAAAGAAAAUAAAUGCACUUUUGUCCACGUCAACAACAACUAUAACAAAAUGCUGGGCUGUAGAAGAUUUUCCACAGCAACCUGAAAAAAUCAUAUAUGCUCAAGUAACUAUUUGGUAGAGCGUAUUUGGAGUGCUAAUAUCUUUUCUUUAUGGAAUCAGUCCUCGUACUCGAUCUCUGAAACCAGUUAAGGUUCUUAGUGACCAAAAUACUAGGUAGCGACUCUCAUUCCAUUUUUCCACUAAUAAAAGACAAGAAUUCCUUGUCUCCCCAUAGAUGCCUGAUAGAUAAUACAUUUUGAGAGUGGAUAUUUUCACCGCAACAUCGUAUACGUGCGACAUUAUGUAUACAGGUAUUUCACGAGAUGAUGCGGAGUGUUAAAUAUAAGCUUUGUGUUUAAAUCUGUUUUUUUAUGUAAUAUCUUUUGUUUUAUAUGUAAUUUGUAUUAUAUGUAGAUUUUAAUAUAUGAAUCCUAAAGAUAUUUGCUUUUGGUAUUUAUACAUUUAGAAUGUAUGAGUAAGGAACUAAUAUUAGUAAACUAUUUGAAAAGAAUACUUAAUAAUUAUAAUUAUGCAUGUUUAAAAGAUGGAUGCAUGUUAACGUAAUAAUUAGUUCAAUAUGAAUCCUUUGAGUUUAUAUUUGUAUGCAGUUAAUGUUUUAUUUUAAGAGAAUAUAAUUGCUAUGUUUUAUUUUUUUAUGAUGUAAGGUUGAGAAAGCACAACAAAGUAUUGCUAUGUGAAAUAUUGUAUGAUGAGAUGGGAUAUGAUCCAGGAUGGUUGAAUUGAAAUAGAAGAUUGAGUAUUGUGAUUGAAUGAAGUCUAGUCGAUAACUUGGUAACAUAAAAAAACAAAAGAAACUCUGCCGAAUUUUCUGUAGAAAAUUAGAUUUAUAUAAUAACUAUUACUUUGAUGAUAUAACUUUGAGAGUGAUACAUCAAAUGUGAGAUAUGUUAGACAAUAACCGCAAGACAAUAACGGUUCAAGACGUAGACAAUAACAAUUCAAAUUUCGGUAGUCCUCAUAUGAAUACCAUAUAUAUAUAUAUAUAACUUUACUCUGUUUUUCAGUUGCAUGAUAUUGUUAUUUUAUCCCGAUUGAGGGGGUGUUAUAAUUAUGGUCUUAUGAUCCGAGUCACUGAUUUAAAAGGUUAACCUAGAUUGACCCGGGUCGAUCCAAUAUGUUGUUAUCUCAAUAUUUUUUAAAAAAAUAUUAUCUUGAAUUUUUUGAAGUAAAACUAUAUGUUUAUCAGUCGUCCAGACUAUCUUUGGACUCAUUGAAUCGAUUGGGUCAUAUCGAUUCAACUCUUUUUUUUUAGUUAUAUUUGAAAUUUAAAUUGUAUAAUUUCAAAUUGGUUUGUUUUUAAAUGUCAAUUAAUAUAUAUAUAUAUAUAUAUAUAUAUAACAAUCCAAAAUGACAGGUUAAAAUACUAAAAAACCAAAACAUAUUGUUACAAUUAAAAAAAUAAAAUACCAAUUAAAACGGAAUUAAUUGACAACUUGCUUGGUAGAAGCAUGAAACUCCUCGCUGACAUUUGCAAGAGAUAGUUACUUAUACCAGUAGCAAUUUAGUAAUGAUUGAUCAGCAUUUAUAGUAAGAUGGGGCUAUUAAUUCAAAUGUUGAUGGCAUUAGUAACAAUGAUUUUCUUGGAAGGAUUGCUUCCUCUUGGUUGCUUGAAAAUAUACGGUUUUUUUUUAGUUCAAAUCUAUUAAUAUAAAUAUAGUUUUAUUGAAUAUUUUUUAUAUAAUCUUAUUAGAGAAAUCAAUGUAAACAAAUUUAUGGACAAACACUAGAUUAUCAAGUAUUUAAAUAGAAAAAUAAAACAUUGAUACAAGCUUUUAAAUAAAAAACAUUUAUAAUAAAUAUAAUUUGUACUUGUCAUUAUCUCUUUUUCAUUGCUAACACUUAACGAAUUGAAUAUAUAAUUCUCAUGUGAAUAACGUCAAAAUAAAUUUAGUUGCAUGACAUAAUAAUACCUAUUUGUUUUUUGUAUUUUAAAAAUAUUUAAAAAAAUUAAAUUUUUUUAAAUAAAUAACUUUUGAAUCAUCAAGUAGUGAAACACAGGAAAAGUGAAGAAAGUGAAGAAUAAUCAAAGUGGUGUGGGUCCACAUCAACUUUUGUCCAUGUUUUUGGUAUUAAUCUCUUCAUCCAUUUACAGCCGGAGAAAAGAGCAUCACUCAGUGCUUUCCUUGUCUCUUCUUGCUUAGAAGAUAAGGUAUGAGAACCUUCGAGUGCCACUCAUUUUAGUACAUAGACUAGAUAUUUGACCAUAACUUAACUGUUAGUUAAUUGUUUUUUCAAUUAAAAAAAUUUAUAUAUAGAUUUCUUCAACGUAUUGUUUAUUUAAAAAAUCUUAAGUGAAAAUUAAGAAAUUUAUACACAAAUAUAGUCAAAUAAAUUGAGAAUUAUAUGUGUUAAUAAGUGAAAAAAAAACCAUAAACGAUGACUCAAAAUAAAAACUGGAAAAAUUGAGAGACAGGUGCUGAUCAAGAUAUUUAAUUUCACAAGACGUGACAUUUAUGCAGUUGUGUUUUUAAAAUUUUCUAAUUAAAAUAAUUUUUUAUUCAAUCAAACGAUAAUAAAAACAGACACACAUUAUAAAUUGAUUGAAUAAAAUAAAAGGAGAAAAAAUAAUAUGCAAGCCUACACAUAUUAAAAAUAUUAUUUGAAAAUACAUUUAUUUUUAUUUUCAAAAAUAAAAUUCAUCUAUACAAAAGAUUUUUAAAAAAUAUAGAUUAAUCACAAAAACCUCCUCAAAAAUUAAAUGCAUAAUUAAAAAAUAAUUAUCAUUUCAAAUAGGCUUUCUAAAUAAUAUAAAAGAGAGAAGGGAUAUAAAUAUAAAUAUAAAUAAGAUUAAGAUUAAGAUUAAUUUAAAAAAAUACAAACAAAAAAAAAGAAAAUAUUUUUUCUUAAACAAAAAAAAGUGAACAAUGUCGUUCACAGUAAAACUUGUGGGGUGAACUCGAACUCAACCGAGUUUAAUAUUUUUCCUCUUAAAUUUAUAACAAACCUAAAAAAAGUAAACAAUGUCGUCCAUUGUAAAACAUGAGGAGGUGAAUAGUGCAACUACACAGUGUUCACCUUAUAUAUUUUUCCUCUUAAAUUUAUACCAAAACCGUAAUAAAAAAAGGUGACCAAUGUUGUCCAUAGUAAAACGUGAGGGGGUGAACAACGCAUCUUCAUAGUGUUCACCCCGCACACCUUAGCUUAUUUAGGGUGAACCUGAAUCAUGAACUCAAUCGGGUUUAAUAUUUUCCCCUCUUAAAUUUAUAGCAAACCUAAAAAAAAGGUAAACAAUAUAGUCUAUAAUAAAAUAUGAGGGGAUGAACAAUACAGAUGCACAAUGUUCACCUCACAUAUUUUUUUCCUUAAAUUUAUAGCAAAACCUAAUAAAACAAAUAGUGAAUAGUAUAUUCAUUGUAAAACGUGAGAGGGUGAACAAUGUGGCUAUAUAAUAUUCACCCCACAUGCUUUAGAUUAAACGUGAGAUGGUUAUUUUUUAAAAUAAAAAAAAAUUAAUAAGCAGGCUAUUACAAUGCGCUUUUUAAUGAUGACGAUAUUUGUAGCAAAAAUUUCAAAGGAUUUAAUACAAAUCCAAGCCAAAAUAUUUCACUAGAUUACUAUUUUACGAUCUUCUUAAAACUUGGGUUCGAGCUUGUCAUGUUGAAUCAUCUCUUCUAGAAUCCUUUUUACCGUCUAAUGACUGCCGCUUAUGUUUGUGCAAUUUCUUGUUUACUAGUAAAAUUGUACAGACGUGGGCUUGAAGCUGUUAACUUUCCCUGGACUGGUUAUGUAAUAUAUUUAUAGGUCUAACUGUAUACUAUCACUUGGUCCAAGAGGCAAUAUUGCAAGAUUCCAACGAAAUCUACUGUAAUCUACUGUCCUGGGACAAGAGUUCCAAAAACAUCUACUCCAAAUUUUGUUCUUUUUGAAUCUUUAGUUAUUUUUAUUUUUUCUCAUCAUUUUUUAAAAUAAAAAAUAUAAAUAAAUUACUACAAAAUGAAUAAAACAAAACCAGAAUAAAAAAGUAACAUUAAACAGCAGCCAUUUCAUCAGCUUUAAUUUUAGUAUAACACAAUAAUAUGAACCAACCUUGAUUCUCGAAGGCACCCAACUAAUUCAUUAGCCUUCAAAUUGCCAUCACCUAAUUUCACGAUCCAUGACCGACAUAUAAACAAGGGUCCUCUCCAAGUUCCCAUACAUAUACGAAUCCAAAUAUACAUAGAAACUUAUCUUUUAAAUAAGUCAAUUAGAGUUCAACACAAUAUUAAUAACAAAAUUAAUUAAAUAAGUCAAUCAGAGUUCAACAUAACAUUAAUAACAAAAUUAACUUCAUAAUAUAAUUUGAUUGUCUUAAUACAAAAAUUAAUACAAAGUUCGUAGUUGUGGAGCACUAUCUAGACAUAAAAAAAAUCAUAACAAAAACAACAAGGGAGGGGGUUUGAUAGUAUGUAAUACAACAACUAGAAAUAUAUAUAUAAUUAUGGCUUUAGGUUUUUAUAAAAACGUUUUUUAAAUAGAUCAUAUAAGAACAACGGAGGAGGGGGUUUAACGGUAUGUAUUUGCCUGCUAGUAAAAAUUGGUUAGCACCUAAACAAGGUCCUGUGCUAAAUCUAAAUUGGUAAGAUGUGAUAUGCUAAUAUCUAGAAAGAUAACUUAAUCUAUCCAUUGAAGUAAAGCAUUUAAAUGCGUAUACAAUGUUUUUGGAACAUUAAAUAUCUAUUUGAUCAGAAUCUGAUGGGGCAAUAGGUGAUGCAGGCAUAAACUAGAAAGACAACAAACAAACACAAAGAAAAAAGAUUUGUUAAGCAAACAGGGUUGCAAACUUAAACACUAAAUUCGCAAUUUAUUAUUCUGAAAAAAGUCUAAUGAUGUUUGCCUCUCAAAGAGGUUUCUAAAACAUUUAAAUAUGCUAAAAAACCUAUCUCUAUUGGAAAAAAAAAAUUCAGAAUCCAAAAGAAUAAACAAAAACUACAUAAAAUCUGAAAUAAAACAAUAAAUAUGAAAAAAAUCAAGGAAAAAUAGCUAAAUUGGCUCAAAACAGGAUCUUAUGAACCUAAUUUCAGGGGAUCCGAACAUCAAAUGAUCAACAAAGUAUGUUUCCAAUUGAGAUGGGCCUUAGAAAUCUCCUAUAAAAAUUGAGAUCUAAGCAAAUUAAGUGAUAUUUGUUUGAGACUUCGCUAACUACAUAUAAAGGAAUUAAAAAUAAAUUAUGAUGAUCAAUUCAAAAUCAACAAAAUAUUAAAGUGAAAUUGGAAGCAAAAACAGGGCAAAAAUCAUUAAAUCAAAAGAAGAAAAAAUUAGAAGAUAGAAUUUAUUUAUUUUUUUUAAAAAAGGGGGGAGGAUAUGAAUAGUGAAGUAGGAGGGAAAAACCUAAUUUUUUUAGUAUAAUAAAUAAUUUUUAAUUAAAUUAAAAUCUUCAUCUCAUACAAUUAGACCCAAAAAGAGUUAAAUAAAAAAGGGAAGAAAAUUUCUAAAGAUAUAAGGACCAAUUUAAAAAAAUAAAAGGAAAAAAAAAUGAAAAAACACCAAAUCAAGAAACGAAAAAAUAUAAGGACCAAUUUAAAAAAACAAUAAAAAAUAUAAAGAGUGAAGGAGGUAGAGAAACAUAAGUUUUUUAGUAUAGUAGUUUAUUUCUAGUUAAAUUAAAAACUUUAUCUCAUAUAAUUAGGCCAAAAACAAUUUUUUAAAAAAAAUAAGGACUAAUUUGUAAAAAAAGAAGAGAAAAAAACAGAAUCAAAUCAAAAGGGAAAAAAAACUAAUUUAAAAAUAAAAAUAAAAUGCUUCAUUAUUCAUGUAAAAACAAAACAUCAUUAUAGUAUCCAACUAGACAAGUGACCUACACUACGGGCUAUCCUAAUUUUUUUAAAGCAAAAUUUUUUUUUAGCAUUAUUAGAUGUGAGAAAAUAUUUUUUAAAAAACAUACAUGUGUACAAGAUAGGAGAGAUUUGGUUUGAGAAUGCAUGCUAAAAAUCUAAACAUGAACUAAAACAAAGUGGAAUUAAAAAAAAAAAAAAAACUUAAAAGAGAUCAGUGAUUCAUUAUAGACUGUGAGGUAAAACACUGUAGAUUAGCAUAAUAUAUUUAUUUUUUGACCUUCUCUACGUAAAAUAAUUGCCUUGCUAACAGGGUAAAGUUGUUAUUUUCAAUGGAUCUAAAGGUUAUUUGUAAAUUGAUUGGGAAUAAUUUAGUAGGUUAGCUAUUUUAUUUGCGUAGUAAAAUGACGUCAAUACCCUUGAGAGUUCAAAAAUAUUGACCUUGACAAAGGCAUUUUUUAGUCUUUUCCAUGUUUUGUAUACUGUAAAAUGACAAAGUUAACCUUAGAAUAAAAAAAUCUAAAGCUGGUCUGGGAUAGCAUUUUCAUCUUUGCAAUAUAGCUUUUUUGUAAUAUUUAGAUGCUCUUAUGAGCUAUUUAGCAAUUUAAAGUAUUGAAAUAUUAAUAAAUCAAUAAACAAAGGCUGACAUGUGUGUAGCACGUGUCAACACGUGAUAGUCCACCACGUCAUUUGGGAGGCGUGUGAUAGUCCAACAUGUAAUAUGGAGGUGUAGUUGAUGACGUGGCGUGUCGUCAUAUUUGUAGUGGUUUAAUGGUGAUAAAAAAAUUUUCCCGUCCCCCUCUUUUCUCUCUCUAAGGCUUUAGUAUUCACGCCGAUGCUUUAAAAUUUCACUUGUAUCCUUUGGAUUGUAUUUAUAUUAAGUUUGAUUCUUAUUAUUUUAAUUUCUAUUUAUUUUGAUUUUAGUGUUUUUUAAAGAAAAAAAUUUCAAUUUCAUUCCUCAACAUUUUAUUUCAUUUAAUUUUUAUAUUAAACUUGGUCCUCAUUCUUUUAAUUACUAUUUUCUAUCCUUUACUUAAUUUUUUUAAUUUUAUUUCUUAUUAUUUUAUUUUAUUUUAUUUUGUUUGCAAUUGCAGUUCUUUUUUUUUUUUAUCCCUAGUAAGCAAUUGUUGCCGCAAUGACAUAUGCCUAGCAAGAGGAAAAAAAAAAAAAAAAAGAGACGCUUGAAGGUUAGAGAAGGCACCUCUGAGUGGAAGGAGGCUGAGGUGCGCUAUUUUUGAAGUAUGUGAAAAUCAUAUGUUUCAAUGCUACUUCUUGCAAGAGUCUCCUUAACCAACCUAGAGUGUUAUAUUAGACUGCUAACGUAUUUUAUAAAAAUAUUGAUAAAAAUAUUUUUGGAUAAUUUUUUUUAUUUUAUUUGAAUUUAUUUCUUAAAUAAUUUAAAUUAAUAAGAUAAUUACAUAAAAGAUAAUGUUAGUCAAGUUAUCUUUUUACCAACCAUAAAAAGAUUUUUACUAAUCCAAGCCAACAAAAUAACAAUUACAUGUAUAAAUUGUCAUAUGUUGGAAAAAGGAGUUAGCUCAUAUUUUAGGGAUUAUAUUAAAGUGUUAGCAUCUUGCCUGGUUAGAAAUAGAAUUGAAUUUACAUAUUAGUAUUAUCAUAUAUUUUGUAUUGUCGUUUAAAAAAAUAAAUAUUUUCCUUAUAUGGAGUUAAGUGUUUUUAUUUUUAUCAUGUAAAAUUUAUAUAUUUUUUAAAAUUAAUUUUUCUAAUCAUCAAAUUAUUUUUAUUUUUUAAAAUUUAUAUAUUUUUUAAAAUUAUUUCUUAAAAAUAAAUUUAUUUUUCUAAAAAAUUGAACUUAAUACAUGCAUAUUAUCUAAUCAUCAAAUUAUGAACUAUCAUAAUUCUAUAUAUUUAUUUAAAUAAAACAAGUUCAAGAAUUAAUGUAGAUCAAUCUUAUUGAUUAAUAAAAUUCAUGUAUGUAUCUAUUUUUGCAAAUUGGAUGCAUACUUAAUUAAUAUUAAAUCAAGCAAAAAAUCUAUAAAAAGAAUAUACAAGUGAGCCAAACAACAAUAUUAAAAACGAACAAGAGGUCGAAUUAAUAUCCAUUAACUAAUAGUAAAAUUAAGAAGAUGAUACCAAAGGACACAAAAUCACAAAAAAGCAUUUAACAUUCAGAGAAAGAAGCCUGCAACACCCAUUAAGGAAAAGAGAGAAGGGAAAGAAAUGUAGAUUAAUUGAUACAGAGGAUCACCUUGUUCCAGACCAGCGCGAGACUGUAGAAGAAUCCAGACGAACCAAGAGCAAAAAAUGCAGGAGAGAUAAUCAUGAGAGAAACAAAUUCAUAUAUCCACGAAUACGUACAACAUUUGAAACCUAUAAUGCAAGAAUAGCUGCAGAUGUACAUUAAUAUUUUUAAUUUAAAGAAUCAAUUAAUUAUUUAAAAAACUUGAGGGAUUAAUUUGUUUGUUUCACAUAAAACAGACACUAAUUAUAUAAAGUUUUACUCAAAAAACAGACACUAAUAAUCAUAUGCGUGAGUGUUUACUUGUAAAUAUUUUGGAAGGAACUGGUUUAUGUUUUGCGCAUCAUGAAAAAAUCAUAUAUGCUUAAGUAACUAUUUGGCAUCAAUCUAGUAAAUUAAUCUUAAAUUCCUUUUAUCCAACUCUUGCCGUUUUAAAAUUAAUCAAUGUAAAAGUUAACCAAACAUGAUAAAAUCAAUAUAAUGGGUUUACGAAUACAUAUUAAAUUAAUCUUGGUUUUAUAGCUUAAUUUUCUAAACUCACUACUCAAAUAAUGAACUACAUCUAGUUUUAAUUUUUUUUAUUUAAUAUUAUAAUAACAAUACCAUUUCAAAAUUAACCAAAUAUAUAUAUAUAUAUAUAUAUAUAUAUAUAUAUAUAUAUAUAUAUAAUAGAGUUUAAAAACAAAUGAACAAUAUGAUAUUGUUCCAUUUUACUAUAAUGAUGAAGUUUUCACAAAAUAUAAAACUUAAAUUAAAUUAAGGCAACAAUCAAUUCUUUAGCUUUAAAACGAUUUAUUAUUUGCUUUCUAGUGGUAGUAGUAGGAUGAUUGGAAUAAUUUUUUUUCCAUUAACAAUAGAAUUGAGAAGGCCCGCCACAGACCAAGAGGACAGCUUCAAUGAAGCCAUCCCAGCCGAUGCAGGUGAUUACCCGUCGGCUGACAUCUCCUCGCGCGCAUAGCACCAGCCAAACCACCUCAAUCUGAAAAUGCACCAGACAAAGUCAAUGGAAAGACGCCAGGGAGCCUCAGCAGCCGAGAAGAAAGCGAGGGAACACCCACCGCGCGAGAAACACGAAAAACAUAGAGGGAGCGCGGUAAAGACUGUGAAGCCACAGAAUUCACACAUUGUGCACCGUGUUUUAAUGAGCACUCUUAGUUUAUUUUAUAUAUAAUUCUUUUAGUUUUAGUUUUAGUUUGUUGUGUUAUGAACAGUAAAGCAGCACAAGAAUACGUCUGCGUCAAGCUCUGUUCACUUUGGUCCGACAUUCCUCACCUCUCCCCACCUUAGCUCUCUCUCUUUCCCUCCUCUGCUUUUAGAAACCGCCGCUGCCACCUCAACCAAUAAGGCUUCAAAUCUCACCCAGGUGCUUCCUUUUCUAUUAUGUUUUUGUUUUUUAAAAAAGAUUUACGUCCGCGUUUUCAUUUAUUUAAUUGAAGUUACUAUCCAAAGAGAGAAAUUCGAUUUUAAUAAGUAAAUUAAAAAGAUAUAUAAUCGGAUCCAAUGAAAUCGCUGCUCGUGAACGCAACUCGAAGAAAGGCGCAAUCAGUCGAUUCUACUGUGGGUGGAGCAUUUAGUAUGGUCAGGGUUAUUGUGUUGUCUAUUCAAAGAAAGAUGUGCCUGUAAAUUUAUUAAGUUGAUUCUUAUCAGUCUGCUCUUUAGAGUUGAUGAUAACAUGAAAUAUUCAUUGUUGAUGCUUGUCGUUUUCUUCUUCAUUUUCCUAGCUUAAAACAUCCUAGACAAUCUCUUUGGGAUGGUUUAGUGUUUCUGGCCUCUUCAUCUUCUAUUUGUGCUGUGGUAUUUAGUUUGCUGAUAUUCAUUGGGGAUUGAAAGGCCUCGUUUUAUGACUUUGUUUUCUUCUUAUUUCUUUAUUCUUUUGGGGAUGUGAUAUUUUCCUCUUUCUAUUUACACUAUUGGCUCCCUACAAUAUUUUUUCCUUCAGAGAAGUAAAUAUAUACAUAAAUAACAAGAACAGGAGGGGAAGGGGAGGGGGGUUUGACAAUAAGUAUUUGCUUAGAAGGGAAUGCUUCUUUGGUUUAGAAGCACCAUGAAGAUUCAGGCCCAUAUUUGGCUGGUUUCUUUAAUAAAGUACAUGAUAUUCCAUUUUUCAUGUCCUUGAUGUGCUUUUACUCUUCUUGCCGUUCCUGACUUUCUUUUUAGGGUAUAUUCUAACAUGCAAUAUGUUUUUUUUUUGUUGGCCCACUGUCCCAGGCGGAGAACCUGUCAUGGACAUGGGUGAUUGCAGAAUUCAAUUGCAGCCUGACUCACGGAAAAGAAUAGUCAAAAAUUUUUUUUAUUUAUAUGAAAGAAAAGGAGAAGGGCAGAAGGUUAAUUAAAAUCAGCAGGAUUGCCAUGAGGCAACCUCAAGUAUCACGCACCUCUUUUUUUUUUCAUCUUUUCAUGUGUUUCUCACAAGAAGCAAACUUGAGGGAACAUAAAGUGCUGGGAAGUAAUUUUUGUUGGAAUUUCUUGUCUAAUCUCUUCUUUUGAUGAUGACCUCUUGGAUGGCUGCAUGAAGCUUGUUCCGCUUUAAAUUUCAAGGUUAAUCUAUUGCUAUGAGCAUACGUGUUUCAAUUUAAAACUCGAGUUGCAACUGAACUUAAAUAAAUGGUGUUGGAUUUGUGCUUUCUAUUUGUUUUAACUUCUACAGGGUUGAAAUGAUAGUGAUCUUAAACUAGAAAAGCAGCAGACAAAAAUCAAUUAGCCACAAUGGUGUAUGGUUUCUCAGCAUAAAGUUGAAAUGAUAGUGAUCUUAAACUAGAAAAGCAGCAGACAAAAAUCAAUUAGCCACAAUGGUGUAUGGUUUCUCAGCAUAAAGUUGAAUGUUUUGUUGACCUCUUUACAUCCAAAAUCAUAUAGACAGCUACUGCUAGCACUUGCAGUGGUCAAUGAAUACUGUAGAGUAUAUAUUGCAGUGUGAGAUAAGGUUAACUCAUUGCAUUUUCAGAUAUUGAAAGGAUUUCUCUUCUUUUCUUUGUCAAUUACAGGACAUGCAUCGAAGUGUUCUUACUGAGAGUAAAUGCUAUUGUAAUGUUUUCACAGAGACUCCCCUGCUUUGCAACUAAGUCACUAAUAUAUCUUGGAACAUAGCCAUAAAUGAAAGGUUCUUCCAGAUCAAGAAAAUUAACCAUGAAGCUCGUAGCUAGAAUUUUUAGACAGAAAGGUGGCCAAGUACGCUGUACCUCUGGAAUAAUACAGGGAAAGGAUGUCUAUGUAUUUUGAUGUCUUAUAUUACUUGACCAACUCUUGCUUAUCUCAUUAUUUGUUUUUACUUUUUGCUAAUGAUUCCACACAUUUCUGAUAUUGGUGUGGUUUAUGAGUUUAGGGUUCUCGUUGCUGCUAACUUCUCUAUACUUUGCCUGGUCAUUAAAAAUCAAACGUAAUGAUUUGCAUAUGCAGAAUGGAGACAUUAAAAAGACAUCUUCUAUUUUCUGGUGAGGAGGGAUUUCAGGAACUCAAGAAAUUUUCCAUACGUUUUGAGGAAAAGAUUUAUACUACCGCUAACAAUCAGGUAUUUGCCUAAUGCGAGGUUCAAUAAUUAUGAUAUUAUCUAGACAUGAAUAUACACACGCAUUUAUGCUUGUACAAAUGUGUGUGUAGUGUGCCUACACUUCCUCACCGUUCAUUCUGUAUGCAAGGUUGAUUGGGAGUUCACAUCAUUUUGUUAAUUCUCUUGACAAGUGUUUUAUUUAGAGUGACCAAGUUCAAGUACAAGGGAAGAAUGCAAAAAGCAAAUAACGAAUCAAUACAUAAAUAAUUAAAUAAAAAGAGAGGUAACAGAAGUAUAUCCUCAUAGAAGAUGAAAUGAUAGAGUAUAUAUCUAUUUUCCUCCUCUGGUAACAUGGAUUGCUCUGAGAUCUACUGUUUUGUUAUUAAUAUCUGAUUUCAAUCUGAUUAUUUGCAUAAAAUAUCUCUGGAGAUGCUUUCGAUGGAGACCAGGUCUCAAAAUGCCAUGCUCACUACACCUAUGGAUCCAGCAGGUAAUAAUGCAGCCGAGCAUUGAAUUUCUAAAUAUCUUACCUUUUGUUUUUCUUCUCGCAUUGCUAUCAAACUCUUUUACAUUUUAUUGCUGCAUAUUGCUAUGUAUAUCGCCUUGCUGGAAAAAUCUCAUGAUCACCUCCACGAUGAUAAUUUUGUAAUGCAUGUGAAGUGUUUCAUCCUUAACUUGUUAAGGAACAAGGACUGUGAUGCAUGGUAUUUUAUAUUUUAUGAUUGAGAUGGUAGAUUUUAAAGAUUUUCAUGUUAAGGAGAUAAGACGUCACUUUCUUGCUUUUCUUCCGAGAGAGUAUUUGAUCCUUUUUUCAUAUAAAAUAAUGCUGGCAUGCAUUGAAUUUCCAAACAUCUUACCUUUUGUUUUGUUUGUCGCAUUGUUAUCAAACUCUUUUACAUUUUGUUGCGGCAUAUUGCUAUGUGUAUGGCAUGCUUUAAUCAAAAAGUUGAGUAAUUGAUGAAUGUUAGGCAAGAAAAUUACAGAUUAUUUUUAUUUUCUACCUCCUCCUUCUCUUUCCCCCACCCCGAAAAUGGUCAUAUUAUUUUUUUUUUCAGCCACCUCUUCUUCCCCCAACCUUGAAAAUUGUUUAUAUUUGCUUUGGAAGCAUGGCAAACUUCACUGCCUCUCAGCUUAAGGAGAUUGCAGCAGGUCUCGAAGCUUCUGGGCAUCAGUUUAUUUGGGUAGUUAGAAGAAACAAAAAGAGUCAAGAAGACAAGGAAGAUUGUUUACCUCAAGGAUUUGAGGAAAGAAUGGAAGGCAAAAGGCUAUUAUCAGAGGAUGGGCACUCCAAGUUUUGAUUCUUGAUCAUGAAGCAAAAGGUGCAUUUGUGACUCAUUGAGGAUGGAACUCAACUCUUAAAGGCGUAAGGCAAAUAUUUGAUGAGCAAUUCUAUAAUGAAAAGUUGGUGACUGAUGUUUUAAAAACUGGAGUUAAGGAAUGGCUUAGAGUGCAUGGAGAUCAUGUUAAAAGUGAAGCUGUAGAGAACGCAAUCACUCAAAUUAUGAUGGGUGAAGAAGCAGAGGAAAUGAGGAGCAGAGCAAAGAAGCUUUCAGUGCUUUGAUUUAAUAACUGCAAAAAAUGAAAGGUUGUUGAAGAUGGUGGAUCUUCUUGCUCCGAUUUCAAUGCUUUGAUUGAAUAACUGAGGUGGGGUAGCCUUUGAAACAGAGGCAUAGAAUAUAUAUAUAUAUAUAUUUUAGCUUUUUUAGUUUAACGUGGGUGUUCGGGCCAGCUUGCGCGCACCUCGACUAAUCCCACGGGCCCUGAAGUUAACGACCAUGUAAGUCUCCAGUGGCCAUCAUAUGAGCAACCACAGGGCUCGAACCUGAGACCACAGAGGGAGCAAACCUUUUAGUCCCAAGCUCUUACCACUGGGCCACCACCUAGAUGGUUAAGGCAUAGAAUAUUUUGUUUCUACUUAGUAGUGGUUUUGGUAAUUUAUUUUCAGACAAGUCUUGAGAGUUGAAAGAGUAAUCACAGCCGAGUCAAUGACCAAUCCAAAUAAGUUCCCUUCCUAAUGGUUCAGGAAUGACAAGUCCAGCAUAUAUAUUUAGCCCAAAUAACUUUUCAAAUAAAAUGGCUGAGCUUAGAGACAGUACACUACAAAUUAAGCACCCAUUAGCUAGACAUACAGGACAAACAAUCAUCACAAACUAGAAACGACUGUCUUCCCAGUAACAAACUCACCUUCUCAAGUUGGAGAACUUGCGAAAACUAGCUACUACAAUAUAGUAGCAAGUAUCUAUGCAGUCUUCGAUGAAGUACGACCACCUGCGUCGCCAAUAUGGAUUGAUGUAAAGAACUGCUACAAUCAUAAUCACCACGACUGUGUAACUUACACCGAAAUUGAUGUAGAAAAACUCCAUGUCUAUGAAACCAUCAUCUCCUUGUUCAUCAUUAGGCACUGGUUGUGAUGGCAUUGGCUGUGAUGGCACUGGCUGUGAUGGCACUGCUUCUUCACUACAAUUGUUUUGCAAUGGAGGUCCACACAAGAAAGGAUUUCCUUCGUAACAGCUUUCAUCGAAGGUCCCAAACUGAUAUUUUCUCUCGGGUGUCUUACAUGACAAGUUAUUGUACGCCACACUAAAAACUUCCAGUGUGGUAAUUUCAGUAAGUUGUGGAGGGAUGACACCAUUCAAGUUGUUGUAAGAAAGAUCCAAACUCUCAAUCUGUUUUAGGUUUGAGAAUGUUGCUGGGAUAGAUCCAGUGAGAUUGUUGUGUGAUAAGUUUAAUGACAAUAUCUUACUUAAGUUUCCAAAUUCCGGUGGGAUUGCUCCUACGAAGUUGUUAUUGGAGAGAUCAAUACCAGACAUGUAGUUGAGAGUCUUCCCCUUGUAACCAUAAUACAUAUUUUUAGUUGUAAAUUCUAUCACUUCUUCUGUAAAGUUAAGCAGAAAACCCUUUCUCAAGUUGUACAUACUCUCCACUAGUGGUGGACCCAUUGUUUCAUAAUAAGCUUUUUCUAUGGACCUUGAUAGAACACCAGCUCCGAGAUCCGUGAAUGCUUUCUGGGAACUUUCCUUGAAAGUAAGAUUGCCCAAACAGGAGGGUAGUGGACUAGAGAGCUGGUUUUGUGAAACAUCCAAAAUGCUUAAAUGUUCUAACAAGCAUAAUUGAACAGGGAGCUCACCAUCAAAGUGAUUAGCCCUCAGAAGAAGAACACUCAAUGAUGAAAGAUUGCCAAUCCAAUUUGGAAUGGAGCCGGUGAAGCUGUUAUCUUGAAGAUCCAUCGUAACUAAGAAAGAGCUGUUAUAAAAUCUAUAUGUUAAUGGACCGCUCAAUCUAUUUUCGGAUAGAUGCAUAUGGAUUAGAGUUGAUGGACUGAAACAAGAUGGUAUAUAUCCAGACAAGUUGUUCUCUGAAAGGUUCAAAUAUUCAAGUUGAUCAAGCUUACAAAAGUCUCUUGGGAUCGGACCCUUAAAAUGGUUUUUGGACAAAUCAAUUGCUGCAAGAAUCGUAGAAUUAAGAAAGCUCCUUGGAAGCAUGCCUGAAAAUUGAUUGUUACUCAAAUCCAAUACAAUCCACAUUUUCCACCUAUAUAAUGAAAAAUCUGAUAUCUGACCCCAAAAGUUGUUACCACCUAGAUAGAGAUAUUCUAAGGUAGAAGAAUUGAACAACGAGGUCGGUAAUUGCCCACCCAAAUUGUUGUUUGACAGCUUGAGAAACCAUAUUGUUGUUAGUUGUUCUAGUUUUACUGUGGACAAUUGAUUGUUGGAUAAAUCUAAAAUUCCCAAAGAGCUAAUAUUUCCUAAACAAGAAGGAAUACAACCUGUGAAUCCAUUCUUAGCCAUCCUUAAGCUCUUCAGAUUUUGAAAGAUCAAACAAAUAUCCUUUGGAAUUUGACCGCUCAUGUUGUUGUUGGAUAUAUCUAAUUCGGUCAUAUUUAGAUAUGGGUGAUUUGGCAACUGCAAAGUACCAACAAAGGAGUUCUCACUCAAAUAUAGUUGCUCCAAUCGUGUAUUGUUCUUAAGCAACCACGAUGGAAACAUUCCGGUGAUGUUGUUGUGGGAGAGAUCAAGGACUCUUAAGUCGUAUUGGUAAUAGAGGAAGUUGGGAAUCUCUACAUUGACUGCUUCUAUUGUUUUUGACAAACUAAAAAAGACUAGUUGGAACUUUGGAAUCAAAUGAUCAAAGGCAGCAGGUUCUGUUACUAGUCUAUUGUUCUCAUUGCAGAAGAACUUGAGGCUUGAGUGGUUCAUAAAAGGCUUCAUUGAAAUGGGAACUUCAAAGAGGUUAUUUGAUAGUGAGAGGAAUUCAAGAGAUGUGAGGUUGGUAAGAGGACCAGAGGCAAUAUUUCCAGUAAACUGGUUUUUAGAAACAUCUAAUAGUUGUAGAGAUGACAAGUUUCCUAAACAAUCUGGGAGUGAACCUUCUAAAUUAUUUCCAAAGAGAUCUAACUGCUUCAGAUUCUUCAAUUCACACCAACCUGUAUAAUUUAUCUCGAAACAGUCAAAAUAGCUAAAUAAUUAAAAGAUUACCAUAGAAGAGGAUGGAGUGUUGUUAAUUUACCUUGAGCGGGUAGGGUGCCAUGGAGGUCACAUCCACCAACAGACAAAACCUUAAGAGCAGGCAAUGCUCCAAUGUUCUGGAGAAAGUUUACUGGGAGAGAAGUACGAUCUAGAUUCAAUUCUUCAAGAGUGCUAGAAUUGAAGAAAGUCCCUGUGAAAAAGAAAGAAGAAGAGAUAUGAAGAAAAUAAUGGUGGUACAGAAUAGCCAUUCCAUUCAAUAUUAUUAAUUAAUAUUUUAAGAAACUAAACUAUGAUUAACCUUGACUUAAAUUAGUAUCCUUGAGAGAAAGGGUCUUCAGGGAUGGCAAUGACUGCAGGAAGUCCAGCUUCCUUAAACCUAUGAUGUGUAGAAUUGAAAACAGGCAAUCAAGUAAGUAGUGAAAUUAAGCGUUAUCUUGAUCGAGUUUUUAAACCUAUGAUAAAAAACUGAUAUUGAAUAUACUUUUAUAAUGAUAUGAUUUUUGGAUAGAAACAACAAAUUGCCUGAAAAAUCCAGAGAUUUCAAAAGGUAUUGUUAAAAAAUGAAGUAAAUAAUAUUCACAACUUUACCAUUGACAGUCGUCGAUCCUAGCAACAUAUUGCCUGAUAAAUUUAAAGACUUGAGAUAAGAAAAUCCACGCAGAUGUGAUAAAAUGCUGUCGUUGAAUAUAUUAUAGCUCAAGUCCAGGUUCUCGAGUUUCCCUAAAUGUGAUGAUAUGAUCUCAAAACCUGCAAGAGUAAGUCAUCAUGAGCUCACGAUAUGCAUAAUAUAUAGAAACUAAAGAUAAUUAGAAUUGAUGAGAUGCUGUUGUUCAAUUGAUAUAUGAUUCUCAAAUUAUACAUAAAAAUAAUGAUACAUGAACGCAUAUGUCAUUAUAUAACAGGUUGUGCACACUUCAAAGAUUAAGAAACAAUUUUUAAUCAUUCUAAUUUUGAUCUUAUUGGAAAAAAAAAAAAAAUUUAUGGAUAUAAAGUCGUUAAAGAUGGAAACUAAGUCAAACAUGAUAAAUGCUAUCAUUAAAUUGAUCAUUACAUAGAUAUAAAGUACUUAUUUUUUAUGAUAAUGCAUGUAACGAGUAUUAUUGAUUAUUGUUCUUGUUUUAAUUACCGAUGAGAAAUUUUGAACAAUCAUUUGAUUUUAUUAGUUUUGAAUAAUAUAAUAUUUUUGAAGAUUAUAAAAUGUUAUGUAUUUUUAAAUAACUUGUUUUUUUGAUAUGUUUGUUAUGAGGCUUAGCGUAGGUGGGGUGUCCUUUCGAUACAGCUCCUGCGUUGCCAGUAAUAAACUUGAGACUCGAGUGGUGACAAAAUUGAUCUUUACAUGGAUAUAAAGUUCUCAUUUUUGUUGAUAAAGAAACAAUAUAAUUAAGAGAAUGUCAUGUGAAGCAUUUAGGUAGAAACUGUGUAUUAUACCUGAUCCUGUCAGCUGAUUGCCUGAUAGAUCCAAAGACUUGAGGGAUGAAAAUCCAGUUAGAGAUGGAAAAAUGCUGCUGUUCAACUUAUUAAACGAUAGAUCCAAAGACUUGAUCAGGGAUGAAAGCCCACUCAGAAUUGAUAAGAUGCUGCUGUUCAAUUGAUUGAAACUCAGGUCAAGGUUCUCUAACUUUCCCAGCCUCAUCGGUUGGAGUUGAAAACCUACAAGAUAUACAUAAAAAAAAAUAUACAGUGCAUAGAUUAAGGAAGAAGAUAGAUUGCAAGUAUCCAUUCUAUACAUGUAAUUUUUAAUCAUCCUAGUUUUGAUCAAGUUGUGUCUUAUUAGAAAAACAAUUUAUGGAUAAGAUCAAAGCCCCAUAGAUAUAAAUCUUCAUUGAUGAAAGCUAGCGCAAUCAAACAUGAUGAAAUGCUAUCGUUGAUUAAUUAUUAAAUAAAUAUAAAGUCCUCAAUUUUCUUGAUAAAGAAACCGUAUAAAAGAAUGUCACGUAAAGCAGUUAGGUAGAAAUUAUAUAUAACUUACUAUUGAUACCAGCAGAUCCUGUCAACUCAUUAUAUGAUAGAUCCAAAGACUUGAGAGAUGAAAAUCCAGUUAGAGAUAGAAAAAUGCUAUCGUUGUAUUGAUUCCCACUCAGAUAUAGUUUCUCCAGCUUUUUCAACCUUGAUGACAAGACUUUGAAACCUGCAUGAUUUUUCUCAAAAAACAUAGAAAUGAUAUGAGAAGGAGAAAAGAAAAGGUUUUGAAGCUAAAUAAUUAUAAGGUUACCAUAGAAGCUACCUCCUGAUCCAGCUGUCAACCCAUUGUCUGAUAGAUCUAAAGACUUGAGAGCGGAAAGCCCAUUGAAACAUGACAAAAUGCUUUUAUCAUUAUUAAAUCGGUUUUCACUUAGGUCAAGUUUCCUCAGUUUUGAUGAUAGGACUCCGAAGCCUGGAAGAGAAACAUCAAAGCAAGAUAAUUGACAUUAAACACCAACCAACCAACCUUCAUUUAUUUUAUUAUUAUAAUUAAGUGCACAAACAUUGAACUAACCUUCAUUCUCCAAGCAACCAACCAAUCCAUUAUAUCCCAAAUCAAGACUUUGCAAUUCUUUGAAAGGCUGAAACAAAGAUGCGUUGAGAACCCAAUCGCCCAAGCUCUCAUCCCUUUCUCCACUAAGAGAGAGUUGGAUCACUCGCCUUGUAGUGUGAUCACACUCGAUCUCAGGCCACUCACAACAAUUACUACUGUCCACCCAAUGUCUCAAGGAAAUGCCAUCUGGGUCGAUCAAAGAUUGGAUCUCCAAGAGACCAAUUCUCUCUUCCUCCAAACACCCAUAACAACGACCAGACCAUUCGCCAACCAAAGUGAAUAAUGCUAGCAACAUCCAAGCCCCCAUUCUUUUCAACAUCAUCGUAGAUAAUUCUAUGAACUACUACGUAGAAUAUUAUUGUUUGUUAUGUGCCUUUGGGCAACCAUAGAGGUCCUAUUUAUACUACACUGGCCAUUUCCAUGACUUUGAGAUGUUUUCUUUAUUUAAUUUCCACGACUUUAUCUGCAUAUCUUGUGCAGGUUCCGUGUUUUGAGAUUUGAAUAUUAUUUUAUUUCUUUUUGGAAUGUUCUUGGAUUUAAAUAUUAUUUUAUUUUAUUAUUUAGCACUUAUUCUAUUUGCAUUUAAUUAUAUUUUGGUUACUAAUUAUUCAAUUUAUAAAAAAAAUAAAAUAAAAAAAUUGUUGCAGUACUUCAACAUCGACAUUCGUGUGUGAUUCCACAUAAGAUCUUUUCAACUUUAUAAUUGUACUUCUCUCGUUAAAUACAUAAAUUAUCAAUAAUAAUAAACUCGAAAUAAUUAUAAAUCUUAUCCCUGUGGAUUGUGUGGGUACAGUAUUAUAUACAAAAACUUCAAAUACAUAAUAUAUAUAAGUCAGAAAUAUUUUUGUUUUUAUGGACUUGUUUUUAUUACAUUUCAAUAUUAAAUAUAUUUUUUUCAAUCGAGUCAAAGAUAUACCAUUUAUAUUAGAAUGAGAAGACUAAUCAAUUUCUCUAAUUUCUCUAGUUUUCUCCCUAAUUAUAAAAUACAUCUGGUUUUUCAAGUCCAGAUUUUAAGAUAAAAGGAAUUUAUUUCUUGAAAGUAAUGCAUUAAACAAUAUAAAAAAAAUUUAAAAAAUUUAAAAUAGUAGUAAAAGUAGUUUUUGAUUGAAGUGUAAACUAGUGGUAAAUGAACAAAAAGAAACUUUAUUGAUUAUCUAAUGAGUUACUUCUCCAGAAAGAAUAUAUACAAUAUUAUUGAUUAUCUAAUGGAAACUCCGCCUAACACACACACACACACACACACACACACACACACAUAUAUAUAUAUAUAUAUAUAUAUAUAUAUAUAUAUAUAAGUUAGAGACACUUUUUGUUUUUAUGUUCGGAAAAGUGUUCUUUACUUGUUUUUAUUACAUUUCAAUAUUAAAUAUAUUUUUUUCAAUCGAGUCAAAGAUAUACCAUUUAUAUUAGAUUGAGAAGACUAAUCAAUUUCUCUAGUUUUCUCCCUAAUGUAUAAAUUUCUCUAGUUUUCUCCCUAAUUAUAAAAUACAUCUGGUUUUUCAAGUCCAGAUUUUAGGAUAAAAAGAAUUUAUUUCUUGAAAUUAAUGCAUAAAACAAUAUAAAAAUAUUUUUAAUAAAUUAAAAUAGUAGUAAAAGUAAAUUUAGUUUUUGAUUGAAGUGUAAACUAGUGGUAAAUGAACAAAAAGAAACUUUAUUGAUUAUCUAAUGAGUUACUUCUCCAAAAAGAAUAUAUAUAUUAUUGAAUAUCUAAUGGAAAGGAUUCAUGAAACUCCGCCAUAUAUAUAUAUAAAAGAGAAAUUGUCGAUAAUAGCAAUCAUUUUCUUAUCUCUUGUAUCAUUCAUAUCUUCCACAAAUCUUAAGUAAUUGAUGAGACAGUGGAUAUUGCCAAGAAAGGUCGUGAACGCGGAUGCUUGACGAUUAUGAUUUUUAAACACAACCAUAUAGUGAUUUCCUUAUGCAUACUGGUGAUCCUCCAGAAUCUUGUAGGAACACCACAAGCCAAUCUAAAAGAAUGCUAAAAGUCAAAACACACAAGCCAUAUAAAAAUCACACGACAGCCAAUUACCUUAUCUUUUGAAAGAAAGAUAAUAAUAAUAAUAAUAAUAAUAAUAAUAAUAAUAAAAGCAUUCUCCUGGGUGUGCAAUGACCGCCAAUCUUUCUCAUUAUGACAUUCAAUGCUCAGUUAGAAGUUGCACGAUGCUCUUCUCAUGGGGAGCAAAAAUCAGUAGCCUCCCAUGGAAUCCUCAUAAACCUUUCUCUAUGCUCUUCUAAGAUAUUAAAAAUGUCAAACAUACAUCAAUAAUAAAAAGACAUUAAAAAUGUCAAACAUACAUCUAAGAUAUUACGCAAAACGAGGUUUUUUUCUGCAAAAAAAUAAAAAUAGAAUGUUAUACAAAUGGAGCUUCCAACAAAAAAGAUAUGGGAAGUUCGAGGAAAAAAAUGAUUAGUUAAUUCAAAACACCAGCAGUAAGUAAUAAUUACAAAACACGAUACCGAAACCAAAUUGAAAAGUGAGCAAGAAUACAAAAAUGGUUACAUGUAUCAAAAGGAACUGGUACCAAUUUCUCCACCACUGUAUGUCCCUUUUGUUCAGUCUAUGUUUGGUGCAAUCACCUAAAGCUAGAAACAAAAACAGCGCCUUACUCUACAAGUAGCUCAUCAAAGUAUAUGUUGUAAAUUGCAAACACGUGCUAACAAUAAAUUGUGGCCAGAGGAUUUGCUUCGAUCCCAGAGGCCAUUGAGGAUAUUCGUCAAGGAAAGGCUCAUGCACCCUCUUGAUUUGAUGAUUCUUUGCAUUUAGUUAUUGUUGUUGAUGAUGAACAAAUUAAGAGAAAAUGAGGGGGGCCUUAUAAUGGCAGCGUCAAAGGCAACACCAGAAGCUAUGGCAUUUAUUGUCAAGCAUGGGACUGGUAUAGUGUGUGUGAGCUUCCAUUAAUGGUAACUCAUAAGGAGAAUGAGGAAAACUGUGCACUGCAUUUACUGUAUCAGUGGUACGUCAUUAACUUCUCCAUUUAUAUUAUCUAAUGGAUAUGAUCUUUUCAAGAAACCUUUAUCUUGGUUUGAUUUUAAAGUGCUAAUUUAAUUGCGGAUUCUGUCCCAGAUGAGGUCCGGUUUCCUGAAAUCAAAGAUGUCUACACUGUCCCGUGGACUUAUAGUUCAGUUGCUCAAUCAGAACUGAUGACAUCUGCACAUUCGGCGACUCCAGCAUUAAUUGUGGCCUUGACAGAUUGUGAGAGGCCAGAUGGGAUGGAUUAGAUGCGUCUGAGUUUGUUGGAGAGGAAGACUUGCAGAAUAAUUUUGAGGGAGUGGGUGGCAGUUCGAUGGAGCGGUUCCUGUUGGUGCAACGCCGAACACAUGCCACGCAGGAUAUAUAGAAAUGCUAGUCAGCUUAUGAAAUCCGAGGUUGAUACGAUACUUAUCUUCAUAGAUUGUGAAUGUUGUUCUUUUUUCUACAAACGAUCCGUUAUGCAAAGCAAAUUCCAAGACCAGAAAAAUAAUGUUUAGAGUUAAAAGACAAUGUCUUAGCAGCAAGGACCUAUUCCAUCAGGAGAUAUGUGAAUUCUCAAGCCUUUGCAAUGCUUUUAAAUUAAUGAAGGAUCAAAAUGAAAAUGUUAUAUUCAUAACUAUACUGCAAUUUUGCCCAUAAUUCUUCUUUAAUUCUGUCCAGAAUCUUGGAUUAUGCUCCAGGGACCAAUCUGGAAUUUUAGUAGAUUUUUAAGGGUCAAAUUGUAAUUUUAUCAAAUUGAAGGACCAAAAUAAAAAUGUCAUAGAUUCAUAACUAUACUGGAAUUUUGCUUGUAAUUCAUCUUUAGUUCUGUCCAGAAUCUAGGAUUAUGCUUCAGGGAUCAAUCUGUAAUUUUUUCAAAGUUUGGGGAUUAACUUAAAUUUUCACAAAUUGAGGGACCAAAUUGAAAUUUUAUUAUCUUCAACCUCAAACCCAGAUUUUUCAUAGAUCACCUACUGAUAUAUCAAGAUUUCGAACUCAAAUUCAUCAUUUAAACAAACUAUAACUCAAAAUCAUCAUUUUUACCUAAAAUUUUCAAAAAUCAACUAAAUAACUCAUUACCCAUAACAGUCAUUCCGCUAAAUUAUUUCUACUUCUGCUUCUUCUUCUUCUUUUUUAUAAUACUCGAGUAUUAUUAUAGAAAGAUGCUUGAGCCAAAAUUAGAGGCUAUCUAGCAUAAAAGAAAAACAGAGGUAUAUACAGGACAGAGAGGAAGUAAUAACAUUAUAUAUAUAUAUAUAUAUAUAUAUAAAACUUGAGUUAACCCGUCAAGUCUAUGACCUGGAUUAUGAGAUCGGGAUAAGCAAACUCAAUAUUAAAAAAUAAAAUUGAAAAAAAAACAAUAAAAACAUAUAUGGUUUAACAAUAUUAAUCAAUUAUUAAAAUAUUUCAUUUUAUAUAUAUUAAAAAUAUAUAUUAAUAACUAUUAUAUCAGUUUGUGAAUGUUUCAAUUUGGAUGCAAAUAGAUGUUUAAUUAUCUAUGACAUUUUUUUUAAGAAACCAAAGUUAUUAAAUAUGGUUAGAUUUAAUACCUAGAUAAGGGUUUAGGUCAUAGAUUGGCUUAAUACUCGGAUCAAGAUUUGAAUUAUAGAUCGAACAAGUUAGCUUAUUGAUUGAUGUUAAUAAAAAAUUGUAUCAUUUUAAGAUUAUUUUUUAGUAAAAACCAAAAUCAAGUAGUUAAAAAAAGUGAAAGUAGUUUUUGAUAGGGUUGACUAGGUUGUAAGUUGAUUUAUCUAGUCGAUUAGGCUUGAUUGAGUCAACUCUCACUUGGUUUUUUUUAAAUCUAAAUCGGGUCAGGUUCCAGAUUAAAAUGUUAGGCUUGAAUUAAAUUUAAUAACGCUGAUUAAAAUCACAUUGUAGAAAAAAAAUGAAUUGCAUAAAAGUAAUUAACCAAAAACUUGUAUUCCUUCUUAUAAAGUUGAACCCAUGUCAGUUUCUUUUUUGGAAAAAUAUAAAUCAAAGGUUAACGCUACUUUCAUGACGAUGACGGAUAAAGAAGACUUGCUCCUUUCUUUAUGGAAAUAACGUGUGGAAAAUCAUGCCUUAAUUUUGAUGGUGAUGGCCAAAUCAAACAGUAUCGUUGAUAAAAUGAACCACAAAUGAUAUUAUUUCUACAAGACUUCUUGUCAUUGUCAUGACAAUAAGUCUUCUCCUUUUUCUUUCUAAAGAGUCUAUUUUUUGUAACACAAUCAACAAGUAAGAUGGAUAGAAAUUUGCAGUGUGAGAUGGGUCUGUGAGACUAUAUAUUGCCAUUUGUAUUUUUUUCAUGAUAAAGGCUAAUUGGAUGGUCCUAUCAAGCGUUUUUUUUACGAGAUGGGUCCAUAAAAACAUUUCCAUCUACACAUUGAUCCCUGAAACCUUUGCCAUAAUGCAUUUUUUCCACGAGAUGGGUUCGUGGAAAUACUUUGGUUUAAUAGGGAAUGCUGUUAUUGAUUGGAAACUUUUUAAUUAAAAUAAAUUUGAUUAUUUGAUUGGAAGAAAUCCUUAAAUGUUAUUAACACAAAGAAAUCAAUUUAUUUUCUUAAGAAAAAAAUAUUGUAACCAUAUAAGUAAUUUAUUUAUUUAUUUUAAUGAAAUAUAAAAUAGUUUUAAAUCUUGUGGUAUAUUUCUUGUCUUUAAGAGCUAUGAACUUAUAUCUCAAAACUUGAAAACUAAUAUAAAGAUAUUAAGUGAUCAUUGAGUGUAUGUGUGUGUGUAUAAUCUUUUUCAAAACAAAAAGGAUUUUGAUGGAGAGGACAUUGCAGCAAAUUAUCCACGAGAUGGGUCGGUGAUACCAUUGUCAUCAUGUAAUUUUUCCCACGAGAUGGGGCCGUACGCUUGGGGCUCUAAAAGCUAUGGUUUUUAAUUUCAUUAUGUUACAUAUCUAGAAUGGGAGGUAUAUUUUAUUUCAAUUCUAAAAAUGAAAUAAAUUAGAAGAUAUUUCAUCUUGUUUAGAAUAUUAUCUCCUUACAUGCAUGAAUUUCACAUAAAUUUUGACCAGAAUAUUUCGGUUCUAUUCCGGCCAUUCUAUUAUGUCCAAAUAAUGUUUUGUUUUGCUUUUAUAUAUAUAAAAAAUAUAAUUUAUUUUUAUGAUAUCAAUUAUACAUUUCAAUUCGACUAUUGGAUUAAACUGAAAUUUUAUAAUCUCCUAAUAUGUAUUAUAUCACAAGUUAAAAUUUUAGAUCAAUCAGAGUUUAGAAAGACUUUGUGAAAUUACUGUUGAUAUAUUUUCAUAAUUUUAUUUAAAUUCAUAAUUUUAUUUUGAAAUGUUUUAUUUUUUGUGGUUUUUUAGAUUGAUUUUUUUUCAUUUUAUAAUUUAACAAUAAAUUUAUUAAAAAUUAAAAUUCAUAAUUUAUUUUUAUUUAUUUUAUUUAAAAUUAUUAUAUUAUCAUUACUCAGAUCACGAAAAAAAAACCUUUGCUUUAAUUGGGAAUGCUGUUACAAGUAAUUGGACUCCGUGGGAUGGGAGACCGUUGCCAUCAUGCAUGUUUUUUCCACGGCAUGGGUCCGUAAAGUCCUCUAUAAAAGCUUAAACCUCCUUACUAUCCUCUAUAUCAAUUGAUCAGCAUUUAUAAGAUGGGGCUGUCUGUUCCUUCUGAUGUUGAUGGUUUUAGUAAUGAUGGUUUCUUGCAAGGAUGGCUGCCUCUUGGAGUAUAUUGACUUGAGAAUUAAUUGUUUUGAUAACAGUAUUUUAUUAUUUGUGGAGUUAUUUCUAUUUUUUAAAUUAUUAUAUUUAGAUUAUAAUAGAGUGAAAGAGUUAAUAGGUUUAAGAGAUUAGGAAAAAGCUACUAUUAAUUAUAGUUAGGGACCAAACUGGAAUUUUUGCACAUUUUUAAGGGUCAAAUUGUAAUUUUAUUAAAUUGAUGAAGGACCAAAAUGAAAAUAUCAUAUUUAUAACUAUACUGUAAUUUUGCCCAUAUUUCUUCUGUAAUUUUGCCUAGAAUCUCGGAUUAUGCUCUAGGGACCAAUCUGUAAUUUUUUUCAAAGUUUGGGGAUUAAACUGAAAUUUUCAUAAAUUGAGGUACCAAACUGAAAUUUUUUCAUCUUCAACAUCAAACCCAGAUUUUUCACAAAUCACCUAUUGAUAUAUCAAGAUUUUUAACUAGAUGAGGGUUUAGGUCAUAGAUUGGCCUAAUACUCGGAUCAAGAUUUGAGUCAAGUUAGCUUAUUGACUAGUGUUAAUAAAAAAUUAUAUUAUUUUAAGAUUUAAUUUAAUUAAAUAGAUCCAACUACCAUGCAAUUCCACAAUUAAUUUAUUUUAUUAUGAUUUAGUGUUAUGUUAACCAGGCAACAUUUAAUUACCAUGAUAUAAAAUACAAAAAUAGUGGGAACAUAAAAAAACAUGCUUUUAUAUAUUUUUUAUUUUAAAAGUAUAAAUUUUACUUUAAGACUAUUGUAAAAAGAUAUUUAUUUUAAAUUUAUUUAUAUUUUUAUAAUUCAAAAAUUAAAAAUAAAACAGAAUUAAUCCAUACUCAUCUAAAAACAAUUAACUCUAACAUCAUUAUUUUAUAACAAAACUAGCAAAGAUAAUUUAUUAAUCACUAAGUUUUCUGGUUAUAAAUACAUUAGUAAGUGUCUUUGUCUCUUUUGUAUUUCUAACUAUUAACGAAUUGAAAGAAUAAAUUUAGAAUCACCAAUUAAGCAGUGAAUCACACGGGAAGAUUGAAAGAAUAAUUAAAGUGAUUAUACUAACCGACAAGUCGACCCCAAGUCAAAGUCUUCUGUGGAAAAACAUGAAUAAAAGGUGGACGCUGGGCAGCUCACUUUCCAUGAAGAUGAUGGAUACAGAGCCCUCCCUUCUAUCUUUAUGGAAAUCACGUCUAGAAAAUCAUGCUUUAAUUUUAAGCUUGAGAGGGGAUGAUAUAUAUAUAUAUAUAUAUAUAUAUAUAUAUAUAUAUAUAUAUAUAUAUAUAUAUAUGCUUUAAUUUCAACUUGUAUAAAAAAUAAAUCUUAAUGACUGGUGAUUUAAACUUGGGUGUUUUUUCGGUAUUAAUAUAUAUAUUCCUCAAUUAUCAUAAAGAAUUAAGAAAAAACUAAUAAUAAGAUUAAAAUAAAUGUUUUAUAUAUCGAAAUAAUUAAAAGUAAGGUUUACUUAAGGUAUAUAUGGGAUUAAUUUAAAAUAACAAUAAAAUCAAUUUAUUAAAAAAAAUCAUAAAUUUAGUUUUCCUAAAUUUUAAAUGUAGUGUGAAUGCAUUCCGCAAGAAAAAAACAGUGCAAAAUUAGCCUUUCAAGAAAUAGAGAAUCUUCCUCUUUGAAGGAAUUAAUUAGUGGGUUGGAAAAAUGUCGUCUUCUGCUCUAAUAUUUUCUUCACUUUCUCUAUAGUUUUACCUUACACCAAUAUUGUCAGAAAAUGAUACAAUAUACUUCUUGUGUUAUCCUUCAAGAUUUCAAUUGAAAAUUAAGGAGGGUCGUAAAAAAUUUAAUUUUUAUAAACAUAUCCUUAACUCUGUAUCUUCUCUAGAUAUGUCUGUGACUGAGCUCCAUAAAGAAUUCCUAUUUAACAUUAAUCUGUCCAUCAAGUUUUUGAUCCCCGAUUAAGGCCAUCUUGAUAAAUGAGAUUUUACUCUGUAAUUUUAAUGUAUAGCUGUCAAUGACCUGAAACAUGCAAAUUAAAAUUCAAAGUGUGAGCAUUGAAUUUCUUGUCAGUUUACACCCUUCUGUGGUGUUUCCUCUUUCCAUUGAUUGAAGAGCGUCCAAGAGGAAAAACUGAAAAGGCAAAAGUUCUAUUGUACAGUGAAAAAGAGCAUGAGAAAUACACAGAAGCAGAGAUGCAUGAAUCCUUCUCCACUAGCAGCUCUCGUCCAUAGGAUCAUUGUGGUUUCAAGAUUGAUGCCCAAUCAUUUCCCUCUUUGUUCGAUUCCUCAGACCUUUUGGAAACUGUACAUUCCGGGGGAAAGUCUGUGCAAGGGCAAAAGGCGACGGUGGACUUGACAAAGGGCUGAGGGGUGGGUGAGAUGUUAUGUCAAGAAAUGAUUUUGGAAAAUUUCUUCAUAUGUGUUGAAUAACUAAGAUAAGAUAGGAGUCUUGAACAAGGCAAAAGCAUAGGCUCUCCAAGACGAUUGACCAGAAGGAGAGAAGGAAGGCUCUAUAUCCUUAGCACGUCAAACACUCCUUUGCACAUUAGAGAAAUUGUCGAGUUAUUCCUGCUUCUUCUUCUUCUUCCUUUUUUUUUUUUUUAUUUAUAAUAGUCCAGUAUUAUUAUAGAAAGGUGCUCGAGCCAAAAUUAGAGACUAGCUAGCAUAAAAGAAAAACAUAGGACAAUAUAUACAAGACAGGGGAGGAAGUAAUAACAUAACAUAAUAUAUAUAUAUAUAUAUAUAUAUAUAUAUAUAUAUAUAUAUAUAUAUAUAUAUAUUAAAAAAAACUUGAGUUAACGCAUCAACUCAACGACCCGAAUCAUGAGAUCAGGAUAAGCAAACUCAAUAUUAAAAGAUGAAAUUUAAAAAAAAAACCUUAAAAACAUAUAUGGUUUAACAAUAUUAAUUAAUUAUUAAAAUCUUUCAUUUUAUAUAUAUUAAAAAUAAAUAUUAAUAACUAUUAUAUCAAUUUGUGAAUGUUUCAAUUUGAAUGCGAACAAAUGUUUUAUAUAUGACAUUUUUCUUAAGAAUGUCUCUUUCAUUAAAACCAAAAUUAUUUAACAUGAUUAGAUUUAAUACCCUGAGAGUUUAGGUCAUAGAUUGGCCUAAUACUCGGAUAAGAUUGAGAUCAUAUAUCAGACAAGUUAGCUUAUGUUGAAUGGUGUUAAUCUAAAAUUGUAUUAUUUUAAGAUUUUUUUUAGAAAAAAUCAAAAUUGCGUAGUUAAAAAAAAUAAAACUAGUUUUUGACUGAAUUAACUAGGUUGUGGGUUGAUUUAUUUAGUCGAUUAGGCUUGGUUGGGUCAGCUCUCACUUAGUUUUUUCUAAACCUGAAUUGGGUUAGGUUCCAGAUUAAAAUGUUAGGCUUGAAUUAAAUUUAAUAAUGCUGAUUAAAACCACAUUGUAGAAAAAAAAUUAAAUUGCAUAAAAGUAAUUAACCGAAAACUUGUAUUCCUUCUUGUAAAGCUGAACCCGUGUCAGUUUUAUUGAAGGAAAACUAUGAACCAAAGGUUAAUGCUACUUUCAUGACGAGAAGACUUGCUACUUUCUUUAUGGAAAUAACGUGUGGAAAAUCAUGCCUUAAUUUUGAUGGCGAUGGUAAAAUCAAAGAGUAUCGUUGAUAAUUAAAUGCUUAUGCAUAAAAAAUAAAUCUCAAGUGUUAGAAUGCAACCACUGAUUAAUUAAUGGACAACGGACCUUGGAUUAAUACAUGACGCAACUUUCAAUGGAAUUAUAUUUGUGGAGGUAUUUACUCGGAUGUGAAUUAUAUUUUUAUUUUUUUAUUUUAAAAAAAAUUCUAUAUACUACAACUAGCUUAAGAAAGUCAAAAAAAUUUAAGUGAAAAAAAAUAUAUAUAUAUUUAUAUACACUCACGCACACACAAAAAUAUAGUCAAAUAAAUCAAGAACUAUGUGUGUUAAUAAGUGGAAAAAAAAACCUUAAACGAUAACUCAAAAUAAAAACUAGAAAAAUCAAGAGACAAGUGUAUAUCAAGAUAUUUAAUUUCACAUGACGUGACAUUUUUUUUUUUGGAUUCGACGAAACCUCACCCCUCCGAAAAGCACACUUUGUGGGCCCAGGUGAGGGAGUAAAACCCCGGCUGUCCCAGGCUCUUACAAAAGGUGCACGCCCUGACUCGAACUCGAGACCUGCUGUGCAGAUCUCAAACCCUUUGCCAUCACGCUACGCCCCUUGGGGACAACGUGACAUUUACGCAGUAUUGUUUUCUAAAUUUUCUAAUUAAAAUAAUUUUUUAUUUGAUCAAACGAUAAUAUAAACAGACACACACAUUCUAAAUUGAUUGAAUAAAAAAAAAAUAUAUGCAAAGCUGUAUAUAUUAAAAAUAUUAUUUGAAAAUAAUUUGUUUUUCAAAAAUAAAGUUCAUCUAUGUAAAAGAUUUUAAAAAAAUAUAGAUUAAUCAAAAAAACCUCUUUAAAAAUUAAAUUCAUGAUUAAAAAAUAAUCAUCAUUUCAAAUAGGCUUUUUAAAUAACUAAAAAGAGAGAAGGGAUAUUAAUAUAAAUAUAAAUAUAACUAAAAUUAAGAUUAUUUUAAAAAAAUAGAUAAAAAAAAUUUUAAGCGAAAAAAAGUGAACAGACACGGUGAACUUAACUCAUAAACUCAACUGAAUUUAAUAUUUUUUUCGUUAAAUUUAUUAUAAAUAUAAAAAAAAACAAAAUUAAUAUCAUUCACGGUAAAACAUAAAUAAAAAACAGUACAACCGCAUAGUAUUCACCUCAGGCAUUUUCUUUUAAAUUUAUAGCCAAACCUUAAAAAUAAACUUUUGUGCUCAGUAUCUUUUUAAGGUGAAUUAACAAGUUUCAACUCAUCUCUGUAUCUUCUCUAGAUACAGAGAAUUCCUAUUUAACAUUAAUCUGUCCAUCAAGUUUUUGAUUCCCAAUUAAGACCAUCUUGAUAAAUGAGAAUUUACUCCGUAAUUUUAUUGUAUAGCUGUCAAUGACCUGAAACAUGCAAAUUAAAAUUCAAAGUGUGAGCAUUCAAUUUCUUGUCAGUUUACACCUUUCUGUGGUGUUCCCUCUUUCCAUUGAUUGAAGAGCGUCUAAGAGGAAAAACUGAAAAGGCAAAAGUUAUGUUGUACAGUGAAAAAGAGCAUGAUCAGAAAUACACAAAAACAGAGAUGAAUGAAUCCUUCUCCACUAGCGCUCUCGUCCAUCGGAUCAUUGUGGUUUCAAGACCGAUGCCCAAUCAUUGCCCUCUUUGUUCGAUUCCUCAGACCUUUUGGAAACUGUACAUUCCGGGGGAAAGUCUGUGCAAGGGCAAAAGGGGACGGUGGACUUGACAAAGGGCUGAGGGGUGGGUGAGAUGUUAUGUCAAGAAAUGAUUUUGGAAAAUUUCUUCAUAUGUGUUGAAUAACUAAGAUAAGAUAGGAGUCUUGAACAAGGCAAGAACAUAGGCUCUCCAAGACAAUUGACCAGAAGGAGAGAAGGAAGGCUCUAUAUCCUUAGCACGUCAAACACUCCUUUGCACAUUAGGGAAAUUGUCGAGUUAUUUCUGCUUCUGCUUCUGCUUCUUCUUCUUUUUAUAAUAGUCGAGUAUUAUUAUAGAAAGGUGCUAGAGCCAAAAUUAGAGGCUAGCUAGCAUAAAAGAAAAACAAUGAUUAAUUGCAAGAGAUGGUUACUUAUACCAGUAGCAAUUUAGUAAUGAUUAAUUAGCAUUUAUAUUAAGAUGUGGCUAUUAAUUCAAAUGUUAACAAUGAUUUUCUUGGAAGGAUGAUUGCCUCUUGGUUACUUUAAAAUAUACGGUUUUUUUAGUUCAAAUCUAUUAAUAAAAAUAUAGUUUUAUUGAAUUUUUUUAUAUACUUUUAUUAGAGAAAUUAAUUUAAACACAUUUAUAUACAGACACUAGUUUAUCAAGUACUUCAAUAGAAAAAUAAAAUCAAUUAGAGUACUUAAAUAAAAAAAAAUAUAAAUUAUAAGCAUUUUACAUAUCUUUAUUGUUUAUAAAUUAAAAAUAAAAUAAUAUCAAUCCAGACUAAUCUAAAAAAAAAUUAACUAUGACAUCAUCAUUCUAAUAAUAAAACUAAUAAAGAUGUUUUAUUGAUUAAAUUUCGUGAUACAGGGUUGAAACAAAAAAGAGAUGAAGAGAGAGGAGGGAAUGGAAAGAAGGGAAAAAAGAACUCAUGCGAUCUGUUGUUUGUAAGUUUUUUACAUAAUAUAUAGGAAGGUAUUUUAAUUAUUUUGUUCAAAUUAAAAAUUUUCAUUGACUAAAAAGCGUAAUUAUCUAAAACAUAAAAGCAAAGUAAAAAACUCAAAUGCUUCAUUAAAAAACUCAAUUGAUUCGGUGCUUUAUUAGUUUCUAUAGUAUGGUGUCUUAUGCAUUUUGUUCUAAUCAUAUAUGGGAAAGUGUUUGGUUGAUUAACGUAUAUCAUGACUUUGUAUGGGUCCUACCACAAACUCUCUCUUUUGAAAUAUUAAUUAAGAAAAAGCUAUAAUUUAUAGUUUUUUUAAAUUUAUUUUUUCAAAUUACAAUCAUAUAAACUACUAUAAUAUCAAAUACAUAUUUGAAUAAGACUCAGUAAAAAUUUUCUUCUUCUAAAUACAAAGUGGAAAUGAGUUACUUUCUCCAAAAAGAAUAUAUACAAUAUUAUCGAUUAUCUAAUGCAAACUCCGUCUAACAUACACAGAGAAAGAGAGAGAACCUUAACUAUGUUUAUUUUAUGCACUUUAAUUAAAAAUAAAUUUUGGAUUGUACGAGAGACUUUAAUUAAAUUUCAAUAUUAAAUUUAUGCACUUUAAUUAACAUACACAGAUCAACUAUUAAUAUAUCAAGACUUUUAACUCAAAUUCAUUAUUUAAACAAACCAUAACUUAAAAUUAUUAUCUUUAUCUAAAAUCUUUAAAAAUCAAUGAAAUAACUCAUUAUUCAUAAUAAUUAACCUGCUAAGUUAUUUCUGCUUCUUCCUUUUUAUAAUAGUCGAGAAUUAUAUAUUAUAGAAAGGUGCUAGAGUUAAAAUUAGAGGCUAGCUAGCAUAAAAGAAAAACAGAGGUAUAUACAAGACAGGGGAGGAAGUGUGCGUGCGUGCGUGUGUGUGUGUGUGUGUGUGAUCCCUUCUCAAGCUUAAAAGUAAAGCAUGAUUUUCUAGACGUGAUUUCCAUAAAGAUAGAAGGGAGGGCUCUGUAUCCAUCAUCUUCAAGGAAAGUGAGCUGGCCAUCGUCAACCAUUUAUUUAUGUUUUCAACCAUUUAUUUAUGUUUUUCCACAAAAGACUUUGACUUGGGGUCAACUUGUCGGUUAAUUACUUUUAUGCAAUUCAAUUUUUUAAAAAUAUAUAUAUAUAUGCUUUAAUUUCAACUUAAGUUAUAUACGGGACGAUAAAAAAAUAACAAUAAAAUCAAUUUAUAAAAAAAAUCAUAGAUUUAGUUUUCCUAAAUUUUAAAUGUAGUGUGAAAGCAUUCCGCAAGAAAAAAACAGUGCAAAAUUAGCCAUGACAAUAAGUCUUUUUCUUUCUAAAGAGUUUAUUUUUUGUAACACAAUCAAUAAGUAAGAUGGAUGGGAAUUUGCAGUGUGAGAUGGGUUUGUGAGACUAUAUAUUGCCAUCAGCAUUUUUUCCAUGAUAUAGGCUUGUAGGAUGGUCCAUGAGACCAUUGCUAUAUAUCAAGCGUUUUUUCUACGAGAUGGGUCCAUGAGACCAUUACCUCGUAAGCUUGGGAAUGGAUAACAUGAUUUAAUGUUUAUUUAGUUUAAAAAAAAAUUAAAUGCUUAUGCAUAAAAAAUAAAUCUCAAGUGUUAGAAUGCAACCACUGAUUAAUUAAUGGAUAAUGAACCUUGGAUUAAUACAUGACGCAACUUUCAAUGGAAUUAUAUUUGUGGAGGUAUUUACUCGGAUGUGAAUUAUAUAUAUAUAUAUAUAUAUAUAUAUAUAUAUAUAUAUAUAUAUAUAUAUAUAUAGGGGCACACACAAAUAUAGUCAAAUAAAUCAAGAAUUAUAUGUGUUAAUAAGUGAAAAAAAAAAUAUUAAACUAUAACUCAAAAUAAAAACUAGAAAAACCAAGAGACAAAUGUAUAUAAAGAUAUUUAAUUUCACAAGACGUGAUAUUUACGCAGUAUUGUUUUCUAAAUUUUCUAAUUAAAAUAAUUUUUUAUUCGAUCAAACGAUAAUAAAAAUAGACACAUACAUUAUAAAUUGAUUGAAUAAAAUAAAAGGAGAAAAAAUAAUAUGCAAGGCUGUACAUAUUAGAAAUAUUAUUUGAAAAUAAAUUUCUUUUUAUUUUCAAAAAUAAAGUUCAUCCAUGUAAAAUAUUUUUAAAAAAUAUAGAUUAAUCAAAAAAAUCUCUUUAAAAAUUAAAUGCAUGAUUAAAAAAUAAUCAUCAUUUUAAAUAGGCUUUUUAAAUAACUAAAAAGAGAGAAGGGAUAUUAAUAUAAACAUAAAUAUAACUAAAAUUAAGAUUAUUUAAAAAAAAUAGAUAAAAAAAUUUUAAGCAAAAAAAAGUGAACAGACAACUUAUAAACUCAACUGGAUUUAAUAUUUUUCCUGUUAAAUUUAUUAUAAAUAUAAAAAAACAAAAUUAAUAUCAUUCAUGGUAAAACAUAAAUAAAUAAAUAAAUAAAACAGUACAACCGCAUGUUAUUCACCUCAGGCAUUUUCUUUUAAAUUUAUAGCCGAACCUUAAAAACAAACUUUUGUGCUCUGUAUGUUUUUAAGGUGAAUUAACAAUUUUCAACUCAACUCGGUACCUUCUCUAGAUAGAUCUGUGACUAUGCCUUGGAUUUUCUCAAAACUACUAAGUGUGUGCUUGAGAGGGUGAUUAUAGUUGUUUUUUAAAGUGUUUUUCACUCAGAAAAACAUGUCAAUAAUAUUUUUUUAUAUUUUAAAAUUUAUUUUCGAAAUCAGCACAUCAAAAUGAUUUAAAAACAUCAAAAAUAUAUUAAUUUAAAGUAAAAAAAAAAUUCAAAUUUUUGCGGAAGUGCUUUUGAAAAGCACUCCCAAACACUCCCAUGGUUGGAUACCAAGUAAAUAGAGAUAAAUUUAUUUCCUGUUAUUCUCCGAUAGUAUCUUCGUCCCUUGAUAGAACUUUCUUGGAGAUGAUGAGCUACCACUCCCUUUUGACUUUGCUGGCCUCCCAAAUAUAAAUAAAGAAUUCCUCUUGAUAGAAUUUUCUUCGAAAUGAUGAGAAUAUUUUAGAAUAUUCUGGUUGACGCCAGCUGUCAACAACUAUCUUACAUUCCCAACGCAUGCCUUUGCAAGAUGUUAAAGGCUCAUCUAAAAACAAUUAACUCUGAUAUCGUUAUUUUAUAACAAAUUAGCAAAGAUAAUUUAUUAAUCACUAAGUUUUCUGGUUAUAAAUACAUUUGUAAUUGUCUUUAUCUCUUUUGUAUUUCUAACAAUUAACGAAUUGAAUAUAUAAUAAAUACCGACUGAAAGAAUAAAUUUAGUUUAAAUGUGCUAAAGUUUAAAUAGGCGACUUUAGAAUCACCAAGAAGGCAGUGAAUCACACGGGAAGAUUGAAAGAAUAAUUAAAGUGAUUUUACUAACAUUGUAAAAGUAAUUAACCGAAAAGUUGACCCCAAGUCAAAGUCUUCUGUGGAAAAACAUGAAUAAAAGGUUGACGCUGGGCAGCUCACUUUCCAUGAAGAUGAUGGAUACAGAGCCCCCCCUUCUAUCUUCAUGGAAAUCACGUCUAGAAAAUCAAACAUUAUUAUUGCCAUCUGCGUUUUUUCUUAGAGAUGGGUCCGUUCCACCAUUUCCCCUCAAGCUUGAGAUAUAUAUACGUGACACGAUUUAAUUUCAAAUCUUAAUGUAGUGUGUUAGAAUGCAACCACCGAUUGAUUAAAUUUAAUGGCUGGUCAUUUAAACUUGGGUGUUUUUUCGGUAUUAAUAUAUAUAUAUAUAUAUAUAUAUUCCUCAAUUAUCAUAAAAAAUUAAGAAAAAACUAAUAAUAAGAUUAAAAAUAAAUGUUUUAUUUAUCGAAAUAAUUAAAAGUAAGGUUUACUUAAGGUAUAUAUGGGAUGGUAAAAAAAUAACAAUAAAAUCAAUUUAUAAAAAAAAAUCAUAGAUUUAGUUUUCCUAAAUUUUAAAUGUAGUGUUUAUAAUUAAUUAAUUAAUUGAGAAUUUGAGCUCUUCUAAAAGUUGUUUAUGGACUUUUGUUUUCCGGAGAAAACUCCCUUAAAACCUUUGAGCACUUCCUUCUCUAAAAUAUAUGUUUUUGCCAUAACUCAGGGGCUCUGUAUCUUUUAAGGUGAAUUAGGCUUUAUAUCUUUUUAAGGUGAAUUAACAAGUUUCAACUCAUCUCUGUAGAUACAUAGAAUUCCUAUUUAACAUUAAUCUGUCCAUCAAGUUUUUGAUCCCCAAUUAAGACCAUCUUGAUAAAUGAGAUUUUACUCUGUAAUUUUAAUGUAUAGCUGUCAAUGACCUGAAACAUGCAAAUCAAAAUUCAAAGUGUGAGCAUUGAAUUUCUUGUCCGUUUACACCUUUCUGUGGCGUUUCCUCUUUCCAUUGAUUGAAGAGCGUCUAAGAGGAAAAACUGAAAAGGCAAUCACUAGCGGCCCUCGUCCAUCGGAUCAUUGUGGUUUCAAGAUUGAUGCCCAAUCAUUGCCCUCUUUGUUCGAUUCCUCAGACCUUUAGGAAACUGUAUAUGAGAUGUUACAGAGUGACGGAGGACUUGACAAAGGGCUGAGGGGUGGGUGAGAUGUUAUGUCAAGAAAUGAUUUUGGAAAAUUUCUUCAUAUUUGUUGAAUAACUAAGAUAGGAGUCUUGAACAAGGCAAGAACAUAGGCUCUCCAAGACGAUUGACAGAAGGAGAGAAGGAAAGCUCUAUAUCCUUAGCACGUCAAACACUCCUUUGCACAUUAGAGAAAUUGUCGAGUUAUUUCUGCUUCUGCUUCUGCUUCUGCUUCUUCUUCUUUUUAUAAUAGUAGAGUAUUAUUAUAGAAAGGUGCUAGAGCCAAAAUUAGAGGCUAGCUAGCAUAAAAGAAAAAGAAAAACAGAGGACAGUAUAUACAACUAUACAAGACAGGGGGAGGAAGUAAUAACAUAAUAUUAAUAACUAUAUAUAUAUUAAAAAAACUCGAGUUAACCCAUCAAGUUUACGACCCGGAUUAUGAGAUCGGGAUAAGCAAACUCAAUGUUAAGAAAUGAAAUUAAAGAAAAAAACCAUAAAAACAUAUAUGGCGUAGUGUCUUAUCGAUUAAGUUUGAUUGGGUCAACUCUCACUUGGUUUUUUCUAAACCUAAAUUGGGUUAGAUUCUAGAUUAAAAUAUUAGGCUUGAAUUAAAUUUAAUAACACUGAUUAAAACCACAUUGUAGAAAAAAAAAAUGAAUCGCGUAAAAGUAAUUAACCGAAAACUUGUAUUUCUUCUUAUAAAGUUGAACUCAUGUCAGUUGUUUUUUAAGGAAAAAUAUGAAUCAAAGGUUAAAGCUAGGCAGCUCACUUUGCACGACAAUGACGGAUAUAGAAGACAUAACGUGUGGAAAAAUCAUGCCUUAAUUUUGAUGGUGAUGGCAAAAUCAAACAGUAUCGUUGAUAAAAUGAACCACAAAUAAUAUUAUUUCUAAAACACUUCUUGUCAUUGUGAUGACAAUAAGUCUUCUUCUUUGCAGUGUGAGAUGGGUUUGCAUUUUUAUUUUCCACGAUAAUUAAUUAAUUAAUUGAGAAGUUGAGCUCCUUAAGAAAAGUUGUUUAUGGACCUUUGUUUUCCGGAGAAAACUCCCUUAAAACCCUUGAGCACCACCUUCUCUAAAACAUCUAUCUUUGCCAUAACUGAGAGGCUCUGUAUCUUUUUAAGGUGAAUUAACAAGUUACAACUCAACUCUGUAUCUUUUUUAGAUAUGUAUGUGACUGUACCUUGAUGUUCUCACAACCAUUAAGAUGGAGACAAAUUUUCUUUUCUGUUAUUCUCCGAAAAUAUCUUCGUUCCUUGAUAGAAUUUUCUUGGAAAUGAUGAGCUUCCACUCCCUUUUGACUUUGCUGGCCUCCGAAAUAAUUAAAGAAUUCCUCUUGAUAGAAUUUCCUUGGAAAUGAUGAGAAUAUCUCACAUUCCCUUGGCAUCGUGUUCCAUGCCUUUGCAAAUUAUUAAAGGCUCCAAUGCAUGUGUCCUUUUAUUCAUGUUUUUCCACAAAAGACUUUUGACUUGGGGUCAACUUGUCGGUUAGUAAAAUCACUUUAAUUAUUCUUUCAAUCUUCCCGUGUGAUUCACUGCUUAAUUGGUGAUUCUAAAUUUAUUCUUUCAAUUCGUUAAUAGUUAGAAAUACAAAAGAGACAAAGACAAUUACUAAUGUAUUUAUAACCAGAAAACUUAGUGAUUAAUAAAUUAUCUUUGCUAGUUUUGUUAUAAAAUAAUGAUGUUAGAGUUAAUUGUUUUUAGAUGAGUUUGGAUUAAUUCUGUUAAUUUUAUUUUUAAUUUUUGAACUAUAAAAAUAUAGAUAAAUUUAAAAUAAAUAUCUUUUUACAAUAGUUUUUUAGUAAAAUUAGAGUAAAAUUUGUACUUUUAAAAUAAAAAUAUAUAAAAACAUGUAUUUUAUGUUCCCAUUAUUUUUGUAUUUUAUAUCAUGGUAAUUAAAUGUUGCCCGGUUAACAUAACACUAAAUCAUAAUAAAAAAAUAAUAAUUAUGGAAUGGCAUGGUAGUUGGAUCUAAUUUUUUUAUGGAAUGGCAUGGUAGUUGGAUCAUAAUAAGAGUAUUCAAAUUAAGAAUAUUUAAAUGAGUGUUAAUUGGGUUUAAAAGACUUACAAGCAAAAUAUAAGUUGUUUGUUAGAAUUCUUAUGGAUCCGAUAGAAAAUUAAUACUUCAUUCAUAUACAUUACAUGAGCAUAUAUAUAUUUCUUUUAUCAACAUAAUGAUAUGUUUAUUUAUGUAACAGGUCCAUCAAAUAUCCAUGGAGAUCAUUAGUUUAGGGCUCUACUUUGUCAAGCUUAUGUAAAUAUUUAACUUAAGCAAAAGGGAAUUAACGCAUUUAUGUAGUAUGCUUUUGUAUAAACCUUGAUGUAUUUAUAAAAGUUCAGCUUAGCAUGUAGUACUUUAGUUAUCUUGUAAUUAACCCUUCUGAAAUAUUUAAAAACACUUAUUAUGUUGUAAAUGCUUUAUUUACAUGUUAGUAUUCCUUUUUCUUUUAAUUUUAUGAUAUGAUAUAUGGGCUAUGUUCAUAUUGAACUUGCUCAUAGGAUAUAUAUAAAUAUAUAUUGUGUGGAUUAUAUGAGGUGUUGAAUUAUGAUGAUUAAUAUAAGGUUCGGAAUUAUGGGACCUUGUGAUGAUGGAUUGAUUGUGUAAAUUAAUAGUAGUCGAUAACUUGGGAUGUUCUAAAUACAAACAAAACUCUGCUGAAUUUUUGGUAGAUUUAAAAAAAAAAAUUACCCUCAAAUUAAAAGCAUAUGUUGAGAUCUUUUAACAUUGAUCAAGUCGUAUAGUUGGUUCUGUUACAUGUUAGGUAUACAAUGUCUCUGUGAUAUGGACAUAAUGAUUUUUGAUGUGUCAAAUUCUUACUAUUUCACUCUUAAGAGUAGAAAGAUCUACUUCGUUGGACAACCACCAAGGCUUAACAACAAUAAUGAGAAAAUAAGCAUGUGAAAGGAAAAAGACUUAAUCUUAUAAGCCCAAAUGAUUUUGAGAAUCAGGUUCAUGAAGAGUUUGUUGCAUUUGCUUUAGUGGCUAAGAAAGUUUUAGAGAAAGCACUCGAAGAAAUAAGUGUAGUUUUGAAAGAAUUUCAAGAUGUUUUUCCUCUCAAAGUUCAUAAUUCCUUACCCCAUUAUACGUGACAUUCAACACGUAAUAUUUUAUCCCUAGUUACCUCUUGGUUUCAAGCAAGAAACACACUUCAAUAUCAUUAUGCGUUACUGUAUUCCUAAUAGAUGCCCUCUUAGCAGACAUACCCAACCCACAACUAUUCCAGAAUAAAAUCUUCAUUGAUAAAUGAUUUUAAACCUUACCAAGUUAUACUGCAAAAUGGAAUUAUUCCCAAAACCCAAAGCAAAUAACAUCCUCUGCGCCUCAUCUUCAACAAUACAUUCUGCUGUUGCAGCAGAACUGUAAGUUAUCAUAUAACGAAGAUUCCCUUUUCUGAUUCUAGAAUCCAGUGAACCUGGUGAUUCCACCUCACGUUCAUCCUCCACCCGCUGAAGACUACCAUUGAAAGAGAAAAGCUCCACCUUUGGGUGUAAACUGGAUUGAUUGCAUCCCAUCUGAAUCACGUGGGCUUAAUGGAAGGAACGAACAAUUGUCGGUUUUAAAAGUUUGGUUUGUAACAAUCAUUGUAAUUCCAAAUUUCCAUACUCCUUCCAUUUAAGCAAUUAAUAAUAACAGAGAAUAUGUAUAAAUCUCAAUGUUGUUUUAAAUUUUAUGUAAGAUAGUACAGUUUCAUUCAAAAAAUGAGAAAGAACAAUAAAAAUCCUCAAAUUCUACCACCUUCAAUUCUCAUUCAUCAACAACAGCAUACAUUCAAACAAGUGAUCAAUAGUGUUGAUGAAAAAUAAAUCAUUAGCGAUCAAGUGACGAGGACUAUAGUAAGAUUGGCGCCAUUGUAAGCUUGACAAGCUUUGCCUACUCUAAUUAACAGCAACGAAAGAUUCAGUGCCUAAUCUCUGGACGGAGAAGGGGACGCCUUUGUUAUGUACAUGGUUGCCCUAAAUGGUUCGAUGAUGCUCAUUUUAAACAUUUUUUGUCAAGGUUGUCAAUUUUGCUCCGUUUAGUGUUUCAUUUUUUUAAUUGAAACGGUAUGUUUUGGUUUCGGAGCAUUUCAGUGUGUUGUUUCAGGAUUAUAUAUAUAUUAACUCAAUUAAACAUAAUUUAAAUUUAAAUUUAAAGAUAAAUUAACUUGAAAUUAUGCAAUUUAAAUUUCAAACACAAGUAAAAAAGUGAGAGACUGAUAUGACUUGAUCGACUAGAUGGGUCCAAAGACAACCUUUACGACUGGUAAGAAUAUAGUUUGACUCAAAAAAAUUUAAGAUGAUAUUUUUUAAAAAAUAUAUUGAGAUGACAACAUAUUAAAUCAACCUGGGUCAACUCGAUCGGAUUAACUUUCUAAAUUCGUAAUCCAGGUUAUGAGACCAUAAUAACCUAAAAUAAAGCAAAUCAAAACAAAUUAUAAAGCUGAAUUCUCAAUAAACAUGUUAUUGAAUGGUUAAAUUGGAAAAAUUUUAAUAUAAAAAAAGACACAAAAAAAUGACCUUCAGAGACUAUUGUCGUCACCAGAAUGUUUUGCCCGCCACACAAGCUUCACAUAUCUUUUGCAACUCAGAUUUGGAAACUUUAGAGUACCUUUUUAUAUACUGUAACUUUUCUAGGAGUGUUUGGAUGAAAGUUUUGGAUUAGUGGGGUAUCUAAUGUUGUUGUCGAGCACUUUAGACUCGCUACUUCUACAACAACAUGGAAUGGUGCAGGGUAAAUUCCAAAGAUUAGCUUGGAGACUAAUCUCUAGUAGUAUUACUCGGGGUAUUUGGUUGUUGAGGAACAAAAUUGUUUGUGAGGAGAGAACUAUAAGUUUGUUUGAUUGUUUCUCUAUCAUCCUUUAUCAGGUUGCUAUUUAGUUGUAUACUCUGUAUUCAAACUUUACUUAUACAGGAAAUGAUCUCUUAAGAUCUUUUGAUGAUAUCAAAUUGUGGUGUAAUAAGAAAUCUUAGGUAGUUUCUUUGUUUUUUUGUUGUAGCAAAUCAGUUUUGUUUUCUUUUUUUCCCCCUUUUUUCUUUUUUUUUUUGUCCUAUGAGACUAUUGUCAUCUGCAUUUUUUCCAUGAUAUAGGCCAGUGGGAUGGUCCAUGAGACCAUUGCUAUCAAGCGUUUUUUGUACGAGAUGGGUCCACGAGACCAUUGCCCUGUAAGCUUGGGAAUGGAUAAUAUGCUUUAAUUUCAAUUUAGUUUACAAAAAAAUUAAAUUAAAUGCUUAAGCAUAAAAAAUAAAUCUCAAGUGUUAGAAUGCAAUUACCGAUUAAUUAAUGGACAACGGACCUUAGAUUAAUUAAUAUAUGAUGCAUCUUUCAAUGGAAAUGUAAAUGCUUUACUAGAAUAUUAUUUUUUUUUGUAUUUGUUUUCUGGUUAUAUUUAAUUUUCAUCAAUAUUCCUAACAUAAAUUGCUACGUAUUUUGAAUCUUGAAGGAUUGAAAGAUAGAAAACAGAAAAGAAAAGGAGACAAGGCAGUUCAAAAGAAGAAGAAAAAAGUACGAUAGUGAAAGAAAGAGAAGAGAAUAAAAGUGGAGCAGUUUUUAUUAACUAUAUAAAUUUUAUAAUUACUAAUAUUAAAUUCAAAAUAUGUACAUAUUACAAAUAUGUAAACAUAUCAUAUGGUUUAAAAGAAAUGGCUUUUAUAAACAUAUAUGGCUUAACAAUAUUAAUCAACUCCUAAUAUUUUCAUUUUAUAUAUAUUAAUUAAAGUAAAUAUUAAAACCUAUUAUAUUAAUCUGUGAAGGUAUUUACUCGGAUGCAAAUUAUAUUUCUAAUUUAUUAUUAAAAAAAAUUCUAUAUACUACAACUAGCUUAAGAAAGUCAUGUUUAUCAGGAUCAUAGAGUAAAAAAAAGAAAAAAUUGAAUUGCAUAAAAGUAUCACUAGCUUAAGAAAGUUAUGUCAUCUGCAUCUUUCCUCGAGGAGAGGCAGUGAGACGUCCUCUUCCAACCAUCAUGCAUUUUUUCCAUGAGAUGGGUUCGUGGAAAAACUUUGGUUUAAUUGGGAAUGCUGUUAUUGAUUGGAAAAUUUUUAAUUAAAAUAAAUUUGAUUUUUUGAUUGGAAAAAAAUCCUUAAAUGACAUUAACACAUGACUCCACUUUAUUUUCUUAAGAAAAAAAAUAUUGUAACCAUAUAAGUUUCAAGUUUAAAGGGUUUUCAUUUGAAGGGGUGUGUUAGAGAAUAAUAUAAAUCAUAUCUUAGAAUCUAACCUAAUAGCUUAAGCUUUUGGGUUGAAUCGGUUCUUUGACAUGGUAGCGGAGCCUUGAUGACCAAGCGAUCACGAGUUCGAAUCUCAUCAUCCCCAUUUAUUAGAUAAAAAUUAAACACAAGGUAAUGUGGAUCUGUACAAGUUUCAAGCCCUUCUAUUGGGUUAAGAUGGUAUCUUGAGGUCUCACCUAACAACUUAAACUAUUGGGUUGAGAUGGUUCUUCGACAGGCUACCAGAUGGUGCGGCGCUACACCUCUGUUCUUGCUUUUCUCUGCUUGUUUUCUCUUCUUUUUUUAUUUCUCUUGUUCCCUUUGUCUCUCUCUGUAUUAUCUAUGUUUGUUCAUUUUUCGUCUAUGUCUUUUUGUAUUAUCUGUCUGUGGUUCUCCCCUUCUAUGUGGCUUUUCUUUGUUUGUCUUGAUUUCUCUGGGUUUGUAUUUGGUUGGUUCAACAACCUACGGUGAGGGGAAGUUGAAUAUUAAAGGCUCCCAUGCCUCUCUAGCAAUAAUAUUAUUUUUUAUUUAUCCCCAAAUACAUGUGUCAUUUAUCAAAAUAAUUAAUUUAAUCACCAAAAAAAAACAAAUAGAUCCAACAACCAUGCCAUUCCACAGUUAAUUUUUUUUAUAUUAUGAUUUAGUGCUAUGUUAACCGGGCAACCUUUAAUUACCAUGAUAUAAAAUAAAAAAAUAAUGGGAACAUAAAAUAAAUGUUUUUAUAUAUUUUUUAUUUUAAAAGGAAAAAUUUUACUCUAAUUUUACUCAAAAACUAUUGCAAAAGGAUAUUUAUUUUAAAUUUAUCUAUAUUUUUAUAGUUCAAAUAUUAAAAAUAAAAUAGAAUUAAUCACUAAGUUUUCUGGUUACAAAUACAUUUGUAAUUGUCUUUAUCUCCCUUGUAUUUCUAACCAUUAACGAAUUGAAUAUAUAAUAAAUACUAAUUAACAAAAGAAUAAAUUUAGCUGUAUAAUGUACUAAAGUUUAAAUAGGUGACUUUAGAAUCACCAAGAAGGCAGUGAAUCACACGGGAAGAUUGAAAGAAUAAUUAAAGUGAUUUUACUAACCGACAAGUUGACCCCAAGUCAAAAGUCUUUUGUGGAAAAACAUGAAUAAAAGGUUGACGUAAGACCAUUGCUAUCAAGCGUUUUUUCUAAGAGAUGGGUCCGUUCCACCAUAUAUAUGCUUUAAUUUCAACCACCAUAAAAAAUAAAUCUUAAUGUAGUGUGUUAGAAUGCAACCACCGAUUGAUUAAUUUUAAUGGCCGGUCAUUUAAACUUGGGUGUUUUUUCAGUAUAUAUAUAUAUAUAUAUUCCUCAAUUAUCAUAAAAAAAUAAGAAAAAACUAAUAAUAAGAUUAAAAAUAAAUGUUUUAUUUAUCGAAAUAAUUAAAAGUAAGGUUUACUGAAGGUAUAUACGGGAUUAAUAAAAAAUAACAAUAAAAUCAAUUUAUAAAAAAAUAAAUCAUAGAUUUAGUUUUCCUAAAUUUUAAAUGUAGUGUGAAUGCAUUCCGCAAGAAAAAAAACAGUGCAAGAUUAGCCUUUCAAGAAAUAGAGAAUCUUCCUCUUUGAAGGAAUUAAUUAGUGGGUUGGAAAAAUGUCGUCUUUUGCUCUAAUAUUUUCUUCACUUGGUCUAUAGUUUUACCUUACACUAAUAUUUUCAAGAUUUCAAUUGAAAAGGAGGGUCGUAAAAAAUUUAAUUUUUAUAAACAUACCCUUAAUUAACUUAAUUUGGAUGUGGAUAAUUGUUUGCAAUAUAUUUACAUCCAAUAUAAACAAUUCAUCAAUGAUCAAGUCGGCCUUGGUUAGCUAAAAUAUUGAAAAUACUUGCUCUCUCCUUUUUUCUUUUUUGGCCAUGCAGUUCCUAUAUAUAUAUAUUAGUUGAAAUUUUAUGAUGUCUAUUAAUCCUUUUAAAUUAAAGUCAAGUUAUUAAUUAUAUCCUAUAGAUUUCUAGAAAAACUAAUUCUCUCAAAUUUCGUACAUUUUACUUACAAACUAUAAAAGGUGAUUGCUACAAACUAAAAUUUCAAACAAGGAAGCUUAAAUCUCUUUUAUCUACAUUUGAAAUUUACAAAAAAUAAAAUUAUAUUGGAUUAAGCCUAAACACUAUAUAAAAUUCUUGAACAACACAUUAAAAACAAAUCAAAGAUACUUUUCAAAAUAUCAAAUCAUUAAAUCUUACAUAUCAAAUAAAUCAAGUUAUCAUAUAUCAAAUUAAAAGGAAGAAUUAAAUGAUUGUUUUAUUUUUUAUAAAAAUAUUUUAAAUAGAAAUUAUAAUGUGGAUCAUAUGGCUCAAUGCAAAUUAAGGUCUCACAUAUAGCCAGCUAUAGCAUGGGAUAGCCAGCGGUCAUUCCAUCAGGAGAUUUGUGAAUUCUGAAGCCUUUGCAAUGUGCAUGGCAUGUGUCCAAGAACCCACCAGGAACUCCAUUUUGACUGGGAAACCUUUGACGAACUGUAUUAUAUGUGAUUUGCUCCUGGUAUUAUAAAUUAGAAAGUGUAAAUUGUAAAUCCCAACCAAUAAGAUAUCUACAUAAGAGUCUGUAAAUGUUACAGAUGAUUUAAGUUUGUUUAGCAAAUUUUUCAAGAACAUGUUUGUCUUUGAUAGCUUAUUGUCAUAGCUGUGAACUCUGAAGAAAAUUGAUGUAAGAAACCAAAGUCCAUUUUGUUCUAGAUUGUAGAUGGAUAUAAGCUUGGUGAUUCCCGAUUCUUUUAUUAAUUUCAUUUUAUACAUUCCCUGUGAUGUGUUCUUAAUUUAUAUACCACACCGAUGUCUGUUAGGUUCUGAUUCAAUCGAAUUGGAGCCGAUCAAAAUUGUAAUGACUCAGUUUCUUUUAUGACCUGGAUUGGGCUUCACAUGCCCUUGAUUAUGCCCAAGAAGAAAACUAAAUAAAUAGUAGAUGAGUAGUGUACUGAAAAUAAAUAUUUUCAGCAUAUUACAUAGAUCUAAAACAAUAGCACACAGGAAUUAAAAAAGAGGAGGGAUCGCUAGGGAUACAAGAUUUGCAGCCAAAACUAUGACCUGACAUGUUCAGGAAACAGAAGGGAACUAUGACCUGACAUGUUCAGGAAACAGAAGGGAGGUGUUUCUUUUAAACACAAGGCAGAUUUUUAUGAUCUUAUUCCUUUUGGUCAUUAAAUUUUCUUAAAAGGAGCUUUGGUUUGAUUCCUACAAGCUGGGGGCAAAUCUUCAGCGUUUCGACAGUCAGCCUCAUGAGCAAAAGAAAGACAAUGUGCGACCACUCCAAGCUUCUCGUUGCUCCCCUGUUCCGAUUAGAAAUGGAGAUUCAAGAAGCUAUGCUACUGUCCUGAGACAAGAGUUCCAACGAAAUCUACUGUAAGUUCCCAAGACACUCUUUUAUAACACUUUGGUCAUUUCCAUGACUUUAUCUGCAUAUCUUGUGCAGGCCAGUUCCAUGUUUUGAGAUUUGAAUAUUAUUUUAUUUUAUUGUUUAGCACUUAGUCUAUUCGCCAGGUUGGGAAAAAUAUUCAAAUUAGUUUUGUUGGCAUGUAACCUCACCAAACAAUUUAAGACUUCACUAAACAAUUUGCGUAGACCGUAUUGACUGGGAGUCAACUAUUGUCGUAGUGCUUUUUUGCACUAUCUGUGUGCGUGAAUGGAAAGAAAAGCAGGGUGGCAACUGGGGUGAGAAAAUGAAUAGAAAACUCCAACAAGGGUGUGAAAAUGAGUUACUUCUCCAAAAAGAAUAUAUAAAUUAUUGAAUAUCUAAUGGAAACUGUCGUGAACGCGGAUGCUUGACUUGCUGUGUACCAUUUUGAUUUUUAAACACAACCAUGCCGUAAUUUCCUGGUGAUUUCCUUAUGCAUACUGGUGGUCUUCCAGAAUCUUUUUCCAAACAAUCCUCGUUAGACCCUGCUCGGGGAUUAACCUGGAGUAAGAUUUGUAUCAUGGUUUUUUAUCAUGUUCCAGGUCAACUUGGAUCAACUAAAUUUUAUGAGUAUGUCAAAACGACAUUGUUUUUUAUAUAUAAACAUAAAUAUGAAUCUUGAGCUCUUUUAUAAUCUUAAGACGAAGUAUAUUAAUAGUUGAACCAUUAUCCACCAAGAUACAAUUCAUCAUCUUUUCAUCGAUAUAUCUUUUAAUAAAAAAAUAUCGUUUAUGGAGUUUUGAUUCAAGCAACAGGUCUUCAUCGUUAAAGAAUAUCUAUGUAGUGUAUACACCUUGAGACAAGUCGAAAGAGUUAGUCAUGACAGGUUUAGUAGGAGUUUUCUUUAUAGUUUUCUCAUUUUUUAUGUUAAAUUAGGAAGAGAUCAAUAAGAAACUGAACUUGAAGAUGGACUAUAUCAUUGUUAACUUCUUGAUCCGAAUACUCCAACAUGAUGGUUAGUGCAAAUUUUUUUUUUUUUAAAAAUAGCAAAAACAAAGUAAUUAAACAAGACAGACUUAGGAUUCCACAGAUAAAUAUAUGGCCAUAUUUGUUUCCCGGAAUUCACUUUCCGGGAAGCCACUUUCCAAACUUUCCUGUGUUUGUCUGCCAUUAGAAAAGUUGGUCAACGGAAAACACUUUCCAGUCAAAGGAAAAUUUAGCUUGGUUUCCAGGAAAGUGUUUUCCUUGAAAAUUUAUGCGGAAAACACUUUCUGAAAGUUGUGAAAAAUUUAAAAAUGUCAUAUUAUUUGCUGAUUAUAUCAAAUUUGGUCCUCAAACUUUUGAUUGCUAUAUAUAUAUAUAUUUUUGUUUUGAAUAUUUAUUUUUCAAUUUCAUCUCUUAAAAUUUAAUUUUUAUAUUAACUUUGGUCCUCAUUUUUAUAAUUGUUAUUUGCUUUUCCCUUAUCAUUUUCUUAUUGAAAUUUUUUAUCUAUCAAAUUUGGUUCUCAUUCUUUUGAUUGUUACUUAUUUUAUUUGAAAUAAUUUAUGAAAUGUUAAUUAUUAUUAUUAUUUUAAUUUCUUCAUCUUUCAUUUUUAUUUUAUUUUUUAGAUUUGAUUUUUAUUAUUUUGAUUAUUAUUAUUUAUUUGAGAUAAUUUAUGAAAUUAUAUUUUUUUUCAAUUUCAUUCUCAUUCAACUUUUUAAUUUGUAAGAUUUGUUCAUCAUUAUUUUAAUAAACUUGAGAAAAUAAAAUAUUAAUAAGUUAUUUUCCAGUUCAUUUUCCAUGACAUAACCAAACACUGAAAAAUAUUUUCCAACUUAUUUUUCAUUACACUACCAAACAUCGAAAAAUAAUUCACUUUCCUGGAAUUCACUUUAAAAAAAAAACUACUUUCCAGCAAGCAAACGGGCCAGUUUCAACACUUCUCUAUUGAAACGUUCAACAAUAAGGCUAAGCUAUGAGGUCAACCCACUAAAAAGCACCCAUUAGCUGGACACAUUCAAGAAAAUUGCCGACAAGUUUCGAACUAACACAAUUUUGGGCCGAGAAUGCAAGAAGCAAACCACUGAUUCCCCCACCAGCAACCACAACAAAUUCAGUGCUCCCAUGCUAAGAUCCUCUGAUGUUGGAGAACUAGCGAAAUUUAAUACAAGGCUUCAACACUCCGAAGCCUGCUAGAGAAAUAUUAAAGCAAAAUAAGUAGUAGCAUUAAACAACAGCCAUUUCAUCAGUUUUAAUUUUAGUAUAACACAAUAAUAUGAACCAACCUUGAUUCUCAAAGGCACCCAACUAAUUCAUAGCCUUCAAAUCAAGACUUUGCAAUUCUUUAAAAGGCAGAAACAAAGAUGCGUUGAGAACCCACUCCCCUAACCCCCAAUCCCCAGCACCCCCAAGAGAGAGUUGGAUCACUCGCCUUUCGGUGGUAUCGCACACGAUCCUAGACCACUCACAACAAUUAUUGCCCAGGUAUUUCAACAGUUAUGGCUUGUGUGGGUUUUGGUUCACGAUGGAGAUGAUGGAUACAAUAAUGUAUUUCGACAACAAAACUUUCAAUGCUUGUGAAUGGCUCUCCAACUAAAGAGUUCUUUAUCGAAAAGGGAUUGCGACAAGGGGACUCUUUAUCAACAUCUCUUUUCAAUAUAGCAACUGAGGGUCUUAGUAGAAUGCUAAGAAGAGAUGUGGUUUGGGACUUAUAAAAGGUAUUUGUUUUGGUCACUUUCAAGUUUGUAGAUGAUACACUCAUCUUCAGUUCAUAUGAUUUUCCAUCUCUUCAAAACAUCAAAAUAACCAUGUGAUGUUUUGAGUUGAUUUCUAGGCUGAAGGUUAAUUUCCACAAGAGCUCAAUCACGAGAACUAUUGUUAUUUCUUCAACUGCUAGCAAUCUAAUAUGUAGUAUGGAGGGGAUGCCAUUUAAGUAUUUGGGCCUGCCUAUUUGUGCAUCUUCAUCUCAUGUGGAAAACUAUUGUUAAUAGAAUCAAUAGCAAGUUGGCACUUACCUAUUGGUGAGAGAGUGUGCUUGCUUAAAUCAAUUAUAAAUAAUCUUCCUAUCUACAACCUUUCUUUAUUUCCUAUCACAUCCAUUGUUGCUACCAAAAUUGAGAAACAUAUCAUAUCUUUCUUUGGUUCUUAGGAGGAAGGAGGGAAAAAACUAUGCAAUGUUAAAUGGGCAUCGGUGGUUCCUCCAAAAAAAAACAAAAAGGGCUGGGUAUAGACUACAUUAUUGAUAAAAAUCAUGGGUUACUAACACUUCCAUAGCAAAGAGAUAUGUAUUUUCCCUAUUAAUUUCUCAAGUUACCAUAAUGAGAGUGUGAUGUGACUCCAAUAAAUGUAGGAUAUGUUAAUUAGGUAUACAAUGUCUAUGUGAUAUGGACAUAAUCAUUUUUGGUAUGUCAAAUUCUUACUAUUUCACUCUUAAGAGUAGAAAGAUCUAGUUAGUUGGACUGCAUUCCGAUCUGCAAUCUUCCUAUAUAUCCCAAUUGUUGUAUUUGCUUUAGUGGCUAAGCAAGUUUUAGAGAAACCACUUGAAGAAGUAAGUGCGGUUUUGAAAGAGUUUCAAGAUGUUUGUAAUAGAUUUGAUCCCUAGUGUUAUAUUGACCUCUUGGUUUCAAGCAAGAAACACACUUCAAUAUCAUUAUGCGUAAUUGUAUUCCUAAUAGAGUUAUGAUGUAAGUUAUGAUGUAACGAAGACUCCCUUUUCUCAUUCUAGAAUCCGGUGAUUCCACCUCACGUUCAUCCUCCACCCGCUGAAGACUUAUACCAUUGAAAGAGAAAAGCUCCAGCUUUGGGUGUAAACUGGAUUGAUUGCAUCCCAUCUGAAUCACGUGGGCUUAAUUAAUGGAAGGAACGAACAAUUGUCGGUUUUAAAAGUUUGGUUUGUAACAAUCAUUGUAAUUUCAAAUCUCCAUACUCCUUCCAUUUAAGCAAGUAAUAAUAACAGAGAAUAUGUAUAAAUCUCAGUGUUGUUUUACAUUUUAUAUAAGAUAUUACAGUUUCAUUCAAAAAAUGAGAAAUAACAUUAAAAAUCCUCAAAUUCUACCACCUUCAAUUCUCAUUCAUCAACAACAGCAUACAUUCAAACAAGUGAUCAAUAGUGAUCAAGUGAUGAGGACUAGAGUAAGAUUCGCACCAUUGUAAGCUUGACAAGCUUCGCCUACUCUAACUGUAACGAAAGAUUCAGUGCCUAAUCUCUGGACGGAGAAGGGGACGCCCUUGUUAUGUACACGGUUGCUCUAAAUGGUUCGAUGAUGCUCAUUUUAAACAUAUCAUGUCAGGUUGUCAAUUUCGUUCUGGUUAGUGUAACGGACCCGACUGUACGACUUGAUCAAUGUUAAAAGAUCCCAAUAUAUUCUCUUAGCCUGAGGAUAAUUUUUUUUUUAAUCUAUCAAAAAUUCAGCAGAGUUUUGUUUGUAUUUAGGACAUCCCAAGUUAUCGACCACUAUCAAUUUACUCAAUCAACCCAUCAUCACAAGGUCCCAUAAAUCCGGACCUUAGAUUAAUCAUCAUAAUUCAACACCUUACCCAAUCCACACAAUAUAUAUCCUACGAGUAAGUUCAAUAUCAACAUAACCCACAUAUCAUAUUAUAAAAUUUAAAAGAAAAGGAAAUACUAACAUGCAAAGAAAGCAUUACAACAUAAUAAGUGUUCUUAACCAUAUCAAAAGGGUUAAUUACAAGAUAACUAAAAUACUACAUGCUAAGCUGAACUUUUAUAAAUACAUCAAGGUUUACACAAAAGUAUACUACAUAAACACGUUAUUUCUCUUUUGUUUAAGUUAAAUAUUUACAUAAGCUUGACAAAGUAGAGUCCUAAAUUAGUGAUCUCUCUGGAUAUUUGAUGGACCUGUUAUAUAAAUAAACAUGUCAUUAUGUUGAUAAAAGAAAUAUAUAUAAGCUCAUGUAAUGUAUCCGAAUGAAGUAUUAAUUUCUAUUGGAUCCAUAAGGAUUCUAACAGACAUCUUAUAUUUUGCUUGUAAAUCUUUUAAACCCAAUUUACACUCAUUUGCAUAUUCUUAAUUUGAAUACUCUUAUUUAUUUGCAUGAACCGGGUGACCUUGCAAAGUCUAUUCUUGUAAUCCAUUUCCCAGCAAUCAUAUCACGAAUACCAUUAGCCGAAGCAAAUCUUGUAAUUCAUCUCCCGGCAAUCAUAUCACGGAUGACAUUAGCCGAAGCUAAUCUUGAGAUUCAUCUCCCUGCACUCCUAUCACGGAUGCCAUUAGCCGAAGCUAAUCUUGCAAUCACGGAUGUCAUUAGCCGAAGCUAAUCUUGUAAUUCAUUUCUCAGCACUCCAAUCACGGAUGCCAUUAGCCGAAGUUAAUCUUGUAAUUCAUUUCCCGGCACUCCUAUCACGGAUGCCAUUAGUUGAAGCUAAUCUUAUAAAUACACUAGACUUUAUUUACAUUGAACACGAUAUUUAUUAUAAUUGCAUUCACUAGAGGAAUUUUAAAUUGUAUAAGUACAAAUAGGAGGGAAAAAUCACGCACCUGCUUCGCCUGUUUCGUGACCUCCUCUAACAGAAGAUCCAAUCCUGGUUGCUCCUCCUGAAUCACAAGGAAGUUUUUGGUUAUGAUUCCUUCAAGCUGAUAUUAUAGAGGCUCCAUAUUCAUUCAUUACUCAUAUGUUACUUUCUAUGCAUGUUCAUUUCCUUAUAAUAACAAACAUACAUAAAUCAAGUAUAUUUUCAAAGUUAGUAUCUCAAUGUGCAAGUGUUCGUAUGACUCAAUUCUUUUAUAUUCUUACAUAUAAUAUUCACGUGAAAGUCUACUAUUACUAUCUAACUUUGAACUGUUACUGUCCAACGGUUGCUGUCCAACAGUUGCUGUUUGAACAGUUGCUGUUUGAACUCUUAUCAGAUUUUUAACUAUAUCUAGAGUUCUAGAACUCCAUUUUAAGUGAGAUUGAUCUUGUUGGAAAGCUAAGACACGAGGCUACAAGUUCUCUAAAGGAAGGAGAACCCAGUUCUGCCUCCAGGAUAGUCAAAAUUGCUCAUCAACCCAUCAAUCCUACUGCUCUACAAAAUCAGUCACGACUCAGUCUUGGUUGGUAACCCAUAACUGGAGUUAUACAUCUCCAAAUUGAGCAAGAUUAAUUUCCUUGGUUAGCUAACAUCCAAAUCUACAAUUUCUAUAAAGGAAUCUGAUCCUAAUUCCCUCAUCCUCCUACCCGAAAUCUCACCAAAAGUUAGGAGACAAGUUUGUCCAGAUUCGUUUGCCCCUCCCCUUCACACAAUACUUUCAUAAACUACACACCACACACAUGAAUUAACUUAAUCUUAAUAAUAAGUACUUUUUCUCCAAUUCAUGUCUAAGAACCCUAACCUAUGAUUCAAUAUCAAGGCAUCAAUUCAUUAUCGAUUUGAAAUGAAUUUUUUUAAUAUCAUGUUUAGAACACCUUACCCAGUACAAAUUAAGAUUUUGAUCUCCAACCAGUUGAAGAUUUUCAACUCCCUCCUUUCUUUUCUUCUUGUUUAAUUUCUUGGUAAUCCCUUGCUCUCAAGUGUUUAUCCCAUCUAUAAACCCUUAAUCUUGGAUGGGUUCUCGAAAUUUUAGUGUUUCUCUCUUGAUUUCGCAAGAAUGGGUAUAAAACUCCUUAUUUUCUCUCAUUAUCGUUCCUGCAGAUUUUUGGUGAGGAGAGAGUAUUUAUACUCUAUAGUUUCCCUUAUUUGUAUUUAGGCCCCAUUUCCUUUAAAUUUCUGAAUUCUUGUCUUUUAUUUAACCAUACGCAUGAAUUUCUUGACUUUUAUUUCUCAUAUAGUUAGUUUUCAAUUUAAGCAACCUUUAUUUUUUUAUUUUUUUUCUGAGGUUUACAGUUAGUGUUUCAUUAUUUAAUUGAAAUGGUAUGUUUUGGUUUCGGAGCAUUUCGGCGUGCUAUUUCAGGAUUAUACUGUUCAUACUAUUCAUAUAUAUAUAUAUAUAUAUACAUACUCAAUAAACAUAAUUUUGAUUCAAAUUUAAAGAUAAACUAACUUGAAAUUAUGCAAUUAAAAUUUCAAACACAAGUAAAAAAAGUGAGAGUUGAACCAAUAUGACCCGAUCGACUAGAUAGGCCCAAAGACUACCUGAAUGACUGGUAAGAAUAGAGUUUGACUCAAAAAAAUUUAAGAUGACAUAGUUUUUUAAAAAAUAUUGAGAUGACAACAUAUUAGAUCGACCGGGUUCAACUCAGGUUAACCUUUUAAAUCCGUAAUCCAGGUCAUGAGACUAUAAUAACUCUAAAUAAAACAAAUCAAAACAAAUUAUAAAGCUCAAUUCUUAAUAAACCUAUUAUUUAAUAGUUAAAUUGAAAAAAAAUAAUCUAAAAAAAGGACACAAAAAAAAUGACAUUUCAAAACAAAAUUAUGAAAAUGUCACUAGCAGUCUCGCAAGGCCUUUCUAAACUCCAAUUGCUCUAUAAUUUUAACCUGAGAUAUAACAAUAUGUUAGGAAAAUCUUCAUAAGAUUUCAGUCUGAUCCACCAAUCGAAUUGAAAGAUAUGAUUGAUAUCGUAAAACUAGCUAAUAUUGUUUUAGAAAAAAAAAACAUUAUUUGGCCGGAAUGGAACCGGAACAUUCGAGCCAGAAUUUUGGCGGAAUUUAUGGAACGGGCUAAGACUCUGAGCAAGAUGAAAUUUGUUUCAGUUUGUUUUAUUUUUUAAAUUGGAAAGAGAUAUACCAGUCAUUUUGAAUGGAACAUAACAAAAUUGACAACCUUGUAUCAUGGUUGAUUAGAGUUUUUUUUUUUUUGUCUUUUUUUUCAAAAAUUUUUCCAACAUUGAGUUGAUUGGUAAUCGAGCUUCAUAAUUUAUAUGUUAACAUGCCAAAUUCAUGACCUGAGUCAUGAGACUAUAAUAACCUCAUAAAAGUAUAUUGAACAAAUUACAAAGCAUAAUUCUCAACCACCAGUGUUUAAAAAUGAAAUUGAAAAAAUAACAUAAAAAAUGACUCAAGUCAACUCAAGAACCUGCCAAAUCCGUGAUCCAGGUCACAAGACCUAGAUAACCUCAUAGAAAGCAAACUGAAAAAAUAAUUCGGGUCAACCUAGGUUACCCUGCCAAACACGCAACUCAGGUCAUAAAACUAGGAUAAUGCUAUAUAAAGCAAAUAGCAACAAAUUUUAAAGCAUAAAUCUCAAUCAACUUAUUUUAAAGCAUAAAUCCCAAUCAACUUAUUACAAUUCACUCGCAUUGUUCACUUUAGUGAACAGUGCUACAGUGGAGCCAUGCUCCACUGUUGAGGUUUCUCCCAGACGAGAAGCAAUAAAACGUUUAAGGAAAUAAAUGUUGCUUCUCCAAAACCUGCGGUGCCAUAUGGGUCCUACGUGCUGAAAGCACUUUUAUUUUCUUAACCAAACGUUUAUUAGCGUGGCUGCGGGUGAACCUCACCCGCAACCACGUUACCAAACGAGCACUUAGUCUCAAAGAAGAAACAAUUACUUGGUUCUAUAUCCUUAGCACGUCAAACAUGAGGGUAUGAACAGUAACCAUUGUGUCCACUAUAAAAUAUAAGGGGGUGAACAGUGCGGCUACAAAGUAUUCACCCCACACACUUUAUAUUAUAAGUAACUAGUUUUUGUAUUGGCACUCCGCGGCGGGGUGGUUAUUUUUUUAAGUAAAAAAAUAAUAAUAAGCAGGCUCUUACAAUGCACUUUUUAAUAUAAUUUUUUUUCAAUCACAAAUCAAAAUGCCUAUACAUAUAUUUAGUAAUUAGAUCGAUAUUUGAUAAAUAGGUAACUAAGAUUAAGAUAUUUGAUAUCACGACAUGAAUCAUGUGCUUAGUUGUGUUUAACAAUUAUGUUUCCUAGAGUUUUUUUUUAUGAACCAACCAUAUAUUCCGAUAAAAGGUAACAAAAAAUUCAUACCAAUAUUGAAUGAAGAAACUAAAAAAAAAAACCAAUAAAAAAAAGACUGUAUAAAUACACUAAUUUAUUGACCAUAUUGACAAAACAAGUCAAAACUGUAUAAAUACACUAAUUUAUUGACCAUAAGUAAAUGAUUGAGAUAAUAAUACGAAAAGAAAAACUUUUUACCGGACAAUGAUCAAUCCUGGUGAUGUCCAAAGUGUAAAUCAAACAUUUUAUAUCUUGCCAUGAGAAACAAAUAUAUCACAACUUGUUUUUAUUGUAUUCUAUUAUGACUUGUUUUGUGCCUUACAUUAUUUAAUAUAUUAAAAUAAAUUUAAUAAAUUAUACUGAAGCAAGAUCUAAUAUUAGAAAGUUAACGGAAAUAAUAAAUAUAUUUUUAAAUAUAUUUACAGUUCGGUCCCUUAAUUAACUUUUUGUUUGUAAAAUGUGGAGCUGUCAGCAAUAUUUCCUUAGUUUGUGUCGCUAACUGUGAUUAAAGGAUCAAUUAAUUAUUUAUUUAAAUCAACCAGAGGGAUUAAUCUGUUUGUUUAACAAAAAUACAGACACUAAUUAAAUAGAAUUUAACUCAAAUUUUAAUAAUCAAUAUUUUUAGAUGGAAUCUUGGUAGAAAAUUUAAUCAUCAUAUCCUGGGUAUUUUGGAAACAAAAUUGGAAACUUUGAAUGAUUUCACUAUUACUGCUAUAUGGGGUCGUCAUCCUAGGGCUUGGUAUGCAGUUCCCUCAUUAGGCCUUUCGGGGGGAUAUUAUGUAUAUGGAAUCCGAAUCUUUUUUGUGUCUCUAGCUGUUCUGUUGCUAUGAAUGGCUGUAUUUUGCAUAUUGAAGGCACCUUCACUCGGUCCAAUCUAGAUUGCCUAGUCUCUUUUGUAUAUGCUCCGAAUGUUGGGAACCUGAAGAAUGAGCUGUGGACUUAUCUUGUUACAUUCAGGGAUAGUGUUAGCAUGUCGUGGUGUCUUGCAGGUGAUUUUAAUGAAACCUUAUUCCCAUCAGAUAGGAAAGGCGGCUCACAAAUAACAUCUUCCAUGACAAGAUUUCAAAAUUGCAUUGAUGGUUGUAAUCUUAUGGAGCUCCCCUUAAAUGGGAGAAAAUUUACAUGGUCUCGAGGUAAUGCGGCGAGCCGUAUUGAUAGAAUAUUUUUAUUGGGGGAUUGGUUGCAGGCUUUCCCGUCCUCUACUUUAUUCGGUCUCUCAAAAUAUUCAUCUGAUCAUAGGCCUCUGCAUCUGUUGCUAGACUCUACAAAUUGGGGCCCGAAACCUUUUCGCUUCAUGAAUUGCUGGUGGCUUGCGUCUGAUUUCAGGAUUAUGAUUCAGAGCUUUUGGAGAUCACUCACGGUUUCAAAAUCUGGCAUAAGGAAAAUGGUCCCAGCUCUAAAGAUGUUGAAAGAGAGAUGUCGGCAGUGGAGUAAAGCUACUGUGGGAAACAUGAAUAACAGAAUUGAAGAACUGGAACUUGAAGCUGACUCAAUGGAUCAUCAAAAUGAGUGCAGGGUUUUGACUGCUGAUGAACUGAUUAGAAGUAAUUCCAUUGCCUCCCGGCUCAAAAUCCUGUAUAGAGCUCAAGAGUCUGCCUAGCAUUAGAAGUCAAGAAUUCAGUGGUGUAAGCUUGGAGAUAAAAAUACCCGAUUCUUUCAUUUAGCUGCAACAACAAGACAGAAAAAGAAUCAGCUUGCAUGCCUAGAGGUUGAUGGACAGAUCCUAUCUAAACCAAGCGAUGUGAAUCUAGCUGUCUUUCACUUUUUCCGCAACCUAUACUCCCAUCAGAACAGACCUAGAGCUUCAUGUUCAAACCUGGAAUUCUCAAGGCUGAAGCAUUCAUCCUCGGCUGCUCUUGAAUUGCCAUUUUCUGCAGAAGAGAUUACAGCAGCUGUGUGGGAUUGUGAUGGAAAUAAAGCUCCAGGUCCUGAUGGUAUUAACUUCCUUUUCAUCAAGAAAGCAUGGAACAUUAUAGGUGAGGACAUUAUCCAGAUGGUUGAUGAAUUCUAUCGGACUAAUCUCCUUCCUGCAGGUAUCAAUAGCACCUUUGUUACUCUUAUUCCGAAGAUUAAAGGUGCUAACAAGCUAUCAGAUUUCAGACCUAUUAGUUUGGUGGGCAGCCUAUACAAGAUCUUCUCAAAGAUUCUAGCAACUAGGUUGAAACAUGUUAUGCCAGAGGUCAUCUCUCAUCAUCAAAAUGCUUUCAUCAAAGGGAGGCAAAUUUUAGACAGCGUCUUGAUUGCAAAUGAGGUUCUUUCUUUCAUCAAGAAGAAAAAGGGUAAAGCUUAUCUUUUCAAAUUAGAUUUUCAUAAAGCCUUUGAUUCGGUGUUAUGGGAAUAUAUUAAUGAAAUCAUGGCUAGUAUGGGCUUUGACCUGGUUUAUGCAAUGCAUAUCAACGGCAAAAAUGUCUGUGCUUGUUAAUGGGUCUCCCACGGAGGAAUUCUGCUUAGCAAAAGGCCUACGCCAAGGAGACCCUCUCUCUCCGUUUCUCUUCAACAUUGCAGUCCAGGGCUUGAGUUGUAUGUUGCAGCGUGGCUGUGAUUUGGGUUUGACUUCGGGUAUAAACAUCGGCAAUACAGGGCUUGUCAUAUCUCACUUACAGUUUGCGGACGACACCCUUAUGUUCAGUUCAGACUCUUUACAUAGCAUGCAGAACAUUAAACGUAUCCUAUUAUGCUUUGAACUUGUCUCGGGGCUGAAGGUCAAUUUUUAUAAAAGCAGCAUUGUGGGUGUGGGUGUAGCAGCUCAUACAUGUAACUUCACGGCUCAGCUUCUCAGAUGCAAGCAGGAUCAGCUGCCUCUCAUGUAUCUUGGGCUCCCCAUUGGUGGAAACUUGGGCAGAGCUACAAUGUGGAAUCCUAUUUUGCGCAAUAUCAGUUGCCGAUUGGCUUCGUGGAAAGGCAGGUUCUUAUAUAUUGGGGGCUGUUUGUGCUUGAUUAAAUCUGUGCUCAGUAAUCUCCCCAUCUACUACCUAUCUAUGUUCCCCAUGCCUGUUACGGUAGCCUCCAAAAUUGAUCAGAAACUUCGAUCCUUCCUCUGGUCAGGAAAUGAGGAAAGGCACAAAAUAUGCAAUGUCAGCUGGGCCACUGUUACUCUUCCAAAACAUGCGGGGGGUCUUGGGAUUGGUUCCUUAAGGGACAAAAACACAGCUCUGCUAUUUAAAUGGUUAUGGAGGUUUGGGUUAGAGGAAUCAAGUAUGUGGAAGGAUGUGAUCAAAAGCAUCCACAACACCAAUUGCUCUAAACUGCUGCUGCAAGCUCCUAUUCCAGGAGCUGCAACUACAUGGUCCCGGAUUGUUAAUCAUUGUGUGAGAAAUAAUAAGCUGCAGGAUAUUGUGAAUGAGCAAUCUCUGGUUCUUAUCGGAAAUGGCAAGAAGACUAUGUUUUGGCUUGAUUGCUGGCUUAAUAACCACUGUUUAGCAGAGCACUUCCCUACUCUUUUCCAAUUAUCCAAUGACAAAGCUGCCAGCAUUGCUAAGAUGGGAAUAUGGGAAGGGUAUAAGUGGAUUUGGGUUUUUUCCUGGAUACGUCCACUACGGGGGCGAAACAUUGGCUUGCUCGAUCAACUAUAUGCAAUCCUAUCGACAGUAUUGGUAAGCCAUGGCCAUCUUCUUGGUAUGUUCUCUGUUCCAGUUGGUAUUUUAGACUCUAAUAUUGCUGAGUUAAGGGCUAUUGUCAAAGCCAUUGAACUAUCAGCAUCUAAUUGUCUCCUCCACCAUCAACACCUCAUCAUAGAAUCUGACUCUGUCAAUGUUAUUAGCUAGAUGAAUAAGCCUCACAGCCGUCCCUGGAAGCAUCAUAAUUUGUUCUCCUUUGUUAAUAGACUGAAACCAUAUUUUGGUUCAAUCACCUUCUCCCAUAUCUUUCAUGAAAGUAAUUGCAUGACAGAUUGCAUGGCUAAACAAGGAGUGCGGAGAUCAAGUGAAUUUGUUGCCUGGCUUUGACUCCACCAUUUUUCUGUGGCCUUGCUCUUGUGUCUUCUGCCAUUAUGUCUUUGAGUUAUUUCUGUUAUGUUUUGUAGAGGAAUGUUUAGCUUUGAGCUCAUUCGGAUGGAUAUUCUAUGGUUUUCUUUGCUUUUGUUUAUCUUAGUCUGCGCUUUAUCCUAUAUAUGGCUUUUUGCCAUAGUAAGAUAAUGUGUAGCUUCUGUACUACUCCCGCCAGACUUUGGCGUUUAAUAAUAUACGCAUCUUUCAAAAAAAAUCCAUGUGAAUCGCACGACUUGUCCAUAUCUUUCUUAUUGAUUACAAAUAGCAUUGAGAAUUAAAGAAUAUUAUCUUAAUAAGUUCCAAUUUAUUCUACAAAAACUAUAUAUAAAGAUGUAUACAAAUUAGUUAUUUAUUGUUUGUAAGUAUUAUUGUAUUGCAAAGACAAAAAUAAGAUGCAACUUAUGGCGUGGUCGUCCAACCUGGUUCAGGUUUUGAUCCUGUUAAAAAUCUAUUUUGUUGAAUUGUUAUCUACUUGUGAGUUAUUGGGUUAACUAGAUCAAUUUUUUAAACAAAACAAUAUCAUUUAAAAAAAAAAAAUUGGUUCUGACUUAGAAAUAUAAUAUUAGAAACUUAAAUCUUAUUAUUAUAAAAGACUCAAUGGUAAAUUUAGUUUUGAAAUAGAUUUUUGUAAAAUCAAAUAUCAACUAAGCACCUGGAAAUUUAUUUGAAAUUACAAUAACCUUGUAGAAAACAAACAUAAAUAGAAUUAUUAAAUUCAAUGGAGUCCAUGACCUGAAUUACGGGUUCAACGGGUUAAGCCACGAAGCUCUGAUCGAUUUAAAAUAUUGUCGUCUUAAUAUAAAAAAAAAAUACAUCUUAAAAAAAAUAAAUUAAGCUAGACUACGUUUUUACCUAUUAUCUGGGUUGUUUUUAGGUUCAUCAUUUCGACUGAGUUAUAUUAGGACAACUACUACAUAAUUUAAUUUAAAAUUAAAGCUAAACAAGAAAUUAGGUAAAGAGAUUUUAAGAUUGAUUUGUUGGAUUGGAUUUAAUAACAAUACAAAAAAUCUAAAUAUUUCUUUUUUAUUAAAAAAAAAUUCAAUCCAACUCUCAUCGUAACGCAGUAUAGUAAGAUAAAUAGAUAUAAAUAUUUUGAUGGAUACUCGGGAUAAAAGAUUGUUUGAGGACAUUUUGCUAAUUUCUUUUGUUAUCUAAUCAAUCAAGCUCAUAGUGAAUAAGUAUAUUAAUAUAUACAAUUAAAUUAAAUAACAUAUAAGAGAAAAAUGGUCGCAAGCUAAAGCUAAAGUGAUGCGACGUUGAGCCACUAGUCGAUAGUUGUAACGUCAGUUUGUUGGUUCGUCGUUCGUUUCUCGGGCGAGUUUGGUUGUGCUAAACACAAUGAACCAAUAGAGUGCUUUGCUUUCUUACUUGGAGAUUCUGGAGCCUUGGAUUUUUUGAUAUUUAGGUUAUCUGUUUCUAGAAAAGAAAGAAAGAAAUAUUUAUAUUAUCAAUGCAAUGCAAUGAAACGACUAAAUAACAUUUAAUUAUUAUCAUAGCUUUGUCCUCGUACCUAAGGAAGUAUACUACGUCUUUUUCUCCAUUGUUUGAGUUUGAAAUUAUAUCUGUGAACCCAUUAAUUUAUCUAGAAAAAACAUUUAUUGGGUAAUUGGAUCAAUCAUUGAGGUCGUCAUAUCAUAUAUAAACCAAUUAUUUUAAUUAAAACAAUAUCAUUUUAUUUAAAAUUAAAUUUAUAAUACUAACUGAAUCCCUAAAAACACAAUUAGACCAAUCAAGUUUUAGCAAGUUAAUUUUUUUUUUUAAUUUUUUCAUAUUUAACUUGAAAUUCAAUCCAAAUUAAAUUAUAAAUUAUGGGUUUCUUAAAUUAACACAUGUUGGGUCAGGUCUACCAAUUAUGAUUGGAAUCCAGGGUUAAUAUCUAGAAGAAUUUAUUAAAUUUCUGUAUAAUUAGUCAAUCGAUGAGGGAAUUUAGUUUUGAUUGAUGGAGAAAUUAAUUUAAAGAUACCAUGCAAGAUAUAUAUAUAUAUAUAAACAUUUAAAGGGAAACGGACCCACCAUCAAUUAUUGUUAUUCGUUUAAUUAUAAAUAGAAUGAAGAGAAUGAUGCUCGCUGCACUUUUAUCAGCGACUGAUAAACCCCAGAAGGAGAACACUCUACAGAAUUAUUCCAUACUUUUUCGUAAAUUAUAAAUUAAAAAGAAAUUGGUUAUAACAUGGUUAACGAACACAGCACAAAAAUAAACAGGUGUAUUUCUUACAUAAAUUCUUAUUGUUUUGUUUUUCCAUUGGUUUCAUGAAAUUCUCUCAACAAUUGAACAAAAAACACUACAUCAUAGCUCACAAACAUACAUUUUAUAAGUCAAUUAAACCUCUUGUUUUUCUUAUGUGUCUUUUUAUUGUAAUCUCUGCAAGGUGACACCUGACAGAGCAAUCUGUUGAUAGGUCCAAUUCUGCUUUAUGUUGUGUUUCUUGCUGAGCAAAUAAAGGUCAUGGGUUUUCUUUCUUUCUUUUUCCCUUAUAAAAAUGGUCAUGCGGCCACAGACAGUUGCGAAAAAAAAGAAGCACUUAAUUAUCACUUAUUUGGUAAGUAGCGUACUUAUCAGAUGACCCUCAACCAUCAGUACCCAUUAUAAAUUAAUGUCGACAAGAGUAAAAUUAGGAGUUACCGUGACUUUCCAACAUCUAUCAUUAUAAAUUAAGUAUCAACAACGAUUAAGACUAAUUGUUUUACCAAGAUUCUCAACCAUUGUAAAAAUAGAUUUGAAAAAAAAAUCAUAGCAAAAAUUCAAAAAAAUAAAAAUUGCAUUGCUUUCCAUAUAUAUUUUAGUUUUUCUUAUAAUAAUAAUAAUAAUUAUAGUCUCUCGUGUCUCACAACUGUAUGUGUUUUUUCUUGAAUAAGCGCUAAUGUUCUUUGAGGGGUCCAAGCACCAUAUACUGAAAGAAAGAACUAGUUCAAAUUGAAGCACCAUGAGUUUCUCUACGGCUUGGUUCACCACCUGCUGGUGCGGCAAGUUAUGAACUAGCUGGCUAGUUUUUUGCUUCCUUGGUUUUAGAAGCACCAUGUGUUCAAAGAAUAGUCAACAAAGAAAAAGAAAAAGAAAAAGAGAAGGGCAAAAGGUUAAUUAAAAUCAGCAGGACUGCCAUGAGGCAACCUCAAGUAGUGAACUUGAAGGAAUAAAAAGUGCUGGGAAGUAAUUUUUGCUGAAACUUCUUGUGUAACAUCUUCUUUUGAUGAUGACCUCUUGGAUGGCUGCAUGAAGCUUGUUCCGUUUUAAAUUUCAAGGUUAAUCUAUUUCUAUGAGCAUUGGUGUUUCAAUUUCAACCUUAAGUUGCAACUGAACUUAAAUGAAUAGUGUUGGAUUUGGGCCUUCUAUUUGCUUUAACUUCUACAGGAUUGAAAUGAUAGUGAUCUUAAAGUACAAAAGCAGCAGACAAAAAUCAAUUAGCCACAAUAUAUAGUGUAUGGUUUCCUAGUUUCUCAGUAUAAAGUUGAAUGUUUUGGUGAUAUCUCUACAUCCAAAAUCAUAUAGACAGCUACUGCUGGCACUUGCAGUGGUCAAUGAAUACUAUAGAGUACAUAUUGCAGUUUGAGAUAAGGUUAACUCGUUGCAUUUUCAUAUAUUGAAAGGAUUUCUCUUCUUUUCUUUGUCAGUUACAGAACAUGCAUAGAAGUGUUCUUAUUCAGAGUAAAUGCUAUUGUAAUGUUUUCACGGACUCCCUUGCUUUGCAACUAAGUCACUAAUUAUCUUGGAACAUAGCCAUAAAUAAAAGGUUCUUCCAGUUCAAGAAAAUUAACCAUGAAGCUAGUAGCUAGAAUUUUUAGACAGAAUGGUGGCCAAGUAAACUCCUAUACUCUGUACCUCUGGAAUAAUGCAGGGAAAGGAUGUCUAUGUAUUUUGAUGUCUUAUAUUACUUGACCAACUCUUGCUUAUCUCAUUAUUUGUUUUUACUUUUUGCUAAUGAUUCCACACAUUUUUGAUAUUGGUGUGGUUUAUGACUUCAGGGUUCUUACUCGCUACUGCAACUUCUCUAUACUUGCUUGGUCAUUAAAUAUGAAACGUGAUGAUUUGCAUAUGCAGAAUGGAGACAUUAAAGAGGCAUCUUCUGUUUUCUAGUUAGGAGGGAUUACCAGAACUCAAGAAAUUUGUCGUACAUUUUGAGGAAAAGAUUUAUACCACCGCUACCAAUCAGGUAUUUGCCUAAUGCGAGGUUCAAUAAUUACGAUAUUAUCUAGACAUGAAUAUACACACGCAUUUAUGCUUGUACAAAUGUGUGUGUAGUGUGCCUACAUUUCCACACCUUUCAUUCUGUAUGCAAGGCUGAUUAAGAGUUCGCAUCUUUUUGUUAAUUCUCUUGACAAGUGUUUUAUUUAGAGUGACCAAGUUCAAGUACAUGGGAAGUGUGCAAAAAGCAAAUAGCGAAUCAAUACAUAAAUAAGUAAAUAAAAAGAGAGGAAACAGAAGUCUAUCCUCACAAAAGAUGAAAUGAUAGAGCAUAUAUCCAUUUUCCUCCUCUUGUAACAUGGAUUGCUCUGAGAUCUAAUGUUUUGUUAUUAAUAUCUUAUUUUAGUCUGAUUAUCUGCAUAAAAUAUCUCUGGUGAUGCUUUUGAUGAAGAUCAGGUCUCAAAAUGCCAUGCCCACUGCCCCCAUGGAUCCAGCAGGUAAUAAUGCAUUCGAGCAUCGAAUUUCUAAACAUCUUACCUUUUGUUUUUCUUCUCGCAUUGUUAUCAAACUUUUUUACAUUUUAUUGUUCCAUAUUGCUAUGUAUAUCGCCUUGCUGGCAAAAUGUCAUGAUCACCUCCACAAUACUAAUUCUGUAAUGCGUGUGAAGUGUUUCAUCCUUAACUUGUUAAUGAACGAGGACUAUGAUGCAUGGCUAUUUUAUAUUUUAUGAUUGAGAUGGUAGAUUUUAAAGAUUUUCCUUUUUAGGAGAUAAGACGUCACUUUCUUGCUUUUCUUCCGAGAGUAUUCGAUCCUUUUUUCGUACAAAAUAAUGAUGCCAUGCAUUGAAUUCCCAAACAUAUUACCUUAUGUUUUGUUUGGUCGCAUUGUUAUCAAACUCUUUUACAUUUUAUUGCGGCAUAUUGCUAUGUGUAUGGCAUGCUUUAAUCAAAAAUUUGAUUAAUUGAUGAAUGUUAGGCAAGAAAAUUACAGAAUAUUUUUGUUUUUUGCCUCCUCCUUUUCUUUCCCCCACUCCGAAAAUUGUCAUAUUAUUUUUGUUUUCAACCGCCUCUUCUUCCCCCAACCCUGAAAAUUGUUUAUAUUUGCUUUGGAAGCAUGGCAAACUUCACUGCCUCUCAGCUUAAGGAGAUUGCAGCAGGUCUCGAAGCUUCUGGGCAUCAAUUUAUCCGGGUAGUUAGAAGAAACAAAAAGAGUCAAGAAGACAAGGAAGAUUGUUUACCCGAAGGAUUUGAGGAAAGAAUGGAAGGCAAAAGGAUGGAUACUCCAAGUUUUGAUUCUUGAUUAUAAAGCAAUAGGUGCAUUUGUGACUCAUUGAGGAUGGAACUCAACUCUUGAAGGCAUAAGGCCAAUAUUUGCUGAGCAAUUCUAUAAUGAAAAGUUGGUGACUGAUGUUUUAAAAGUUGGUGCUGUCGUUGAAUAUAUUAUAGCUGUCAAGGUUCUUGAGUUUUCCCAAAUGUGAUGAUAUGAUCUCAAAACCUGCAAGAGAGUUGUUUGUAAGAGUAAGUCAUGAUGAGCUCACGAUAUGCAAAACAGAUAGAAACAAAAGAUAAUUAGAAUUGAUGAGAUGCUGUUGUUCAAUUGAUGUAUGAUUCUCAAAUUAUACAUACAUAUAUAUAUAUAUAUAUAUAUAUAUAUAUAUAUAUAUAUAUAUAUAUAUAUAUAUAUAUAAUUGAUAUUUAUAAAAGCAUUAACUGUAGCUGAUAUAGUUUUAGAGGAAUAUUUGGUACUUUGUUUCCCAAAAAAAAAAAUAGAUUUUUCUGCGAAGUAGGAAAAAAAAAAAAAAAAACUGUUCAAAACUUAUUCAAGAAAUUAUACAGUUAGCGAGUCACAGAUGAUGAAUCUUAAAAAAAAUUGGCAAUAAUAACAGUACUCUAUUACUAUUAAUUAACUUAAAUAUUCAAAACUUAAAAAUAUUUUUUAAAUUUAUCCAUGCCAAUUUAUCUUAAGAGAGUCGCAAUCUGUGACUAGUUAAAUUAUAUUAUUUCUUUAAAUAAAUUUUGCAUUGUGUUAUUUUUUGUUCUAGGUGCUAUUUUGCAAAAAAAGAAAAGAAAAGAAAGAUUAACGUUUCAGUUAUUCAUUGUUCUUGGAUUUGUAGGUAUAACAACUGAAGAUAGCAAUCAAAAGCGAUGGUGACAUGGUAGAGCUUUGAGUUAUUGCUGUGUUCUAAUGAUGAAGAUGUAGGAAAACGAUCUCCCUUCUGCUGUCUGGAGCUGGGCUUCCUCUCCCUGUAAGAACAAGCAACAUCUUAUCUGCGUUGUUGUUAGUGGCCACUUCAUCGACCCAUUAGUGGGUGGAUUUUAAGCUUAAAAAGGAUUUUUUUUAAAAAAAAAAUAAAGGAAGAAAGAAAGGAGAGGGGGGGCAUCAUCACGUGAAAAGCAAGGAGGUUGCCACCCAUUAUAGAGUGUGGGGCACUCUUGCAUCUAAGAAUAUAUGAUCCUGAGGUUGUUCUGGUGAUGGGUAUUGGCCAUUACAUAAAGCUUCGACAAGCCCUUUUAGCUGCCUGUUAUUAGAAUUUGUAUAAUGAGCAUUCAAACUUAAACUUCUUUAAAUGGGAUGAAAACGAGUGAAAAUCAAGAAGUUGGAGGUGUUCAUCUCUAAUGCAUAGCUGAAGAUCCUUUGUAAGAAAAUACAGCUAAAGACAAAGUGUGUGUGUGUAACAGAGAAAUUGUCGAUAAUAGCAAUCAUGUUCUUUGUCUCUUGUGUCAUAUCUUCCAAAAAUCUUAAAGUAAUUGAUGAAAAAGUGGAUAUACCACUUUGUCUUCUUUAUAGCACUACUGGCCAAUAUGAGUUAAAAGCAUUAAAAGGUCGUGAACGCGGAUGCUUGACGAGCGAGUGUUUACUUGUUAAUUUUUUUAGAAGGAAUCUGGAAAAGAAUAAAGUCAUCUAUUUCACUUUGGGACAACAUUCCUCACCUCUCCCCGCCCGAGCUCUCUCCCUCCCUCCCUCCCUCCCUCGCUCGCUCCCUCUUCCGCCUCUCGGAAACCGCCGCAUCCAUUAAGGCUUCAGAUUUCUGCCAGGUGCUUCCUUUUCUAUCAUGCUUUUGUUUUUAAAAUUUAUGGGUGUUUUCAUUUAUUUUAUUGUAAUUAUUAUUCAGAGACAGAAAUCCAUUUUAAUAAGUAAAUUAAAAAAAAACAAAUAAUCGAUCCGAUGAAAUCUCUGCUAGUGAACGCAAUUCGAUUUUAAUAAGUAAAUUAAAAAAGUAUAUAAUCGGAUCCGAUGAAAUCGCUGCUCGUGAACGCAAUUCAAAGAAACGCACAAUCAGCCGAUUCUAAUAUUUUCUUUUGCAACCCCACCCUAAUUUACAUGAUAUUAUUCGAUUUUUCUCACAGUUAUUGUUGUAAUAAUCAAGCCCUGAAUUCUUGAACCCAAAUUUAUCUUAUUUUAUUUUAUUUUUUAGUUUUAUUUUUAAGUGGAGAAUAGAAAUCAAUUCAAAUCUUUUAGGCUCGAUCGAUAAUUUGUUAAUUAGUUUAUGCAGCAGCUGGAGUGGAAGGGAUAUUACUGCCGGAAUGGCCGAAAAAUGAGCUGUUUGGUUGAUUCUUCUUUUUUGGAAUUUACUGAAUUCUUCAAAAUUAUUGUGUUUUUAACAACAAUACGAUAUCCUUGGGUUUCAUGCUCGCUCACAAAUGGAAAAAAGAAAGAAAGAAAAGAACUUUAAAUUUUAUAAUUUGGUCAUGUUAAUGCUCGUCGUUUUCUUCUUCAUUUUCCUAGCUUAAAACAUCCUAGACAAUCUCUUUGGGAUGGGUUAUUGUUUUUGGCCUCUUCAUCUUCUAUUUGUGCUGUGGUAUUUAGUCUGCUGAUAUUCUUUGGGGAUUAAAAUGCCUCGUUUUAUGACUUUGUUUUGUUUUCUUCUUCUUUCUUUAUUCUUUUGGGGAUGUGGUAUUCUCCUCUUUCUAUUUACACUCUUUGCUCCCUACAACAUUUAUUCUUUCAGAAAAGUAAAUACAUACAUAAAUAACAACAGGAGAGGAGGGGGAGGGGGAGGGGGUUUGACGGUAUGUAUUUGGAUGCAUGAUAUCUAAAUUGGUAAGCACCUGAAAAAGGUCCUGAAUCUAAAUUGGUAAGAUGUGAUAUACUGAUAUCUAGAGAGAUAACUUAAUCUAUCUAUUGAAGUAAAGCAUUUAAAUGCGUAUACAAUGUUUUUGGAUCAUUAAAUAUCUAUUUGAUCAGAAUCUGUGAACCUAAAGCCACAAUGAAUACAAAUGCAAGUUUGUCAUUGUAAACAUUGCAUCGAUGAUGCAUCACAGGUGUUGCUAGAAAACAUCAAGUUAAAAUUGAAGCACCAUGAGUUUCUCUAUGGCUUGGUUUACCAACACUCACCAUCAGUUGGUGCGGCAAGUUAUGAACUAGCUGGCUAGUUUUUCGCUUCCUUGGUUUUAGAAGCACCAUGAAGAUUCAGGCCCAAAUCUUGCUUACAAUACUCAAAUACCCAAGAUCCUAGCACCUUGCCCUGAAUGGUCGUGUAUAUUUGUUAUGGCUGUUCAGAUUUUAUGCAUCCAUGUUUGGUAGAAUUCUUUAAUAAAGUACAUGCUAUUAGAUGGAAGUUCUCUUUAAAUCUAUUCAAGUCUGAAUAAACUGAUAUUCCAAUUUUCAUGACUUUGAUUAGGCGGAGAACUUGUGAUGGACACAGGUGAUUGGAGAACUCAAUUGCAGCCUGGCUCACGGCAAAGAAUAGUCAACAGAAUGUAAGUAUCUGUUUGCUAAUAUGUACAAGUGCUGCAAAAUAGUAAAUCUUGUAUUUAAAUGAAAGAAAAAGAGAAGGGCAAAAGGUUAAUUAAAAUCAGCAGGACUGCCAUGAGGCAACCUCAAGUAUCAUACACUGCUGUUUUUGUCUUUUUCAUUUUUCACGUGUUUCUCACAAGAAGUGAACUUGAGGGAAUAAAAAGUGCUGGGAAGGAAUUUUGGUGGAACUUCUUGUGUAACAUCUUCUUUCAAUGAUGACCUCUUGGAUGGCUGCAUGAAGCUUGUUCCGCUUUAAAUUUCAAGGUUAAUCUAUUGCUAUGAACAUUGGUGUUUCAAUUUCAACCUUGAGUUGCAACUGAACUUAAAUGAAUAGUGUUGGAUUUGGGCCUUCCAUUUGUUUUAACUUCUACAUGGUUGAAAUGAUAGUGAUCUUAAAAUAGAAAAGCAGUUGAAUGUUGAAUGGUGUAUGGUUUCCUAGUUUCUCAGCAUAAAGUUGAAUGUUUUGGUGAUAUCUCUACAUCCAAAAUCAUAUAGACAGCUACUGUUGGCACUUGCAGUAGCCAAUGAGCACUGUAGAGUAUAUAUUCCAGUGUGAGAUAAGGUUAACUCAUUGCAUUUUCAUAAAUUAAAGGGAUUUCUCUUCUUUUCUUUGUCAAUUACGGUGCAUGUAUAAAAGUUUUCUUACUUAGAGUAAAUGCUAUUGUAAUGUUUUCACAGAAUUCCCCUGGUUUGCAACUAAUUCACUUAUAUAUCUUGGAGCAUAGCCAUAGCCAUAGCCGUAAAUGGAAGGUUCUUCUGGUUCAAGAAAAUUAACCAUGAAGCUCGUAAUUAAAAUUUUAGACAGAAGGGUGGCCAAAUGAACUCCUAUACCCUGUACCUCUGGAAUAAUACGGGGAAAGGAAGUAAAAAUAGAUGUCUGUAUUCUGAUGCCAUAUAUUACUUGACCGACACUCGGCUAUAUCAUUAGUUGUUUUUAUUUUUUGCUAAUGAUUCCAUUGAAUACAUUUCUGAUAUUGGUGUGGUGUGUGAGUUCAUGGUUAUUUCUCACUGCUGCUAACUUCUCUAUACCUACCUUGUCAUUAAAAAUUAAACGUAAUGUUUUACAUGUGCAGAAUGGAGAUAUUAAAGAGGCAUCUUCCGUUUUCUGGUCAAGAGGGAUUACAAGAACUCAAGAAAAUUGCUGUACGGUUUGAGGAAAAGGUUUAUACUGCCGCCACCAGUCAGGUAUUCGGCUAAUGCUAGGUUCAAUAAUUUCGAUAUUCUCUAGACAUGAAUAUAAACAUGCAUAAGUUUGUGGAUUUAUGCAUGUACACGUGUGUGUAGUGUGUCCACACUCUCACUGGUCAUUCCGUAGAAGUUCUCAUCUGUUCAUUAAUUCUCUUGACAAGUGUUUUAUUUAGAGUGACCAAGGUUCUUUUCAAGUACAAGGGAAGUGUGCAAAAUGCAAAUAACGAAUCAAUACAUAAAUAAUUAAAUAAAAAGAUAGGAUACAGAAGUAUAUCCUAUAUCCUCACAGAAGACGCAAAUAUAGAAAGCCUAGCAUAUUAGAAAGAGCAUUUAUCCCUUUCCCCCCUUCUCUUGUAACAUGGACUGCUCAGAGAUCUAAUGUUUCCUUAUUGAUAUCUGAUUUCAGUCUGAUUAUCUGCGUAAAAUAUCUCUGAAGAUGCCUCAGAAUACCAUACCCACUGGCAAUGGUAACAAACCCCUGUAUCCAGGGGGGAAGUGUGCAAAAUCCAAGCUUUGAAUUUCUAAACAUCCUUACCUUUUGUUUUAUAUUUCGCAUUGUUAUCAGACCCUUUUACAUUUUAUUGCUGCAUUUUGCUAUGUAUAUACUAAUCCCUGUACUUUUACAUUAUGUUAAUAAACUGGUCCCUUCAUUAGUUUUUUGUUAGUCAAAUGUAGAGUUGUUAGCAAUAUUUCCUCAAUUUGUUCCACUAACUUGACGUUAAAAUGUGACCAAAGAAUCAAUUAAUUAUUUAAAAAACUUGAGGGAUUAAUUUGUUUGUUUCACAAAAAAAUACAGUGGUUAAAUAAAAUUUUACUCAAAUUUUUAUCAUCAUAUUCGUGAGUGUUUACUUGUAAAUAUUUUGGAAUGAACACAGUGGUUAAGUUUAUGUUUUGCGCAGCAUAAAAAAAAUCAUCUAGGCUUAAAUAAUUAUUUGGCAUCAUAAUUAAAACUCUAAUCCAAAUUUCUCUCAUCUGGCUUCUUAUCUAUAUCAAGUUUAAAAUUAACCAAUGUGAAAGUUGCUCUAACAUGAUAUAAUUAAUGUGAUGGGUUCCAAGUCAAUUCAUAUGACCAGUAAAAAAACAUAAUUUAGCUUUAAAAAAAAAAUUCAAGAUGAUACUUGUUUUGAACAUUGAUACGACAUCUUGGAUCGACUCUAGUUUUGUGACGUAACUCUUUAAACCCAUGACUUGAAUAAUGGAUUCUAUCUGGUUUAAUUUUUUAUAAAAAAAAUUAUUUUUUACUUAAUAAUAUGAUAAUAAAAAUAAAAACUCGUAAAAUUGAGCACUAAUCAAAUAUUAAGAUAUUUAUUUGAGACUGCAAUAACAUCAUUGAAAGCAAAUUGAAACAAAAUCAAUUCAAAAUCAAAUAAAUGUUAAACAAAUAUUAAAAGAUGAAACCAGACAAAAGCCAAAAAGGAUUUAAUUGAAAGAAAGAAAAUAUUGGAAUGUAGAGUUUAAAAACUAAGGAAUAAUAUUUAUUAAACUUGAUCCUAAUCUAUCGACUUGACUUCUUACCUAACAUAUAUUUAAAAUUAAUUUGUAAGGGAGUUGUCUGUACAUUACCUAGUUGACUUGACAUGUGCAAAUUAAAGCAACCUGAAUGACCAAUAAAAACAUGGUUUGGAUUUUAAGAAAAAAAAUCAAGAUAUCUUUUUUUUUUAAUAUUGAGACGAAAAUAUAUUAGAUCAACUCAAGCUCCGUGGCUAAACUCGUCAAAUACGCAACCCAGAUCAUGAACUCCACUAGAUUUAAAAACUAUUUUUUUAUAUAAUGAUACAAUAACUAAUAUAAACACUUAUAAAAUUGAGAACUAAACAAAUUUAGUGACGUUUAUUUGAUAUUGUGAUAACUACAUAUAAAGAAAAAAACAAAUUAUGACCAAUUCAAAAUUAACAAAAUAUUAAAGUGAAAUUGAAAGGAAAAAAAGGGCAAAAAUCAUUCAAUCAAAAGAAGAAAAAAUUAGAAGAUAGAAUUUUUUUUUUAAGGGAGGAUAUGAAUAGCAAAAUAGGAGGGAAAACCCUAACUUUUUUUAGUAUAAUAAAUGAUGUUUAAUUUAAUUAAAAUCUUUAUCUCAUACAAUUAGACCUAAAAAGAGAAGAAAAUUUCUAAAGAUUGAUUUGUAAAAAAACAGAAAAAAAAAUCAAAUCAAGAAGCGAAAAAAUACAAGGACCAAUAUACACACACAUAGUGAAAGAGUUAGAAAAGCAUAACUUUUUUAGUAUAGUAGUUUAUUUCUAAUUAAAUUGAAAACUUUAUCUCAUAUAAUUAGGCCAAAAAAGAAUUAAAUAAAAAAAAAAGGAUUAAUUUAUAAAAAGAAAAAGAAAAAUAAAGAAUACAGAACCAAAUCAACAAAGAAAAAAACUAAUUUUUAAAAAAUAAAGUGCUCCACUAUUCAUAUAAAAUAGAACAUCAUUAUAGUAUCCAAUUAGACAGUGACCCAUAUUACUGGCUAUUUUAAUUUUUUUAAAGAAAAAAAAGUUUCAGUAUUUUCAAAUGUGAUAAGUUUUUUUUUUAUAAAAAAAAACAUAUAUGUGUGCAAGGGAAUAGAGAUUUGGUUUGAGAAUACAUGCUAAAAAUCUAAACAUGAACUAAAACAAAGUGGAAUUAAAAAGAGUAAAAAAAAAAAACCUAAAAGAGAUCCAUGAUUCAUUAUAUAUAUAGACUAUGAGGUUACGAGGUAAAAUAUUAUGGAUUAGCAUAAUAUAAUUACUUUUUACCCUUCUCUACACAACAAUUACCUUGCUAAUAGGGGUAAAGUUGUCUUUUUCAAUGAUUUUAAAGGUUAUUUAUAAAUUCACUGGAGAUAAUUUAGUAGGUUUACUCCUUUUUUGCAUAUUAAAACUACAUCAUUGCCUUUGCAAGCCAAAAAAAGAAAAAACAAUUAACCUUUUGUUUAAGAUCUAUUUUGUAUUUUGUAUUUGAUUUAUACAGUAAAAUGACAUUAAUGCCUUAGAGAGUUAAAAAAUCAUCGACUUUAAGUUACUGGGCCUUAAACUUUGUUAUUUAUUUUGGUUUUUUUUUAUAGGGUUAUUUCUAUCUCAUAUCUCAAGUUGCAGAUAAGUUAGGUUGGAUGCAUACUUAAUUAAUUAAUAAAAGUCAUGUAUAUAUUUUUGCAAAUUGGAUGCACACUUAAUUAACAUACUUAUUGAAUAUUAAGUCAGGCAAAAAAUCUAUAAAAAGAAUAUACAAGUGAGCCAAACAACAAUAUUAAGAACGAAUAAGAGGUAGUAAAAGAAGAUGAUACCAAAGGACGCAAAAUCACAAAAAUUCAUGAAACUACAUUAGGCUCUCUACAAGUGAAUUGUUUAAAAAGUUAAAAGAAAAUAAAUGCACUUUUGUCCACAGCAACAACUAAAUGCACUUUUGUUCAAUACCAAGAAAUUAAACAUUUUUUAAAAAAAAAACUAAAUGAAUUGUUUAAAAAGUUAAAAGAAAAUAAAUGCACUUUUGUACACAGCAACAACAACUAUAGCAAAAUGCUGGGCUGUAGAAUCUAGAUGAUUGUCCACAGCAACAUGAAAAAAUCAUAUAUGCUUAAGUAACUAUUUGGCAUCUCAAUCUAGUAAAUUAAUCUUAAAUUUCUUAUAUCCGACUCUUUACCUAUAUUAAAUUUAAAAUUAACCAACAUAAAAAUUGUUUUAAUAUGACUUAAUCGAUAUAGUUGGUUCAAAGUCAAUCCAUAUGACCGAUAAAAAAUGUAAUUUGGCUUAAAAAAUUUCAAAAUAACAUCUUUUUUAUAACAUUGAUACGACAAUAUAUUAGAUUGACCCUGAUUUCAUGACUUAACUCUCUAAACCCACUACCUUAAUAACGGACUCCUUCUAGUUUAAAAACUUUUUUUUAAUUAUUUUUUACUUCAUGAUAUUAUAACAAAAAUAGAUGCUCAUAAAAUUAAGCACCAACCAAAUAUCAAGAUAUUUGUUUGAGAUUACAAUAAUAAAUAUCAUAAAAAGCGAAACCGAAACAAGACCAAAUCAAAAUAAAUCAAAUGUUAAAGGAUUAAACCAGGAAAAAGCCAAAGAGGAUUCAAUUAAAAGAAAGAAAAAAAAAAUAGAAGGUUGAGUUUAAAAACAAAGUAACAAUAUGACAUUGUUAUUAAACUUAAAGGAAAAAAAAACUAAUUUAAAAAAUUAAAGUGUUUCACUAUUCAUGUAAAAAUGAAAUACCAUUAUAGUAUCCAACUAUAUAGGUGACCUGCACUAUGGGUUAUUCUAUUUUUUUAAAAGCAAAAAAAUAAAGUUUCGACAUUGUUAGAUUGUGAGAAAAAAAAAGUUUUAAAAAAUAUCCGUGUACAAAAGAGGAGAGAGAUUUGGUUUGAGAAUGCAUGGUAAAAAUCUAAACAUGAACUAAAAAACAAAGUGGAAUUAUAAAAAUUAAAAAAAAAACUAAAAGAGGUAAAUGAUUCAAGUGAUUCAUUAUAGACUAUAAGGUAAAACACUAUGGAUUACACACAAUAUAUUUACUUUUUUCUCUUCUAUACACAAAAUAAUUGUCUUGCUAAUGGGGAUAAAGUUGUUUUUUUAAAGGGAUCUAAAGGUUAUUUGUAUAUUGAUCGGGGAUAAUUUAGUAGAUUUACUGCUUUUUUUGAACAUUAAAACUACAUCUUUGCCUUUGCAAGCAAAAAAAAAAAAUUGUCCUUUCGUUUAGGUUUAGGGUUUAUUUUAUCUUUCCUAUUUUUUUUCAUAGUAAAAUAACAUCAAUAUCCUUGAUAACAAUACAACAACAAAGGAAAAUACCAAUAUUUAAAAUACAACAACUCUUUUUUUCCCAUCUUCUGUUUUCUUUUUUUCAUAUCAAUACAACAACAAAGAAAAAUACAAAUAUUUAAAAUACAACAUAAAAUUUAUUUUCCUGUAGAAUCAAUGUAACAUUAAAGAGGCAUCUUCCGUUUUCUAGUCAGGAGGGAUUAUAAGAACUCAAGAAAAUUGCCAUAUGACUUGAGGAAAAGAUUUAUACUACCGCCACCAAUCAUGUGUUUGCCUAAUGCGAGGUUCGAUAAUUACGGUAUUCUUUAGACAUGAAUAUACACACGCAUUUAUGCAUGUACAAAUGUGUGUGUAGUGUGCCUACACUUCCUCACCGUUCAUUCUGUAUGCAAGGCUAAUUGGGAGUUCACAUCUUUUUGUUAAUUCUCUUGACAAGUGUUUUAUUGAGAGUGACCAGGUUCAAGUAUUGGGGAAGUGUGCAAAAAGAAAAUAGCAAAUCAAUACAUAAAUAAUUAAAUUAAAAGAGAGGAAACAGAACUAUAUCCUCACAGAAGAUGAAAUGAUAGAGCAUAUAUCCAUUUCCCCCCUUCUCUUGUAACAUGGAUUGCUCUGAGAGCUAAUGUUUUGUUAUUGAUAUCUGAUUUCGGUCUGAUUAUCUGCGUAAAAUAUCUCUGGAGAUUCUUUCGAUGGAAAUCAGGUCUCAAAACGCCAUGCCCACUGCCCCCAUGGACCCAUAAGGUAAUAAUGCAGCCAAGCAUUGAAUUUCUAAACAUCUUACCUUUUGUUUUUCUUUUCGCAUUGUUAUCGAACUCUUUUACAUUUUAUUGCUGCAUAUUGUUAUGUAUUUCGCCUUGCUGGAAAAAUCUCAUGAUCACCUCCACGAUGCUAAUUCUGUAAUGCAUGUGAAGUGUUUCUGAUAAGGUCCCAAUCAAGAGUGAUACACAAUUGCAGAAAUGCUAGGAUUCUCUUAGGGUGAGAAUUUACCACAAUAUUGUUUGGAUAAACAUAAUGCUAUUCUUUUUAUUCUUCUUCAUACAUAUAAAGAACUAAACCAUAACAACUUUCAGCAAAUCCAGCCGAAAUGGAAAUAACAGAUUACAAAACAGAAAUGCAAAUAAUGUGAAAGUGGCUGCUUUAUUUUCUCCCAUUGAAUCGGAAGCAUGAUUCCAAUUGACUUGCUUGUAACUCCCUUUAAUCACGAUAUCUUUUAAUCACGAUAUUUUAAAUUCUUCUUUAUGACACGUGGGGUCCUUCGUGGCAGCAGCUCUCCAAGCUGCGUAUCAUUACCCCCCACAUCAAGUGGAUGCUUGUCCCCAAGGUCCAAGCUUGGGUGGUUCGUUAGCAGUUCAGCCGUUGGUUCCCAGAUGGCAUCAUUUGUAGACAAAUGUUUCCACUUCACCAAACUCUCCUCAAUAAAUCUUGCCCCAUGUGGAAUCCAACGUGUGUCCAGAAUAGCUUCUGGUGUGACCACAAUGGUGCCUUCUUCAUCAAUAGGUGGAAGUUCCAUACUAGUGUCUGCUUUGUCACCCAACUUCCUUUUAAGCAACGACACAUGAAAAACUGAAUGUAAACGUGCCCCCUCCGGAAGCUUGAGUUUGUAGGCCACAUCACCGACUCGCUUUUCAAUUGGGAACGGACCAUAAAACUUGCAAGCAAGUUUUUGAUGAGCUCGUCGAAAAGCAGUCUGUUGGCGAUAAGGUUGUAAUUUGAGAUACACAAGGUCACCUUCUAUGAAUUCGACAUCCCUUCGCCCACGAUCAACCAACUGUUUCAUGCGAUUCCUAGCAUUCGCUAAAUUCUGCUUGAGAUUCCUAAGAAGUGUGUCCCGUACCUGAAGACUGUGAUCAACUUCAUUAACUGGUGAAGAGCCUGUAGCAUAAAGUGGAAAUGUAGGUGGUAAGCGUCCAUAAAGAGCUUGAAAAGGUGUCGUUCCUGUUGAUGAAUGGUAAGCUGUAUUAUACCACAGCUCUGCCCAAGGAAGAAAUUGGCUCAACUGUCGUGGUCUUUGGUGAACAAAACAGCGCAAAUAUUGUUCCACACAAUGAUUAACCACCUCUGAUUGACCAUCCGUUUGAGGAUGAUAUGCUGAGCUCAUCUUAAGCUGAGUACCAGACAUCUUAAAAAAUUCCUGCCAAAACUUACUAAUAAAGACUUUAUCUCUGUCGCUCAUAAUAGAACUAGGCAUGCCAUGUAGCUUCACCACACCAUCUACAAACUUUUCUGCCACCAUCUUUGUUGUGAAAGGAUGUGUUAAGGCCAAGAAGUGAGCAGAUUUGCUUAGAUGGUCCACUACCACUAAAAUGGUAUCGCGACCAUGUGAAGUAGGGAGACCUUCAAUAAAAUCUAUAGUAACGUCAUCCCAUACCUGACACGGAAUAGGAAGAGGUUGCAAGAGCCCAGCUGGUUUGAGAUUAUCAGCUUUAGUUUUCUAGCAUGUCACACAUGUGUGGACAUAUUCUUUGACAGAAUGAUACAUAGAUGGCCAAUAAAACUGCUGAGAUAGACGUUUGAAUGUACCCAAUAUACCAGAAUGGCCGCCCAUCUUUGUAUCAUGAAAUUCCUGUAGUAAUUGUUCUAUCACAGCUGUGUUAGGAGGCACCACAACACGUGUUUUGAAGAAAACUAACCCAUCUCGCCAGGUAUAAGGUUUUCCAGGACUAUUUUGAGCUUGCUGAAUAAUUUGUUCCAUAUAUGGGUGUCCAGUGGAGGCCUUUUUUAUGUCUUCCCAUAAAGUUACUUGUGGCACAGACAACGCAUUAAGAAUAGGGCUUCCAGACACUCUUGAUAAUGCAUCAGCAGCUGAGUUGUCGCGUCUUGGGCGAUAUAUGAUUUCAUAGUCAUAGCCAAGUAAUUUAGCCACCCAACGUUGUUGUUCUGGUGUCCCAAUUCUUUGCUCCAAUAGAUACUUUAGACUGUGCUGGUCCGUUUGAAUGAAGAACUUUUUGCCCAGUAGAUAUGGUCUCCAAGUGCGUAUUGCCUGAAGGAUGGCAAUCAUUUCUUUGGCAUAUGUUGACCAUGAAAGUUUGGCCACUCCGAGUUCUCGGCUGAGGAAAGCAAUGGGUUUACCUUGCUGUGUCAACACUGCACCAAUACCCUCUCCAGAAGCAUCAGUUUCAAUUGUAAAUGAUUCAUUGAAAUUUGGCAUAGCUAAAAUAGGUGUGGUUGUCAUAGCUUGUUUGAGCUGUAGGAAAGUUGCCUCCGCCUCUUGACUCCAUCUGAAUUGCCCUUUCUUCAAGAGAUUGGUUAAUGGCUUUGCCAGCAGACCAUAGUUGCGCACAAAUUUUCGAUAAUAACCUGUAAAGCCUAGAAAACCAGGUAAGUCUGAAAUAGUGCUUGGCCUUGGCCAAUUUACCAUAGCUGUAAUUUUGCUUGAAUUAACCUUGACCCCUUUAUUAGUCACAAUGUGACCGAGGUACUCGAGCUCUGACUGCCCAAAUGUAUAUUUGCCUUUACAAAAUAUGUAUGUUGCCGUAGAAUUUCAAAAACCUUUGUAACAUGUUCAAGAUGCAUGGUCCGGGCUAUAAAUCAAAAUAUCAUUAAAAAAAAAACUAAUAUGAAUUGACGGAGAUGAGGAUGAAAAAUAGAAUUCAUAAUAGCUUGGAAAGUGGAAGGAGCGUUGCAAAGACCAAAGGGCAUGACCAUAUAUUCGUAGUGGCCAUUAUGGGUACGGAACACAGUUUUGUGAGUGUCUUUUGGAUUUACUCGUACUUGAUGGUACCCUGCUCUUAAGUCUAAUUUUGUAAAGAAGGCAGCUCCAUGGAGCUCAUCAAGCAUGUCAUCAAUGGUAGGAAUAGGAAAUCGAUCCUUAAUGGUUACGCUAUUGAGAGCUCUAUAAUCAGUACAAAAACGCCAAGUGCCAUCUUUUUUUUUAACUAACAAAACAGGUGAAGAAAAGGGACUAGUACUUGGUUUUAUAAGUCCCAAUUUAAGCAUGUCUUGAACUUGUUUUUCAAUUUCAGUUUUUUGAAAAUAGGCAUACCUGUAGGGCCUCACAUUAAUAGGCUCAGUAUCUUCUUUAAGAGGAAUGCAAUGAUCAACUUCACGAGCUGGAGGUAACUGUGUGGGCUCAUAAAAAAUGUCCUCAAAGUUGUUGAUGAUUUCCUUCAUAUCUGUUUGCAUAUUGGGUCGUUCCAUCUUUUCUAUGGAUUGACAAUACACUGUAAAAGUGGAACAGCCAUGACGGACAUCUUUAGUAAUUGCUGAUAGUGAAGCAGGUUGUAUAGCUUGGCUAUUAGAACCAUUUAAUGUUUGAGCUUGAUUCUUCCACCAAAAGUCCAUUGUAAAUUUUUUCCAAUUACACACCACUGGUCCGAGUUGUUCAACCCAUUGUACACCAAGAACAAGAUCAAGGCCUGUGAUAGGUAUUGAAUAAAGGGUUAAUGAAAAUGGAAUGUUUUGGAGAAUAACCUGGACUUGUUCAAACCUUCCUUGGCACUUCAUUUGAUUGCCAUCUGCCACCCUUACAGUGAAGGGUCUCAUAGGAAUAACAGGUAAUUGAAGCUCCUCUGCUAUUUUAGAAUUGAUGAAAUUAUGGGUAGACCCACUGUCGAUGAGCACUGUUAGAGUGUGAUUCCCAACUCGUCCUUCAAUCCUCAUGGUUCGUGGUGUGGACCAACCCGUGAGUGCAUGGAGUGAAAUUUCUGGCUCAGUGUUCUCCUCAGCUAUGUCCUCUACUGGAAUGUCAUCAGUAACUUCUUCGCACAUGACUCUGACAGGUUCACUAAGGCUUUCUAGUAAUAACAGUUGCGGUCUUUGGCACUUAUGUCCAGCAGUGAAUUUGUCAUUGCAAUUGAAACAAAGCCCUUGUGCACGCCGUCUCUGCAUUUUAUCCCAUGUUAGUCUUUUUAUCGGAACUGGAAAACUGGAUUUUGGUGGGGGAAAAGUCAAUGGUGUGCGAGUUAAUUGUGUUGGCCGUGUAAAUUUCCCUUGCCGCAUUAUUUGUUCAUCCUUCAUUUUAUCUAAACUGAUAGCCUCUUUCAAAGUCCGUGGUUUGAACAUCCGAAUAGCAUCAGAAAUUUCUACUUUAAGUCCACCCAUGAAUGUUGUAACAACCCCGAUUUUUCUACAUUCUUUUUCGCGAUAUAUUGGAAAUUUUCAGGUAAAUUUUUUUUUUUGUGAUAUACAGGUUCCACCAAAAUUUCUACCAAAAUUUCGGCAGAGUCUCCCCUAUACUGGUAGGUCCCAGGUUAUCGACAUAUACCAUGUUUACACUUCUAAUAUCUCACAUCUCAUAACUCAAAAUCACGACCCAAUCAUCCUGGGUCUCAACCCAACUCAUUAUCAUCAACACAACACAUCUUAUUCAAUAACAUCAUAUAAUAUAGUUCAAAUGAAAGAUUCAAUUUCAACUAUAAAUAUGCAUGGUCAAAUAGGUACUAAGAGUUUAAACCAUUAGAGUAAAGACAUACAUUCAAAUUUACGGAUUAAUAUUACAUCUCAAGUUUUAUAAUUUACAUAGUCAAAAGCAAAAGAUAUCUAAACUAGCAUUACCCUUGACGCGACCCUGAUGGACCUGAAAAUAGAAAUUAACAUGUACACAUAAAUAUAAAAGAUAGUAACAAGCAAUAACAAUGGCAAACAAUAAUCUCUACGGAAUUUCUUUUGAUAUAUAAAAUUAGGCAUAAACCUCUUUUACAACAUAUAUUUUACAUUUAUUACCAAUAUCCAUCUAAUAUCCUAUCUCAUUUACCAAGAAUAAUUCCAUCUUGGAAAUCUCAACACAACUCAACGGUUUGCGAACACCAUCUCUUUAUAAAUCAAUUCUCACUUGAUACCAAGAUAUUCCUCUCUUGGUAUUAUUAGCUUAUCUCAUUCUUUUGGAAUAACUAAUUAAUAUUUUCCCUUUUCUGAAUCUGUUGCUAGAAGGUAAUCACUGAAACUAAUAAAUCUCAUUAGUAUCAUUAGUCUUCAAAUAUUGGGCUAGACUAAUCAAUUUAAGAAAUACUGGCACCGAUGAAACUUCAUCGAUACCAUUAGCAAUCCAAACUUGGAUGGCUAAUCAAUUCCAUUUGAUUCUUCCAUUCGUACCGAACCCCUUUUAUCUUUCUUAUUAACAUCAUAUGCAUUGUAACCACGGUUGCCAAGUAUCAUUUGCACACAAUCUUAGUUAUCGACACUACGGUCACUAAGCAUCCUUCACAAAACCUUGGUCACCUUCAUCACAGUGCCAAGUAUCAAUUUAUGCCCUUAGCCACCAUCAUUAUGGUGUUAAGUAUCAUUGUAAUGUAUCCUUAGCCACCGACACUAUGGUAACCAAUUAUCUAUCAAUUCACCUCCAAUCUCCAAGUCAUUGUGUCUACCCAAUAACCACAUUAAUUAAUUUACUCAAUAUGUUAGUCAUAUAUUAAUUAUUUUACUCAUAACAUUUAGAAUUUACUAUUUCUAACUUCAAUCAAUUAAUUCACAUAAUCUUUUCAAAACUUAACUAUCCGGCUAACUCAUCUCGAUUGCCAAUAAUUCUGGUAAUUUCAUAUAAUUACCCACACUUUUGGUUAACCUCCAUCGGUUACCAAUACAUCUGGUAAUUCCAUACGAAUUACUCAGCCUCCAGCUAACUUCUUUUGUUUGUCAAUUAAUCCUGUAAUUCCAUACGAAUUACCCCAUAUCCAGUUAACCUUCUUGUUAACCAAUAAACCCGGUAAUUCUCUUAAUUGUCCAAGAAAUCUGGCUAACCCAUCUUGGUUGCCAAGGUCAAUCCGGUAAUUCCAUACGAAUUACCCAUCAUCCAGCUAACCUCUCUUGUUAGCCAAUGAAUUCGGUAAUUCCAUACGAAUUACCCAUCAUCCAGCUAACCUCUUUUGUUAGCCAAUCAAUCCGGUAAUUCUAUACGAAUUACCCCAUAUCCAGUUAACCUUCUUGUUAACCAAUAAAGCCGGUAAUUCUCUUAAUUGUCCAAGAAAUCUGGCUAACCCAUCUUGGUUGCCAAGGUCAAUCCGGUAAUUCCAUACGUAUUACCCAGCAUCCGGCUAACCUCUUUUGUUAGCCAAUGAAUCCGGUAAUUCCAUACGAAUUACCCAUCAUCCAGCUAACCUCUUUUGUUAGCCAAUCAAUCCGGUAAUUCCAUACGAAUUACCCAAUAUCCCGGCUAACCUCUUUUGUUAGCCAAAUAAUUUCGGUAAUUUCUCUUAAAUUACCAAUAAUUCUCAUUUGUAAUAAUCACUCAACUUAUUCAUUUGUUUCAUUCUUUUAACAUCAAUUAAACACACAACACAAAUAUUUAAGAAAAACUAAUAAUUACAAAAUAAGGUGAUGAAUCACCUACCUAGAAUAGGUGCACGUGCUGCCACUCCAUGCAAUUGUCCAGUCCCCACAGCUUUCCCCUGUACCACCAGGGAUUCAAUUUUUAUCAACAAUACAACCAACAUCACAUCUUCAUUUAAUUCUCAUUCAACUAGUAUUCUCAAACUAAUCACAAGGAAUUUUCUUUAAGAUCUCAUACUCUUACUCAUUUUAAUGUUUAUAUUUAUUCUUAUAAUUUUGUUAUCAAAACCAUCACUCAACAGCAAUUCCAAGCAACGAUUAAAAAUUGUCUAAUUCCGAUCAAUUAAGCUUAACCAACCCAUAACACUAUCUAGUGUCUUAAUCAUAACUAAAGUUGUAAAACUCAGUUUUGGGCGUGAUUUAUAUCUCUAUGAAAGGCUAAACAUAGAGAUACAAAUUUUAUGAAGAAACCAACUCCAAAUUAUUUUGUUUUAAGGCUUAAAAUCAACAAUCACAAUAGCCCUUCUUUAUGGCUAAAAUUUUGGACAACGAGGAUUUUCAUUCCUUGGAAAUCCUUUUCAACUUCCAACUUAUUUUCAUGCAAAAUCAACAUCAUCCAAGGUCAUUUGGCAUCAUUAAAUCACAAGUUCAAACCAAUUCUAAAGCAAAACAUUCAAACAAUUUCCCUACCUCUACAAUAUAGCAAGAUUAGACCAAAAUAAGGAAACUCAUUCCUUUUGAGAUUUCUCCUAUUAUUAUUAUUAAUACAACAAAAUGAUGAACUAUUCAUUUUCUUUCGCUUUCUCCUCGUGCGAUUAAACAUAUACGGCAAACCUUAACAAUUAAUAUUCUCAGAUCAUUAUCACAACAAUAAUUUCACUCUACUAAUUGGGAUCCAUGACAACCUUCAUUAACUAACCAUUUGCUAAAAACACUUAUGGCUAGCUUUAAAUAUGUUUUAUUUUUUUCAAAUUUUUUUCAUUUCAAUUUCUUCAUGGUUCCACCCCAUUUAUAUCCACACAACCAACAAGUUAGCUUUCUAUUCAAUCAACAUGUUCUAUUCAAUCAACACGUUCAUAUAGCAAUAUUCUUUACUAUUCUUACACAACAAUCAUUCUUCCCCUCAUAUAAAGAAUACACAAUUAAUCUAUAAUAUUACUAAUAACAGGAACAUAUUUUAUCAUUACAUCUUCCAUAAAACCUACACCCACACAAUUCUAAUUUCAUCAAAACAUGUAUUUAAUCAAGCUUACUACAUUUUGCAAAAACUAGCAAUAGAUUCAAAAAGCAAUAAGUCAUCAACCUCUGAUUAUUGUUUCCCACCCAACGGUCAGACUACAUAUCAUAGCGUUGUGCAUAAUAUAUCUCAAAUUCAUAAUGAUCCAACGGUUAAAUCUCCCUAGAUCUGAAGAAAACCGAGCUUACCUGAAAAUGAACGAGCUACUGUUCAACAUGCACGCAACCUUGCCGGAGAAAUAUGUUCCGAUCUCCACUGUCCAGAAUGAAUUUAACAUCUACGCGCACCACAUAUCCAACAAUUAGCAUGAUCCAACGGUGGAAGAGAGAGAAAUCGGCCGGCGACCAAACUGCCCUGCAGGUGCAUUUCCUUUUUGUUUUCCAUGAAAUUCCAGAUGAUGAUUUCUGUCAAAUGGAUUGUGUUCCUUCCAAUCACUCCGGUCAGUUAGUAGAGGAGUGUAAUGAGAACAACACGUCCAAAACGCAGCUUGAUCCAACGGUUGAUUCCCGAGAUAUGACCACCGGAGCAUUAUUGGUUUUCUCCAAAAUUUGCAGCUCUCUCCCCUUAUCCGCUUUUCUCUAUUUUUUUUCUUUUUUUUCUUUCUUUUUUUCUUAACUGGUGGCCUCUUUGCAGAUUUAUAGGCACCUUUUUUUUUCAUAAUUACAAUUUUGUCCCUCUUUCAUGCUUUUAUGUAUUUUAUUUUAUUUUUCAUGUAAACUAUCUCGUUUAUUUCUGUUUAAAUCGCUAGUCUUUACCAAACUCUGAUUGGGAUGAGAUAUUUAACCAAGGUAGGAAAACAUAUUAAUAGGCUUCAUACAAAAUUUCAUCCCGAUCCGACGAUUGGAUUGAGAGCUCUGCUUCCUAAUGUAAAAUUGAUCAGUUCAUAACUUUUCGUAAACAAUCUAGAUUUUUUUUUUGUUCAAUCUUCACAAAAAAAAAAAACAUAUCAAUUAUCAUUCUAAACCUUUAAGGUCAUUUAAUUAUUUUGGAAUGUAUUCAUUUUAGGAUUUCCACCUUUAUUUAUUUAUCGGGCUUAUUAUCGUUUCAAAAUAACAUCACUGAUUUUUAAGCGGUGCUUGCACCUUCAGUCCUACCCUUUUCAUUGUACUAUCAUUUAUUAUAAUGUAUUCUUUAUUACCUCACUUAUUUCCUAAAAAUAUUUUGUCAUUUUUCUCAUUAUUUCAUCCAUCAAAACACGUUACCAGUUUCUCUAUCCUUAUGAAUUCUAAACCAAAAUUCAUUUUAUGAAGGUCAUCUCUUCUAUUAUAUAUCAUUAUUUAUCUAUUAUUUCUAAUCUUGGUUUCCAUCACUCAUUGAAAUAUUACCACUUUCAGUCUUAUGUUUACAUGAGGGUUUAUACAUCUACAUAUUUAAAUUAUAAAUUUCCAGGGUUUCACAAAUGUGCCCACCAGCGCCUUUUGAGUCCAACCAUGAACUCGAUUGCCCAACCUCUCAAAUUCCUUCUGAUAGUCCCUUAAGGAACCCACUUGUCUGACCUUUGAUAAUGCUUCAUCAAAAUCCUCAUAUUCUGUGGGCCCAAACCGUGCCCAAAGCUCUUCUUCAAAUAUCUCCCACGUGACAGUGCGCCCUUCUUCCUUGUGAGCUCGAUGCAACCAUUGCCACCAUUGGUUGGCUUCUCCUUCCAAAUGGAAUGAGGCCAAUGAUACUUUUUGAUUGUCCGCAGUCUCUUGAUAUUCAAAAAAUUGGUCCACCCAAUUGAACCAUUCGGUUGGAUCAUCCCCAGAAUAUCGUGGAAAGUCUAACUUGGCCAUUUUUUAUGAGAAGACGUGGCGUCCACACUCAUUAUCAGUUUUCUUCUUUCCCCCAUCAGUGUCAUCCCGAUAUGUGCGUGAGAAGCCAUCCCGGUCGUUGUUGUGGUAACUUGAAGACGCCUUGGAAGCGAUCAUGACCUCUGAAAGUUUGUUGAUGGUUUCCUCCAGGCUGUGCAAUCUAUUGAUCAUGUAAUCUUCCAGUCGCUGCAUGCCAUCUUGGACUCCACCAAGUCCUGUCUCCAAAAGCUCAAUUCGUUCUUUGUUUGUUGCCAUUGCGUAGGCUCUGAUACCAAUUGAUAAGGUCCCAGUCAAGAGUGAUACACAAUUGCAAAAAUGCUAGGAUUCUCUUAGGGUGAGAAUUUACCACAAUAUUGUUUGGAUAAAAAUAAUGCUAUUCUUUUUAUUCUUCUUCAUACAUAUAAAUAACUAAACCAUAACAACUUUCAGCAAAUCCCGCCGAAAUGGAAAUAACAGAUUACAAAACAGAAAUCCAAAUAAUGUGAAAGUGAUUUCUUUAUUUUCUCCCAUUGAAUCGGAAGCAUGAUUCCAAUUGACUUGCUUGUAACUCCCUUUAAUCACGAUAUCUUUUAAUCACGAUAUUUCAAAUUCUUUUUUAUGACACGUUGGGUCCUUCGUGGCAGCAGCUCUCCAAGCUGCGUAUCAGUUUCAUUCUUAACUUGUUAAGGAACAAGGACUGUGAUGCAUGGCUAUUUUAUAUUUUAUGAUUGAGAUGGUAGAUUUUAAAGAUUUUCCUGUUUAGGAGGUAAGACGUCACUUUCUUGCUUUUCUUCCGAGAGAAAGUAUUUGAUCCUUUCUUCAUAUAUAAUAAUGCUGCCAAGCAUUGAAUUUCUAAACAUCUUACCUUUUUGUUUUGUUUGUCGCAUUGUUAUCAAACUCUUUUGCAUUUAAUUGCAGUAUAUUGCUAUGUGUACGGCAUGCUUUAAUCAAAAAGUUGAGUACUCGAUGAAUGUUAGGCAAGAAAAUUACUGAUUAUUUUUGUUUUCUGCCUCCUCCUUUUCUUUCUCCCAACCUGAAAAUUGUCAUAUUAUUUUUGUUUUCAGCCGCCUCUUCUUCCCCCAACCCUGAAAAUUGUCUGAGGACACUUUUAUGCUUUGAAUCAAAUCCAUCCUAAUUCUUUCGCUCAUAACUUUAUGUGUGAACUGCCGAUGUUUGAUCAUUUGUCUUCCUUGUUCAGUGCCUUCUUUUUUUCUUUGACAUGGUUUCCUUUUUUCCUUUUAUCUUGAACAGCAUCCCAUAGUAUGCCCCCUCAAGUUCAGAAUCAUGGGCUAUUUCUCCCUAUCCUAUUGUCCACUGAUCAAUCUCAAGUACGCUAGCAGUUGUUAUCACAGAACAUGCAGAAUUGCAUGGCAUCUAAUGCAAUUCAAAGUUCUGCUGGUUUACUAGCGGCACUGCCUCUUGUCUCCGGUGUAACCCAGACUAUCCCCAACACUGUUGUCCAGAAUCCUAACAUGCAGAGUAUCCCCGGUGUUUCACAGAACUCAGUGGGGAAUUCAAUGAGACAAGGGAUUCCCUCCACUAUGUUUGCCAAUUCUCAUAAAGAAAUGCCAGGUAAUGCUCUUUUUGGUAGCUUUAUGUCUUCCACUUAUGGCAUUAGAAAUGCCACUGCUAUUGGAACUAUUGCAAUCACACAUGCAUUUGGCAUCACACGAUGCCCUUCAGUGCUCUGCACCAACUUUUCACCUCCCAUAAUGGUUCUAGUCAGUAAUGCUUUUUUAGGUAGCUUUAUGUGCUACUGCUGCCACUUAUGGCAUUAGUAAUGCCACUGCUAUUGAAACCAUUGCAAUCACACACACAUUUGUUACCCACAUCAUACCCUCCAGUGCAUUGCACCAGCUGUUCACCUCUCAUUCUGGAUUUAUAGGGUUUGUCCGUCUGUUUGAAUGAUUACAUAACGUUUAGAUGGAGUUCCUAGUACUCCUAGUUCAAAAAGACUUGUAUUCCUCUGUAGGAAAAUACUAAUAGUCCUAUCUAGAAUAGGAAAACCUAAUGAAGCUCGCUAUACUUUGGGAUAAUAAAAUACUAAAUGGAAAAUAAAAUGAGACUUGCAAUAUUCCAUAAUUUUCAGCAAGCGUGAAAAUUACAGAAAUACCCUUGUAUAUGGAAAACACACAAAAAUACAUGAAUUCUAAUCUUUGUUGCCCGCAUUGAAAUAUUUGUAGCAUCCCUAGAUUCUACAGCACAGACUGGACAUGCAAAAGGCGCUGAUUGACAAGAGUAGAUCUAUCAAAAGGUAAUUUCUGUGAUUUACUGUUCAUUAGAUGGAGUUCAUGUAUGCCAUAGUCUUAAAAAUAAAAGUGCACUAUUUCUGAAUGACUUACAGUUUAUCUUUUGUUAAGUGAAGAGUUAUUUGCACGAUUGCAAUCAACUUGUUGUGAAAAAUUUCCAGUAUUGAAUUUUAUAGAAAAUGAGGUUGAAAUUCUGAAUGUCUCAAGUCAUAACUGCAUAUUUGAUAAGGACAUUUUUCUUGUGCUUAAGUGAGUAUUAAAACGGGAAUAAGAAUGGUUGUUGUUAAGGAUCCAUGGGGUCAUGCAUAGGAUCUAAGGCUAAGAAGCGUCGCUAAAGUUGUGAAAUCCAUUGACUUGAGCUAGAACAGCAGAAAACAAUGAUGUGUAGUUUGCAGGGAGACAGUAACUGAACUUAACCAACCCCUGAAUCUUGUCUAAUGGUGUACUUACACAGUCCUUUGCAUCUUUCCAUUCCAUCAAUAUCGACAUCCUGUUGAGUUUCUAGCAUUAAUUCCACUCUAUUAUUUUUAUCUCAACUAAUUUAUGUUGUCCUCUGCCCUUUUUUUGUUAUUUUAUUUUUAUCAAUUCCCUUAAGUUUGUUUGUUUUACUUUCUUUCUGACUGGCACCUGAAGAGAUCAAGCAUAUGAGCGAUAAUGUUUUGCUGGUUAUUUGUACUUCCUAGAUCAAAGUUAUGAAGGAGACUUAUUUCCCUGAAAUAAAUGAAAUGUAUCAGAGAAUUGCUGCCAAGUUACAGCAGGUAAAUUGUCUCUGAAAUUUCUUCCGGAUUAUCUGUGCAUGCAUGAUUAUCUGCAAUUUCCCCAUGUUGAGUUUUGUAUUAGUUUGUUUUCCUCAUCAGCAUUGCCUGUCACUGUAUCAUCUGCACUAUUCACCUACCCCACCCCCAACCGCCCCCACAACCAUGCAUCGACACAGAAGAAGUGGAAUAGAAACAUUUUGUUUCACUAAUGUUUUGCUACAAAGGAUCAAUGCAAUUUUUAAUUCUCGUGUAUGUUAACUUUGCUUUCUAGCAUGACUCUCAUCCGCAACAACCGAAGUCGGAACAGCUUGAAAAGCUGGAGGUAUUCAAGGCCAUGUUGGAGCGCUUGAUAACAUUCUUACAGGUCUCUAAAAACAAAAUCACACCUAGUUUCAAGGAGAAAUUGGGUUCCAAUGAGAAGCAUAUUGUAAGUUUUCUAAACCCAGGCAGAUCAGGAAGCCAAUUCCUAAUCUACAGCGAGGACAACUUCCCCAGCCUCAUGUGCAACCUAUGCAGCAAUCCCAGUCUCCAGUUCCUCAAUUGCAGUCCCAUGAAAAUCAACUGAAUACCCAGUUGCAAUCAAUAAAUGUGCAAAAUUCUAUACCAACAAUGCAGCAGAACAAUAUGUCAAGCUUGCAGCAUGGUUCUCUUUCAUCUUUAUCUGGGUUUUCUAUGUCACAACCAAUCAUGAUGAUGUGGGACGAGAGAUUUUACGAGAAGAAAAGGGGGUAGAGAGAAUGAUAUUGUAGCAAAAAUAACUAAUCAAAUAGAAAGGCUGAGCUUAGAGACAGCACACUACAAAGGAAGCACCCAAUAGCUAGACAUACAAUCAUAACAAAUUCAUCUUCUAAAGUUGGAGAACUUGCGAAAACUAGCAACCAUAAAAUAGUAACAAGUAUCUAUGCAAUCUUCGAUGAAGUACAACCACCUACGUCGCCAAUAUGGAUUGAUGUAGAGAACUGCUGCAAUCGUCAUCACCACAACUGUGUAACAUACACUGAAACUGAUGUAGAAAAACUCCAUGUCUAUGAAACCAUCAUCUUCUUGUUCAUCAUGAGGCACUGGCUGGGACAACACUACUUCUUCACUACAAUUGUUUCGCAAUGGAGGUCCACACAAGAAAGGAUUUCCUUCGUAACAGCUUUCAUCGAAGGUCCCAAACUGAUAUUUUCUCUCGGGUGUCUUACCUGACAAGUUAUUGUGCUCCACACUAAAAACUUCUAGUGUGGUCAUUUCAGUAAGUUGUGGAGGGAUGUCACCAUUCAAGUUGUUGUAAGAAAGAUCCAAACUCUCAAUCCGCUUCAGGUUUGAGAAUGUUGCAGGGAUAGAUCCAGUGAGAUUGUUGUGUGAUAAGUUUAAUGACAGUAUCUCGCUUAAGUUUCCAAAUUCUGGUGGGAUUGCUCCUACAAAGUUGUUAUUGGAGAGAUCAAUACCAGACAUGUAGAUGAGAAUUUUCCCUUUGUAACCAUAAUACAUAUUUUUAGUUGUAAAUUCUAUCACUUCUUCUGUAAAGUUAGUCCAAUAACCCUUUAAUAAGGUGUAUAUGCUAUCCACUUGUGGUGGACCCAUUAUUUCAUAAUAAGCCUUUUCUAAGAACCCUGGUAGUAAAAGAACAUCGAGAUUCACUAAUGCUUUCUGGGAACUUUCUUUGAAAGUAAGAUUUUCCAAACAGGAGGGUAAUGGACCAGAAAGCUGGUUUUGUGAAACAUCCAAAAUGCUUAAUUGUUUUAAUAAGCAUAACUGAACAGGGAACUCACCAUCAAAGUGAUUAGCUCUCAGAAGAAGAACACUCAAUGAUGAAAGAUUGCCAGCCCAAUUUGGAAUUGAGCCGGUGAAGCUGUUAUCUCUAAGAUCCAUCGUAACCAGGGAAGAGCUAUUAUAAAAUCCAUAUUUUAAUGGACCGCUCAAUCUAUUUUUGGAUAGAUGCACAUGGGUUAUUUGUGGUGAAUUGAAACAAGAUGGAAUAUAUCCAAACAAAUUGUUCUCAGAAAGGUCCAAAUAUUCAAGCUGGUCAAACUUACAAAAAAAGUCUUUUGGGAUAGGACCCUUAAAAUGGUUUUUUGAAAAAUCAAUUGCUCUAAGGUUCGUCGAAUUGACGAACCACCUUGGAAGCAUGCCUGAAAAUUGAUUGUUACUCAAAUCCAAUACAAUCCACGUUUUCCACCCGUUUAAUGGAAAAUCUGAUAUUUGACCCCAAAAGUUGUUAUCACCUAGAUAGAGAUAUUCUGAGGUAGAAGAAUUGAACACGGAGGUUGGUAUUUGCCCACCCAAAUUGUUGUUUGACAGCUUGAGAAACAUUAAUGUUGUUAGUAGUUCUAGUUUUACCGUGGACAAUUGAUUGUUGGAUAAAUCUAAAACUCUCAAAGAGCUAAUAUUUCCUAAACAAGAAGGAAUACAACCCGUGAAUCCAUUCUUAGCCAUCCUUAAUCCCUUCAGAUUUGGAAAGAUCAAACAAAUAUCCUUUGGAAUUUGACCGCUCAUGUUGUUGUUGGAUAUAUCCAAUUCGGUCAUUUUCGGAUAUGGGUGAUCUUGCAACUGCAAAGUACCAACAAAGGAGUUCCCGCUCAGAUAUAGUUGCUCCAAUCGUGUAUUGUUCUUAAGCAACCACGAUGGAAACAUUCCGGUGAUGUUGUUGUGGGAGAGAUCAAGGAAUCUUAAGUGGUAUUGGUAAUAGAGGAAGUUGGGAAUUUCUAUAUUGAGUGCUUCCGUUGUUUUUGUCGAGCUAAAAAAGACUAGUUGGAACUUUGGAAUCAACUGAUCAAAUGCAGCAGGUUCUAUUACUAAUCUGUUGUUCUCAUUGCAGAAGAACUUGAGGCUUGAGUGGUUCAUAAAAGGUUUCAUUGAAGUGGGAACUUCAAAGAGGUUAUUUGAUAGUGAGAGGAAUUCAAGGGAUAUGAGGUUGGUAAGGGGACCGAAGGCAAUAUUUCCAGUAAAUUGGUUUUCAGAAACAUCUAAUAGUUGUAGAGAAGACAAGUUCCCCAAACAAUAUGGGAGUGAACCUCCUAAAUCAUUUUCAGAGAGAUCUAAUUGCUUCAGAUUCUUCAUUUCACACCAACCUGUACAAUUUAUGGAUAUAAAGUCGUUAAAGAUGAAGGCUAAGUCAAACAUGAUAAAAUACUAUCAUUAAAUUGAUCAUUGCAUAGAUAUAAAGUCCUUUUUUAUAUAUAUAUAUAUAUAAUGUAAUGAAUAUUAUUGAUUAUUCAACAUAGUUUUAAAUAAUAUAAUAUUUUUUAAAUUUAUAAUAUUAUAAAUUAUAAAAUUAUUGAUACUUGCAAUGAAGACCAAGUCUCAAAAUACCAUAUCCACUGGCAGUGGUAAUGCAGCGAAGCAUUGAAUUUCUAAACAUCCUUACCUUUUGUUUUAUAUUGCUAUGUAUAUACAAUGCUUUAAUCAAAACCUAUAAUGCAGGAAUAUCUGCAGAUGGCCAUUCCCAAAGGGAAAACUAAUCUUCCCUAGAAUAUUACAAAGUGCCAUUUCUACAGUGAGACACUGAAUAGUGAAAUUAGUGUUUCGUUUUUGUUGUUUUGUUGCUGAUAACUAGAUCUGUUAAAUCUUUUCCCUGUACUUUUACAUUAUGCAGUAAACUGGUCCCUUCAUUAGUUUUUCGUUAGUCAAAUAUUGUAGAGCUGUCAGCAAUAUUUCCUCUGUUUGUUCCACUAACUUGACGGUAAAAUGUGAUUAAAGAAUCAAUUAAUUAUUUAAAAAACGUCGAGGGAUUAAUUUGUUUGUUUCACAAAAAACAGACACUGGUUAUAUAAAAUUAUACUCAAAUUUUUUUCAUCAUAUGCGUGUGUUUACUUGUAAAUAUUUUGGAAGGAACUAGUUUAUGUUUUGCGCAACAUAAAAAAAAUCAUCUAGGCUUAAGAAACUAGCUCGAUCUAGUGGAUUAAUUUUUAAUUUUUUUUAUUUGACUUUUUAUCUAUAUCAAGUUUAACAUGAAAGUUAAUGUCUUUGUUUAAUUCGCAUGAUAACAAUUCUAUGUCUAAGAUCAUUUGGUUGGCAUACAUAUGUAAACCUAGGUGUUGUUAGUUCGAGGGAAGGAAGACACAAUAAAAAAUAAACAAACAUGGAUGAUAUGUCAUUUAUGUUUUACUUUUUUUAAUUAAAAAAACAGGCUUAAUAAAAAAUAUCAAGCGAGGUCAGAUGCGCGAGCCUUGUUUUAUAAUUUUUUAUUCAAAUUUUAAUAAUUGUUUUCAAUUAUUAUGCAUAUGACAUAAAAAUCUGUUCAUGAAAAUUAAAUUCAAAUCACUUUUUUAAUCUUAGAAUUUUUAGAUAUAUUUUUAGCAUAAUUUUAUCAUAUUUAUGAUUUUUUUUAACUUUCAAUCACAUGAAUAUAUUAUUUUGAUACAUUUUUAAUUUGUUGUGACAAUUAUAGAAUAUUCUUUUAAUAGAAACAAUGAUUCUAGUUAAGAAAAAAAUCUUGCAUUCAUCGAGAUAAACAAGAAAUAUGUUAAUAAGAAAAUUUAUCUUGAUGGAGAAAAAUUCAAAACGACUAAAUUUUCAAGUUUAAUAACAAUGCCAAGGAGUUUCCUUAGACUUGGAUAUUUUGUUCUACGUUUAAAGUUUUUUUUAUCUCCAUAACAUAGCAUUAGCAUACAAACUUGUAUAUUUUUAAGACAGCGUUUGGUUACUAUCCGGGACAAUAAAGACAAAGACAGAGGAGACAAGACAUAAAAGAAGAUGGAGAUAGAAUUGUGUUCAGUAGUGAUGUACAAGAUAAAAUAAUUGUCUUUGUAUCAUAUUUAGUUAUGUUGAAUAAGAAAGAAUAAAAUACAUAAAAAACUAUUUUACCUUUAAUAUGUAUUGUUGUCAAACUUCCAUAUUUAAAAAAUAAUUAUUUUUAUUUUUUUACUUUAGUUUAUAUUGAAUGUUGAAAUUAUUAAUAUUAUAAUAACCCUAAUUAUAAAACCAGGACUGAUUUGACAGGUUGGUUUAAGGCGUAGACUUGCCCGAGUUUUAGAAAAAUAGAUUAAUGAUUAACUAGACCUGACCUGGUAAAAAAUAUGAGUCAGGUUAAGAUAAAACACAAGUAAAAAACCCAUUGACUUUUUUGAAAAAGAAAAUUGGUCAAAACAAGGUUUCUUUGACUAUUUUUUUUAAAAAAAAAUUGGGUCAAUCAGGUUGACCUUCCCAACCCAUGACCUACACCUUUCCUUUGGUCAACUCCUAAGUUGAGUUUUAAAACUAUGAUAUUAAUAAUUUUUAUCCAUACUCAGGUCAACCUGUGUUGACCCUCUCGAUCCAUGACCUAGGCCUUACUUCUGUCGACUCCCGAGUCGGGUUUUAAAAUAUGAUAAUAACUAUUUUUAUCCUUACAUUAAUCCGGGUCGACUCUCUUGAUUCGUGACCCGAGUCUUACCCCAAAUUGACUAUCGAAUCAAAUUUUAAAACUAUGAUUAUAACCACCUUUAUUUUAUGUUGACCCGGGUCAAUCCGGGUUGACCCAUAUAACACGUGACUCAAGCCUUAUCCCGAGUCGAUCCCCGAUUUGGGUUUUAAAACUAUAAUAAUAACUAUUUUUAUCAUUACAUUUACCUAGGUCAAUAAUCAACCUCACUUGUGACCCCAAAAUUGCCCGGGUCGACCCUUAAAUCGAGUUUCAAAAUAUGAUAAUAACUAUUUUUAUUUUUAUACUAAUACAGGUCAACUCAACUCGUGACUCGGGCCUCAACCAGUGACCCAGAAUUUACCCCGGAUCGACCUCAAAGUUGGAUUUUAAAACUAUGAAAAUAAUUAUUUUUACCUUUAUAUGUCUUAAUUAGACAAUUUAGAAUUGAGAGUUUUUUAUAAGGAUAUUUUAGAAAUAAAAAAUAAUAAAUAUUGUCUCUAUAAACAUGUCCCUUCUAUACCUCAUAUUUUGAAAAUAUAAAAAUUCACUCUAAAAUUAUUCUAGAGACAAAUUUAUUUUUAUGUAUUUGUCUUUAUCUCUUUAACCAUAUAUAUUUAUAUCUUUAUUGUCUUCAUCCUUUUUAUCACACGACAAUGACCAAACAUUACCUAAAGGAUCUACAACUACUGAUGACAAACUUGGCUUUAUUUCAUCUUUGAUUUCUUCUCAAUGAUAUCUCACCUAUAUGUGUGGAGGCACUAGAUCGUUGAUUGAAAGGUUGACUUUGAAAAAAUAUAUUCAUAAAGUAAUGUUUGAAUCUUGGUGUUUUUUAUUGGCUCAAAAAAAUUACCAACCCACCAAAACCAACAUGUAUGAAACAUUUAGAUUUAAUAUUAUAUGUAUAAUUUAUUAUCAUAAUUGAUAUGCUAUUCAACUCACUAACUUAGUAGGAUGACCUAUAAUACCUGUUGAUCUAGGAUUUUAGCCGAAUCAAGCUUUAAGCCAGAUAUAAUAACUAUGAUUUUAUAAAAUUACUAUGAACUUCCCUUUUAUGUCUUCUUAUUUACUCAUUUGAUUUUAUGAAGUUAAGAUGUUUGCAUUUAUAUCAUGAUUAAACUCUAGGAUAACAUUUAGUUAUUACUUCAGGAUAACAAAAAUAAAGAUAGUAAAGACAAAAUUAUGUUUGGUUGAAAAGACAUAGAUAUAAAAAUAAUUUUUUUCAUGGGAUAAUUUUAGAGUGAAUUUAUGUACUUUCAAAAUAGAAAGUACAAAUAAGAUAUAUCUUCAUAAACAAUAUUUUUUAUUUUUAUUCCUAAAAUAUCAUUGAAAAAACUUUCAAUUCCAAAAUUGUCUAAUUAAAACAUGUAAGAACAAAAAUAGUUAUUAUCACAGUUGUAAAAUCUAACUCGAGGGUCGACCUGGGACAAGGCUUGGGUCAUUGUUUGGGUUGACCAUUGACCCGAGUCAACAAAAAAAUAAAAAUAGUUAUUAUUAUAAUUUUAAAACCUAACUUGGAGGUCGACUCAGGGCAAGACCCGGGUCAUAGGUCAGGAGGGUCAACUCUGGUUGAACUGAGUUAAUGUAAGGAUAAAAGUGGUUAUUGCAAUAGUUUUAAAACUUGACUCAGAGAUCGACCUGAUGUAAGCUCAGGUCUUGGGCUAGGAGGGUUAAUGCAUGGAUAAAAAUAAUUAUUAUCAUGAGUCGAUUUGAGACAAAGCCUAGGUUAUGGGUUGGGAGGGUCAACCCGAGUUGACCCAAUUUUUUUUUUUAAAAGAAUCAACACAACUUUGUUUUGACCAUUUUUUUUUAAAAAAAAAUAGCUGGUUUUGCCCUAUGUUUUAUCCCGAGUCGACCUGUGUUUUAUCCCGAAUCAACUCGGUUUUUUAAUUCACCUAUCUAUUCUUAAACUUAGAUUAAUACAGGCUUAGAGACGACUAGGUCCCGAAUAGAUUCACUAGGUCAGUCUAGGUUUUAUAACUAGGAUUAUUAUAAUAUUAUUAAAAUUAAACUAAAGUAAAAAAAAAUCUAAUUAUUUGUAUAAAUAUGUAAGUUUAACAAUAAUGCAUAUUAAAGGUAAAAUAAUUUUUUUAUUUUUUAUUUUUUUUAUUUAUCAUUAUCAAAUAAGAUAUAGAGACAGUUACUACCAAACACAAUUUUAUUUUCAUCUCCUUUUAUAUCUUGUUUUCAUGGUCUUCUUCCUUUUUAUUCAGGACAGUAACCAAAUAUUACCUAGUUAUAACAUAUAGAAACAUAUAAGUUGUCAAGUUCAAGCCUUUCUCUUAUCGAUUUAAAUAAAUUGAAACACAAUUGCAAGAAGAUUCGAGUGUGUUUGGUAUUGUGAUAGCUUUUGUGGUUGUGAUUUGAAAAAAAAUUGUUUUAUAAAAAAUACUUUUGGUUGAGGUUGGUUUGGUAUUUAUAUAUAUUUGGUUCAAACUGUGGUUGAAAUUGAGGUUGAACAAAAAGUAGUUUAAUGUGUUUGGUUAAGAAUGCUUUUCAAAUUGAGGUUAUAAAAUAAUUAAAAAAAGAUAUUAAUAUUAAUGGUUUUUAAUUUAAAUAUUGUAGAUUUAACUACUGUUAUUACAUCAUGAAAUAAAUAAUACUUUAUAUAAAAUAUUUUUAUUGUUCCAUUAAACUAUCUACAAUUCCAUCACGUACGAAAUCCAUCCGACAAGGACUACAGUUUCCUUGGUUUUUUAAGUGCGCAACAACAUCAUGUAAAAUAUCAUCAAGAACAAAAUUAGGAUUGCGAUCAAAUUCUGUAAAUGUUACGUCAUUAAGCGAUCUCCUUCUAAUUUAUGUAGUGUCAUUGAAUAAUGUUAAACAUUAGUUUUUUUGAAUAAAAUACAAUUAAAAAUAAAAAAAUUGAAUUUUAUUUUAUUUUACUGGGUCGGACCCGGUUCAAUGCAUUUAGCUUUGAACCGGACCCAAUUCGGCCGGAAUAAUAAAACAUUCUCCACUGUUCACGUGAACAGUGGAGAGUGAAGUAAUUCACUCUCACUAGGUGGAGACAACAGAAGAAAAGAAAAGGCAGCUUUGAGCUGCUUUCAAUGACACUGCAUUUUAAACAUAAAUUAUAAUGGAUCCUGUAAACAGUAAAUAAUAUUUUAUUAAUUAUCACAUGAUUGAUUUCUGUGGUUUGUUACAAAAACAGAAGCAACCACAGAAAUAAUCAGGUUCAAAGAAGAAAAGACAUAUGAUUAAAGUGCCACGCAACCUUUUGACAUUAUCAGUAUUUUGAUGUAUUUCCAUUAAUUUAUAAUAUACAAGUAUAUUUCCACGUUUCUUUUAUUUGGAUAGAACAUCUUUCCAAUAGAAUUUGUUUUUAUUAGAAUUCCAUAUUCAUGAUAUUUUUUUAAUAAUAAAAAUAGCAUUGGAUGAGUUUGUAUGUCAAUUGAAACUAAAAAUGUGUUAGAUACGAUCGAUGGAUUGAACAUGAUAAUAUAAAUAUCAAAUAAUGUUUAAUUAGAUUAAAUUGAACUAGAGAAUAUAUGUUUUUAUUCUAUGUUUGGUGCACACAAAAUAAGAUCAAAUAAUUUUAUUUUUAUCAUUGAGAUUUUUUCAAUCAUUUAUUUUAGUCUUUGCAUUUUAUUUUUAUGAUAUUUUAGUCCUUACUAGAAUUUCUUUAUCAUCUAGAACAAUCUAGUUCUUAAAUCAAAAAGGUUUUUGCAAUUAAACUCUUACAUGUAAAUAUUUAUUUUAAUAAAAUUGGUCAAAUUUUGGUUUUCCAAAUUAAAAAAUAAAUAAGUGAUAAAUAAAUAAUAGAUAAUAUAAAAAUUAAGAAAAAAUAAUUUUGUACAAAUUUUUUGUCCUGAGGAAAACUUUGGACAAGACAAUGACAAUGAUCAAUCCUUGUCAUGUCCAAAGUGUAUAUCAAACAUUUCAUAGCUUGCCAUGUGCAACAAAUAUAUCACAACUUGUUUUUAUUGUAUUCUAUUAUGAUCUCUUUUGUGUUUUAUAUUAUUUAAUAUAUUAAAAUAAAUUUAAUAAAUUAUACUGAAGCAAGAUCUAAUAUUAGAAAGUUAACGGAAAUAAUAAAUGUACCUUUGCCCGUCCCUUCAACAAAAUGCUGAGCUGUAUACUAAUUCUCAGAGGCAGUGAUAACUAGUUGUUCUAACUAAUCCCUAUACUUUUAAAUAUGUUUACAAUUCAGUCCCUUCAUUAAUUUUUCGUUAGUAAAAUGUUGAGCUGUCAGCAAUAUUUCCUUAGUUUGUGCCGCUAACUUGACGGUAAAAUGUGAUUAAAGGAUCAAUUAAUUAUUUAAAUCAACUUGAGGGAUUAAUCUGCAUUUGCUUAACAAAACGACAAACACUAGUUAACUCAAAUUUAAGGUAUGUUUGUUUUUAUAUUUCAAAAACGUUUUGAAAAAAUUUGAAAAUUUUUUAUUUUUUUCUUUGCUUCAAAUUAAUAUUUUUUGGUAUUUUUAGAUCAUUUUGAUAUGCUAAUAUUAAAAAUGAUUUUUUUCAAAAAACAUAUUUUAAUAUAUUUCUGAGUGAAAAACAUUUUAAAAAAUAUCUGUAACCACACUCUCAAACAAUCACAUUCCCAUACAGGUUAAUCAUCAUAUGCGUGCAUGCGUGCGUGCAAGUGGGGUUCAAUCCGGGUGCCCUAGCAUUAUAUUAUAAUACUUAUAUAUAUAAGAAACCCUGUAUGGAUUCGUACAACACUGGAAUGCAAUGAUUGAAUGAAAUAUUACAUGGACAUUGGACCUGCUGUGUAAACAUGUUUAGGAUGGAUGCGACGACAUUUCAGAGUUUUUGCUUUCAACUUGGAAACCAAUGUCAUAACCCAAUUCUGGGUUAUUCCCCAAAAAUCAUUUUUUUUUCAAAAUAAAAAUCAAAAUAAUAAUAAUAAAAGCUGGAAACGUGGAGAAGGCAAACCGGGGAAUCAAGUUGUAAUUUUGGAGGAAAUUCAAGGCCUAAUUGUACCCCAUUAUGCCAAAAAAUGGAGGAAAAAAAUGCAAAUUCAAGGUCAAAUUAAAUGACUAUUGGAUGAAUUUGCAUAAAAAUUAAGUCCAAGAACAUAAUUAAAUUUUUAAUAGGCCAAUUUGAUUUAAUCAUGGGCCAAAUUGAAUUUUAAUUAUGUUUAAGAAUUAAUUUGGGUCCAAUUGAAGGAUUUAGUUAAGUGCAAGGACUUAAUUAUACUUUAAAUGGGUAAAAUUAAUUUUAUUUGGGGCUUAAUUGGUGAAAAAUUAAGUUUGGGAGCCUAAUUUGGGCUUAAUUGAGAAGAUUGGAAUUUUAAGAGAUCAAAUUUAAUUUUUUCCAAGUUAAUUGCUUGAAAUCAGGGGCCAAAUUGCAAGAAAAUUGAAGUUUUGGGGUCAAUUAGGGGUUAAAUUGACAAAAUUUGCAGCCAAGGACCAAUAUGCAAAAAGUGCCAAACUAUAGGGCCUAUUGGCAAAAUCCAGGGUGAAAUUGAAGAAAUUGAAAGUUUAAUGGUUGAUUAGGGGUUAAAUUGCAUAAAUCCAAGACUAAAGACUUAUAUGCAAAAGGCGCGUAAAUUUGGGGUUCCAAUUGAAGUUCAGCAAGGGCGUAAUUGCAUUAAAUCAAAAGUUUAUGGUCAAUUAGGAGUUCAAUUAAAACAAAUUGAAAUCUGGAGGACUAAAUUAAAACUUAGUUAAAAUCCCUAAUUCAAACCUAAAACAACAUUGUUUUGAAUAAUAAUAAUAAAAAAAGAAUCAGACAACACGUCGUCUGGUCAUUAUUUAUUGUCUUCUUCUUUUACCCGGUUAAUCAUCAUAUGCGUGCGUGCAAGUCAGGGUUAUUGUGUUGUCUAUUCCGUGUGUAAUGUGGGGUUCAAUCCAUGUGAAUCGCACGACUUGUCCAUAUCUUUCUUAUUGAUUACAAAUAGCAUUGAGAAUUAAAGAAUAUUAUCUUAAUAAGUUCCAAUUUAUUCUACAAAAACUAUAUAUAAAGAUGUGACAAAAUCUUAAGUUCCAUUUUAUUCUACAAAAACUAUAAAGAUGUGACAAAAAGAUGCAGCUUACGGAUCAAGCCUGGUUCAGGUUUUGAUCCUGUUAAAAAUCUAUUUUGUUGAAUUGUUCAUCAACUCGUGAAUUAUUGGGUUAAAUAGAUUAAUUUUUUAAACAAAACAAUGCCAUUUUUUUUAUAUAUAAAAAAUUUGGUUCUGGCGUAUAAAUAUAAUAUUAGAAACUUAAACCUUAUUGAUUAGCAAAAACUCAAAGGGAAAUUUUGAAAUAGAUUUUUGUAAAAUCAAAUAUGAACCAAGUACUAGAAAGUUUGUUUGAAAUAACAAUUACUUUAUAGAAAGCAAAUAUAAAUAUAUUUAUUAAAUUUAAUAAAGUUUAAAAUCAGCAAGUUAAGCUACGAAACCCUGAUCAAUUUAAUAUAAUGCCGUUCAAUACAAAAAAAAAAUACAUCUUAAAAAAAAUUUAAGUUAAAUCAUGUUUCUACCUAUUAUUUAGGUUGUCUUCAGACUUAUAAAGUCGACUAGGUUAUAUUAGAAAAACUUUUAUAUAAUUAAAUUUAAAACUCGAGUUAGGAAAUUUUAAUAUUGAUUUGUUGAAUCGGAUUUAAUAACAAUACCAAAAAUCUAAAAUUUACUUUUUUAAUCAAUUUUUUUUAAUUCAACUCGUAUCAUAACACAGUAUAGUAAAAUAAAUAGAUAUAAAAUAUUUUGAUGGAUCCUCGGGAUAAGAGAUUGUUUUAGGACAUUUUGCUAAUUUCUUUUGUUAUCUAAUCAACAAGCUCAUAGUGAAUAAGUAUAUAAAUAUAUACAAUUAAAUUAAAUAACAUAUAAGAGAAAAAUGGUCGAAAGGUAAAGCUAAAGUGAUGCGACGUUGAGCCACUAGUCGAUAGUUGUAACGUCAGUUUGUUGGUUCGUCGUUCGUUUCUCGGAUUUAUUGAUCUUUAGAUUGUCUGUUUCUAGAAAAGAAAGAAAGAAAUAUUUAUAUUAUCAAUGCAAUGCAAUGCAAUGACUAAUAAGAGCUUGAAAUUAAGAGGUUUGCUUUCUCUAUAGUUUCAGGUUCGAACCCUGUGGUUGCUCAUAUGAUGGCCACUGAAGAUUUACAUGGUCGUUAACUUUAGGGCCCGUGGAAUUAGUCGAGGUGCGCAAAUUAUUAUCAUUUUAUCAAUGUAUACUACAUCUUUUUCUCAAUUGUUUGAGUUUGAAAUUAUAUCUGUGAACCCAUUAAUUUAUCUAGAAAAAAAAAAUUUAGGUAAUUGGAUCAAUCCUUGAUAUCAUAUAGAGAUAAAUUAAUUGUUUUGAUUAAAACAAUAUCAUUUUAUUUAAAAAUAAAUUUAUAAUAUUAAUUGAAUCACUAAAAACACAACUAGACCAAUCAUGUUUUAAAUAUUUUUAAAUAUUUUUAUAUUUAAUUUGAAAUUGAUUUAAAUUAAACUUUAAAUUAUGGGUUUUUCAAACUAACAUGUGUUGGGUUACGUCGAUUGAGUUAGGUAUAACAUAUCUAGAAGAAUUUAUUAAAUUUCUCUAUAAUUAGUCAAUCGAUGAGGGAAUUUAGUUUUAAUUGAUGGAGAAAUUAAUUUAAAGAUACCAUGCAAGAUAUAAAAAAAAACAUUUAAAGAUAUCAAUUAUUGUUUUCCGUUUAAUUAUAAAUAGAAUGAAGAGAGCGAUGCUCGCUGCACUUUUAUAAGCGACUAAAGUAGUUUCCAUCUUAGAUACAGUUAGAAUCUCCCAUAUCUGUCAAAAUGCCAAAAAAGCUAUUCGCAAAGAAACUCUCAAAAACUGACAUUAAUUAAAUAUAGAAUGGCAGUUCCAAUGGAAAGCCUCUACGCUUUCCAAAUCCCAGAAGGAGAACACUCUAAAGAAUUUGGUGUCACUGGCAUCCAUGGCAAGAGGUGGAGGUUCCGAUGUUGUACAAGAAAAACUGAGUUGAUCACCUUAAACCAGUCAUGUUUUCAGUUUGGAUUGAGUUCGCCAAAAAAAAGGGUUCUCAAAAAAGGUGAUGAAGUCACCUUCUCUGUGCUGGACAUGAAGGGAGCUGAGGAUCUGGAAUUGGGAAUUCAAGCUCGGAAAAGAAUCAAGCUAUUCGGCCAAGAUUUUUGGAGUAAUCCUUUGUGAAGAAGAAGAAGAAGAAGAAGAAGAAGCUACUCCUCGCAUAAGUAUAGAUUUUGUGCACCGAAGAUUGUGUCUGUGAGUAAUAGAGCUGGUUGCCUAUGUACAAUUAGUAUGCUUUGGCAGGAACUUCGUGACUGGUCCUUGGAUAGCUGAGAAAGCCAAGUCUAUGGCAACUUCAGGGGAAUCCAGGAGCAGGAAAAAAAUCAAGGUGAAAGGAUAUGAAUUUGCUAGUGCAACUGCUGCAAAGGAUCUAGGAGACAUAAAUUUGCGAACUAGAGAAGAGUUAAUUUUGAGCUCUGCAUUCUUCUUGCAUGUUCAUCUGUUUCCCGUUGUGGUUGAUCUUAGCAGUUCUCAGUAUAGUAAUUUGCAUUUCCUUCUAGAUCAGAUGAUUAAUGGAUUAUCAGGCAUGGACUGCGAUGUAGUCGGUGCUAGGGAAUCAACAAAGUUAACUCAUUGUAUUUUCAUAAAUUAAAGGGAUUUCUCUUCUUUUCUUUGUCAAUUACAGUGCAUGAUGUAUAAAAGUUUUCUUACUCAGAGUAAAUGCUAUUGUAAUGUUUUCACAGAGACUCCUCUAUUUUGCAACUAAUUCACUUAUAUAUCUUGGAAACAGAAAGGCAAUCAACGAAGAGUAAGGCAUCUUCUGAAGAAACAAAGAAAUUUAAUGCCCUAAACUAAGCAGCAGGUAGAAGGCAAAAACUGAGCUCAAAUUUUCAGUAAGGGACAAACGAAAAAAACCAAAAAGAAAGCAGAGAAAAAUACAGACUCAAAUUCACAACACCCAUUUUCUUUCCAUUGGAACACUUUAAAUAGUUUAUUAAAUUUAUAAUGAUCUGAUUUCUACGCAUAUUACAAAAUCAACUUCAUGAUCAAUUCUCUAUAAUUUCGGCAUUACUAAAAACAUCCAAACUAAUAAACUAUUAGUUAUUUUAGCCAUUUUAAUAAACAUUUUAGUUAUGAAUUCACCAAACAUUUUGAACAAUUCAUAUGGAUGAAUUAACAUGUUAAUUUUAGAUUUUUUAACUUAUUAAUUCCUUCAUGAAUUACUUCUAAAGCAUGUUAUAUAUAUCUAAGCACUUUUAUAUAAUAUAAUUCUAUCAAAUUCACUUUUACCCAAUGUAUAAUAUAAACAUCCAUAAAAAAUAACUUAUAUUGUCAAUGCAAUGAAAUGACUAAAUAACAUUUAAUUAUUAUAAUAGCUUUGUCCUCAUACCUAAGGAAGUAUACUACGUCUUUUUCUCGAUUCUUUGAGUUUGAAAUUAUAUCUUUGAACCCAUUAAUUUAUCUAAAAAAAAAUUUAGGUAAUUGGAUCAAUCCUUGAGGUCAUCAUAUCAUAGGGAUAUAAAUCAAUUAUUUUUAUUAAAAAUAAUUUUUUUUUUAAUAUUUUCAUAUUUAACUUGAAAUCGAUUCAAAUUAAAUUUUAAAUUACAGGUUUUUCAAAUUAACAUGUGUUGGGUUAGGUCUAAUAUAUCUAGAAGAAUUUAUUAAAUUUCUCUAUAAUUAGUCAAUCGAUGAGGGAAUUUAGUUUUAACUAGUUACAUGACCCGCGCGAUGCCACGGGUCAAUUUUGUUUUGCAUAAAAAAUAUCAAAAAAAGCUAAGAUCUAAAAGUGUUAGGUCUUUCUAUAAAGUUAUACCCAAAAGUCUUGGGUUUGGCUACAACGCCUGAUCCAAAAAUAAUAUUUAUAAUAUUAAUAAUAACAUUAAACUUGCAUAUAUCCACGAAUAUGUACAAUAUUUGAAACCUAUAAUGCAAGAAUAGCUGCAGAUGUACAAUAUUUUUAAUUUAAAGAAUCAAUUAAUUAUUUAAAAAACUUGAGGGAUUAAUUUGUUUGUUUUACUCAAAUUUUUAUUGUUUACUUGUAAAUAUUUUGAAAGGCACAACAUGAAAAAAUCAUAUAUGCUUAAGCAACUAUUUGGCAUCUUAAACUUAAUCUCGUAAAUUAAUCUUAAAUCCUUUUUAUUUAACUCUUUCCCAGUAUCAAGUUUAAAAUUAAUCAACAUAAAAGUUGUUUUAAUAUAACUUAGUUAAUUUAAUGGGUUCAAAAUUAAUACAUAUGACAUGAGAUCUACCAGCCAUCAUCUGGCCGGAAACGGGCCGCGAUCGUCGACUGCCACCGAAGCUUCAAGUCGUCGAUUCUCGCUCAUCAGCCAUCAACGGCCGUCAAGACCACCACCAUAAGAAUCCUCGACAUCAGAUCUACCAGGAUCGACCAUCGGUUGGCCAGAAAUCGCGCCGGAAAAUCUCCCCGCCGCCAACAGUAGCCGCGCGUGUGCCACACGCGCCGCCAGUGGCAUUUUUGUAAAUUUUGGAGAAACCCGAGGGUAUUUCAGUCUUUUACCUAUACAGUGGCACUCAGGUAAUUUUUCGGGGUUUCUACUGGUAUUUUUGAUAUUUUUUAUAUAUAAAUGCUUGUAAAUUUUCUUGCAUGUUGUAAAAAAUACAAAAACCAAAGUCGACACGUCUCUUUUUUUAAAAGGACCGAUGUCAAAAAUGUAAAUACCAAAUAUGGCAUAUGUCCAUUAUUUUUUUUUGGUGACCCAGACGUAAUUCUCCUUUUUAGGGUUGAAACGUCAUAUUUUAGACAAGUCUCCUAAUUUUUAGGGACUGAUGUCAUUUUUAACGUGUCUCCUAUUUUUAGGGACCGACGUUAACCAUUUAAAAAAACAAAUUACCAAUAAACCCAAAAUAUAAUGGAUUAUAUCCAUUAUUUCUUUUGGUAACUCAGACGAGUCUCCAAUUUUUAGGGACUGAUGUCAUUUUUAACGUGUCUCCUAUUUUUAGGGACCGACGUUAAUCAUUUACAAAAAUUUACAAAUAAGCCCAAAAUAUAAUAGCAUUUGAAUCAAAUAAAAACACACAAGUAAGGGUAACCUUUCUUUUGAAAGGAUGUUUUAAGGGUGGUGUCUACCUUCCCUUAAUCAUAACUAACCCCGUACCCGAAUCUCUGGGACCAGUGUCUAAUUUGGGAUUUCUAGUUCCCUCAAAUUACUAGAUGGCGACUCCAAUAAAAUCUUUGUUUCCCCCAAUCGAGAAAAAAACCCUUUUUGUUAAACAAACAAAAAAAGCGGGAGCCGUCGCCCGACGUCGUGUAUCGACAAAUGUCUGCAAAUCUUGUGGUCAUAUACAGGGUGCCGGUUUUCUUUCCACGAGCCAAAACCAUUGCUCCCUUUGAUACCUUCCACAUACCUCCAGAAAAAAGGAUUGAAUGACCACUAUCAUCAAGUUGUCCGACCGAGAUCAGCUUCUUCUUUAGAUCAGGAACAUGCCUUACAUUUUGCAAGGUCUAUAUAGAUCCAUUCAUUGUCUUGAUUUGUACAUCUCCUAAACCCACAAUAUCCAAUGGUUGUCCAUCGGCCAGAUAGACUACACCGUGAUCUCCAGCAAUAUAGUUUUGCAUCAUUUCAUGGUGUGGUGUACAGUGAAAUGAAGCACCAGAAUCAAGAACCCAAUCAUCAACAGGACUAUGCACAGCAAGAAUCAAAGCAUCUUGCACCUCAUUUGUGGUAGCGUUUGCAGAGUCAGCUUCAGGUUUUUUCGGUUUUGUGCAAUUCCUCAUGAAAUGACCGGGUUUGCCACAAUUCCAACAUUCAACCUGUUUUCUGGGUCCAAACUUGCUUUUACUUCUAUAUCUUGAUUUUGAUCUGCCUCUGGAUAAGCCUCUAUCAUGUCUCCUCCCUCGAGUGUUGAUGUUGAGAGCUGAUCCUGAGCUUGAACUUUCACCCGAGUCUUUCCUUCGCACUUCUUCAGCCAAAAUCAAGUCUCGAAUGUCAUCAUACUUCAGUUUGGAUUUUCCAGCUGAAUUGCUCACGGCUGUCCUCAUGCCUUCCCAACUGCUUGGAAGUGAAGCUAGCAAGAUGAGUGCACGAAUCUCAUCAUCAAACUCAAUCUCAACAGAUGAUAAUUGAUUUGUGAUGGUAUUAAAGUUAUUGAGGUGUUGUGUCACAGAAGUGUUUUCGACCAUCUUCAAGUUGAACAACUUUUUCAUCAGGUGCACUUUAUUAUUUGCUGAUGGCUUCUCAUACAUCCCAGACAAGGCUUCCAUCAAUCUUGCAGUGGAUCUUUCUUUCGUAACAUUGUGAGCAACUCUUCUUGAUAAGGAUAACCGGACAAUGCCCAGAACUUGUCUAUCAAGAAGUAGCCAAUCUUCUUCUUGCAUAUUUUCUGGUUUGCUCCCCAACAAGGGAAGAUGAAGUUUCUUCCCAUAUAGAUAAUCCUCAAUUUGCAUUUUCCAGUAUCCAAAAUCUGUCCCGUCAAAUUUUUCAAUUCCAGCUGCUUUUAUUUCAUCUGCCAUUUUUACUGCUUCUCCGAUUCGAAUUUCCCAAAUCUGACCUUACAGAUGUGUCCGGAACAGCCGAAAACCUUGGAAAUGACACUGAGAUAACCCCAAUCGGACUUCGGAUGGCUCAGAUUUUAGCAAUCAAAGUUUUGGAUUAACGGACGGUGCAGAUGCAGCCGCGUGUCAACCAGAGUACCGCCUGCGUCGCACCGGAUCAAAACCUCAGUAGCGGUUCUGAUGAAGCCACGUGUCAGCAGAUUAGGUCCUGCGUCACACCGUAUCAAAACUCAGUAACGGUUAUGAUGAAGCCACGUGUCAGCAGAUGAUGGCCUGAGUCACACUGGAUCAAUACUCAAUAGUGGUCCUGAUUUAACCACGUGUCAACUGAUUGGAUCUUGCGUCGUACUGGAUCAAAACCCCUCAACGGUUGUGAUGUAGCCACGUGUCAGAAUAUCAGCUUCUGCGACACAUCGGAACAAAACUCAGAGAUGACGUGGCAGGUGACGUGGCAGGUGACGCGGACGGUGACCGUACGGCUGUGCUGACGUGGCGGGUCAGCCCGACCCGUUUUGCAGAAGUCGGGCGAAGAUGGAGCGUGGCGCGCGUACGGCGCGUUGGUGCGCGUGGGCAGUCUGGGCGUCGGCGCGUGUUGGCGCGUGCGGGCAUGCAGGACGUCGGUUCUUCGCCGGGUUUUCAACAGUGGAUUCGUCCGGUUGUCCUCUACACGAUGGUAUGUUCAAAAACACGUUUUGAGAACUUUGAUUUUUGAGUUUGGAUCAAACACCCUCUUUGUCAAGAACAAGCUCUGAUACCAGUUGUUGGGUAAUUCCAGAACUCAAACACACAUCAAUUUACGUGGUUCGGCAACUUGCCUACUCCACGGAGCUACUGGUUUGUAUUAAUCAAGCUUAGAAACAAUACAAACAACAAAACAAGGAGGAGGAGAAAAUCUUCUCUACUCAACUCAAGCUCUCUCUCUCUCACGUUUUUCUCUCUGUGUUUUCACUCUUCUCUGUGUUCUUCACGCUUCAACCCUCCAGCUCUUCACUGAGCAUACAUAUAUAUUAAGCUAGGAGUGAAGGGCAUAAAUCAUGCCAUGAUUUAUGCCCACCGUUUGCCUCCACUUGUGCUAAGUGGAGAUUAGGUAUUCCCACUAAGCACAUAGUGGAGGUGGGACAUUGCUUGUCUCCAAAUAGCUAACAUAACUGAGGUGGGGUCGCCCUUGAAACAUUGGUAGAUGUAAGUGUUGCUCACAUGCAUAGAAUAUUUUUUUUCUACUUAGUAGUGGUUUUGGCAAUUUUUUUCAGACAAGUCUUGAGAGUUGAAAGAGUAAUCACACCCGAGUCAACCAACAAUCCAAAUCAGCUCCCUUCCUAAUGGUUCAGGAAUGAGAAGUCCAGCUUAUAUAUUUGAUAUAGAGACGGUACACUACAAAUUAAGCACCCAAUAACUAGACAAACAAUCAUGAUAAACUAGGAACAAUUGUCUUCCCAGUAACAAAUUCACCUUCUCACGUUGGAGAACUUGCGAAAACUAGCCACCACAAAAUAGUAGCAAGUAUUUAUGCAGUCUUCGAUGAAGUACGACCACCUGCGUCGCCAAUAUGGAUUGAUGUAAAGAACUGCUGCAAUCGUCAUUACCACAACUGUGUAACAUACACCGAAGCUGAUGUAGAAAAACUCCAUGUCUAUGAAACCAUCAUCUCCUUGUUCAUCAUUAGGCACUGGCUGUAACGGCACUGCUUCCUCACUACAAUUGUUUCGCAAUGGAGGUCCACACAAGAAAGGAUUUCCUUCGUAACAGUUUUCAUCAUCAAAGGUCCCAAAUUGAUAUUUUCUCUCGGGUGUCCUACCUGACAAGUUAUUGUACGCCACACUAAAAACUUCCAGUGUGGUAAUUUCAGUAAGUUGUGGAGGGAUGGCACCAUUCAAGUUGUUGUAAGAAAGAUCCAAACUCUCAAUCUGCUUUAGGUUUGAGAAUGUUGCAGGGAUAGAUCCAGUGAGAUUGUUGUGUGAUAAGUUUAAUGACAGUAUCUUACUCAAGUUUCCAAAUUCUGGUGGGAUUGCUCCUACAAAGUUGUUAUUGGAGAGAUCAAUACCAUACAUGUAGCUCAGAACUUUCCCCUUGUAACCAUAAUACAUAUUUUUAGUUGUAAAUUCUAUCACUUCUUCUGUAAAGUUAACCCAAAAAUCCUUUCCCAAGUUGUACAUACUAUCCCCUAGUGGUGGACCCAUUGUUUCAUAAUAAGCUUUUUCUAUGGACCAUGACGGAAAACCAUAUCCGAGAUCCGCGAGCGUUUUCUGGGAACUUUCCUUGAGAGUUAGAUUGCCCAAACAUGAGGGUAGUGGACCAGAGAGCUGGUUUUGUGAAACAUCCAAAAUACUUAAUUGUUCUAACAAGCAUAACUGAACAGCGAGCUCACCAUCAAAGUUAUUAGCCCUCAGAAGAAGAACACUCAAUGAUGAAAGAUUGCCAAUCCAAUUUGGAAUAGAGCCAAUGAAGCUGUUGUCUCGAAGAUCCAUCGUAACUAGGGAAGAGCUGUUAUAAAAACCAUAUGUUAAUGGACCGCUCAAUCUAUUUUUGGAUAGAUGAAUAUGGGUUAUUUGUGGUGGAUUGAAACAAGAUGGCAUAUAUCCAGACAAGUAGUUAUCAGAAAGGUCCAAAAAUUCAAGCCGGUCAAGCUUACAAAAGUCUCUUGGGAUUGGACCCUUAAAAAGGUUUUUGGACAAAUCAAGUACUUCAUCGUACGUAAAAUUAAAAAAGCUUCUUGGAAGCAUGCCUGAAAAUUGAUUGUUACUCAAAUCCAAUACACUCCAUACUUUCCACCCAUAUAAUGGAAAAUCUGAUAUCUGACCCCAAAAGUAGUUACCACCUAGGUAGAGAUAUUGUGAGAUAGAAGAAUUGAACACCGAGGUCGGUAUUUGCCCACCCAAACUAUUGUUUGACAGCUUGAGAACCUGUAUUGUUGUUAAUUGUUCUAGUUUUACUGUAGACAAUUGAUUGUUGGAUAAAUCUAAAAAUGAAAGAGAGCUAAAAUUUCCUAAACAAGAAGGAAUAUAACCUGUGAAUCCAUUGUCAGCCAUCCUUAAGAUCCACAGAUUUGGAAAGAUCAAACAAAUAUCUUUUGGAAUUUGACCAUUUAUGUUGUUGUUGGAUAUAUCUAAUUCGGUCAUAUUCGGAUAUGGGUGAUCUAGCAAUUGCAAAGUACCAACAAAGGAGUUCUCGCUCAGAUAUAGUUGCUCCAUUCGUGUAUUGUUCUUAAGCAACCAUGAUGGAAACAUUCCGAAGAUGUUGUUGUGGGAGAGAUCAAGGGUUCUUAAGUCGUAUUGGUAAUAGAGGAAGUCGAGAAUUUCUACAUUGAGUGCUUCCGAUGUUGGACUACUUGACAAGCGGAAAAAGACUAGUUGGAACUUUGGAAUCAAAUUAUCAAAGGCAGCAGAUUCCGUUACUAGUCUGUUGUUCUCACUGGAGAAGAACUUGAGGCUUGAGUGGUUCAUAAAAGGCUUCAUUGAAAUGGGAACUUCAAAGAGGUUAUUUGAUAGUGAGAGGAAUUCAAGGGAUAUGAGCUUGGUAAGAGGACCAAAUGCAAUAUUUCCAGUAAACUGGUUAUCAGAAACAUCUAAUAGUUGUAGAGAUGACAAGUUCCCCAAACAAUCUGGGAGUGCACCUCCAAAAUUAUUUCUAGCGAGAUCUAACUGCUUCAGAUUCUUCAAUUCACACCAACCUAUACAAUUUAUCUUGAAACAAUCAAAACAAUGUUGAAAGAAUCUUUUAUUGAUGAUGUAAUUAUAGGCGGAUGGAGAGUUGUUAAUUUACCUUGAGCGGGUAGGGUGCCAUGGAGGUCACAUUCAGCAACAGACAAAACUUUAAGAGCAGGCAAUGCUCCAGUGUUCUGGAGAAAGUUUAUUGGGAGAGAAGUAUUAUCUAGAUGCAAUUCUUCAAGGGUGCUAGAAUUGAAGAAAGUCCCUGUGAAAAAGAAAGAAGAAGAGAUAUGAUGAAAAUAGUGGUGGUACAGAAUAGCCAUUCCAUUCAAUAUUAUUAAUUAAGAUUUUAAGAAACUAAACUAUGAUUAACCUUGACUUAAAUUAGUAUCCUUGAGAGAAAGGGUCUUCAGCGAUGGCCAUGAACGCAAUGACUGCAGGAUGUCCAGAUUCCUUAAACCUAUGAUAUUUGGAUAGAAACAACAAAUUGCUUGAAGAAUCUAGAGAUUUCAAAAGGUAUUGUUAAGAAAUGAAGUAAAUAAUAGAAGAUGCCAAGAGAUAUUCAUAACUUUACCAUUGAUAGUCGUCGAUCCUAGCAACAUAUUGCCUGAUAAAUUUAAAGACUUGAGAUGAGAAAGUCCACGCAGAUGUGAUAAAAUGCUGUCAUUGAAUAUAUUAUUAUGGCUCAGGUCCAGGUUCUCGAGUUUCCCCAAAUGUGAUGAUAUGAUCUCAAAACCUGCAAGAGUAAGUCGUUAAAGUCGUUAUAUAAAAUAUAAUUCUAAUUUUGAUCUUAUUGGAAAUAUUACGAAACAAUUUUUAAAUAUCAUUCUAGUUUCGAUCUUAUUGGAGAAAAAAAAACAAUUUAUGGAUAUAAAGUCGAUAAAGAUGGAAGCUAAGUUAUGGAUAGACUUACAAAACAAGAUAAAGAAACUUAUAAUUAAGAUCUCAUCGGUAAUUAAAACAAGAAUAAUAAUCGAUCCUAGAUAGCAACAUAUUGUCCAAAUAUUUCACCAUAAAAUCACCCAUCACCAUUCACCACGACCAUAAGGCAAAAUCCUCCACCACAUAAUAAUAUUUUGAUUAAAAAAAGGUCCAAAAUAAUAUAAAACCAUGAUUAAAAAGGAGAGGAAAUAAUAAAUGGCUACAAACAAGAAUUAAAUAUCAUAUAUGUGGGUUUUAUGUUGUUCUCUUUAUUGAUAAAACAGUCGAGAGUUUUUCUAAUAGAGAAAUUGGCUGUCGAGAGUGAUUUGUAUUGGAUAGUUUUUUUGAUAGUUUUUAUUAAAUAGAUAUAAAGUCCUCAUUUUUGUUGAUAAAGAAACAAUAUAAUUAAGAGAAUGUCAUGUGAAGCAUUUAGGUAGGUAGAAACUGUGUAUUAUACCUGAUCCUGUCAGCUGAUUGCCUGACAGAUACAAAGAUUUUAGGGAUGAAAACCCAGUUAGAGAUGGAAAAAUGCUAUCGUUGCAUUGAAUCUCACUUAGAUGAAGGUUCUCCAGCUUUUUCAACCUUGAUGACAAGUCUUUGAGACCUGCAUGAUGUUCCUCAAUAGCAUAUUGGAAGGAAAUAAACGCAUAGAAAAAAAAUGAUAUGAGAAGGAGAAAAGAAAAGGUUUCAAAGCUAAAUAAUUAAAAGGUUACCAUAGAAGCUACCUCCUAAUCCAGCUGUCAACCCAUCGGUAAUUAAAACAAGAAUAAUAAUCGUUAAAUAUCAUUCUAAUAAUAAUCCAUGGCAAGUUCAAAUCCGUUGGUAACUGAAUUCCUCUAUCUAUUUAGUUAGUAAGAUGCUUAGUUGUCACUAAUUUAGUAAUUAUAAUUUGUUCCUCUGUUUUCUAGCAACUACUUUCCCAAUUUUAUCCAUUCACCACGACCGUAAGGCAAUAUCCUCCACCACAGAAUAAUAUUUUGAUUAAAAAAAGGUACAAAACCCAUUAUUAAAAAGAGAGGAAAUAAUAAAUGGCUACAAACCGAAAACCGGUCCAAUAUGUGGGUUUUAUUUAAAAAGAUAAAUAUAAAAUAUAUAUUUAUAGGAGAGUUUUGAAGUGAACUUCUGAUUACUAAUUUAAUCUAAAUAUUACAACACUUUUGGCAUAAAAGGGCUAAAAUAAGAAUAAAAUAUAUGCCUCUUGGACCUAAUUCCAAGUGCCUCUUUUCUUGAUAUAAAGUCCUCAUUUUUGUUGAUAAAGAAACAAUAUAAUUAAGAGAAUGUCAUGUUAAGCAUUUAGGUAGAAACUGUGUAUUAUACCUGAUCCUGUCAGCUGAUUGCCUGACAGAUACAAAGACUUGAGGGAUGAAAAUCCAGUUAGAGAUGGAAAAAUGCUAUCGUUGUAUUGAUUCUCUCUUAGAAGAAGGUUCUCCAGCUUUUUCAACCUUGAUGACAAGACUUUGAGACCUGCAUGAUGUUCCUCAAUAGCAUAGAAAUGAUAUGAGAAGGAGAAAAGAAAAGGUUUCGAAGCUAAAUAAUUAAAAGGUUACCACAGAAGCUACCUCCUGAUCCAGCUGUCAACCCAUUGAAUGAUAGAUCCAAAGACUUGAGAGUGGAAAGGUUACCAUUGAAACAUGACAAAAUGCUUUUAUCAUUAGUAAAUUUGUUAACACGUAGGUCAAGAUUGCUCAGUUUUGAUGAUAGGACUUCGAAGCCUGGGAAGAGAAUCAUCAAAGCAAGAUAAUUGACAUUAAACACCAACCAACCAACCUUCAUUUAUUUUAUGAUUAUAAUUAAGUGCAGAAACAUUGAACUAACCUUCAUUCUCCAUGCAACCAACCAAUCCAGUACCUCCCAAAUCAAGACCUCGCAAUUCUUUGAAAGGCUGAAACAAAGAUGCGUUGAGAACCCAAUCGCCCAAGUGGAAAUCCCUUGCCCCCCAAAGAGAGAGUUGGAUCACUCGCCUUGUAGUGUUAUCACACUCGAUCCCACGCCACUCACAACAAUUACUAUUGGUGUCCACCCAAUGAUCUCUCCAGGAAACGCCAUGUGGGUUGAUCAAAGAUUGGAUCUCCAAGAGACCAAUCCUCUCCUCCUCCAAACACCCAUAACAACGACCAUGCCAUUCGCCAACCAAAGUGAAUAAUGCUAGCAACAUCCAAGCCCCAAUUCUUUUCAUCAUCAUCUUAGAUAAUUCUAUGAACUGCUACGUAGAAUAUUGUUGUUUGUUAUGUGCCUUUGGGCAACCAUAGAGGUCCUAUUUAUACUACACUCUGGCCAUUUCCAUGACUUUGAGAUGUUUUCUUUAUUUCAUUUCUUUUUGGAAUAUUUUUGGAUUUGAAUAUUAUUCUAUUUUAUUGUCUAGCACUUAGUCUAUUUGCCAGGUUGGGAAAAAUAUUCAAAUUAGUUUUGUUGGCAUGUAAACCUCACCAAAUAAUUUGCGUAGACCGUAUUGACUGGGAGUCAAUUAUUGUCGUAGUGCUUUUAUGCACGAUCUGUGUGCGUGAACGGAAAGAAAAGCAGGGUGUGAAAAGCAUUAAAGGUUGUGAACGCGGAUGCUUGACUUGCUGUGUACCAUUUUGAUUUUUAAACACGGCCAUGCAGUCAUUUCCUGGCGAUUUCCUUAUGCAUACUGGUGGUCUUUCAUAAUCUUUUUCCAAACAAUCCUCGUUAGGCCGGCUCGGGGGUUAACUUAGAGUAAGGCAUCGUUUGACAUUGCGUUUGUAACUGCGUUUUAUUAAAUUUUGAAUUUUUUAUUUUUGCUAAAAUUAAGUGUAGCUUGUACUUUUUGGAUCUUUUUGAUGUGCUGAUGUUAAAAAUAAUUUUUAAAAAAUAAAAAAAUAUCAUUAGCAUGUAUUUCGGCACGAAAAGCUAUUUGAAAAGUACCCGCAACCACACUGCCAAACACGCUCUAAGAUUUGUAUCAUCGUUUUUUAUCAGAUUCAAGAUCAACUUGGAUCAAUCUUAAUUUUAUGCUAUUGUUUUUUAUAUAUAAACAUAAAUAAAAAUCCAGAUCUCUUUUAUAAUCUUAAAGGUAGUAUAUUAAUAGUAGAACCAUUAUCUAUCCAGAUACAAUUCAUCAUCUUUUCAUCGACAUAUCUUUUAAUUAAGAAAAGCUGUUUAUAGAGUUUUAAUCUAAGCAAUAGGUUUUCAUCGUUAAAGGAUACCUAUGUGGUGCUAAGUUCUUCUAAAGUUGGAGAACUUAUGAAAAUUAAUGCAAGGCUUCAACACUCCGAAGCCUGCAAGAGAAAUAUCAAAGCAAAAUAAGUAGCGUUAAACAGCAGCCAUUUCUUCAUUUUUAAUUUUAGUAUAACACAAUAAUAUGAACCAACCUUGAUUCUCAAAGGCACCCAACUAAUUCAUUAGCCUUCAAAUCAAGACUUUGCAAUUCCUUAAAAGGCAGAAACAAAGAUGCGUUGAGAACCCAAUCGCCCAAGCGGAAAUCCCCAGUACCCCUAAGAGAGAGCCGGAUCACUCGUCUUUCGGUGGUAUCACACACGAUCCUAGACCACACACAACAAUUACUGCCCAGGUAUUUCGACAGUUAUGGCUUGUGUGGGUUUUGGUUCACGAUGGAGAUGAUGGAUACAAUGAUGUAUUUCGACAACAAAAUUUUCAGUUCUUGUGAAUGGCUCUCCAACUAAAGAGUUCUUUAUGGAAAAGCGAUUGCGACAAGGGGACUCUUUAUCAACAUCUCUAUUCAACAUAGCAACUGAGGGUCUUGGUAGAAUGCUAAAAUUAAAAGGAGAUGUGAUUUGGGACUUAUAAAAGGUAUUUGUUUUGAUCACUUUCAAGUUUGUAGAUGAUACACUCAUCUUCAGUUCAUAUGAUUAUCCAUCUCUUCAAAAGAUCAAAAGAACUAUGUGAUGUUUUGAGUUGAUUCCUAGGCUGAAGGUUAAUUUCCACAAGAGCUCAAUCACUAGAACUAGAACUAGAAUUGAUGAUGUUGUUAUUUCUUCAACUGCUAGCAAUCUAAUAUGUAGGAUGGAGGGGAUGCCAUUUAAGUAUUUGGGUCUGCCUAUUUAUGCAUCUUCAUCUCAUACAUCCGUUUGGAAAACUAUUGCUUGAUUAACUCAAUUAUAAAUAACCUUUCUUUAUUUCCUAUCCCAUCCACUGUUGCUACCAAAAUUGAGAAACAUAUCAUAUCUUUCUUUGGUUCUCAGGAGGAAGGAGGGAAAAAACUAUGCAAUGUUAAAUGGGCAUCAGUGGUUCCUCCAAAAAAACAAAAAAGGUGGGUAUAGACUGCAUUAUUGAUAAAAAUAAAGCCUUGUUUUUCAAAUGGCUAUGGAGGUUUGGGAGGUCUAAUACAAGACUAUGAAAAGAUGUUAUCUACAACAUCCACAACCAAAAAGCGUAUUUGAACAUGCCUUUAGUUUGUGUUAAUUUAAAGGGUAGUACAUGGUCCAGGAAUGUCGUUACUUUUUAUAAGAACGAGGGACUUCAAAAUAUUGCCAAGAAAGAAGUUUGUGGUUUGGUUGGCAAUGGUAGAGAUAUUAACUUAUGGAAUGAUGUCUGGCUGAUAGAUUCUUGUCUUGCAGUUCAAUUUCCUAGACUUUAUAGUCCACCUGAAGAUCAUGUCUCCCCUGUAGCUACUGCAGCAGUAAAAGCUUCUAUCCAACCAGCCAGUGUGAGGCCUUCCCCUGUUGCUAGCAAUGUAGCUUCUUCAAGUAGCUAAAGUUCUGCUUCAAUAAAUGCCACGACAUCAGCAAUAACUGGUGCUACAACAAUGAGCUUCAACUACCCAAACUUCCCUGGCAAAAUUGCAGAAUGGUGCGUACGAGAUUCUAAUCCCUGAACAUGUUGGGGGCCACGAUAGCCUACAGAGGAACCCAUCCUCAGGCUAUGCCUUUCUUCAAUGGAUCAAUUCUAUUCUUCUUGAAUGUUUCAUCCUUCAUAGCUUCAGCGACAGCAACAACCAUUCAUACAGACACAACAAAGCCAACAGGGUCAUCAAAAUCCAAGUAUUUCUAGUGGCUCCUCGUCAUCCCAGAAGCAUUUGCUGAAUUAGGUGGAAUCAGCAGCGGUCAUCAAGAUCCAACCAUUUACAGAAUCAUCAGCAGAAUCAUUCCCUGCCGAACUAGCAGCGGCAGCUGAUGCAAAAUCAGAAUGUUACUCACAAACACCUCCUCCUUUUGCAAUGUCAUUUGCUCCAUCAACGGAACCACAACUUCCCCAGGUCUUGAUGUUUCAUUGCUGGUACAGAAUCAUGCUCUUCUCCAAAGCCCUCCAGAGGCAGCAAGUCAUGGCUAUCACUUCAUCACUGCGGCCCAAGCAACACAGCAGACGAAUUACCGUGUGCCUGAAGAAGGGAAAAAUGGAGGAAAUGACACUUCAAAUAUGGAAGGAGAGAGAAAGGCCGAUAUGGUUGGAGGACAGACCCCAUUAACUGGUGGGCAGUCAAUUGUGUUCUCUCGGCUAGAUUUUGUGUUCUCUCGGCUAGAUUUAACAGACUCCUCUGUUUCAACAAUGCCUGUGAACAAUGUUGUUGAUAGCUCAGCCCGAACUCUUAACCUUGGGUCCACUCUUGCUCGGACCUCAAGCCCUGUUAUGUCAGCUACUAUUGGCAGUGUAAAUGCACCAAGUAUACAACAACAGAUGCAGUGGAAUCAGCAGCAGCAGCAACGAAGUCAGCAAAUCCUUCAACUUCAGAAGCGUCAACAAUUUGCAGCUGCAGCUUCCACUCGAAGUGAAACACCAACAACUAGUAAUGGAAGUGUUUAUUCGGACCACAUCUCAUCAUCAUCAUCUAUGGGCACCAAGUUACCUAAUGCACUUUUGCAUUUCCUCAAAAUCUUGUUCAAAGCGGCAGUAGCAGCAGCAGUUAACAAAGCAUGCACUGCAACAGGCUCAACUAAUCUACGCUAAUGCUUUUAUGCAAGCUCAAGCUCAAGCUCAAGCUCAACAUGUGGCAAAUUCAACAAGCUUUGCAUCAACAGCUAGUGGGUUUCAUCUGCAAAGACAUCGCAAUGAGCAGCAACCGCAAUGCAUCGGCAACCUCUUCUACAAGGAUGUUGUUGUUAUGUCAUCCGAUCAUGUAAAUUUUUGUGACUCCCAACCUCCUAGCAACCACGAGAGGAUGUUUCCAGUUUUUUUUUUCAACAGCUAAUGCUUAGAUAACAAAAAUAGAGGAAUAACUGAUAGAGCUCCAGCAUUCGAGCAGAGUUUAAUAAAAAAAUAUAAAGUAAGGUUAGAUGCGUGAGCCUUGUUUUGUAAAUUUUUAUUUGAAUUUUAAUAAUUGUUUUUAAUUGUUAUGUAUAUGAAUAAAAAUUUGUUCAUGAAAUUUCAAUUUAAAUCACUUUUUUAAUCUUAGAAUUUUAAAAUAUAUUUUGAGCAUGAUUUUAUUAUAUUUAUGAUUUAUUUUAACUUUCAAUCACACAUAAAAAUAUAAACAUACUAUUUUGAUUUUUUUUUAAUUUGUUCUGACAAUUAUAGAAUAUUCUUUUAAUAUAAAAAAUGAUUCUAGUUAAGAAAAAAACUUGUAUAUUCACCAAGAUAAAACAAGAAAUAUGCUAAUAAAAUUUUUUAUCUUGAUAGAGAAAAAUUCAAAACGACUGUAUUUUCAAGUUUAAUAACAAUGUCAAGGAGUCCCUUAGACUGGGAUAUUUUGUUUUACAUUUAAAGUUUUUUUGAUCUCCAUAGCAUAGCACUAGCAUACAAACUUGUAUAUUUUUAAGGCAGCGUUUAGUUACUAUCCGAGACAGUAGAGACAGAGACAAUGGAGACAGAGGAGACAAUACAUAAAAGAAGAUGGAGAUAGAAUUGUGUUCACUAAUAAUAUAUAAGACAAAGUGAUUGUUUUUGUAUCAUAUUUGAUUAUGAUAGACAAGAAAGAAUAAAAUAUAAAAAAAAUAUUUUACCUUUAAUAUGUAUUGUUGUCAAACUUACAUGUUUUAAAAAAUAAUUAGUUUUAUUUUUUUACUUUAGUUUUAUAUUGAGUAUUGAAAUUAUUAAUAUUAUAAUAACCCUAGUAUUAAAACCAGGAUUAACUUGACAGGUUGACCCGAGGCCUAUACUGGUCUAAGUUUCAGAAAAAUAGAAGAAUGAUUAACUCGACCUAACCUAGUAAAAAACAUGAGUCAACUUAAGAUAAAACACGGGUCAAAACCCAUUAAAUAUUUUGAAAAAGAAAAUUGUUCAAAACAAGGUUUCUUUGACUAUUUGUUUUUAAAAAAAAUUAGGUCGAUCGGGUUAACCUUCUCUUGGAUUAACUCCUGAGUUGAGUUUUAAAACUAUGAUAAUAAUCAUUUUUAUCCAUACAUUAACUCAGGUCAAUCUGUGUUGACCCUCUCGACCCAUGACCUAGGCCUUGCUUCUGUCGACUCCCGAGUCGGAUUUUAAAAUUAUAAUAAUAAUAAUUUUUAUCCUUACAUUAAUUUGGGUCAACUCUCUUAAUUCGUAACCCAAGCAUUGCCCCAAGUUGACUAUCGAAUUAAAUUUUAAAACUAUGAUAAUAACCAUCUUUAUUUUAUGUUGACUCGGGUCAAUCUAGAUUAACUCAUCUAACACAUGACCCAAGUUUUAUCCCGAGUCGAUCCCUGAUUUGGGUUUUAAAACUAUGAUACUAAUUAUUUUUAUCAUUACAUUAACCUAAGUCAAUGAUCAACCCCACUCGUUACCCAAGAAUUGCCCAGGUCGACCCCCAAAUCGAGUUUUAAAAUAUGAUAAUAACUAUUUUUAUUCUUCUACUGACACAGGUCAACUCGACUCAUGACUCAAGCCUCAACCAGUGACCCAGAAUUUGCCCCGGAUCGACCCCCAAGUUGAAUUUUAAAACCAUGAAAAUAAUCAUUUUUACAUUUAUAUGUCUUAGUUGGACAAUUUGAAAUUGAGAGUUUUUUUAUAAAAAUAUUUUAGGAAUAAAAAAUAAUAAAUAUUAUCUCUAGAGACAUGUCUCCUCUAUACCUUACGUUUUGGAAGCACAAAAAUUCACUCCAAAAUUAUUCUAGAAACAAAUUUAUUUUUAUGUAUUUGUCUUUGUCUCUUCAACCAAAUAUAUUUAUAUCUUUAUUGUUUUUAUCCUUUCUAUUAUAGGACAAUGACCAAACAUUACCUAAAGGAUAUACAACUGACAAGGAUGAACUUGGCUUUAUUUCAUCUUUGAUAAUUUCUUCUCGAUGAUAUCUCACCGAUUUGUGGAGGCAAUUGAUCAAAACCUAGUUGAUUCAAAGGUUGACUUUGAAAAAAUAUAUUCAUAGAGUAAUGUUUGAAUCUUGGUGUUUUUUAUUGGCUCAAAAAAAUUACCAACUCACCAAAACCUGUAUGAAACAUUUAGAUUUAAUAUUAUAUGUAUAAUUUAUUAUAAUAAUUGAUAUACUAUUCAACUCAGUAACUUAGUAGGAUGACCUAUAACCUGCUGAUCUAAGAUUUUAGCCGAAUCAAGCUUUAAGCUAGAUAUAAUGACUAUGAUUUUAUAAAAUUACUAUGAACUUCCCUUUUAUGUCUUCUUAUUUACUCAUUUGAUAUUUUUUUUUAUGAAGUUAAGAUGUUCACAUUUAUAUCAUGAUUAAACUCUAGGGUAACAUUUAGUUAUUAUCUUGGGAUAAAAAGAAUAAAGAUAGUAAAGACAAAAAUAUGUUUGGUUGAAAAGAUAUAGAUAUAAAAAUAAUUUUUUUCAUGGGAUAAUUUUAGAGUGAAUUUAUAUAUUUUCAUAACAGAAAAUACAAAUAAGACAUAUCUUCAUAAACAAUAUUAUUUUUUAUUCCUAAAAUAUCAUUGUAAAAAACUUUCAAUUCCAAAAUUGUCCAAUUAAGAUAUGUAAAAAUAAAAAUAGUUAUUAUCGUAGUCUUAAAACCCAACUUGGGGGUUGACUUGUAGAAAGAUAUGUGAUCUUUGUUGACCCAAGUCAAGGUAAAAAUAAAAAUAGCUAUUAUCAUAGUUGUAAAAUCUAACUUGAGGGUCGACCUGGGACAAGGCACGGGUCAUUGUUUGGGUUGACCAUUGACCCAAGUCAACAAAAAAAUAAAAGUGGUUAUUAUUGUAAUUUUAAAACUUAACUUGGAGGUCGACUCAAGGCAAGGCCCGGGUCAUGGGUCAGGAGGGUUAACUCUGGUGGAACCGGGUUAAUGUAAGGAUAAAAGUGGUUAUUACAAUAGUUUUAAAACUCGACUUAGAGAUCGACCUGAGGUAAGCUCAGGUCUUGGGCUAGGAGGGUUAAUGCAUGGAUAAAAAUAAUUAUUAUCAUAAUUUGAAAACUUGAUUCAAGAGUCGACCCGAGACAAAGCCUAGGUUAUGGGUUGGGAGGGUCAACCCGAGUUGACCCAAUUUUUUUUUAAAAAAAAAGAAUCAACACAACCUUGUUUUGACCAAUUUUUUUUAAAAAUAACAGGUUUUGCCCCGUGUUUUAUCCCGAGUCGACCCGUGUUUUAUCCCGAAUCAACUCGGUUUUUUAACUCACCUAUCUUUUCUUAAACUUAAAAUUAAUCCGGGCUUAGAGACAACUAGAUCCCGAAUAGAUUCACUAGGUCAGUCUAGGUUAUAUAACUAGGAUUAUUAUAAUAUUAUUAAUUUCAACACUUAAUAUAAACUAAAGUAAAAAAAAGUUCUAAUUAUUUGUAUAAAUAUGUAAGUUUACCAAUAAUACAUAUUAAAGGUAAAAUAAUUUUUUUAUAUAUUUUUUUUAUCAUUAUCAAAUAAGAUAUAGAGACAGUUACCGCCAAACAUAAUUUUAUUUUCAUCUCCUUUUCUAUCUUUUUUUUCUUUAUUUUCAUGGUCUUCUUUUUUAUUCAUAACAGUAACCAAAUAUUGGCUAGUUAUAACAUAUAGAAACAUACAAGUUGUCAUGUUCAAGCCGUUCUCUUAUCAUUUUAAAUAAAUUGAAACACAAUUGCGAGGAGAAGAGUGUGUUUUGUAUUGUGUUAGCUUUUGUGGUUGUGGUUUGAAAAUUGUUGUUUUAUAAAAAAUACUUUUAGUUGAGGUUGGUUUGAUAUUUAUAUAUGUUUAGUUAAAAUUGUGGUUGAAAUUGAGGUUGAACAAAAAGUAAUUUAAUGUGUUUGGUUAAGAAUGCUUUUCAAAUCGAGGUUAUAAAAUAAUUAAAAAAGAUAUAUAUUAAUAUUGAUAGUUUUUAAUUUAAAUAUUGUAGAUUUAACUACUGCUAUUACAUCAUGAAAUAAAUAAUACUUUAUAUAAAAUAUUUUUUUAUUGUUCCAUUAAACUAUCUACAAUUCCAUCACAUACGAAAUUCAUUCGACAAGGACUACAGUUUUCUUGGUUUCUUAAGCGCACAACAAUAUCAAGUAAAAUAUAAUCAGGAACAAAAUUAGGAUUGCGAUCAAAUUCUGCAAAUGCUAUGUCAUCAAGCAAUCUCCUUAUAAUUUAUGUAGUGUUAUUGAAUAAUGCUAAACACUAGUUUUUCAAAUAAAACAUAAUUAAAAAUAAAAAAAAAUUGAUUUUUUUUUAUUUUACUGGGUCAGACCCGGUUCAAUGCAUUUAGCUUUGAAUCGGACCCAGUCCGGCCAGAAUAGUAGAGACAUUCUAAGCAACUUCAAGUGAGUCUCGUAAACAGUAAAUAACGUACCAAACAAUUAUUUUUAGUAAAGCAGAAGCAACCGAAGAAGAAGAAGAAGACAUGUGAUUACGGUGCCAUGCAGCAUUUUGACAUUAUGAGUAUUUUGAUGUAUAUCCAUUAAUUUAUAAUAUACAAGUAUAUUUCCAUGUUUCUUUUAUUUUGAUAGAACAUUUUUCCAAUAGAAUUUGUUUUUAUUGGAAUUCCAUAUUGAAUGGAUGUCAAUUGAAACUAAAAAUGUGUUAGAUAAGAGCAUACUAAUAUAAAUACCAAAUAAUGUUUAAUUAGAUUGAAUUGAACUAGACACCAUAUGUUUUUAUUCUAUGUUUGGUGCACUAAAGAUAAGAUCAAAUAAUUUUGUUUUUAUCAUUGAGAUAUUUUCAAUCAUUUAUUUUAGUCUUUGCAUUUUAUUUUUAUGAUAUUUUAGUCCUUACUAGAAUUUCUUUGUCAUCUAGAACAAUCUAGUUCUUAAAUCAAAAAGUUUUUGCAAUUAAACUCUUACAUGUACAUAUUUAUUUUAAUAAAAUUGGUCAAAUUUUGGUUUUCCAAAUUAAAAAAUAAAUAAGUGAUAAAUAAAUAAUAGAUAAUAUAAAAAUUAAGAAAAAAUAAUUUUUGUACAAAUUUUUUGUCCAAUCCUUGUCAUGUCCAAAGUGUAUAUCAAACAUUUUAUAGCUUGCCAUGUGCAACAAAUAUAUCACAACUUGUUUUUAUUGUAUUCUAUUAUGAUCUGUUUUGUGCCUUAUAUUAUUUAAUAUAUUAAAAUAAAUUUAAUAAAUUAUACUGAAGCAAGAUCUAAUAUUAGAAAGUUAACGGAAAUAAAUGUACCUUUGCCCGUCCCUUCAACAAAAUGCUGAGCUGUAUACUAAUUCUCAGAGGCAGUGAUAACUAGUUGUUCUAACUAAUCCCUAUACUUUUAAAUAUGUUUACAAUUCAGUCCCUUCAUUAAUUUUUCGUUAGUAAAAUGUUGAGCUGUCAGCAAUAUUUCCUUAGUUUGUGCCGCUAACUUAACGGUAAAAUGUGAUUCAAGGAUCAAUUAAUUAUUUAAAUGAACUUGAGGGAUUAAUCUGUUUGUUUAACAAAAAUACAGACACUAGUUAAAUAGAAUUUAACUCCAAUUUUAAUCAUCAUAUGCGUGCGUGCGAGCGAGCGAGCGAGUGUUUACUCGUUAAUGUUUUUUUAGAAGGAAUCUGGAAAAGAAUAAAGUCAUCCAUUUCACUUUGGUCCAGCAUUCCUCACCUCUCCCCGCCAGAGCUCUCCCUCCCUCCCUCCCUCCCUCCCUCCUCCGCCUCUCGGAAACCGCCGCCGCCAAGAAGGCUUCAGAUUUCUGCCAGGUGCUUCUAUUUCUAUCAUGUUUUUGUUUUUAAAAUUUAUGGGUGUUUUCAUUUAUUCUAUUGGAAUUAUUAUUCAGAGACAGAAAUUCUAUUUUAAUGAGAAAAUUAAAAAAAAUAAUCGAUCCGAUGAAAUCUCUGCUAGUGAACGCAAUUCGAUUUUAAUAAGUAAAUUAAAAAAAUAUAUAAUCGGAUCCGUUGAAAUCGCUGCUCGUGAACGCAAUUCAAAGAAACGCACAAUCAGCCGAUUCUAAUAUUUUCUUUUUCAAUUUUUCCCCUUAAUUUACAUGAUAUUAUCCGAUUUUUCUCACAGUUAUUGUUGUAAUAAUCAAGCCCUGAAUUCUUGAACCCAAAUUUAUUUUAUUUUAUUUUAUUUUAUUUUUUAGUGGAGAAUAGAAAUCAAUUCAAAUCUUUUAGGCUCGAUCGAUAAUUUGUUAAUUAGUUUAUGCAGCAGCUGGAGUGGAAGAGAUUUUUCUGCCGGAAUGGCCGAAAAAUGAGCUGUUUGGUUGAUUCUUCUUUUUUGGAAUUUACUGAAUUCUUCAAAAUUAUUGUGUUCUUAACAACAAUACGAUAUCCUUGGGUUUUAUGCUCGCUCACACAUGGAAAAAAGAAAGAAAGAAAAGGACUUUACAUUUUAUAAUUUGGUCAUGUUAACGCAAAAAAAAUAAAAAUAAUAGUUUAUGAUGACUCAUUGUUUGGUUGAUAACCCUACAUGAUAUAUCUUUCUUUUUAGGACUUCCUAGCUGGUCUUGAGUAUGAGGUGAAAGCUUGAGGAGGGCAGUUGGUCCUAACCAAGGACUGUAUUGUGAUUGAUUGAGUUGAAAGUUAAGAGCAUGUGGAAGUGUAAAACAAAUGACUUUGUUCACUUCACCCCAAAGGCGCACCUGUGCAUCUAGUUAGGAAGAACAUUUUAUAACUUACCUCAAGGUCGAGCAUGGUCAGGGUUAUUGUGUUGUCUAUUCCGAGAAAGAUGUGCCUGCAAAUUUAAUCUUAUUUCAACAAGAGUUGUUAAGUUAAUUCUUAUCAGUCCUCUUUAGAGUUGAUGAUGACAUGAAAUAUUCAUGGUUAAUGCUUGUCGUUUUCUUCUUCAUUUUCCUAGCUUAAAACAUCCUAGAAAUCUAUCUAUUGAAGUAAAGCAUUUAAAUGCGUAUACAAUGUUUUUGGAACUUUAAAUAUCUAUUUGAUCAGAAUCUGUGAACCUAAAACCACAAUGAAUACAAAUGCAAGUUUGUCAUUGUAAACAUUGCAUCAAUGAUGUAUCACGAGUGUUGCUAGAAAACAUCAAGUUAAAAUUGAAGCACCAUGAGUUUCUCCAUGGCUUGGUUUACCAACACUCACCAUCUGAUGGUGUGGCAAGUUAUGAACUAGCUGGCUAGUUUUUUGCUUCCUUGGUUUUAGAAGGACCAUGAAGAUUCAGGCCCAAAUCUUGCUUAUAAUACCUAAAUACCCAAGAUCCUAGCACCUUGCCCUGAAUGGUCGUGUAUAUUUGUUAUGGCUGUUCAGAUUUUAUGCAUCCAUAUUUGGUAGAAUUCUUUAAUAAAGUACAUGCUAUUGGAUGGAAGUUCUUUUUAAAUCUAUUCAAGUCUGAAUAAACUGACAUUCCAAUUUUCAUGACUUUGAUAUGCUCUUACUCUUCUGUUGUUCCUGACUUUCUUUUUAGGGUCUAUUCUAACAUGCAAUAUAAUUAUUAUUUUUUUUUUUGGUGAUUGAAGUGAUUUUUUUGGUUGGCCAAAACCCCAUGGAUGCCAAUAAUUGGAGGCCCACUGCCCCAGGCGGAGAACCUGUUAUGGACACAGGUGAUUGGAGAACUCAAUUGCAGCCUGACUCACGGCAAAGAAUAGUCAACAAAAUGUAAGUCUCUGUUUCCUAAUAUGUGCAAGUGCUGCAAAAUAGUAAAUCUUGUAUUUAAAUGAAAGAAAAAGAGAAGGGAAAAAGGUUAAUUAAAAUCAGCAGGACUGCCAUGAGGCAACCUCAAGUAUCAUACACCUCUGUUUUUGUCUUUUUCAUUUUUCACGUGUUUCUCACAAGAAGUGAACUUGAGGGAAUAAAAAGUGCUGGGAAGUAAUUUUUGUUGGAACUUCUUGUGUAACAUCUUUCGAUGAUGACCUCUAGGAUGGCUGCAUGAAGCUUCUUCCGCUUUAAAUUUCAAGGUUAAUCUAUUGCUAUGAGCAUUGGUGUUUCAAUUUCAACCUUGAGUUGCAACUGAACUUAAAUGAACAGUGUUGGAUUUGAGCCUUCCAUUUGCUUUAACUUCUACAGGGUUGAAAUGAUAGUUAUCUUAAAGUACAAAAGCAGCAGACAAAAAUCAAUUAGUCACAAUAGUGCAUGGUUUCCUAGUUUCUCAGUAUAAAGUGGAAUGUUUUGGUGAUAUCUCUACAUCCAAAUUCAUAUAGACAGCUACUGUUGGCAUUUGCAGUAGCCAAUGAGCACUGUAGAGUAUAUAUUGCAGCGUGAGAUAAGGUUAACUCAUUGCAUUUUCAUAAAUUAAAAGGAUUUCUCUUCUUUUCUUUGUUAAUUGCAGUGCAUGUAUAAAGGUUUUCUUAUUUAGAGUAAAUGCUGUUGUAAUGUUUUCACAGAGUUCCCUUGGUUUGCAGCUAAUUCAUUUAUAUAUCUUGGAGCAUAGCCAUAGCCAUAAAUGGAAGGUUCUUCCAGUUCAAGAAAAUUAACCAUGAAGCUCAUAGCUAGAAUUUUAAACAUAAGGGUGGCCAAGUGAACUCCUAUACCCUGUACCUGUGGAAUAAUACGGGGAAAGGAAGUAAAAAUAGAUGUGUAUUUUGAUGCCAUAUAUUACUUGACCGACACUUGGCUAUAUCAUUAUUUGUUUUUACUUUUUCCUAAUGAUUCCGUUGUAUACAUUUCUGAUAUUGGUGUGGUGUAUGAGUUCACGGUUCUUUCUCACUGCUGCUAACUUCUCUAUACCUGCCUUGUCAUUAAAAAUUAAAUGUAAUGUUUUACAUGUGCAGAAUGGAGACAUUAAAGAGGCAUCUUCCGUUUUCUGGUCAAGAGGGAUUACAAGAACUCAAGAAAAUUGCCGUACGGUUUGAGGAAAAGAUUUAUACUGCCGCCACCAAUCAGGUAUUCGGCUAAUGCUAGGUUCAAUGAUUUCGAUAUUCUCUAGACAUGAAUAUACACAUGCAUAAGUUUGUGGAUUAAUGCAUGUACACGUGUGUGUAGUGUGUCCACACUUCCUUACUGGUCAUUCUGUAGAAGUUCUCAUCUUUUCGUUAUUUCUCUUGACAAGUGUUUUAUUUAGAGUGACCAAGGUCCUUUUCAAGUACAAGGGAAGUGUGCAAAAUGCAAAUAACGAAUCAAUACAUAAAUAAUUAAAUAAAAAGAAAGGACACAGAAGUAUAUCCUCACAGAAGAUGCAAAUACAGAAAGCCUAGCAUAUUAGAAAGAGCAUAUAUCCCUUUUCCCCCUUCUCUUGUAACAUGGACUGCGCAGAGAUCUAAUGUUUUGUUAUUGAUAUCUGAUUUCAGUCUGAUUAUCUGCGUAAAAUAUCUCUGAAGAUGCUUACAAUGGAGACCAAGUCUCAAAAUACCAUACCCACUGGCAAUGGUAACAAAACCCUGGAUCCAGGAGGUAAUAAUGCAGCCAAGCAUUGGAUUUCUAAACAUCCUUACCUUUUGUUUUGUAUUUUGCGUUGUUAUCAAACUCUUUUACAUUUUAUUGCUGCAUUUUGCUAUGUAUAUACCAUGCUUUAAUAAAAGAGUCGAGUAAUUGAUGAAUGUUCAAAAAAAAAUUACAGAUUAUUUUUGUUUUCUGCUCCCCACCCCCCCACAACAAAAAAAAAAAAAAAAGUCAAAUGACACUUAUGCUUUGAGGUAAAACCAUCUUAAUUAUUUCCCUCAUAACUUUACGUGUGAACUGUCAUUGUUUCAUUUGUUUUUCUUGUUCAAUGCCUUCUUUUUUUUUCCUUUGACAUGGUUUUCCUUUUUGCCUUUUAUCUUGAACAGCAUCUCAUAGUAUGCCGCCUCAAGUUCACAACCAAGGGCAGUCGCUCCCUAACUCAUUGUCCUCUAAUCAGUCUCAAGCACGUCAGCAGUUAUCACAGAACAUGCAGAAUAGUAUGUCAUCUAAUGGAGUUCAAAGUUCUGCUGGUUUACAAUCAGCAAUGCCUUCUGUCUCCGGUUUAACCCAGACUAUCCCAAACACUGUUGGACAGAAUGCUAACAUGCAGAGUAUCUCUGGUGUUUCACAGAACCCAGUGGGGAAUUCAAUGGGACAAGGGAUUCCCCCCAAUAUGUUUGUCAAUUCUCAGAGACAAAUGCCAGGCAGGCAACAGGUUGUUCCUCCACAGCAACAGCAGCAGUCCCAAAAUCCUCAGCAGUAUCUUUAUCAGCAGCAGAUGCAACAUCAGCUUUUAAAGCAGAAGCUUCAACAGGGAAAUCAUCCACACUCACUUGUGCAAUCUCACAUCCACCAGCAGCAGCAGCAAAAUUUGUUACAGCCAAAUCAGUUGCAAUCUUCUCAGCAAUCUGGUUUGCAAACAUCAACUGUUAUGCAGCCUUCAAUGAUGCAAACUGUCUCUGGCCUUCAACAGAACCAACCAUCUUCUGUUCAACAGUCAACACAACCAAUGCACCAGCAACAUCCACAAUCAGUCCUUAGGCAGCAGCAGCAACAACCUCAACAGUCUGCUGGUAUUCAUCAGCAGCAAACACCAAUGAUGCAGCAGCCACUAUUGCCUCCACAACAGCAGCUAAUGGGGCAACAAUCAUNNNNNNNNNNNNNNNNNNNNNNNNNNNNNNNNNNNNNNNNNNNNNNNNNNNNNNNNNNNNNNNNNNNNNNNNNNNNNNNNNNNNNNNNNNNNNNNNNNNNACAGCAGCUAAUGGAGCACAUCAAGUACACUAACAUGUCGCAAAAUCAGUUAAUUGGACAACAAAACAUUGUUGGGGACUUGCAGCAGCAGCAGCAGCAGAGAUUGCUAGGGCAGCAGAAUAACCUUCAAAAUCUGCAGCAGCAGCAGCAGUUAAUGGCUCAACAAAAUAACCUCUCAAGCAUGCAUCAGCAACAGUUGGCCCCUCAAAGUAAUGUCACUGGUUUACAGCAACAGCAGUUGCAUGGAGCUCAGCCUGGUAACUCAAGCAUGCAAUCUAAUCAGCACUCUCUACACAUGCUGCAACAGCCCAAGGUUACGCUGCAGCAGCAAGCACAACAAAGUGGAAGUGGUUUGUUGCCGAAUCAAGGGCAGCAGUCACACUCACAGCUGCCACAGCAGCAAUUGAUGGCACAGAUUCAAUCACAGCCUGGACAGCUGCAACAGCAAUCAAAUCCAUUACAACGUGAUCUGCAGCAAAGGCUUCAAGCAUCAGGCUCCUUGCUUCAACAGCCGAAUGUGAUUGAUCAGCAAAAGCAGUUAUAUCAACCUCAAAGAGCCCUUCCAGAAACGUCCUCAAGUAAGUUUUUCUCAUCCUUGCAGCUUUCUAGCCUUGCUCCAACUUUAAUUUUGCAGCUUUGUGCUUUCAUGUUAGAUUAUAACAUAUUUAUUUAAAUUUUUUGAAAAUACAAUAAUGGUUCAAGUCAGUAAUGCUCUUUUAGGUAGCUUUAUGAGCUAUGGCUGCCACUUAUUGCAUCAGAAAUGCCACUGCUAUUGGAACCAUUGCAAUCACACAUACAUUUAUUUGAAUGAUUACAUAUCGUUGAGAUGGAGUUCCUAGUACUCCAAGUCCAAAAAGGACUUGUAUUCCUAUGUAAGAAAAUACUAAUGGUGCUAUCUAGGAUAGGGAAAACCUAUUAAAGCUCCUUAUUCUUUAGGAACAAUAAAAUACUAAAUAGAAAUAAAACCAAGACCUACAAUAUUCCAUAAUUUUCAGCAAGUGUGAAAAUUACAGAAAUACCCUUGUGUGCGGAAAACAUUCAAAAAAUACAUGAAUUCUAAUCUUUUGUUGGCUGCAUCAAAAUUUUUGUAGCAUCCCUAGAUUCUACAGCAGAGACUGGACAUGCAAAUGGUGCUGAUUGGCAAGAGGAGAUCUACCAAAAGGUAAUUUCUAUGGUUUACUGUUCAUUAGAUGAAAUUCAUGUAUGUCAUAGUCUUGCAAGAUUUCAAUGGAAAAGGUCUCCUGGAAUAUGGUACAAGGGAGUUUUAUUCAGCUAUGGUUGUGAUUAGUUAGGAAGCAUUGUAAGUUCCAUGAUUGCAGCAACUAAGAAACGAUAAAUUACUGAUAAGAUGAUUAAAGGUAAAAUAUUCAGAUUUCUAGGUCAAGAGGGUUAUUUUCUUGGUAUUGACACGACAAUUUUUUCUAUUGCAAAUCUCUCCCUUUCAAUUUUUUCCCUGUAUUUCCAUACAUUUAGUGUGGUGAAUUAUUAUUUUAUUAUUUCCAACAAGUCCAAUUGACAAUACUUCUUACUGUAAUAGACCGACUUGAAAACAAGAGUGAACUGUUUCUGAAUAGUCAUCGUUAUAUUUGGUUAAGUGAACAGUUAUUUUCAGGAUUACAAUCAAAUUUGUUCUGAAACAUGUGACAAUGGAAGAAAGGAAAAUAAGUGGACCUAAUCCAUUGAAUCAUGACCAUGUCCAGUAUUGUUGAAUUUUAUAGAAAACGAGGUUGAAAUUCUGAAUCAUUUAAUGGCUGUAGUUGCAAUUCAUAACUGCAUAUUUGAUGAGGUCAAUUUUUUUGUGCCUGGGAGGGUACUAAAACGGGAAUAGGAGUGGUUGUUGAUAAUUAGGAUAUAAGGGUUGUAAAUCCAAAGUUAUAAAGCUAGGAAGUGUUUACCAAAGUCGUGACAUCCAUUGACUUGAGUUAGAACAAUAGAAAACAAUGGUGAGUAGUUUGCUGUGAGACAAAGUAACUGAACUUGACCAACCCCUGAAUCUUGUCUGAAGAGGUAACUACACAAUCCUUUGCAUCUUUGCAUGCAAUCAAUAACGAUAUUCUCUUUUGAGUUUUCGGCAUUGAUUCCACUGCUAUUUUUAUCUCAAACAAUAUAUGCUGUCGUCUGCCAUUUUAUUUAUUUAUUUAUCAGUUCUCUCAAGUUUGCUUAUGUUUCUUUCUGACUCUGGCACCUGAAAGAAUCAAGCAUAUGAUUGAUAAUGUGCUUGCUGGUUAUAUGUACUUCCUAGAUCAAAGUUAUGAAGGAAACGUAUUUGCCUGAAAUAAAUGAAAUGGACCAGAGAAUUGCUACCAAGUUACAGCAGGGAAAUUGUCUGUAAUUUUUUCCGAUUUAUUUUCCCACACAUGAUUCAUAAACCCCCACAGUUGAGCUUUUGUAUUAAUUUGUUUUCCCCAUCGGCAUUGCUUGUCACUGUAUCAUCUGCACUAAUUACCUCCCCCACCCCCAACCACCCCACAACCAUGCAUUGACACAGAAGAAUUGGAAUAGAAACAUUUUUUUCACUAAUGUUUUACUAGUUUUGCUACAAAGGGUCAAUGCAAUUUUUAAUUCUCGUGUAUGUUAACUUUGCUUUCCAGCAUGACCCUCUUCCGCAACAACCGAAGUCAGAACAGCUUGAAAAGCUGAAGUUAUUCAAGGUCAUGUUGGAGCGCUUGAUAGGAUUCUUACAGGUCCCUAAAAACAACAUCACACCUAAUUUCAAGGAGAAAUUGGGUUCCUAUGAGAAGCAGAUUCUAGGUUUUCUAAACCCAAGCAGAUACAGGAAGCCUAUUCCUAAUCUUCAGCAAGGACAACUUCCCCAACCUCAUAUUCAACCUAUGCAGCAACCCCAAUCUCAAGUUCCUCAAUUGCAGUCCCAUGAAAAUCAACUGAAUUCCCAGUUGCAAUCAAUAAAUAUGCAAGGUUCUGUACCAAAGAUGCAGCAGAACAAUAUGUCAAGCUUGCUGCAUAAUUCUCUUUCAACUUUAUCUGGGGAUUCGACGUCACAAUCAAACAUGAUGAAUCCAAUACAACCAGGCUCCAAUUUAGAUUCUGGAC